GGCGAUGCCGCGGUGUACGCUGGCCUCAAGUUCCGUGCACCGGUGGAGCCCUACUAGAUGGGAUCUGCACGAGUUUUUGUGAAAAUGGGUGUGUUUAACCUCCGGAAUGAACUCUGGUUGAAGCUCUUAGGAUUGAGCAAUAAUGAAUGCCGCGCAUGUUUUAUGUGAACGGAACGGAUAUGUACCCCCAAACUUGCUCCAAUUUUGGUCCUUGUGGAUAUGUACCUGAUUCGGCCCUGAACCUUUUGGAUGUGUAAUACUAGUUUUUGGCGCAUCAUCUUUGCCGUUAUUGUGUUAGUUUACUUGUUGCAGAAAGCAUGCUUCUGAGAAACUUGCUUUCAUCUUUGUUUGCUAUUCUCAAAACACUGGUUUUCCAUUGCCAUCUGUUUUUCUUUUAAAGAAACUUGCUUCUGUUGUCAUUGAUGGGGCGUCCUGGUUGAUUGGAGAUGAGUACUUGAAGCACGUCAUGAUUUCGGAGGUUUGCCUCUGACAGCAACGGAUUUCAACUAGAAAAACUGGGCGAAAAACAGAUUGAAAACCGGCUGAAAACCAUCAUAUCUGAACAAAUUACUCCAUAGGUGAUUGUCGAGAUAACCCACAUUGUAGCGGACGCGUGAAGGUGAAUGAAAAUCUGCACAAAAACUUAGCCACUUGCAACCACCUUCAAUCUUGCCACAAAAGCCUGGACACCACCACCGCUAACCAUCGGUCCUGCUUGUCGUGAGCUCCAAGAUGAAGCCCCUGAGAGGGAAAAUGACACACCCGAGUGCCACAAUCGUCCGAUCACAAGAUCAAGGGUUUCCCUUGAAGAGGGAGGCCAUGAUGGUCGGGUCCCUGCAGGAGGUGUGCGAUAGCAUAACACCGAUGCCUAAAGGAAGGUUAAGGACGACCACAACCGCAACCAUUGUUGGUCAUGGCACAAAGGUCGAGAUGGGGUCUUCACCCAAGCUCCCUUACCACCUCGGUCGCACAUCAUCCCGCACUGGCGCCGGCAAGACCGCCAACCACCGUCUCUCACAAACCAUCAUCCCACACUGGCGCCGGCAAUGUCUCUUCUCUCUACUCGAAUCAUUAUCACAUGGGCCGCUCGUAAAGAUGGAAGUUACUCUCUGGGCCAUUUGAUCGUCACGUUGAAAGGCCAUUCACGAAAGCAUCUUUCAAAGCCGGGCUGCAUUGCAUUCUUUUGUCACAAGAUUCAUUGAUGUCCAAAUUAUUCAUGAGAAGAAGCCGUUAGCUGCUGUGGUGGGCAUUGCUACUGCAAAUAUGGGUGCUCAUCGCCCCAAGGGGCCCCCUCCGUACUUUGCAAAAAUCCACCUUGACGCGACUAUUCAGCCAUGUAUGGGAGAAUCGGCGGUGGCUGUUUGCCGGGACAACAACGACAACUAUCUACGCAGCUCGGCACUAGUUAUUGGAGGUGUUCAUGGCCCAACGGCUGGCUUGCCGUGAAGCUCUAUCAUUAGCAAGAGACCUUCAUCUACACAAUUUUAUCAUAACAUCUGAUUCUAAACAAGUUGCGGGAGAUAUUAGGCAAGGUAGCUAGGGUAGAGUUAGUGCCAUCAUCAGUGAGAUCAAAGCAGAGCAGCUUCUUUUAAUUGUAAUUUUACUUUCGAAUGUCGUGUUAUUAAUUUCGACGCACAUAGUUUACUAGUGAGGUUCUCUUUCUUUACCUCGGCCCGAAUUGUAUCCCACUAAUUAUGGUCUUUGAUCCCCUAAAAAAAUGAUUUUUGAUUAAUAAAAUUGGCUUUACCCUAAAAAGGUAAAAAAUAAUUAUCUCCCAAAAAAAGCUAAAACGAAAAAAAAACAUCACCCCAUCUUCUCCCCACUCCUUGAUGGCGCCUCCCGCCGCCGGGGAAACCCCACCUACGGAGGCUGCGGAGAACAGCGCCAAGACCGAGGAGUCGCGGUGGCUCGCGGCCCUCUCCGAGCCAGAGCUCGUCCGUGACGCCCCUCCUCUUCUUAUUCUCUCUUAGCUUCUCUUCCUAACGACUGGUGUUAAUGGCGCCACGGUGGUGUUGUGCAGGAUCUCCUCAUCAGCCUGAAGAUGCUGGCCGUGAAGCGGGCGGAGACGGCCGGCCGCCCCCACCUCGCCGACGGGUUCGAUCUGCGCACGCUGCGUGCCCUCGGUACUUACUACCUGAACCACUUUGCCAGACACUCAUCAUAUAUAGCCGCAGCGAUCUCUUUGCUGAGCAACAUGCUAUAUGCUUGUGCUUUUCCAGGUGUUGUUUUGCUGGAGGAUUUCAAGGCACGGUUAGAAGAAACCUCGGUCGAUGCAUCCGUUCUUGAUAGACUUGCGCUGUCGAGGGACUGUGUCGCGGAUGCCGGCGGCGGCAGUGGUGACUCUGAGGUGCUCAGGCGGCACGGCAAAGAUGAGCCAAAGCCAAAUAGCGUCAAGAGAGAACGAAAGCAGAGGCAGGAUGGGUGAGUCCUUUUGAGUAUUCGGUCGGUUUGGCUGAAGCAGUGCAGUCCAAUUUAGCUCAUGCCGAUAGUUUCUUGAGGUUCUGUCACUACUAAUGCAGUUACGGCGUGUUUGCGUAUGAUGCAGGCGCCAUGGAGAAACCGUGAAAAGCAAGAAGAAAAGAAAACUGAGCGAGAGGAGAUAGCAUCGAGAGAGCAGACUGCGACGAUCUUCCUACUGAUAGUGAUCUAGUGCAAACACCGCCCAGGGAUGUAUGUCGUUGAGCGACAACACUGAAGCUGCUGCUGCUGCUGUUAGUGGUGUAAAUUUUGCUUUUUUUUUAUCUGAACUCGAAACUUGUUUUGGGAAUGCAACCCGGCAGGGAAGGGAUGCCGUGAACUGAUGAUGAUGACUGCUGUGGCAACCAGGCGUAGUUUAAUGCAUCUUCGUUUCAGGACUCUCUUAACUGUGCCAUGAUUUCUUUUCUAGCAGCUGUAGGUUGCUGGGACCUGGGAGCAUGAGACACUCCCCUCCAGGAAACUGCUUUCGAAUCAACAACUAGGGUGGGUUAGCUGCUGGAUUCUAAUUUGUUUCGUUGCCUAGGCACCAGUUAGGUCGAUCAUAGCACAACUAAGAAUAUGAUUUCACCUCCUAUUCUUGGCAAAUAAUAUUUAGUGUCACAAAUUCAGUUGCUAGCAACAUGACGAUAUUUUCAGUAUCUAAUAGCAUUGCUAAUAAACCUUGCACCUUUUUUUUGGCAAAUGAUUACCUCUACUGAGCAAUGCCACAGCCUCUCAGGAAUGUGGAGAAUUUGGUUUAGCGUUAGCUGAAUCUUUAGUCUCUACAACAAUGCACCAAUAUCAAUUUUUGGAUUCUGCAACAAAUUAACUGAAAUAAUUUUCAAGGCAUAUCAGUGUUGAUGUUGAUUAAUUAUUCACUGCCAGGCUAAGAUCCUUUGGCAUCUUCUGUCACGGCAGCUGAAGAUGAUGAUUUAUAAUUUUAUAUAGUUGACUUGUCUGUUGUGACAUAAACUUACUUACUCUUUGUUUCCUUGAUUAAAUUUUCUUUUUUGUGGGGAUCUUAUGCACGGAAAGACCAUGUGCAUAACUUUACAUGCAUGUUCUUCCACCUAGACUGCUCUACGGCUGUGUUAAGGUGCCGGUUGGUUGACAAUGGUCACACAUUCAUAAUAUGAAUGUCUAUACAAGGGAUUAGGAUCCUAGUCUGUGAUGCAGUUUUUCUUCUAGAUGUACUAGUUCAACUCCUUUUCAUCAGUAUUUGAUGUUAAACUAGAUUCUUGUGCAGAUGGUUACCUCUUCUGAACAAUGCUUGCAAUGCUCUGGAAUGCUGAAAAACUAGUUUACCUUUUUGCUGAUUCUUUUUUAAUUCUUACAAAUUUAGUUGAGUUGCAUAACUAUAUUAUAUCUUAUAAGUAGCCAUCCGAGUACUUCUGUUAACUAAUGAUUUAGAGACUCACGGUGACCGUGUGACCAUUGGAUAACGCCGUCGAGGUGUUAACAAACUGGUGUUACCAAUAGAACAUCUCACAUUUAAUUUGCAUUUCUUGAUGUUUUAUAAUAGCACAUACCAUCUCUCCUGAAAUUUUAGAGACGACCAAUGAAUCACAGGUCUUGAUCAGUUUGUCCUUCUAUACAUACAAUUUGAUCGACUCAGGAACUAUCGAGAGGACAAAAACGACAGACGGACAGAUAAUCAACACAUAUCCAAGUUGUUUCAAAUUAAUUGCAGCCUGCAGGAUGCAACCUAUCACCAGAAUCUAAUUUCAAUUAUAGGAUUUUGGAAGCGCUUACCAGCUAGUCAUAAAGUUCAACAAUCUCUGAAUUGCUGCGGUGUCUGAAGAGCAGGAUGAGAACAGGUAGCUCCAGAAGCUGUAGAAGUUCACCCUCUCGUUGCACUUAUUUGUAGCCUGCAUAGCUCAUCUUUUGCUUCUUGUGGCACACCACCUACUUAAUUAAUAGAAUGAGUCAUAUAUUUGAACUCUCUACCUUGUUUAUCCUGCCAACCCAAACCCAAGAUAAAAGAUAUUAGUCAAUAAUAAUAAUAAAUGCUGACCAAAAUACCACUGUGUUAUUACAACUGUUGUUUCGGUGCUACCACAGUACACGAUGCGCGCAGAUUCAGGUUGCCACAGCUAUCACAAAUGCAACACUUAAUAUACUACCACCGUGGCAACUGGCAAGUCACAAAAGUUAUCAGUCCUUGGAUUUAAGUGAAGAUAGUUCACCUUCUUUGUGUACAUGACACCAGCAGAUCAGAAGAUAAUACACCAAAUGCACAUAAAAGACAAUACAGUUAACACCAUCUUGUUUACAGCAAGGCAAUAUAGUAGCAUGCCUCUGACACAUCAUCUUGUUUGAAUGCCUUCCGGCAAGAAAUGGACAACUAGUCUAUUUCUCUCACAUUUUCAGAGUAACACCAUCAACAGUGGCAGGACCAAGCUGCUCCAGCCUAAACAAUUGACUGGUACUGCUGGUUAAGCAAUGCAAACUACUACGAAACGUAACUUACUGUCAGCGCAUCGUCAAUAACUUAUAACCACAUGGCAGAGAUUAGCAAUCAUAGCUGAAAUGGAUCACUACUUUUGAUAUGUCAGUUUACCAAAAGAAAAGAAGCACAGGUCCAGUUCUUGCAGGCAACGAACCAACAGAGUAUUGGCAAUCAUUCGGCAAUUCCCAUCCAGCCAGCACUAAUACCACUUCUACUUUCAGAUAACCAGAGUCAGACAGGCACCAAGUAAACAGAACCAUCUACAGUUGCUACUAGAUGUACAAUCUAAGAGGAGGUGAACUUGGUGACGGCCUUGGUGCCCUCGGAGACGGCGUGCUUGGCGAGCUCGCCGGGGAGGACGAGGCGUACGGAGGUCUGGAUCUCCCGGGAGGUGAUGGUGGGCUUCUUGUUGUAGCGGGCGAGCUUGGCGGCCUCGCCGGCGAGCUUCUCGAAGAUGUCGUUGAUGAAGGAGUUCAUGAUGGACAUGGCCUUGGAGGAGAUGCCGAUGUCGGGGUGCACCUGCUUCAGCACCUUGAAGAUGUAGAUCUUGUACGUCUCCACGCUCUUCUUGCUCUUCUUCUUCGACUUUUUGUCGCCGCCGCCCUCCUUGCCGGAAGUCUUGCUCUUGCCCGCCGCCGGCAGCCGCUUCUCGGCCCUGGGCUUCUUCCCGGCCGGCGCCUUCUCGGCCUUCUCCGUCGUGGCCUCCUCCUCCGCGGGCUUCUUCGCCGCCGGCUUCUUCUCCGCCGCCUUGGGGGCCAUCGCUGCUUCUGGAGCGGGGAAAGGGGAAGCCGCCGAAGCCGGUGCGGGUUGGUUUGUUGGGGAAAGGUUGGGAGAUUUGGAACGAGAUGCUGGGAAAGGAGGAGCGGAGCUGAAGGAUUUAUACAGGGAGAGAUGUGACUGCUGAUUGGUGGAGGCGUGGUUGUCCCGGAUCAGUGACGUGGGACGGUGUGAGGCGUUCGGUGCUGUUUGGAUGGACGAUCGUGAUCUCUGCCGGGCGGACCGUGGUUUUCUUGAAAAAAAUUGGACCCUGAUAAGGCCCGAACGUUCGGUAGAAGCCCUUUCCAUACCGAAGAAAUGAGGAAUGCUGCGUCCACGCAAAGCUAUCUAAGGUUUACGUUUGUCUAAAAAAAAAAAGCUAUCUAAGGUUUACGUAGUGCUGCUGAUUUGGCAAAUUGGAAUAGGGAAGGGAGAGGGGCCCACACCCAUGAAAAUUAGGGGGAGGAGAGAAUUAAAGGGAAAGUUACGUAGGAUCACGUAACAGGUUACGUUGAUGUAAUAUUAGUGCCGAACAAAUUGUUCCCCAAGGCAGAAACGACCCAACGAUUCCGCUCGGAGCGGGGGUGUAGUGGGAAGAGAUGGAUUCGUUCGGCCGAUGGCGUGGUUGCGUUCGGCCGAUGGCGUGGUUGCGCCGAAGGCCUGAGGAAAAUGACGCGGCACCAUAAUUGCUUCAAGAUGCGUGUGAUUUCAUCCGACGGCCAUCGUGGUGUUCGGCCCAAAAGCUUAAAAUCUGGUCAUUCGGGAGUUAUAGGUUCCGAAGUUUUUUUAGGCGAACAGUGCACUUCACUUAAUAAAAAAUGUCUACGUGGAUACAAAUAUUUUCUGGAGGUUUUUUUAGGGGAAGGCCACAAUGGUUAGUGUCGGGGCCGGAUUUCCGGGACAUAAAUUCCCAGCAAACGACCCUUAUGUCACCACCAGCCCCAGGAUUACUGUUGCUGAUGGACAUUUCCUUGAUACAGAAUUCCAAGCAAUUACAAGUAUUUGAGUACAAGACCUUAUAGGUCCAUUGAGUACAACAAUGAUUUCUAGUGGCAGGUGAUGGAAACGACUCGUGGAUCUCCAACGUUGGUGGAACUCCAUUCCCACGGGAACAGCUGACCUGGAUAACUCCUAUCUCGCGUGGCUGCUAUCUCCGAAUCCUAGGUUGCGGGGUGUCUUCGUAGUGCUCGUCUCUGAGUCAUGAUCUGGCCAAGACAAUAGCCAGGGACAAGCCAGUGAGUACGUUUGAAUGUACUCGCAAACAUCAAGAACAAAAGAUAUACCGGAUGCAUAUGCUCAUGAUGAAUUAAAUUAUACUACCUCAUUUCCGGUUUAUAGGGCUCAAUUCAAAAAUCUCACCAACCAAGGUGGAUGAUGAGUGAUGGAAUAAUUUUCGUGGUUUGUAAAAGCACUCAAUUAAUGCGUUCGUUUUCCUCAAAGAAUUGUGUUUACCAGUGCAUUAAUUGCAAUGCAUGCAUGCAUGAAGUACAUGCAUUGGUCAAGUUUCUCAUAAUCCUUGCAUGCAAUGAAUUAAUGCAUCUUGAAAUCUGAGCAUGUGAUGGGGAACAAUCAAAUUGAGACUUAUAAAACGAGAAACCGAAAUUUUUGAGAUAAGCCCUAUAAACCGGGAAGGAGGGAGUAUGCAUGUGCUGACCGAGAAUAAAAGCAUGGCAUGACAAAUAUUCAUACGGUGCAGAAGGGUAAAUAAGUCAUAUGAUUAGUAAAUCAAAGAAAUGAAACGAAACAUCGGGCGUUGGACCGCCCAAAAAAUUCCAAGAGAAAUGCCAAACGGGUGUCUAAGAGAGAAUCGGGCGAGACAGGACCGCCCGAGAACUCAAGCGACGCCACGAGAGGUCUUGAAAAUGCAUGCCACAGUCGGGUGUCUGAAGCGACGCCUCAUAAAGGGCUUAUAUGAAAAUAAUAAAACGAGUAUCCAGGUGGACUAGCCAUCCUAAGUGAUACUCAUAAAAGAAAAGAAAACGAGUAUCCCGGGUAGUCUAGCCAUCCCAAGAGAUACUCAAGGUUAAACAUAAAAUGAAAAGGUUAGUCCACAACAAUAUCCAUAUCAACAAUAAUAUUCAUAGUGGCACCAGUAGUGACAAUAAUUAUCCUGCAGAACGAACCAUGAUCAAUUUAAUUAUUUCCUUCGGAGACUGACACUAAGACCGACACUUGACCAACUGUCGGGGGGAUGAACCCCGGGCAGGCAACGGAACCCGUAUCCUUUUCAAAAAUGACGAGGCCAACAUCGCCCCUCAAGCCGGCACGUGCUUGGCCGGGUCGCCCAACCCGGCCAACCCCCUCGACCCGGCCAAACUUCCAACCCGGCCGGACUCCUCAACUCGGCCCCAACAACCAGCUCAAGACAGUCAAACCCGGCACCAAGACUUCUCCAACAAGCCAGCUCCACCCUUGGCGCGUUCCUCAACCCGGCCACGGGUCAGUUCCCGUCCCAGCCCAGCCGUACGAUGGGACGAGUCUCCACCUACCAAUGACCGAGGCAACAGUGCCCCGCCCAUGCCUCUGGUCAGCCGGGGCAUGGCAACAGUGCCCCACCUACCCACUGACCAGGGCCGGCGUGGCAACAGUGCAACCAUCGUCACCAAUGACGCCAGCAAGCGGCGACCUGACGGAGCGCCACUGUAGCCGACUGAUAACCCACAAGUAUAGGGGAUCACAACAGUUCUCGAGGGUAGAGUAUUCAACCCAAAUUUAUUGAUUCGACACAAGGGGAGCCAAAGAAUAUUCUCAAGUAUUAGCAGUUGAGUUGUCAAUUCAAGCACACCUGGAUAACUUAAUAUCUGCAGCAAAGUAUUUAGUAGCAAAGUAGUAUGGAAGUAACGGUAACGGUGGCAAAAGUAACCGUAGCAACUUUGUAGUAAUUGUAACAGUGGCAAUGGUAAAGUAACUAAGCAAAGAUCUAUAUGUGAAAAGCUCGUAGGCAUUGGAUCAGUGAUGGAUAAUUAUGUCGGAUGCGAUUAUUCAUGUAACAGUUAUAACAUAGGGUGACACAGAACUAGCUCCAGUUCAUCAAUGUAAUGUAGGCAUGUAUUCCGAUUAUAGUCAUACAUGCUUAUGGAAAAGAACUUGCAUGACAUCUUUUGUCCUACCCUCCCGUAGCAGCGGAGUCCUAUUGGAAACUAAGGAUAUUAAGGCCUCCUUUUAAUAGAGUACCGGACCAAAGCAUUAACACUUAGUGAAUACAUGAACUCCUCAAACUACGGUCAUCACCGGGAGUGGUCCCGAUUAUUGUCACUUCGGGGUUACCAGAUCAUAACACAUAAUAGGUGACUAUAGACUUGCAAGAUAGGAUCAAGAACUCACAUAUAUUCAUGAAAACAUAAUAGGUUCAGAUCUGAAAUCAUGGCACUCGGGCCCUAGUGACAAGCAUUAAGCAUAGCAAAGUCAUAGCAACAUCAAUCUCAGAACAUAAUGGAUACUAGGGAUCAAACCCUAACAAAACUAGCUCGAUUACAUGAUAAAUUUCAUCCAACCCAUCACCGUCCAGCAAGCCUACGAUGGAAUUACUCACGCACGGCGGUGAGCAUCAUGAAAUUGGUGAUGGAGGAAGGUUGAUGAUGAUGACGGUGACGGAUUCCCCUCUCCGGAGCCCCGAACGGACUCCAGAUCAGCCCUCCCGAGAGAGAUUAGGGCUUGGCGGCGGCUCCGUAUCAUAAAACGCGAUGAAUCCUUCUCUCUGAUUUUUUUCUCCCCGAACGUGAAUAUAUAGAGUUGGAGUUGAGGUCGGUGGAGCACCAGGGGGCCCACGAGGCAGGGGGCGCGCCUAGGGGGGCAGGCGCGCCCCCACCCUCGUGGACAGGGUGUGGGCCCCCUGGUCUUGAUUCUUUCGCCAGCAUUUUUUAUAAAAUUCCAAAAAUAUUCUCCGUGAAGUUUCAGGUCAUUCCGAGAACUUUUAUUUCUGCACGAAAAUAACACCAUGGCAAUUCUGCUGAAAACAGCGUUAGUCCGGGUUAGUUCCAUUCAAAUCAUGCAAGUUAGAGUCCAAAACAAGGGCAAAAGUGUUUGGAAAAGUAGAUACGAUGGAGACGUAUCAACUCCCCCAAGUUCAAACCUUUGCUUGUCCUCAAGCAAUUCAGUUGAUAAACUGAAAGUGAUAAAGAAAAACUUUUAAAAACUCUGUUUGCUCUCGUUGUUGCAAAUAUGUAAAGCCAGCAUUCAAGUUUUCAACAAAGAUUAUGAACUAACCAUAUUCACAAUAACAUUUAGGUCUCAUGUUUACUCAUAUCAAUAGCAUAAUCAACUAGCGAGCAAUAAUAAUAAAUCUCGGAUGACAACACUUUCUCAAAAUAAUCAUAAUAUGAUAUAACAAGAUGGUAUCUCGUUAGCCCUUUCUGAGACCGCAAAACAUAAAUGCAGAGCACCUCUGAAGAUCAAGGACUGACUAAACAUUGUAAUUCAUGGUAAAAGAGAUCCAGUCAUAGUCAUACUCAAUAUAAAUUAAUAGUAAUGGAUGCAAAUGACAGCGGUGCUCUCCAACUGGUGCUUUUUAAUAAGAGGAGGAUGACUCAACAUAAAAGUAAAUAGAUAGGCCCUUCGCAGAGGGAAGCAGGGAUUUGUAGAGGUGCUAGAGCUUGAUUUUUGAAAUAGAGAUCAAUAAUAUUUUGAGCGGCAUACUUUCAUUGUCAACAUAACAACCGAGAGAUCUCGAUAUCUUCCAUGCUACACACAUUAUAGGCGGUUCCCAAACAGAAUGAUAAAGUUUAUACUCCCCCUCCACCAACAAGCAUCAAUCCAUGGCUUGCCCGAAACAAUGGGUGCCUCCAACUAACAACAAUCCUGGGGGAGUUUUGUUUGCAAUUAUUUUUAUUUGGUUUGAGCAUGGGACUGGGCAUUCCGGUGACCAGCCAUUUUCUCGUGAGUGAGGAGCGGAGUCCACUCCUCUUGAGAAUAACCCGCCUAGCAUGGAAGAUACAGAUAGCCCUAGUUGAUACAUGAGCUAUUCGAGCAUACAAAACAGAAUUUCAUUUGAAGGUUUAGAGUUUGGCACAUACAAAUUUACUUGGAACGGCAGGUAGAUACCGCAUAUAGGAAGGUAUGGUGGACUCAUAUGGAAUAACUUUGGGGUUUAUGGAAGUGGAUGCACAAGCAGUAUUCACGCUUAGUACAAGUGAAGGCUAGAAAGAGACUGGGAAGCGACCAACUAGAGAGCGACAACAGUCAUGAACAUGCAUUAAAAUUAAUAAACAUCGAGUGCAAGCAUGAGUAGGAUAUAAUCCACCAUGAACAUAAAUAUCGUGGAGGCUAUGUUGAUUUUGUUUCAACUACAUGCAUGAACAUGUGCCAAGUCAAGCCACUCGAAUCAUUCAAAGGAGGAUACCAUCCUAUGAUACCACAUCACAACCAUUUUAAUAGCAUGUUGGCACGCAAGGUAAACCAUUAUAAACUCCUAGCAAAUUAAGCAUGGCAUAAGCAACUAUAAUCUCUAAUUGUCAUUGCAAAUAUGUUUCAUUCAUAAUAGGCUGAAUCAGGAACGAUGAACUAAUCAUAUUUACAAAAACAAGAGAGGUCGAGUUCAUACCAGCUUCUCUCAUCUCAAUCAGUCCAUCAUAUAUCGUCAUUAUUGCCUUUCACUUGCACGGUCGAGGUGUGGACAAUAAUAAUAGUGCACGUGCAUUGGACUAAGCUGAAUUUUGCGAGCAUUUAAUUCAAGGGAGAAGACAAGGUAAUAUGGGCUCUUGGUUAAAUCAACAAUAAUGCAUAUGAGAGCCACUUCAACAUUUCCAUUAUGGUCUUCUCCUCUCGACCCCCAAAGAAAAAGGAAUAAAAUAAAACUAUUUACACGGGAAAGCUCCCAACAAACAAAAAGAAGAACGAGAAAUCUUUUUGGGUUUUCUUUUUAAUUAUUACUACUACAGGCAUGGAAAGUAAACUAGCUAAAAGCUACAACUAUUCUUUUUGUUUUUCUUAAGGUUUAUCAAACACACAAGAAGAAAGCAUAAAAAGAAAAAUAAACCAGCAUGGAUAGUACAAUGAAAAAGUAUGAGCACCAACAACUAGAAUGGGUGUGUGAACAUGAAUGUAAUGUCGGUGAGAAAUACGUACUCCCCCAAGCUUAGGCUUUUGGCCUAAGUUUCUCUAUGCCCAUGGAUCAAAGUUGUAGCUGGGGUCGUACUGAGAUGCAACAACUAUUGCCUCAUGAGCUGCAGCUUGGAGGCGAGCUGCCUCCGUCCUCCUCUCGUACUCGGUCGCCUCCUUCCUGGUUAUAAUAUAUCUCCUUUUUGCCUGAAAGUCAAAGAAAGUAGGAGCGGGGAGAGCAAUAUGGACAGCUUGACGCCUGUCAAACAUUAGUCGGUACUGGAGGGGCUGUUCAUUCCUCUCAACAAACUGAUGGCGAACCAUAGCAUUAUAAUCUAAAUAAGCAGGAGGCAAUUCCAUAUCAUUUUCAUGUAUGGGUAUCUCAAGAUAAUUAGCCACACGGGUUGCAUAAAUUCCACCAAACAAAUCUUCACUAAUACUGUUAUUAUGCAACCUACGUGCAACAAUGCCCCCCAAGUUAUAUUGUUUAUCUCCUAACACAACACUCUUGAGAACACUAAGAUCUGGAACACACAUGUGACAUGCCUCAUCCUUACCGUUUAUGCAUCUACCUAUAAAGAGAGCAAAAUAAUGUAUAGCAGGAAAAUGAAUGCUCCCUAUGGUAGCUUGUGUUAUUUCUCUAGAUUCCCCCACAGUGAUACUAGCAAGGAAAUCUUUAAACUCAGAUUUGCAAGGUUCACUAGCACUACCCCAUUGCGGGAGUUUACAAGCAGUAUUAAAAUCUUCUAAGUCCAUGGUAUAAGAUUUAUUAUAAAGAUCAAAUAGGACCGUGUGAGAAUUGUGUGAAGAUGUAAAUUUAAACCUUCUCACAAAGGAAUCAGUAAGGUGGUAGUAUUGAGGGCACUUAUCUAACAUGAAGCCCUCGAGUUCAGCAUUACGCACAUACGCGUCAAAUUCAUCCUUAAUUCCUGCUUGGACCAUGAAAUUUUAUGACGGCCAUUCACAAGGCCGCACUUGAGCUUCUCUUGGUGGUUCAUGGUCCGGCUCACGUAUUGCAGGCCUGGGUCCCUGCUUCCUUGAAGAAUCACCUUGGUACAUUUUCCUAAAUAUAUUUCUUCCUCUGAAAUAUUUCUGAAAUUUUUAGUAACUCGAAAUAAAAGUGAACCAAACUCAACAAAAUUGAUAGCAACCACUCCCACAAGUGCCUAGAGACUAUAUCAUGCAUUAGAACUACUUGGGACCAAAUAAAUUUGAUAUGCAAGCUCAAGAACAGGGUCACCUAAGCAACAAAAAUUUGCAAUGAAUAAAGCACUAGAACAAAAACUAAUUGGACCAUUGGAGGAGUCACAUAUCAAAGAACAAUCCCCCAAAGCAGUUUUGUGAGUGGAGCUUUGAGCAAGGAGAUCGAAAAUCGCAGCAAAACUAGCUAGAACACGGGUUUGAGCUAGGUGGUGAUUUUUUCUGGAGAAAGACAAAGUGUGUGGGUGCUGGAAUAAGUGGAGGGGGGCCACCAGGGGUCCACGAGGCAGGGGGCGCGCCCAGGGGGUGGGCGCGCCCUGGACCCUCGUGGCCAGGUGUUGGCUCCCCUUGAUGUGUUCUCAGUGCCAGAUAUUCUCAAAUAUUCUAGAAAAAAUCAUAUUUCAAUUGCAGGGCAUUUGGAGAACUUUUAUUUUCGGGGUAUUUUUUAUUGCAGGGAUAAUUCAGAAAACUGACAGAAAAUACUAUUUUUGCUUUAUUUAAUCUAAAUAACAGAAAGUAAAAAGAGGGUACAGAGAGUUGUGUUUUCUAACUUCAUCCAUCUCAUGCUCAUCAAAAGGAAUCCACUAACAAGGUUGAUCAAGUCUUGUUAACAAACUCAUUCCGAAUCGCAUGAAACCAGAGAAUUUUUGAAUAGCACUAGGUUACCUCAACGGGGAUAUGCACGUCCCCAACAAUAAGAAUAUCAUAUUUCUUCUUGACAGUAGGAAGAGGAAAUUCAAAACCUCCAAUAGUGAUCGUUGGAAUCUUUCCAAUAGAAUUGAUACUGUGGACUUGAGGUUGUUUCCUCGGAAAGUGUACCGUAUGCUCAUUACCAUUAACAUGAAAAGUGACAUUGCCUUUGUUGCAAUCAAUAAUAUCCUCUACAGUAUUCAAAAAGGGUCUACCAAGGAUAAUAGACAUACUAUCGUCCUCGGGAAUAUCAAGAAUAACAAAGUCCGUUAGAAUAGUAACGUUUGCAACCACAACAGGCACAUCCUCACAAAUACCGACAGGUAUAGCAGUUGAUUUAUCGUCCAUUUGCAAAGAUAUUUCAGUAGGUGUCAACUUAUUCAAAUCAAGUCUACGAUAUAAAGAGAGAGGCAUAACACUAACACCGGCUCCAAGAUCACAUAAAGCAGUUUUAACAUAGUUUCUUUUAAUGGAGCAUGGUAUAGUUGGUACUCCUGGGUCUCCAAGUUUCUUUGGUAUUCCACCCUUAAAAGUGUAAUUAGCAAGCAUGGUGGAAAUUUCAGCUUCCGGUAUCUUUCUUUUAUUUGUAACAAUAUCUUUCAUGUAUUUAGCAUAAGGAUUCAUUUUAAGCAUAUCAGUCAAAUGCAUAUGCAAAAAGAUAGGUCUAAUCAUUUCAGCAAAGUGCUCAAAAUCCUCAUCAUCCUUCUUCUUGGAUGGUUUAGGAGGAAAGGGCAUGGGUUUCUGAACCCAUGGUUCUCUUUCUUUACCGUGCUUCCUAGCAACGAAGUCUCUCUUAUCAUAACGUUGAUUCUUUGAUUGUGGGUUAUCAAGAUCAAUAGCAGGUUCAAUUUCUACAUCAUUGUUAUCGCUAGGUUGAGCAUCAACAUGAACAUUAUCAUUAACAUUAUCACUAGGUUCAUGUUCAUCACCAGAUUGUGUUUCAGCAUCAGAAAUAGAAAUAUCAUUGGGAUUCUCAGGUGUGUCAACAACAGGUUCACUAGAAGCAUGCAAAGUCCUAUCAUUUUUCUUUUUCUUCUUCUUAGAAGGACUAGGUGCAUCAACAUUAGUUCUCUGAGAAUCUUGCUCAAUUCUCUUAGGGUGACCCUCAGGAUACAAAGGUUCCUGAGUCAUUUUACCCCCUCUAGUCAUAACUCUAACAACAUUAGCAUUUUUAUUAUUAUUUAAUUCAUUGAGCAAAUCAUUUUGAGCUUUAAGCACUUGUUCUACUUGAGUGGUAACCAUAGAAGCAUGUUUACUAAUAAGUUUAAGUUCACCUUUUACUCUAGACAUAUAAUCACUCAAGUGUUCAAUCAUAUAAGCAUUACGUUUCAAUUGUCUACCAACAUAAGCAUUGAAGUUUUCUUGUUUAACAAUAAAAUCAUCAAACUCAUCCAAGCAUUGGCUAGCAAACUUAGUAGAUGGGAUUUCACCCUUAUCAUAUCUAUAGAGAGAAUUUACCUUUACUACCUGUGUCGGGUUAUCAAGACCGUGUAUUUCUUCAAUAGGUGGUAAAUUAAGACCAUGUAUUUCUUCAAUAGGAGGUAAAUUCUUAACAUCUUCAGCUUUAAUGCCUUUUUCUUUCAUAGAUUUCUUUGCCUCUUGCAUAUCUUCAGGACUGAGAAAUAGAUGCCCCUUUUCUUCGUAGUUGGCUUAGGAGUUGGUUCAGGAAGUGUCCAAUUAUUUUCAUUAGUCAAAAUAUUAUUCAAUAGCAAUUCAGCUUGAUCAACUGUUCUUUCCCUGAAAACACAACCAGCACAACUAUCCAGGUGGUCUCUGGAAGCAUCUAGUAGUCCAUUAUAAAAGAUAUCAAGUAUUUCAUUUUUCUUGAGAGGAUGAUCAGGAAAAGCAUUAAGUAAUUGGAGAAGCCUCACCCAAGCAUGUGGGAGACUCUCUUCUUCAAUUUGCACAAAAUUAUAUAUUUCCCUUAAAGCAGCUUGUUUCUUAUGAGCGGGGAAAUAUUUAGCAGAGAAGUAAUAAAUCAUAUCCUGGGGACUACGCACACAACCAGGAUCAAGAGAAUUAAACCAUGUCUUAGCAUCACCCUUUAAUGAGAAUGGAAAUAAUUUAAGGAUAUAGUAGUAGCGAGUUUUCUCAUCAUUAGUGAAUAGGGUGGCUAUAUCAUUUAAUUUAGUAAGAUGUGCAACAACAAUUUCAGAUUCAUAGCCAUAAAAAGGAUCAGAUUCAACCAAAGUGAUUAUCUCAGGAUCAACAGAGAAAUCAUAAUCCUUAUCAGUAACACAGAUAGGUGAAGUAGCAAAAGCAAGGUCAUAUUUCAUUCUAGCAUUCAAAGAUUUUUCUUUCAGCUUAGCUAAUAAUUUCUUAAGAUCAUUCCUAUCGUUGCAAGCAAGAAAGUCUCUAACAGUUUCUUCAUCCAUAACAUAACCCUCAGGCACAAUAGGCAAUUCAUAUCUAGGGGGAGAAUCUUCAUCAUCACUUUCAUCAAUAUUAUCAGUUUCAAUAAUUUCAUUCUCUCUAGCCCUAGCAAGUUGUUCAUCACGAAAUUCACCUAGUGGCACACUAUUAUCAAGCAUAGAAGUAGUUUCAUCAUAAGUAUCAUGCAUAGCAGAAGUGGCAUCAUCAAUAACAUGCGACAUAUCAGAAUUAAUAGCAGAAGAAGGUUUAGGUGUCGCAAGUUUACUCAAAACAGAAGGAGAAUCAAGUGCAGAGCUAGAUGGCAGUUCCUUACCACCCCUCGUAGUUGAGGGAUAAAUUUUGGUUUUCUCGUCUUCCAAGUUCCUCAUAGUGACCAGCAGAUAUAAAUCCCAAGUGACUCAAAGAAUAGAGCUAUGCUCCCCGGCAACGGCGCCAGAAAAUAGUCUUGAUAACCCACAAGUAUAGGGGAUCGCAACAGUUUUCGAGGGUAGAGUAUUCAACCCAAAUUUAUUGAUUCGACACAAGGGGAGCCAAAGAAUAUUCUCAAGUAUUAGCAGUUGAGUUGUCAAUUCAACCACACCUGGAUAACUUAAUAUCUGCAGCAAAGUAUUUAGUGGCAAAGUAGUAUGGAAGUAACGAUAACGGUGGCAAAAGUAACAGUAGCAACUUUGUAGUAAUUGUAACAGUGGAUAUGGUAAAGUAACUAAGCAAAGAUCAAUAUGUGAAAAGCUCGUAGGCAUUGGAUCAGUGAUGGAUAAUUAUGUCGGAUGCGAUUAUUCAUGCAACAGUUAUAACAUAGGGUGACACAGAACUAGCUCCAGUUCAUCAAUGUAAUGUAGGCAUGUAUUCCGAAUAUAGUCAUACGUGCUUAUGGAAAAGAACUUGCAUGCCAUCUUUUGUCCUACCCUCCCGUGGCAGUGGGGUCCUAUUGGAAACUAAGGGAUAUUAAGGCCUCCUUUUAAUAGAGUAUCAGACCAAAGCAUUCACACUUAGUGAAUACAUGAACUCCUCAAACUACGGUCAUCACCGGGAGUGGUCCCGAUUAUUGUCACUUCGGGGUUACCGGAUCAUAACACAUAAUAGGUGACUAUAGACUUGCAAGAUAGGAUCAAGAACUCACAUAUAUUCAUGAAAACAUAAUAGUUUCAGAUCUGAAAUCAUGGCACUCGGGCCCUAGUGACAAGCAUUAAGCAUAGCAAAGUCAUAGCAACAUCAAUCUCAGAACAUAAUGGAUACUAGGGAUCAAACCCUAGCAAAACUAACUCGAUUACAUGAUAAAUCUCAUCCAACCCAUCACCGUCCAGCCAGCCUAUGAUGGAAUUACUCACGCACGGCGGUGAGCAUCAUGAAAUUGGUGAUGGAGGAAGGUUGAUGAUGACGACAGCGACGGAUUCCCCUCUCCCGAGCCCCGAACGGACUCCAGAUCAGCCCUCCCGAGAGAGAUUAGGGCUUGGCGGCGGCUCCGUAUCGUAAAACGCAAUGAAUCCUUCUCUCUGAUUUUUUUCUCCCCGAAAGUGAAUAUAUGGAGUUGGAGUUGAGGUCGAUGGAGCGUCAGGGGGCCCACGAGGUAGGGGGCGCGCCCCCACCCUUGUGGACAGGGUGUGGGCCCCAUGACGUGGAUUUUUCUUCCAGUAUUUUUAAUAUUUUCCAAAAAGAUGUUCCGUGGAGUUUCAGGUCAUUCCGAGAACUUUUGUUUCUACACAUAAAUAACACCAUGGAAAGUCUGCUGAAAACAGCGUCAGUCCGGGUUAGUUCCAUUCAAAUCAUGCAAGUUAGAGUCCAAAACAAGGGCAAAAGUGUUUGGAAAAGUAGAUACGAUGGAGACGUAUCACCGACUCAACCCGGCCACUCCCUGACGAUCGACAAGACGGCCAACAGUGCCCCCAUACCCGGCGGGCCCAGCGCCCGGAGAACCCGGCGAGCCCUGACCCCAGGCAGGUCCCAGCGCCGGCUUCUCGGACAAUGACAAUCCGGCCCCACGGCCUUGUAACAUUACCCUUGUACCCCUGGGGGGUUGGCCUAUCACUACUAGGGAAAACCUUAUACAUAGAAUCUUAGCAGCAGCGCGGCACAAAAAGAGGCGCUACUGCUAAUUAGCAGUAGCGAGGUUAAGAAAAGCACGCUACUGAUGUAUAGCGCGUGAUGUCUAAACCGCGCUGCUACAAAAAUCUACCGACACUACCCAACAACCUAAGUUUACCAGCAGCGCUGUGUGACGAUGCGCGCUACUGCUAAUGCGAUAGUAGUAGCGUGCUUUUGAGUCACGUCGCUGCUGCUAAUUUUGAAAUUGUCCACACGGUUGGCCCGUUUAGCAGUAGCGCGUGUGAUGAAAGGGCGCUGUUGCUAAGCUCUUAGCAGUAGCGCGUUUUUCCUCCCGCGCUACUGCUAAGACGCAGCACCCCACCACCUUUUCCCACCCGUACGUCCUCCCCUCCCCCAUCUCCUCUCCUCCCUUUCCCCUACCUCCCACAUCCUCCCUCUCUCACUCUUCUUCUUCCUCAAUACUUCUUCCUCAAUACUUCUCCCCCCAUUACUCUCCCUCUUCUACCUACCUUUCUCUCUCUUCAUUACUCCUAGCUAACUAACACCACCUCCAUCAAUGCAUCUCCUUUCUCUUUUUCCUUCCCCCUCCACUAGUUGAAGUUGUCUCCUCCCAAAUUAGCUAGCUAGGUAGAUGUAGCAUUUAGUCAAGUGACCUAUUUGCCCCCUAACUAGAUCUAUCUUUGUCAAGAAGAGCUUUGUGCACUUGAUCUCCCUACAUCAUCAUCUCCACCGUGUGCUCGAUCUCGAGAUAGAGGUGAUUAAAAUUUCAUGCUUUUGCAAAAUGGAAAUAUGUGUAUGUGUGUGUGAUAUGAUAAUUGGGCAAUAUGAUGGAAAUUGUGUGUGUGGCAUGAGUUGACGCCAAAUUGUGCUUUUGAGUUGCCUAUGUUUUGCCGAAAUGUCGAUUUAUUUCCGUUUCGGCGAAUUCCGGGCAAACUCUAGAUCUAUAUAUGUCCUAUUUUUAGGGAAGGUCAUGCCGAAUUUUUGUAUGACUUUGAUGCAUGCACGCAUUUUUAUAAUCAAUUUGUUUAUUAUUACCGUGCAGACGUUCAUGAUGGCAGUGGAACGAUGGUGGACAGGUGGUUGCGGUCGGUGGUGUAGGACAUGAAAGAAAAUAACCGGACAGAGGUUUUAUGUCCGUGUCAGAAAUGCAAAGGAAUAGUUUGGCUCGACCCCUAUGACGAUGGUCGUGUCGAAGCACACCUGCUCAUGACUGGUUUCAUGGAUGGCUAUACUCGAUGGAUAAUUGAAGAUGAGGAUGACGAUGUUGAGGACACCGACGGGGCAGGCAAUGACGACACGGGGCAAGAAGAAGAGAUGAUCGAUAAUGGCGGCGGGGAAGAGGCCGGACAUGGCGGCGGAGAAGGGGCCGGACAUGGUGGCGGAGAGAACGACAUGGACUCCACGCAGCAGAGUUCGUCGGUACUAAGUUCAAUCGUGCGGGACCCUCAUGUUCAAGCACUGCUUCACAAGGAGACGAGUACUGAGAGAGCUGCUUCUAGAGAGGAGGCUAAGCUGGAGCAACUGGUGGUAGACUCAAACACUCCAUUGUAUGAUGGUUGCAAUCCUGAGGUGACCCGCUUGAGUUUCACGCUCCAACUCCUGAAGACGAAGGCUAAAAACAAAUGGACCGACACUAGCCUCGAUGAGCAUCUCAAGUACCUAAAGGAUGUUCUUCCCGCGGGGAAUCUAUGUCCUACUAGUGUUGAUGAGGCCAAGAAGAUCGUGUGCCCUCUUGAUCUGCCGCACGUUAGAUACCAUGCAUGCAUCAACGAUUGCAUAAUUUAUCGGAAGGAGCACGCGGAAAAAACCAGCUGUCCGGUGUGCAAUGCUUCUCGAUACAAGAAGGCCGGGAAGAAAUGUCCCCAGAAAGUUGUAUGGUACUUACCGAUCACUCCCCGUCUCCAGCAGUAUUUCAUAGAUCCCAAGGAAGCAAAGCUAAUGCGCUGGCACGCGGAGAGGAAGAAGCCCGACGAUGGAGAUGAUCCGAAGCUGAGACACGUCAAGGAUGGAAGCCAGUGGAGAGCGUUGAACAACUUCUAUCGGUAUUUCGAAUGUGAUGCAAGGAACAUCGUGCUCGGCGCGUGUACCGAUGGCAUGAAUCCGUUUGGCAACCAGAACACCAACCAUAGCACAUGGCCCGUGUUUGUAUGGAUGUACAACCUCCCCCUGGUUGUGCAUGAAGUCGAAGUACAUUCACAUGAGCAUGCUUAUUCAAGGGCCAAAACAACCAGGAAAUAAUAUUAAUUUGUAUCUUGGGCUACUUCAAGAGGAGUUAGACACAUUAUGGAAAACAACGGCCAAGACAUGGGACACCAGCAAAGGCGAGUAUUUCUACAUGAGAGCCGCGCUGAUCACGACGGUGCACGACUAUCUCGGUUAUGGAUAUGUCGUAGGCCAGGUGUGCCAUGGAUAUUGCGAAUGCACGCGGUGCAUGGAUGAUACGACGUCUCAGCAGCUAACGUCAAGGAAAGAUGGCGGGUCUGGGAAAAUCGUGUACAUGGGGCAUCGAAGAUGGCUCGAACAGGACGACCCAUGGAGAAACCAUGGAGAUCUAUUCAAUGGUCACGCCGAGCAUCGAGGACCUCCACGUAAGCGGAGCGGUGCCGAAAUCGAUGAGCUGUUGAAAAACUGGAAGGAGUGCCCCGCGCCGGGGAAGACGAUGAAAAAGGCGCCAGAGCCGCUGCUGAAGGUAUGGAAGACGAAGUCUGUGUUCUGGGACUUGAGUACUGGCACAAACUCGAUACACCUCAUUACCUUGAUCAAAUGCAUAUCUGUAAGAAUGUCCUUGAGAGAUUGCUCGCGACACUGAUGAUCAUGCCGGAUAAGACCAAGGAUGGGCCGAAGGCAAGAAAAGACUUGCAAGAUUUGAAAAUCAGGGAAGAUCUGCACAUGCCGCCCCGUAAAAAGUUAGACGAGACAGAGACGGAGACAAAGGCGCGGGAGAAGAAGGGCAAGAAAAUAAAGAAAUAGGAUUAUUGCCCCCCUUCUUGCUUCACCUUAAGUCAGGCUGAGAUCGAUCAAUUCUUUAAGUGCCUUACUGGAGUCAAAGUUAGUUCCGGUUACUGUGGCAAGAUAAGUAGAUAUCUAGACACGGACAAGAAAAGGUUCAGCGGGAUGAAGUCCCAUGACUGUCAUGUGAUGAUGACGCAGAUACUACCUAUUGCCCUUAGAGGGAUAAUGGACAAGCACGUCCGUGACACGCUUAUUGGUCUCUGCAACUUUUUCGACGUCAUCUCUCGAAAGUCGAUCAGUCUGAAGCAGCUCCGAAGGCUACAGGAAGAGAUCAUUGUGAUACUGAAUGAGCUUGAGAUGUACUUCCCGCCCGCGUUCUUUGAUGUGAUGGUGCAUCUGUGUGUCCAUAUUGUGGACGACAUAAUAGACCUGGGGCCGUCAUUUCUGCACAACAUGAUGCCGUUUGAGAGGAUGAAUGGGAUCAUCAAAGGAUUCGUUCGUAACAUGUCCCGUCCGGAUGGAAGCAUCGUCCAGGGCUAUCUGACACAAGAGUGCAUCUCUUUCUGCAAGAAUUUUCUAUAUGGCGCAGACCAGCUGCCUGGUGUUAGUGUUGGUUUGCCCAUUAACAAGCACGAUGGGAGGCUCGAAGGAGAAGGUCACUCCAACGGUCGCAGGGAACUGCACGUGGCAUACUCAGAUCGACGCAGCGACUUUGACAGAACAAACUUGGUAGUGCUACAACACCUAGACGAGGUAGAUCCUUUCGUGGCACUGCACAAAGAAAUUAUCGCAAAGAAGUAUCGUGACCGGGGGGUAUGCAGGACGGACGCCGAAGUUACUAGAGAGCACAACUCCACUUUCCUGCAUUGGUUCAAAGAGCAUAUUAUUGCUAAUCCCCCGGAGGAGGGCUCUAAGGACGGAUUACUCAUAUACGCCUUAGCACAUGGCCCCUCGCCCAACCUCGUUACCUAUCAGGCAUACGAUAUCAAUGGAUACACGUUCUACACGGAGGCCACAGAUAUGGACAGUGAUGAUCAGAACUCAGGGGUGACGAUGGAAUGCAUGACCGGCAGCGACAACAGCGCAACUGAAAGAUUUUACGGAAGGGUCGAGGAGAUCUGGGAGCUUGACUACUAUGGACUGCACAACACGACGAUGUUCCGUGUCAGAUGGGCUAAGAAUGUCGAAAGAGAAAACCGAAAUUUCACUACCAUGACUAUACCCGACGCCAAGAGCCCUACCGUGAACGCUAUCGCAAAAAACGAGCCAUGGGUACACGCUAAGCACGUGACACAAUGCUUCUUCAUAACCGACCCGCGCAAUCCCAGCCGUGUUAUCAUGAGGAGAGGCAAAAGGAACAUCAUUUGAAUGGAUGGAGGCGCCAACGAGGAAGACUACGAUCAGUACGGCAACCCAAUGAGGGAAGAUGACGAUGAUGAUGAAGUAUACGUCAAAAUAAGAAUCAAUACUACAUUACCUAAGAAAAAUCGUACUCCAUGGAAAAGGCAAAGUCACAAUGAGGGGCUCAAUUAUUCUUCAACGAACAAGAAGGGAAAGAAGCUGACUCAAAAACGAAAACGUCAAUGAUGAGGAACCGUAUGUAUGUUAUCGGUCAAAUGAUGUAAUAUAUAUGUUCCUAUUUUGUAUACACACUUAGCCAUUAUUAUGCAUGGGUCCAAUAAUGUAAUAUAUAUACAUAUGUUCCUAGUUUGUAUACAUAUUUAACCGUCAAAUGAUGCAAUAUAUAUCGCCUUCCAUUCGUUCACUGCUCUCGGAAAAAAAGAAAAGUAAAGUGAGAGAAAAUAAAGGAAAAGAAAAUAGAAGGAAACAAACAGGAAAACUGUUAUAUAGGUGUUAUAGCAGCAGCACUUUUGUGAGAGAAGAGCUACAACUAGUCAAGAUAGCAGUAGCGGUUUCUACACGAAACCGCUAUAGCUACCUCGGGUAGCUAUAGCGCGUUUUUCCUAAACGCGCUACUGCUAUGCCCACUUAACCCCCAAAAUCGGUCCCCACUCCUCUAUUCAUCCCACCUCUUUUCCCCCAAAUCCCCCGUCGCACCGCGCGCCGGAGCCCUGCCCUCGUCGGGCCUCUGCGCUCGCCCCCGACCCCGACCGACCCCGGCGCCGGCUCCGUCCCCNNNNNNNNNNNNNNNNNNNNNNNNNNNNNNNNNNNNNNNNNNNNNNNNNNNNNNNNNNNNNNNNNNNNNNNNNNNNNNNNNNNNNNNNNNNNNNNNNNNNNNNNNNNNNNNNNNNNNNNNNNNNNNNNNNNNNNNNNNNNNNNNNNNNNNNNNNNNNNNNNNNNNNNNNNNNNNNNNNNNNNNNNNNNNNNNNNNNNNNNNNNNNNNNNNNNNNNNNNNNNNNNNNNNNNNNNNNNNNNNNNNNNNNNNNNNNNNNNNNNNNNNNNNNNNNNNNNNNNNNNNNNNNNNNNNNNNNNNNNNNNNNNNNNNNNNNNNNNNNNNNNNNNNNNNNNNNNNNNNNNNNNNNNNNNNNNNNNNNNNNNNNNNNNNNNNNNNNNNNNCCCCGACCCCGACCGGCCCCAGCGCUCGCCCACGGCCCCGGCCCCGACCCCGGCUCCGGCCCCGGCGCUCGACCCCGACACCGACCCCUCCCAACCUCGGCCGUCGUCGGGACUGCACCCUCCAUAAGCCCCCCACCGCUCCUCCUCUCUCUGGUAGCUAGGGUUUUUGGUUAAUUUACUUAGGUUUUAGUUAGGGAAGAUGGUUAAUUAGGUUAUAUAUUUAGUUAUGAAUUUAGCUAGGUUUUUUCUUCAAGUUCUAUAUUUUUCUUCCUUCUAUAUGCAAAUUUGAAGUGGACAUGUGAUAUGUGGACAUGUGAUGUUUUGGACAUGUCAUAUUUGGAAUUUGGACAUGUCAUUUGGACAUGAUGAUUAUGUGCAGGGUAAAUGAUCCAAGUGGCCUAUGUUACGCCGGAAUGUUGAUUCAUUUCUGUUCCGGUGAAUUUCAGGCGCUCGAUAUGUCCAUUUUUUUAGCAAAGGUCAUGCCAAAAUUUUCCGUGAAUUUUGGCAUGAUUUGUGCUAGACAGUAGGCAUAUCGAGUGCCGCGAGUUGCUGGGAAACGACAUUCCAGCAAACAUAGAUUUCUUUUUUAUGUCAUUUCUCAUUUUUUCAUAGUUUUAGAAUUAAACGACGAGACUUAAUCAUAGGAAACAUGUCGAACAACAAAGAAAUCGGGCCUACUGACCAAGAUGCAGACGAGAUGGAUUAUGAGGGUGAACAAGAGUACCUUGACUAUUUGACUGCUAAGAAAUUCCAAAGUCAAUGUUUGUAGGUCGGCCUAGAUGAUGGUACUGACGCCGACAUCGACACCGACGGCGCCGGCACCGAUGGCGGCGCCGAGACGGGCGGGGAAGGUAUCGGCGGGGAAGAUACCGGCGGGGAAGGUACUGGUGCCGAUGCCGCUAUCGAAAGGAAGAAGCAGAAGAAGCAGAGGAUACAAAAACCUAACAACCUAGGGAUUGGACGACUGGUGAUCACAAAGAUGGCACCUGGCAAGUUUGAGCCAUUAGAGGCGGAAGAACCUCGCAAGUGCUAUGGGAACCAAGUAGGAUGCAUCCUACGGGAAUGCGCGAGCAUCAACGACGAUGACUUAAGGAGUAAAGAACAUUUGAUGCAGUUGCUCCCGACGAAGUUGCCCAAGAGACUCAAGUUCCCCGACCGGGAUGAUAACAUAGAACAACCGUGGGAUGAUCCGAAGAUGAAAAAGAUUAACAAUCACGCCAUGGGCAUGUUCAGCAAUGAUUUGGCCUCCUGGAAAGGGGGGGUGAAACGAGCUAUUGAGGAUGAGGAACCCCUGUCCAAGAUUCUGGAGGAAAAUCCGACACUUACGGAAGAGGAGUUCGAAAAGUUCAAGGACACUUGCGCUACCGAGGCAGCCAAGGCUAAGGCUGCAAAAUUCAAGAGCCUUCAGCAAAGGAACACGGGGAAGCAUCGCCCCGGAAGUCGUGGCUACCUCGGUAAAAGGUCCAUAUGGGAUAAGGAGGACGCGGAACGUGAAGCCACGGGUAUCCCAGACCCCAUCGCGAAGUUCACCAACCCCUUGGAGCGUGACUUCAUCAGGGCCCGCUACAAGUGGGACAAGGAAAAGAAGGUUUUUUACACGGACCAGAUCACGAGGAAAUUGAUUAGACUACUGGUAAUUAUUCUUUUACCACCUUACAUUUAGCUCCAUAUCUAGUCGACUACACAUUCCUAAACAGUUCACACUCCUUCUGCAGGAGAAGCAACACCAGCUUGCAGCCGAAAGCCCUACUUCUCCGAUGAGGCCCAAGUGGGACACCCCUCUCAACCGGGCCUUGAACGAACUUAAGGGACUGCCUUUGGGCCAGCGGCCGCAAUAUAGUCGUGUGCACGGCGCUGGAGACGGCGCCACGUGGAAGGUGUUUUAGAACGAGGGCCCGGAGGCCAAGAAGCAGAAAAAGAAGUUUAGUCAGGCGGACAUCAACGAGAAGGUGAAGCUUGCGGUCGAGAAAAAAGCAGCUGAGGAUGCGAAAAAAAUAGCCGAGGAGAAAAAUGAGUUGCUACAACAGGCAGUCAAUGCAGCUGUAACUGCCUACAGAAAUGAUUUCGCUACUAACUUGGUUCCAGCUAUCAUCAACUGGACAAAGGAAAAUCCAGACAAGACGGUACAUGAUUUCCCGUUGCCCAGUUUCGUCAGGAGCAACUCCAUGAACAACAACACCACCGCACCAUCACUUGCUCACGCAACUGGGCCUCCUCUCGCAGUUGCUCCCGCUCAUAGCAGCCAUCCUCAGUCUCUGGCGCGCUAGGUGGGCCUUCAUCUUUGGCUGAGCUCGACGCCCUCACGGUAAUUACAUGUCGCACCAAAAUAUAUAGAAUAUUCCAUUUUCGUUGCCUUUCGGAUGUUUUAUGCCACAGACAUAUGUUUUUGCAGGCCGAAGAAACCCCGUGCACCAUACUCUACUUGAUCAAAGGCCAAAAGGUGGACGUGGGAAAGGGGAUGAUAAUUGUAAGUGCAUCUAGUGCCACCCCUAGUUGGUUUUGGAGUAUUGACGACAAACCUGGUUGAGGGACUAAUGUGUUUGUGAGAAUUGCAGGAUAACACAGGUAGUAGUCCCUCAUUGAUUCGGUUUACCUACCGGAGUUGACCCCUAAAAAUGUAUGAAGACAUUGAAGACAAUGGUGGUAUGUGAAGAUAUUCACAUUGAAGACUAUGACCUGAGAAGACAUUGUGUGAAGAGUAUGGAGCGCGAAGACUUAGUUGUUUCGUUGUUUCCUUUUCUUCUUUGUUGAGUCGUAGGAACCACCGUACUGUUAAGUGGGGUCCCAGUGAACAAAGUCAGAGUGACUGAAGUGAUGCUCAACCAAAAUCCUAUGUCUUCGAGCGAAGACAAUGAGAGCAAAUCAUAUCCAGAGCUGGAUGAGUCAGCUUACUUGCAGCCCAAGUCAAGCUGUCGCGUGUGUUUGAAAUAUGACCGUUGGAACACGUGUCAGUUCCUGAGUGACCCAGGGUCAUUUCGGACAAAUUAGGUCGGGUUGCCUAGUGGCUAUAAAUAGCCCACCCCCUACACCAUAAAUUGGUGGCUGCUCAGAGUUAGUGCACGGCUUCUGUCGUUUGAGAGCAACCCACCUCCGAAGCUUUUGAGAGAGAGAAAUCCUUGCGAGGACAAAGCCCAAACACCCAGAGCCAAAGAGUGUUAGGCAUCACUGAAGUCUUUCUGUCCGCGUGACCUGAAGACUUGUUACACUUGAGGACUGUGAAUCCUCCAGCCAGUUAGGCGUCGCGUUCUGAGCAUCCAAGAGUCAUUGUGGAUCGCCGGUGAACGAAGUCUGUGAAGGUUUGGAAGUCUACCUUGAAGACUUACCAGAGUGAUUGGGCGAGGACUGGGUGUCCUUAGCUCAAGGGGAAUAAGGUGAAGACGUGGUCUUCUGAGUUGAAUCUCAGCCUCCCUAACCAGACGUACAGUUGUCACAGCAACUGGAACUGGUCCAACAAAUCCUGUGUCCUCACCAAGUGACUGGUUCUAUCCUCUCCCUCUCUUUACCUACAGUUUGUCUUCGUGAAGUCAUUGCCUGCUUGCACUACUUGUUUGACUUCACUGUGUGACUACUAUCAUUGUUUGGCUUCAUACCAUCUUCCAUCCUGAUCUGUUCUACCUAGCUGCUAUUAGUCUUCGUGCUUUCACUUCAUUGCAUACUUGACUAUGGCUUGCUUAGUGUAGUCCACCUUCCACUGCAUAUCAAUAGGUUCAUUUCUAUUUGGACGUUCAUAAGACUCGCCUAUUCACCCCCCUCUAGUCGAUAACUAGCACUUUCAAUUGGUAUCAGAGCAAGGUACUCCCUUGUUCUGUGUGAUUUGGUUUAACCACCUGAAGUUUUAGCUAUGUCGACUGCAGGGAUAAUCAAAGUCUCCGCUGCUUGCCCCGUCUUCGAUGGAACUGAAUAUCCCUACUGGAAGAAUAAGAUGCGCAUGCAUCUUGAAGCCAUUGAUGUCGACCUCUGGUAUGUCGUCAAGAAUGGCGUUCCCAAGACUGGUGAAGGUGUCACCCCUGCUGAUGUCAAGAAGUUCAUUCAACUGGAUUCUACUGCCAAGAAUAUCAUCUGUGGUCAUCUGACCAAAGGAUAGUAUGGCCGUGUGAGUGCUCUGGAAAUGUCGAAGCUAGUCUGGGACUGGCUCUCCAAGGUCAACGAAGGCGUCUCAACCCAGAGAGAUCAAAGGAUCAGUGUUCUUCGCAACCUCUUCAACCGCUUCAAGAGAAAUGACAAUGAGAAUGUCCAGCUCACGUUUGAUCGCCUCACUGACAUCACAAAUGAGCUACGUGCUCUCGGCGCCACUGAGAUCACCAAGCAUGAAAUCUGCAAGACACUACGGAGAUCACUUGACAGCUCGUUUGACACCCUUGCCCUGAUGAUACAAGAACGCCCUGACUUCAAGACACUCGAUCCGUCUGAUAUACUUGAGAGGCUCAACACACAUGAGUUCCAGCUAUCUGAGAAAAGAGAUAUCUAUGGUCCCAACUAUGGCCGAACUCGUGCUUUGAAGGCAAAAGCUGUUUCCUCAUCUGAAGAAGAAUCUGACUGCAGUUCUGAUGAUCCUGAAGAUAUUGGAAAGGAACUUGCUAUGCUUGUGAAGAAGUUCCUGAAGUUCACUAAGGAGAAGGGCUUCAGAAAGUCUUCACGAUCGAGCUCAAGAAAUGAUGAAGCUUCCACUCAUGACUACAAGAAGAGAACAUGUCACAAGUGCAAGAAACCUGGACACUACAUCUCUGAGUGUCCACAGUGGGACAAUGAGAACAACAAGAAUAAGAAGAGCAAGGAAUAUGAUUCUGAUGACAAGAAGAAGAAGAAAUCCUCAAAGUCCUCUUCCAAGUCCUCAUCCAAGUCUUCAUCUCACAAGAAGAGCUCAUCUGGCAAGGCUCGUGCCUUUGUGGGCAAGGAGAUGGAUUCAGAGGAGGAGUCUGCUUCUGAGGAGGCGGAGGUGGAGUCUGAGGAGGAGUCCGACCCUGGCAUUGCAAGUCUGGCUCUAGCUACAGCCUACGUCGCCAAGUCUAUCUUCAACACUGAAGACAAUGGCCCCGUCACCAACGCUGAUGCUAAUGACAAGGACGACUCUGCUCCCACCUACUGCUUCAUGGCACGUGGUGCCAAGGUAAAAUCACGCUAUGCUUACUUUCAAACAUCAAGUGAAGACGACUCUGAUUGUGAAUCCAAACCCAGCUACAAAACACUUGCUAAAAUUGUAGCUGAACAACAGAAAGCUAUGGAACAUACUGAAAAACUGUUAGACAAACACGAUGACCUGUUGGACGCGGAAAUGACCCGUUCUCAGUCCUUAAUUGAAUACAUAAAAAAUAUUCAUGUUAAGUACCAGGAACUUGAAAGUCGUCAUGAAACGCUCUCAACCACUCAUGAAAAGCUCUCCUAUGAUUAUCUUCAAAGGAAGCUAGAGAUUGAGAAAUUGAGAGCGGCUCAUGAAGAUCUUCAAAAAGAAAAUGAGUCACUUCGCGCUCAACAGAUCAUGAAACGCUCUCAACCACUCAUGAAAAGCUCUCCUAUGAUUAUCUUCAAAGGAAGCUAGAGAUUGAGAAAUUGAGAGCGGCUCAUGAAGAUCUUCAAAAAGAAAAUGAGUCACUUCGCGCUCAACAGAUCAGUUCCGCUCAGGAAGGAUUUGAACCACCAUGUCUAAAAUGCCUUGAGCGUGAUAACGCUACUUCUAUUGCUGAAUGUUCUACUGCUGCUACUGUUGCAAUAUCUUCAACUGUUGAUGUGGUAACUAACCCCUCUGCUGAGGAUACCACUACUAUUGCUGAUGAAAAUGCUAGGUUAAAUACAUUGCUUGAAACAGGGAUGUACAAAAGUCUCAAAGGGCAUCAGACAUUGUGCGAUGUCCUCAAAAAGCAGAUUUUGAACCAAAACCCUAGGAAAGAGGGUGUUGGGUUCGAGAGGAAAAUGAAUGUUGAUGGCUCCUACUGGAAGCCUGAGCAGUAUCCCAAAACCACAUGGGUUGCUGCAAAGGGACCUUCAGUGGAUCCAUCCACCUUAUCUGGCUUCACUUGUGCUAACCCUAUUAUCAUUGAUGAAUCCUUUGAUGCAAACUAUAAACUGUUUAAGAAUCAGAAUGGUGAAGUGUUUGCCAGGUAUAUUGGUACUAACUGCAGGAAUGGGCCACCUAUGAAGAAGAUCUGGGUUCCCAAAAGUUGUCUUGAGAAUCUUCCUGUGAAUAUCAUCAUGACACCACCUGGGAAGAAGACAAAUCUCAGACCAAAGGCUUCAUAUGGUCCAAAGGCUUCAUACAGAUACAGGACUCAACUGAGUCACCCUAACGCCAAUGUUUUGCAGGGAAAUCGUACUAAGACUUAUGAAUAUGAGCGUGUGUCUUCAAACCGCUAUGUUCGUAAAACUAAGAACUUUUCUGCUUAUUCAUAUGAGUAUCAUUCAUCUCCUGCAAGGCUAUUUGCUAGGGCUCCAAAGCCGAAGUUCUCAGAUGCUGCACUUAGACUCAUUGCUUCUAAGCCACCCCUGAAGAUGUGGGUGGUUAAGAAGAAUUAACUUUCUUUUGCAGGGAAAGGUCUCCAGCCGGAAAUCAAAGGCGUUUGAUGCUAUUGCUGGGGACCUAAAACAUCUUGUAGGGCGCAAGAUCAAAUGCCCAAAUGGUCUUACUAUGUAUUUUGUUCCUGAAUCGCUUGCCAAUCAUCCUAUCAGUCCUAAUCUUGAUCUGAGCUUUGAUAAUCCUCUUGCCCGUCAAAUGUUUAUGCUUCACAAUACUCUUGGUGAAGCCUAUCCCCCUAACUGUACUAUAGGGUAUGACACUUCAUGCUUUAGAAUGGACGAUGGACAGCGGAUGCACUAAUCAUAUGACUGGUGAUCGAAGUCUUCUCAUGGACUCAACCUUACGACCAUCUGACAAGAGUCACAUCACAUUUGCUGACACUGGUAAAAGCAAGGUAUUGGGUCUAGGUAGAGUUGCAAUCUCAAAGGAUCAGCACAUGGAUAAAGUGAUGCUUGUUGAAUCCCUUGGUUUCAACUUAAUGUCUGUCUCAAUGCUUUGUGACUUAAACAUGAUUGUGAUAUUUGGAAAAUAUCGUUGCCUUGUACUAAUGGAAUCUGACAAAUCUUUAGUCUUUGAAGGGUACCGGAAAGAUGAGCUGUACAUGGUAGAUUUCUCAGCAGGACCACAGCUUGCCGUAUGUCUUCUUGCAAAAGCUUCAGAGUGCUGGCUCUGGCAUCGGAGGCUAGGGCAUGCUAGCAUGAGGAACUUGCAUACUCUCGCAAAGAAGAAGCAUGUCAUAGGCAUCGAGGGCGUCAAGUUCAAGAAGGAUCACUUGUGCGGUGCCUGCGAAGCUGGAAAGUUGACUAGGGCCAAGCAUCCCUCGAAGACAAUCAUGACGACAUCACAACCCUUCAAGCUGCUACACAUGGACUUAUUUGGCCCUACUCACUACUCUACUCUCACUACUACUGCUUGUCUUUAUGGCUUCGUCAUUGUUGAUGAUUACUCAAGAUAUACGUGGGUGCAUAUAAUUCUCUACAAGACUGAAGUGCAGGAUGUCUUCAGACAAUUCGCCAACCGUGCCAUGAACAACUAUGGCGUCAAGAUCAAGCACAUCAGAAGUGACAACGGCACAGAGUUCAAAAACACCGGCCACGAUCUUUACUUGGAUACACUGGGAAUCACUCAUGAGUUCUCAGCUCCGUAUACACCUCAGCAGAAUGGCAUCGUGGAGCGCAAGAACAGAACGCUCAUUGAGAUGACAUGGACAAUGCUUGAUGAAUACAAGACUCCAAGAAAGUUCUGGCCUGAAGCUAUUGAUACUGCAUGCCAUGUCAUCAACCGUGUUUAUCCUCACAAGCUUCUGAAGAAAACAUCCUAUGAACUCCUCACUGGUAAGAAGCCGAAUGUCAGUUACUUCAGAGUAUUUGGUGCUAGGUGCUGGAUCAAGGAUCCACAUCACACUUCAAAAUUUGCACCGAAAGCACAUGAAUGUUUUAUGCUCGGUUACGGAAAGGAUUCGCACUCCUACAGAGUCUUCAACCUCUUUCACUAUAAAGUGGUUGAAACUAUGGAUGUGCGGUUCGAUGAGACUAACGGCUCGCAAAGAGAGCACCUGCCAAAUGUGCUAGAUGAUGUUCCACCUAGUGAAUCCAUCAAGCUCAUGGGAACUAGAGAAAUCAUACCGUCUGAAGCACAGCCUGAAGAGGAACUUAUCAUUUCUGCACCUAAUCAACCAGAAGACAGUGCUCAGCCCGAAGACAAUCCUCCUAACGAUGACAAUGAUCAGCAAGAGCAAAAUCUUUGUCCGGUUCAUCCUCGUGUUGCAACUGAAGUACAGAUUGAGAAGAUAAUUGAUAGCAUCAAUGCGCCUGGUCCACUCACUCGUUCAAGAGCAACACAGCUAGCAAAUUUUUGUGGGCACUUUGCAUUUGUCUCAAUAUCUGAACCCAAGAAAGUCGCUGAAGCCUUCAUGGAACUUGAAUGGAUUCAAGCCAUGCAAGAAGAGCUUCAACAGUUCAAGCUGAACAAUGUCUGGGAACUUGUCAAGCGUCCUGACCCCCGCAAGCACAACAUAAUAGGCACACAAUGGAUAUAUCGCAACAAGCAAGAUGAGCAUGGUUAAGUUGUCAGAAACAAGGCUCGUCUCGUUGCUCAAGGAUACACUCAAGUUGAAGGGAUUGACUUCGAUGAAACAUUUGCUCCUUUGGCUAGGCUUGAAGCUAUUCGCAUAUUGCUAGCCUAUGCAAAUCAUCACAACAUCCUGCUGUAUCAAAUGGAUGUGAAGAGUGCAUUUCUCAAUGGAAAGAUUGAAGAAGAAGUGUAUGUUGCACAACCUCCUGGCUUUGAAGAUCCAAAACAUCCUGAUAUGGUGUACAAACUAAACAAGGCACUGUAUGGCCUCAAACAAGCCCCUCGCGCUUGGUAUGAUACACUCAAAGACUUCCUGAAGAGCAAAGGCUUCAAACUUGGUUCCCUGGAUCCCACACUCUUCACGAAGACAUAUGAUGGUGAACUAUUUGUAUGCCAAAUAUACGUGGAUGACAUUAUCUUCGGCUGCACCAACCAAAAAUACAGUGAUGAGUUUGGACACAUGAUGCAAGAGCAAUAUCAGAUGUCCAUGAUGGGUGAGCUGAAGUUCUUCCUUGCUCUUCAAAUCCGUCAACAAAGCAAUGGCAUCUUCAUAUCUCAAGAGAAAUAUCUCAAAGAUUGCCUGAAGAAGUUUGGAAUGCAAGACUGCAAAGGUUACACGACGCCAAUGCCAACCAAGAGUCAUUUGGGUCCUGAAGCCAAUGGUAAAGAGUUCGAUCAAAAGGUAUACCGCUCCAUGAUUGGUUCUUUACUUUAUUUAUGUGCAUCUAGGCCAGAUAUUAUGCUUAGUGUUUGCAUGUGUGCUCGAUUUCAAGCGGCACCAAAGGAAUCACAUCACUUAGCUGUGAAGCGAAUUCUUCGAUAUUUGGCUUACACCCCAACAUUAGGAUUAUGGUAUCCAAAGGGCUCAGAGUUUGAUCUAGUUGGAUUCUCGGAUGCUGAUUAUGCUGGUGACAAGGUGGAUCGCAAGUCUACAUCAGGCACAUGUCACUUUCUGGGACGAUCACUUGUCUGUUGGUCUUCAAAGAAGCAGAACUGUGUAUCACUCUCCACUGCUGAAUCUGAAUACAUUACUGCUGGAUCUUGUUGCGCUCAGCUUCUAUGGAUGAAGCAAACACUCAAGGACUAUGGCAUCCAUCUGAAACAAGUACCACUAUACUGCGACAAUGAAAACGCCAUCAAGAUUGCCAACAACCCAGUUCAGCACUCGAAGACAAAGCACACUGAAAUUCGUCAUCACUUUCUCAGAGAUCAUGUCAUGAAGGAAGAUAUUGAUAUCAUACACGUCAACACUGAAGAGCAACUGGCAGAUAUCUUCACAAAGCCCUUGGAUGAGAAAAGGUUUUGCAAGUUGCGGUGUGAGCUAAAUAUCUUGGAAUCCUCAAAUGUCCUGUGAUCAGGCACAUCUCCUAACACUUAUGCAUGUUGAUGACUUCGAUGUGCAACACACGAAGUAAAGUAUAUCUUCAAUCAAUGAAGACUUACACUCUAAGUGUGAAUACAUUAACGCGAAAUUUGACUUCGGAGCGCCACAAUAAUUGUGCGCCGUGUCUGGGUCUAAUACUUCCUAUACGGUGGGUAACACCACCACCAAAUUUUUCUGUUUGAAGUGUUUUUCUCAUGGCGUUACAUUUGCUAUGUCUUCGCAUUUGGUUUGUCUUCAAUAUCAACAUGACUUCAUGUUUUUCUUCACAAUGAUGAUUUGGUUUCAUUCUGAUAUAUACAUAUACAUAUAUUAGUGUUCUGUCCUCUACAGCAUUCACUUAUAGCUAUGUCUUCUUGUUUGAAUCUUUUGAACUAAGUGAACUAGAUGAUUCCCCGCGCGUUGCUGCGGGACUUUGUUGUGGAUUUUCUGUGACAUCACUACAUCAAAUAAGAAAAUAACUUGAACAAAUAAUAUGAUAGAUUUUUCCAUAGGGAGUUGUGAAUGGCUGCCGAACAACACAACCCACUAUCGAAACAUGGACCCUAAAUAAUAAGCAAUACAACAUGGCAAGCAUUCACACAAUGGUAAGACGACAAAUUUCCAAAAAAAAGUAUGUACUGUAUUGACAUAGUUCAAGCAAAUACAUAUAGAAGCAAGAAUGUUGAGCCCCCCAAGCUGUAAGGGCUUAAAGAUGGCUCCUGGAAGAUGGGUCACUAAACAUUAUUUGUGUGAAAACAGUACUACAUACACCUGCAAGCUACCAAGAAGAGAAGUGAACGACAUAAGCUUACGGAAUACGGAUAUGGGAAAAAGGGUCAAAUUUGGUGCUUGCAAAGAUGAGUAUUUUUAGUUUGGCUGUUGAGUCAGUGAACUCAUGUGUUAAGAUGCUGUUUUGAUUGAUACCAAGAAUACAUGAGAUCUCAUGUGCUUUUAGAUAAAGUGAUAGAUAUAAUACAUGAGAACUUGAGAUCUCAAGUACUUCAUCAACCUAACUAACCUCUAUUAAGUUAUCUACGGUACUUUUUCAGCUCGUGCAACCAGGGUUGGUCAUGGGAUUAGAACAGGUGGCAAUGGUGUGUGCGUGGCGUGGUCCGCGAGUACGUCCAUGACCUUGUAGAACCGCGACCCCCAAUCUUAUAACCACAAGGGUAAAUUAGAAAGAUUAUCAAAAACUCAGUACCGACUAACAAAAUAAUAUGGUCCCUUGUAUUGUGCUCCACAUGCUAGUUAACCUUAAAACUGUUCUCAGAAAGUGUCUCAUUAAAUUGAUUUAAUUAAUAACAUGUUAAUACAUAAGUGCUCCACAUGCUAGUUAACCUUAAAACUGUUCUCAGAAAGUGCCUCAUUACAUUGAUUUAGUUAAUAACAUGUUAAAUACAUAAGGCGGGGAACAUGCAAAGACAUGGAUGUGUCUCAUAAAUUCAUAGUACGAACAUUGAUUCACUGAAUUCAAUAUAGGUAAAGUCUCAAGUUCACCAUAGUAAUCUGACAACAAAAGAGAGAACCUGGCAUAUAGAGGGGAUCGUGACGGGUCGCAGGCAAUGUCGAGGGCACAGCUGGGUCCUGGCCUAAUACGUUUCCCACCCUCCCGUUAGUGAUUGCAAGAGAAACCUGCAUGAAAAGGUGGCCUGAUAAGGACAAUUCUAAUUCAGCAACUUAGUAGUAAUUUAUUGAUGACUAAACAAACUGUAUUGACCACGUAGGUAUGCUAAUAUGGCUGUAGUUCUACCUGUAGACUAAAGAUGGUCAAAAAUUCGGUAAUAUCCAUGUAGAAAAUCAUGGAUGCACACCAUUUGAUCAGUUGGUAGCAGUGAACACCAAAGUAAGAGAGCAUUUUAUGUAGCUUCAGAUAGUAAGCAGCAAAGUAACAGUGGCAAUACAUGGUCGCAUCAAGGCUCUUUUUGGGUAUGCAUUUAUAGAUAAGUCAAUUUGACCUGCAGCUUUAGGAAGACAGUUAAAUUUAAGAGCGAAAUAUCAGUAUAGCAGUCAGAUCGAUAGUAUCAAGUUUCAGCAUCUCUAUAAUCUGAUAUUUGCAUCAACCAAGCAUGAAUAUUGCAACACGGUAUCUCUGCAGCUUGUGCAGUUAUACAAACAUCAAUUGUAAAAUCUCUGUAUUAAGAACGGACCUGUAAAAAACAAAAAACUGGAUGUCCGAGACCAGAAUCAACGAACGCCGCGAGUAAGAAGGUGUAGGGAGAACCUUGCAUGGAGAAGGACAGUAGCAAAAUGGCCACCCACCCACCCACCCGCCCGCCGCCACCCUAAAACCCUAGCCCACUCACCGCCGGCGAUCUCCACGUCUGACCGUGGGAUCACUCAUCGAAUCCGGCCAUCGUGUUCGGCGUCGUCUGCUCCCUCUUUUGGUUGUCAUCUCAAUGGCGGUACAUGCUUCCAUCUCCCUAGGUUUGGAUUUCUCAGCGGGGAUGAGCAUGGCGCAUGAGAUCGGCCGCUUGUUUCACCGCACGGUCCAUCCUACGGAUCGAUCUGGCCACUUUGUCCUGGUGGCUUCAUUUGCAUGGCACUCUUUCCAUUUGGACGAGGACAAUGUGGGCUUGGCACUUGAAUCAGCCAUUGGUGGAUAUUGUUCUGCUCUCAAGGUAUCUCAACUGCAUGAUCGUGUUUUCUCUUUCAAUGUUUCGUGCAAAGAAGUUGGGUUUUUUAUCUUGCAUCAAAGGAGUUUUGUCUACCCGCAAUUCAAAUGUUACUUUCAUCUUUGGGGUCAUGGUGGCCCAGAUUGGGAAAAAGAAUUUAGGUUAUGGCAAUCUGAAUGUGAUCAGGAGUGGACUUUGAUUAGUCCCUCUAAGAAGAGAGCUAGGUUAGGAUUGGAAGCCAUGCAACAUGCCCCAAGGAAAUCUUCUCUCUGUACUCAAUCAGCUAGAUCUAAGCAUUCCAAGCAUAUUCAAUUUGCCACGUUCAUGCAAUACCCGACUAGAAAAGGUUAUAAUUAUGGGCCUACGUCUGAUGAGGUCACAAUUGUCCGGGAGGCAGGCUAUGUGGUCUCUGGGCAUGAAGCUGUUUCUUCUACGUCGUCGGCAUCUUCGCCGGUACCUGUUUCUUCUUCGUCAUCGGCAUCUUCGCCGCCGGCGUGCCCAGUCAUUCAGUUUGGAACGUUGCCGCCAUCCCCGCAGGGAUCCCAUGCAUGCGACAAGUCUGGAUUUUCGGGUGGUCUAUUGUUACCUGCCACGGCAAGUUUAGACUCGCCCGUAUUGCCUUCUGUUGCAUCUUUGGACCUUGUCACGGCCCUGGGCUCUAGUGCCCAGCCCAUCUACCUAUCGGAUGAUGAAGUUGAAAGCCCAUCUUCGCCGGCGAUUCAGUUUCCCUCUCCAAAAGAUAUUGUUGAUGAUCUGCAGAGUUUUGAUGAGAUGAUUGAGGAUUUAGCUGCAAGCUAUUGGGACUACCAGAAUUGUUUGGGCAUGCGCCACACGUCAGAGACCUGCACAAACCUGAUACGGUGCAGAAAUUGUUUUCGUUCCGGUCAUAUUAAAAAAGAUUGCACCGGUCACGCUCCUGACUUAUCCCUUUGGGUGCCCAAAGUCCCAUCACCUUGCUUUGGAAAUCAUGAGAGGAAGGAAAUUUACUCUGCUUCCCUUGCCUCUUCGGUUUCCCAAGAACAAACGCCUCCCCAGCAUAAAACCCCACCUCCUGCUACUCCACCGUCAUCGCCAUUGCCACGCCCGCCGCCGCAAACCACAUAUCACCAAGCAGCAUCAAGCUCUGAUCCUCGCCCGCCUCCCCCAAUGGCGGUGUAUGAGAUCGAUCCGUUUUGCUUCAUCCCUGCUGGCUUCGACAUUGUGGAUGGUGGUGCGGAUCGUCUGCCGCGCACCUACUACACUCCGGCGAUCCCUCCCCCCCCGAGUGCAUGAGCAGUACAUGGUGGCAAUCGUUGAGCCCGUCCCCCCGGCUCAUCUGGUUGGUGCUCGUCGGCAGGAGGUGCUUAACUUCUUAGUUCAGACCAUGCAUGUUCCUGUCCUCUCUGCUCAAACUUGGUUUCAAGGAGUUGGUUUAUUCAAGAUGGAAGAUCCUGUGGUCCGUGACUCUUUCACUUCGCAUCCGCCUUUUCCUUUGGGUUUAGAUGAGGAUGGCCAGGAGUUCUUCGUCAGAUUAAUUUUGCAUAACCAGGGAGAGGGUUUCAGAGCUCUACAUGGACACAUACAUGGUUGGUUGAUGUUUAUUGGCAUACCUCUGGAUUACCGUAAUACACAGUGCAUUGCGGAUAUGGUUAGUACCUUUGAUCAGUUCCACUACUGGAAUAGUAUAGAUCGUCAGAAAGUCAGAUCAUUGGUUCGAGCUUCGUUCCCUGACAAUGCGCUGGUUCCACGCUCGGUUGCUUUUAGGGAAUUUCCUAAUUGGGGCGGUACUCUAGUUUCUUGGACGGCUGGCUGCUAUAUCCUGGAUGGUGACUUUGCUGAGGCUAUGGUUCCAGCGGAUGAGGACCCUAUGCCCCUAGAUGGCAACCCACAUCCCAUGCCAGGCGCUAAUGCUCCCCCUCAGCCAUUCUGGGCCAUGCCGCCGUACCCUGCUUUGGGUUGGAAUGCGGUGCCCCCUGGUCAUGAUCAAGGACACAAUGAUGCUCAAGGAUGGGGACAGAACUUGAACAAUGAAGGUGGUUGGGGGCCUUGGGAGGAAGCCAACCAGCCCGCCCAUGAACCUGUACAGGACCCAAUCGUACAGGACCAAAACUCCAUGAUCCUCAAUCCAUCCAUGAAUUCUGAUGAUGAUGCUGACAUGGAAGAUGUUCAGGAGCCUUUGGUCCAUGUUCAUCCAGCGGGGCCGCUCGAUCCUAUCAACCUGGGUAUUGUCAGGGUGUUCUAUGGGCCGGUGCCACCACCAGCAAUGAUUUGGGAAAAAUCUUUCAAGUCCUUGAUGCCAGAGUUCUUAAUCAUGAAUAUUCCAGCCUUUCUGCCAGGCCUUUGCUUGCCGCCCUUGCCUGUUAAGUUGAGCUCGCCUCUUUUGGAGCAAUGCUGGCACUCCCUGGCUUUCUACAAGACUGAUUUCUGCACUCAACCACGCCCCUCUAUUGUACUUCAAGACAUACCAGAUGAUUCGCAGGACCCUGCCUCUCAAGCAAUGGAUCAUUCCCAGGAUGAGUUCCUGUUCAGAUCUGUCACCCCCUCGCCCUUGGGGAAGAGACCACGGCAAGCUCGUCACUCCAAGCGUGAUGUUCAGAUCGUUCAAGAGUUGGCUGAUUUUUCUGUCAGACGGAUGACACGCAACUGUGCAAAAAGGACUGGCAUGAAGCCCACCUCUGCAAUUCCUGUGAAGCCUACUCCUCUCCGUCGCCCAAGGCCAAGAAGCUCAAGCUCGACGCGGAUGCAGGCCAAGAUACUCCUCUGCCACCUCCGACGCUGAUCGCUACAAUGCAGGCAAUCGGCUCUUCACUUGUGUAACGCCCACGAUGCGGCUAUAUCUCCCACGUGUCGAGGCACGACUUAGAGGCAUAACCGCAUUGUGGUUUUGUCGCAAGAAGGGUCAUCUUCACACAAUCCCAUGUAAUGAACAAGAAUGGGAUAAAUAGAGUUGGCUUACAAUCGCCACUUCACACAAUACAUAAAUUAAUUCAUACAUCAUCCAAAAUCCACACAUAGACCGACUACGGUCAAAUCCAAAUGAAAAGAAGAUAACCCCAAAUGCUAGAUCCCCGAUCGUCCCAACUGGGCUCCACUACUGAUCAUCAGGAAACGAAACAUAGUAACGACCAAGUUCUUCGUCGAACUCCCGUUAGAGCUCGGUAGCAUCACCUGCACUGGUAUCAUCGGCACCUGCAACUGUUUGGAAGUAUCUGGUGAGUCACGAGGACUCAGCAAUCUCACACCUGCGAGAUCAAGACUAUUUAAGCUUAUGGGUAGGAGAAGGUAGUGAGGUGGAGCUGCAGCAAGCACUAAGCAUGUAUGGUGGCUAACAUACGCAAAUAAGAGCGAGAAGAGAAGCAACGGAACGGUCGUCAACUAGUAAUGAUCAAGAAGUGAUCCUGAACUCCUACUUACGUCAAACAUAACCCACAAACCGUGUUCACUUCCCGGACUCCGCCGAAAAGAGACCAUCACGGUUACACACGCGGCUGAUGCGUUUUAGUUAAGUCAAGUGUCAAGUUCUCUACAACCGGACAUUAACAAAUUCCCAUCUGCCACAUAACCGCGGGCACGGCUCUCGAAAGUUUAUACCCUGCAGGGGUGUCCCAACUUACCCCAUUAUAAGCUCUCACGGUCAACGAAGGAUAUUCCUUCUCCCGGGAAGACCCGAUCAGUCUCGGAAUCUCGGUUUACAAAACAUUUCGACAAUGGUAAAACAAGACCAGCAAAGCCGCCCGAAUGUGCCGACAAAUCCUGAUAGGAGCUGCACAUAUCUCGUUCUCAGGGCACACCGGAUUGUCCAAACUUCCGGUAGGCGAGCCCAGAGUUGCCCCUGGUGGCCACCGGUGGCUGACAGGUUGGACCAACACUCAGAGGAGCACUAGCCCAGGGGUUCAAAAUAAAGAUGACCCUUGAGUCUGCAGAACCCAAGGGAAAAAAAGGCUUAGGUGGCAAAUCUUAAAACCAAGGUUGGGCCUUGCUGGAGGAGUUUUAUUCAAGGCGAACUGUCAAGGGGGUCCCAUAAAUCACCCAACCGCGUAAGGAACGCAAAAUCAAGGAACAUAACACCGGUAUGACGGAAACAGGGCGGCAAGAGUGGAACAAAACACCAGGCAUAAGGCCGAGCCUUCCACCCUUUACCAAAUAUAUAGAUGCAUUAAUAAAAUAAGAGAUAUUGUGAUAUGCCAAAAUAUCCAUGUUCCAACAUGGAACCAACUUCAACUUCACCUGCAACUAGCAACGCUAUAAGAAGGGCUGAGCAAAAGCGGUAACUUAGCCAAACAACGGGUUGCUAGGAAAGGAUGGUUAGAGGAUUGACAUGGCAACAUGGGAGGCAUGAUAUAGCAAGUGGUAGGUAGCGCAACAUAGCAAUAGAACGAACAACUAGCAAGCAAAGAUAGAAGUGAUUUCGAGGGUAUGGUCAUCUUGCCUGAAAUCCCGCAAGGAAGAAGAACGAGUCCAUGAAGAAGACAAACGGACGUAGUCGAAUGAAUCCUCACAAACGCAACAUUACUGGAACUAUCAAGGGGAAGCGCAACCGGAAAGAAGCAAACAACAUGGUAAACAACCAUCACAUAAGCAUGGCAUGAUGCACAAUCAAGUAUGAUGCAUGUCCGGUUUAAAGAGGCAUGGCAAGGUGAAGCAAACAAUACUACAAUUUAAGUGGAGCUCAAUAUGCAACGGGUUGCAUAUUGACGAAACACCACAUCAAUUAUUUAGUUCGCUCUUGUUUAUGCUACUCAUCAAUAUUAAAUGUUGGUUAACAUGGCAAGAGGUGAGGCUUAACAAAACUACCUAUCUAGGCAAAUUUAAAUGAGGCCGGAACAACAAACAACAAUUCCGGAAAAUCCUCAUGUGCAUAUUUUAUAUUUGGUACUGUUCUGCCUAAAACCAUAUUUUAAUGGUAUUAAACAGUAAAACAAAGUGCACCAUGUUAAUCUAUGCAUUUUUCCACUCCAAUUACGUAUAAAGUUUAUUUAAUUCGGAGCUACGGUUAUUUAAAUAUGAAAUAAAUCUUUUUAGCAUGGCAUUUGAGCAAAUUUAAUCAAACAGCAAUUUAAACAUUUCAAACAUGGAUGAAAGUAGCAUAUUAUGAAACUAGAAAAAAUUCUAAGCAUUUUACAUGUCUAAAUCAUUUUAAUCCGAUGCACGGUUGUUGAGUUAUUAAAUGCAUGAUGUUGAGGGUUUUUCUGUAAAACUGCAGUUCCUGGAAAAAUAGUUAAAAUCGUUCCGUGGAAAAAAACAUGAAUCGGGCCGAAUCUGCUGGCCCAACAGUGCACAGAGGGGGCGCUGGAUCUGAUGCUCACCAUGGGUUUGGCCCGGGUCGGUGGAGAGGGGAGGCAGGGCGAAGUGGGGCUGGAGACGCGUUGGGCCUUCGCGCCCUUGCAGCCCACGCACGCGACGAGGAGGCACGAGGCAGCAGGCGUCGCCCUUCUUUGCUUGAUGCAGAGACUGAAGCCGACCGCGGUGGCUUCAGGUGAGACAGGGGACGACAUCUACGCGGGGAACGCAAGGAGGCGGCGGAGACGAGCGGAACCAGACGCGUGAUGGUGUUCUCCGGCGAGGUGGCACGCGGGCGAAGCUGAAGGUUGCGGCGCAUGUUCUCUGUUCAAAUGCAGAGAAGGUUUCAGAGAGAUAAAGAAAUCGGGGUGGAAACAAGAAGGCCGUGAGGAGGCUUGCUGACCAGCGAAGGAAUGGCCAGGAUCCGGCGGAUCCUGAUGCGAUCGAGGCUGGGGAACGGCGAGGCCGGAUGGAUCCACCUCGGACCCGGCGAGGCAGCUUGAGCUCGGCGGCUGGACUCGUUCUGUAGGCAAACAGAGAGGGAGAGAUAUUUAGAGAAGCAGAACGAAAAGGGAAAGAAGAGAGAAGGCGAGGGCGACGGGCGCGCGACUUGCAGGGCUCCGGCGACGAGGCAACGCGGCGGCCACGGACUUGGCGAAGCAGGGGAGCUCCGGGACAUGCGGGACGCGGGGAUGGACGCUGGAGGACGGAUCCGUCCGUCUCCCGGCUGGCCUGGUGCAAACGGCGGCGAGGGAGCUGCGGCCAACCAUGGCUGUUCCUGGUACAGAGAGGGAGAGGCAUGAGAGACGAGGGAGAGGUGCGGCGGCCUGCUCGUACUCGAUGGCGAAGGGACGAAGCAGCAUCGGCGGUGGCGCUCGCCGGCACGGUGCUGGAGACGGCAGAUGCAAGGGCAAGGGAGGAGCACGACGCAGGGGCUCCUCGGGCUCAGACGUGAGGAAGGAGGAGGCAACUGCGGGCUGGUUGGUCCGAUGAAGAAAAUGAGGGAGGAUUUUUGGAUCGGGAGGGGAUCCCGAGGUGGGAGACGACCAGGUGGAGUGUGGCGGCGGCUAGGAGGACAAGGGGGUGGAUUUCUACGGUUAUCCAAAAUGGACUAGGAAUUGACUAUAAAUAUGGAAAGGAGGGAAGUUUGGAUCUUCUGAUUGAAAUCUGACGGACGAGAAUAAAUAGGCUACGGAGUCCAAUAAAUAAAACAAUCAUAUCUUAGGGAUACUUGGAGAUGAUCCGGAUCCAUCGGUAACGACAGCCGGGUUCGGGUUCAGGGAAGUUUUGGAAGCGCACACGAGGGGGUCUGUGCACUAUACAGAGAGACUCCAGUUUAGGCAAGAGGGAAACGGAGAACAAGGUUGGCUCAGAACGGUCAACAAAAGCAAGGGGGGAUGCGGCAACUACGAGUAGAUGCGAGUUUUAAAAAGAAUGACGACAACGAGUGCCGAUGCAAUGCGGAUGAUGCCAUGAUGAAAUGCAACAAACAAAAUAAAACACACGACGGCAACGAAGAACAUUGAAGGCUUCUGAAGCGUCGGUCUUGGGGCGUUACAACACUCCACCACUACAAGAGGAUCUCGUCCCGAGAUCUAAGGACGGCACCGGAGAAAAGCGGAAGAGGAAGAGAAGAGGUAAAGCUAAGUUGCUUCUUUGACAAACGAGUGAAACCACGAACCUUGAGAGAUUGAAUGAAUGAAAAGAGAGAAUACAAGGGAGAUGAACGAGAUUGAAAACACUCCGUUAUCAAAGAGGAACAAGGAACAUUGCGAGAACCUUUGUAGGUUGAAUAAUAUGAAACAAGAGCUUAACGGAUCAGAAGGAAUAUGAAAGCACACCGGUAGAAAAGAGAAACAAGGAACACCAUGUGAACCUUGGAGUUUGCAAAGCUAUGAAUGACGAGAACAAUGGACGAGAAGUACAUGCAAGCACUCAGGUUGAAACGAGAUGUACAAGGAACGAUAAGGAUCAAUUACGAUAACGCUCCGGUUGGAAAAUGGAAGGGAUAGAAUAUGAACUUGGCAAAAUGAAAGCACUUGGACGAGACUCCGGUUAAAAUAGGAAUGAUAGACACAACACUCCGGUUAAAUGGAUAAGUAAGAAAAGAACACGAUCCUCACAAUUCGAUAUGAUGAGCGAAGAGAGCAACAUCACCAUGCCUCCGGAAGAAAAAAUAGAAGAUAGAUCAUUGGAAUAAAGGAAUGGAGAAGAAAAUGCCAACUUCUGCCACCAAUGAUCUUGGAAAGCACCCUUCCAAGAAUGUUAGAACGGAGUUGUUGGAAAAAACCAACAACGAAACGAAUAAGCUUGUAGUGGGCUAAUGGAAACAUCUCAACAUUAUGAGGUGACAAACGGCCACUAAAGGAAGACAUUGGUUUGAGUGAGAGCACCAAGGCGAUGAAAAACUUCUUUCACCAAGAGGAUAGGAGAAAACUUGGAUCAUUGAUAAGCACCAUAAUAGCAACAUUCCUUAGGGAAGGCUUUAAGUGAAACAUGACACAAGAUAAAUCCAACGAAGAGAUUGGUGGAUUUAAAAUAUCUCAUUCUUGACAACAUGUGAAUCAUGAAACGCGAACUCAAAUUGUCAAGAAUGACAUAACACCACCUCAAAUGAUAAGGUAGAAUGAAUUGCACUUUAGAAUGCAAGAUGAAGAAUGCUUGGAAUCCACAAAACAAAACAUGUGUUGAGCACCAUGUUUAUUUUGAAGUAUGGCUUGACAGUUCAUAGCUUCGAGAGAAAUCUUGAAGAACAAUUGAAGAAUGAAAGGAAUCCUUGACGAAGCACCAUGUAGAGCCUCCAUGAAGAACUCCGGUCAAACCAGGAUGAUAGAAAGAGAUAGAAGUUGAAAACACAAGGUGAAGCCUUGCGAUGAUUUAGAUGUAGCUUCGCGACGAGAUAAUGCGAAAAAACUUGGAACUUCGGAAAAGAAAAGAUGAAUCAUCCGGAAUCGAGAAUGUGAUAUGAUGAACAACUCUGGAAAGAAGGAACUAGAUCACUUGGAUGAAAAAUAAUAAGAAUUACGUUAUGCGUAUCCUUCACCAAUUUAAAUUGAUGACAAGCAACGGAUUUGGCAUACUACUUAUUUUUGUAGAAAGGAUUAAGAUAGAUAUGGCGCAAAGUUGGGAAGGUCUUCAACGAACCACCGGUAGGAUUGAAAAGAACGAAUGAAUCUAUAUGAUAACGAAGGAAGAGAAUUCUUGAACGAACCACCGUAAGAAUUGAAAAUGAACGAAGAAAAGAUAAAGAAACACCGGGAAGAAUUAGAAAAUGAACGAAGAAACUUGAGAGAAUUUAGAUAAAAGUGAACGAAGAGAUCAUGAGCUGAUUAGAGAAUACUUGAACGAUGCACCGGAAGAAUAUGGAGAUGAACGAAGAGACAUCAAUUUAGAAUAAUUGGAGAACGAGGCUGAAAACUUAGAACGAAGAAAUCUUCUGAAAUGAUGGCCUUUGGAUGAUCAAGAAACAAAAACAACUCAUGAAAUGCUCCAGAUGGGUAUGAAAAGAAUUUUCACAAUCGAAAAACAAUUAUGAGAGGAUGGCAUAAGCUAGAACUAUGAAUCUUCAAGAGAAUGGACAAGAUUUAAGAGAAACUCUUCUUCGGUCUUCAAAUGUUGAGAAUGACGAUGAGAAACACCACCAUGAAUUGUUGAGGCACUCCGCAAUGAAAUUAGAAAGGUUGAACCAACGAUGAAAAGAAUUUGAAAGAUCUUGGAGAAGGAGUAUGACUGAUGAUACUUCAUUCUUACAUCAAACUUCUAAAAGAAUUUGGGAAUAGCUCCGAAAAGAAUUAGAAGAGUCAGGUAAGAUCCUGGGAAAAGACCUAUGGGUUAGGGCCCACUCAAAAGAUACACCGUUGAAUGACUAAAAGAAAGAUUGCGCCGGUUGAAUUAAAUGGCUCAAAAGAGAUAACAACCUCGAGAUAGCUUGAAUGGAUUGGGAAUGGAAAUGCGAAUCUUCUGAGAUAUCUUCAGCACUCCAGAUAACAUGAAUAGCAAGAGGUGGAUGAUUAAGAGAUGCACCGACAUGAGAAAGCAUUUGAAACAAGGAAAGGAAUGUGAUUAACCCCGAAAACUUGAAUUGAAUCCACCGGAGAAGAAAAGAGAAUGAUGAACUUGAAGCUCCGUUAGUAUCUUCCUGAGAAUCACCGGAUAAGAACAUUGACGGAAAAGGAUGGAGAGACUUCCCAUCAAUAAAAAGGAUACUUGGUUAAGAAAUCUUAGUCCUUGAAGAAAAAGGGUGGGAGGGCGGGAAAACAAAGACAAUUUGGGACGGAUGAAACAAACAACGUUGGGAAAAACUGAGAGGUGAUCUUGUGAAUGUUGAAAUGAUCGGAUCCACUUGAAGAGAAGCACACCGGUUGAAAAGAAUUAAUAUGACAACCUCGAUGAUCGAAAGGAUUAGCAACCACAUAGAAAUAUGAGAACACCACUUAGAAUAAGGUAUGGAAUCAACACUUCGCAUUGAAGCAACUCGAAUACCACAAAACAAAACAACAACAAAGGAUUGGCUCGCAAAAUAAGCCAGAACAAACAUAUGAUAGAUAUUUCAUCCGAAGUUUUCGUGGUGGGGCCCACACGGGCUCGAUCGUACAGCACCAUCAUGUACAAGGCAGUGCACAUGACAUACGAAGCGUCCCCGAGUCGGCAUAGCCAAGGAAUCUUUAAGACACUACGAGACCACUGUAAAACCAACCGUGGAUAGGCAGACCACUAGACGUCGAACCCCAAUCUCAUAUCAUGCUUCUGUCGGAAAGAUAUCCUAUGAGCUACUUGAAUUCCCACUUAUAAACUCCCGAAACUUUCUGGUUAUGCAAUCAGGUGUUGGGGAUAUAGGGGACGCAAUAUAUCUCACCCAAACUAACAAUACCUAGAUCCAGCUGUAUCCAUCCCUCAACACAUAACCAACAAACCUUCGGAAAUCAUUUACCUCAACCUUCGAAAAGCAUCCGUUAUACGAGUUAUGGCAAUACUCCCGAACUCCCGCCCCAGUACUGGGUGGCGUCGAGGUGAUCUCACCAACAACUGCAUAAAAGAGAUUUUCGAUGUCGGCGAAAAAAACUCAGGUAUUCCAGAACUGCAACGAUAAAAUUGUGACGACAACACCUCGGAGCUCAACUCCCCGGGACACUGCCACAACCCCUAAAUGUCAGGAGGCACCAAGAACAAUGUUCUCGUCACAAAACCAUUGGAACGAUUCCAAGAUACCCGCGUGAUCCUAAAAAAAAAUUCGUGAAAUUUGAGGAGAGGAGAGCCAAAACUUCUACGUCAGGGGGCCUCACCAGAGAGAUGAAGGGACUGAGGAGUAAAAAGAAUCCUACUCUCCGAUAUAUAUAAUCCUAAGACUCAAAACAUUUUUGUUCUAGACUCAACAACACCAGCGAUUCGAUCAAGCAGGGGGCUCCUAAGUCGGCGAUGGCUCUGAUACCAACUUGUAACGCCCACGAUGCGGCUAUAUCUCCCAUGUGUCGAGGCACGACUUAGAGGCAUAACCGCAUUGUGGUUUUGUCGCAAGAAGGGUCAUCUUCACACAAUCCCAUGUAAUGAACAAGAAUGGGAUAAAGAGAGUUGGCUUAUAAUCGCCACUUCACACAAUACAUAAAUUAAUUCAUACAUCAUCCAAAAUCCACACAUAGACCGACUACGGUCAAAUCCAAAUGAAAAGAAGAUAACCCCAAAUGCUAGAUCCCCGAUCGUCCCAACUGGGCUCCACUACUGAUCAUCAGGAAACGAAACAUAGUAACGACCAAGUUCUUCGUCGAACUCCCGUUAGAGCUCGGUAGCAUCACCUGCACUGGUAUCAUCGGCACCUGCAACGGUUUGGAAGUAUCUGGUGAGUCACGACGACUCAGCAAUCUCACACCCGCGAGAUCAAGACUAUUUAAGCUUAUGGGUAGGAGAAGGUAGUGAGGUGGAGCUGCAGCAAGCACUAAGCAUGUAUGGUGGCUAACAUACGCAAAUAAGAGCGAGAAGAGAAGCAACGGAACGGUCGUCAACUAGUAAUGAUCAAGAAGUGAUCAUGAACUCCUACUUACGUCAAACAUAACCCACAAACCGUGUUCACUUCCCGGACUCCGCCGAAAAGAGACCAUCACGGUUACACACGCGGUUGAUGCGUUUUAAUCAAGUCAAGUGUCAAGUUCUCUACAACCGAACAUUAACAAAUUCCCAUCUGCCACAUAACCGCGGGCACGGCUCUCGAAAGUUUAUACCCUGCAGGGGUGUCCCAACUUAGCCCAUUAUAAGCUCUCACGGUCAACGAAGGAUAUUCCUUCUCCCGGGAAGACCCGAUCAGUCUCGGAAUCCCGGUUUACAAAACAUUUCGACAAUGGUAAAACAAGACCAGCAAAGCCGCCCGAAUGUGCCGACAAAUCCUGAUAGGAGCCGCACAUAUCUCGUUCUCAGGGCACACCGGAUUGUCCAAACUUCCGGUAGGCAAGCCCAGAGUUGCCCCUGGUGGCCACCGGCGGCUAACAGGUUGGACCAACACUCAGAGGAGCACUGGCCCGGGGAUUUAAAAUAAAGAUGACCCUUGAGUCUGCAGAACCCAAGGGAAAAAGGCUUAGGUGGCAAAUGUUAAAACCAAGGUUGGGCCUUGCUGGAGGAGUUUUAUUCAAGGCGAACUGUCAAGGGGGUCCCAUAAAUCACCCAACCGCGUAAGGAACGCAAAAUCAAGGAACAUAACACCGGUAUGACGGAAACUAGGGCGGCAAGAGUGGAACAAAACACCAGGCAUAAGGCCGACCUUCCACCCUUUACCAAAUAUAUAGAUGCAUUAAUAAAAUAAGAGAUAUUGUGAUUUGCCAAAAUAUCCAUGUUCCAACAUGGAACCAACUUCAACUUCACUUGCAACUAGCAACGCUAUAAGAAGGGCUGAGCAAAAGCGGUAACUUAGCCAAACAACGGUUUGCUAGGAAAGGAUGGUUAGAGGCUUGCCAUGGCAACAUGGGAGGCAUGAUAUAGCAAGUGGUAGGUAGCGCAGCAUAGCAAUAGAACGAACAACUAGCAAGCAAAGAUAGAAGUGAUUUCGAGGGUAUGGUCAUCUUGCCUGAAAUCCCGCAAGGAAGAAGAACGAGUCCAUGAAGAAGACAGACGGACGUAGUCGAAUGAAUCCUCACAAACGCAAUAUUACCGGAACUAUCAAGGGGAAGCGCAACCGGAAAGAAGCAAACAACAUGGUAAACAACCAUCACAUAAGCAUGGCAUGAUGCACAAUCAAGUAUGAUGCAUGUCCGGUUUAAAGAGGCAAGGCAAGGUGAAGCAAACAAUACUACAAUUUAAGUGGAGCUCAAUAUGCAACGGGUUGCAUAUUGACGAAACACAACAUCAAUUAUUUAGUUCGCUCUUGUUUAUGCUACUCAUCAAUAUUAAAUGUUGGUUAACAUGGCAAGAGGCGAGGCAUAAGAAAACUACCUAUCUAGGCAAAUUUAAAGGAGGGCGGAACAACAAACAACAAUUCCGGAAAAUCCUCAUGUGCAUAUUUUAGAUUUGGUACUGUUCUGCCUAAAACCAUAUUUUAAUGGUAUUAAACAGUAAAACAAAGUGCACCAUGUUAAUCUAUGCAUUUUUCCACUCCAAUUACAUAUAAAGUUUAUUUAAUUCGGAGCUACGGUUAUUUAAAUAUGAAAUAAAUCAUUUUAGCAUGGCAUUUGAGCAAAUUUAAUCAAACAGCAAUUUAAACAUUUCAAACAUGGAUGAAAGUAGGAUAUUAUGAAACUAGACAAAAUUCUAAGCAUUUUACAUGUCUAAAUCAUUUUAAUCGGAUGCACGGUUGUUGAGUUAUUAAAUGCAUGAUGUUGAGGGUUUUUCUAUAAAACUGCAGUUCCUGGAAAAAUAGUUAAAAUCGUUCCGUGGAAAAAAAACAUGAAUCGGGCCGAAUCUGCUGGCCCAACAGUGCACAGAGGGGGCGCUGGAUCUGAUGCUCACCAUGGGUUUGGCCCGGGUCGGUGGAGAGGGGAGGCAUGGCGAAGUGGGGCUGGAGACGCGCUGGGCCUUGGCGCCCUUGAAGCCCACGCACGCGACAAGGAGGCAUGAGGCAGCAGGCGUCGCCCUUCUCUGCUCGAUGCAGAGACUGAAGCCGACCGCGGUGGCUUCAGGUGAGACAGGGGACGACGUCUACGCGGGGAACGCAAGGAGGCGGCGGAGACGAGCGAAACCAGACGCGUGACGGUGUUCUCCGGCGAGGUGGCGCGCGGGCGAAGCUGAAGGUGGCGGCACAUGUUCUCUGUUCAAACACAGAGAAGGUUUCAGAGAGAGAAAGAAAUCGGGGAGGAAACAAGGAGGCCGUGAGGGGGCUUGCUGACCGACGAAGGAAUGGCCAGGAUCCGGCGGAUCCUGAUGCGGGCGAGGCUGGGGAACGGCGAGGCCGGAUGGAUCCACCUCGGACCCGAUGAGGCAGCUUGAGCUCGGUGGCUGGACUCGUUCUGUAGGCAAACAAAGAGGGAGAGAUAUUUAGAGAAGCAGAACGGAAAGGGAAAGAAGAGAGAAGGCGUGGACGACGGGCGCGCGACCUGCAUGGCUCCGGCGAUGAGGCAACUCGGUGGCCACGGACUUGGCGAAGCAGGGGAGCUCCGGGACGUGCGGGACGCGGGGAUGGACGCCGGAGGACGGAUCCGUCCGUCUCCCGGGUGGCCUGGUGCAAACGGCGGCGAGGGAGCUGCGGCCAACCAUGGCUGUUCCUGGUACAGAGAGGGAGAGGCAUGAGAGACGAGGGAGAGGUGCGGCGGCCUGCUCGUGCUCGAUGGCGAAGGGACGAAGCAGCUUCGGCGGUGGCGCUCGCCGGCGCGGUGCUGGAGGCGGCAGAUGCAAGGGCAAGGGAGGAGCACGGCGCAGGGGCUCCUCGGGCUCAGACGUGAGGAAGGAGGAGGCAGCUGCGGGCUGGUUGGUCCGGUGAAGAAAAUGAGGGAGGAUUUUUGGAUCGGGAGGGGAUGCCGAGGUGGGAGACGACCAGGUGGAGUGUGGCGGCGGCUAGGAGGACAAGGGGGAGGAUUUCUAGGGUUAUCCAAAAUGGACUAGGAAUUGACUAUAAAUAUGGAAAGGAGGGAAGUUUGGAUCUUCUGAUUGAAAUCUGACGGACGAGAAUAAAUAGGCUACGGAGUCCAAUAAAUAAAACAAUGAUAUCUUAGGGAUACUUGGAGAUGAUCCGGAUCCAUCGGUAACGACAGCCGGGUUCGGGUUCAGGGAAGUUUUGGAAGCGCACACGAGGGGGUCUAUGCACUAUACAGAGAGACUCCAGUUUAGGCAAGAGGGAAACGAAGAACAAGGUUGGUCUCAGAAUGGUCAACAAAAGCAAGGGGGGACGCGGCAACUACGAGCAGAUGCGAGUUUUAAAAACAAUGACUACAACGAGUGCCGAUGCAAUGCGGAUGAUGCCAUGAUGAAAUGCAACAAACAAAAUAAAACGCACGACGGCAACGAAGAACAUUGAAGGCUUCUGAAGCGUCGGUCUUGGGGCGUUACAACUUGGCAUCGCUCCGGACGAUUUAUCGGAGGAGAAGCUUAUGGCUCCUCCUAAACAAGCUCCACAAGACGAGGGUUCUCAUGAUGAGUGAUUUACAGAGUUAUUUGCUGGGACCAAGGAAACAUCUGGUCGUUUGUUCUUUUGGUUUUCUUUUGUCUUAUGUCGCUCUGAACUUGUCUGAUGUGGCUGUGUGUUACUCUGCGGAAGUUAUACCUAAACUGUUAAGCAGCUCAGUAGGAUUCUAUUGUCUUAUGUUAGUUAUUUAUGGAGACUACAUCGUUUCGUAAUUGGAAUGUGCUGUGUUGGAAUGUACGUGGUCUGAAUUCUGAUGCUCGCCAGCGUGAUAUUAGAGCUAAGAUCGAGGAGAGCCACUGCUCCGUAAUUUGUUUACAGGAAACUAAGUGUGAGCAGUUUGACAUUAGGAAGAUUCGGUCCUUCUGCCCUAGGCGUUUUGAUCAGUUUGCUUUCUCUCCUUCUGUGGGUGCCUCUGGUGGAAUUUUGGUCAUUUGGAAUUCUUCUGUCUUUGAGGGGCAGCUAGUGGAGGUCCAACGCUUCAGUGUUGUUGUUGUUGUUUCUUUCAAGUCUGUUCGUAACUCAGAACGAUGGACUCUGGUUUCAGUGUAUGGGCCAUGUGAGGGUCAACCUAGAGACGAUUUUGUGAGUUGGUUAUAUCAUCUAACUAUCCCUCUGGAUGAGAAUUGGUUGCUCCUUGGUGAUUUUAACUUCAUUCGCUCUCUAGAUAACAGAAAUCUGCCAGGAGGUGAUAUAAAUGACAUCUUUCUCUUUAAUGAAAUUAUUGGUCAUCUUGGGCUAAUGGAACUGCCAAUAAAGGGUAGAAGCUUUACUUGGUCCAAUAUGCAGCAAAUCCCUCUCCUGGAACAGCUCGAUUGGUUCUUCACAACCUCCGACUGGAUCUCUCACUACCCUAAUACAGUUGUCUUUCCUUUGGCUAAAACUGCAUCAGAUCACGUGCCAUGUGUGGUUUUAAUUGACACUAAAAUCCCCAAGUCCAAGGUUUUUAGGUUUGAAAAUUUCUGGGUGGAAAUACCAGGGUUUAUGGAGUGUGUCAAGAAAUCUUGGGAGGCCCCUGUGUUUUCUGACCUCUCUGCAUCUGCAGUUUUAACCAGGAAAUUUAAACGCCUCAGGUAUGAUUUGAGAGUUUGGAGUAAAACCUCUCUUACCUUAAGAAGUUAACUGUGGAUUGCAGCAAGGUUAUUCUCUAUUUUGAUAAGAUGGAGUUAAGACCACUCGUUAGAACUGAGUUCAAUUUCAGAAAAAUCGUCAAGCUUCAUUAUGAGCAUUUGUUGAAACUCCACUAUAUUUAUUGGAAGCAGAGGUGUACGAUCAGGUAUAUCAAGGUGGGUGAGGAAAACUCCAAAAUUUUCCAUGCCAUGGCAUCUGAGCGCAUGAGGAAAAACUCUAUAGCUAGUCUGAAAACCCCGAGGAUGGAUGAUCCCGUUUCAGAUCAUGAUCAAAUGGCGGGAAUCCUCCGGGCUUCCUUCAAAAACCGAAUGGGCCAGGCCCAGGACAUCUCAAUGGGCUACGAUUUGGGCGCACUCAUUCAGCCUGUCCCUGGUUUGGAGGAAUUUUCACUUCCCUUCUCUGAUGCUGAGAUUCAAAAGGUUUUGCAAGAGCUGCCAACCGAUCGGGCACCAGGGCCUGAUGGUUUUAAUGGCAUGUUUGUCAAGCGCUGUUGGCCGAUCGUCGAGAAAGAUUUCUUGAGUUUGAUCAAAGACUUUUAUGAAGGGAAAGUUUCUCUGGAAAAUAUUAAUGGAUCUCUCAUUACCCUCAUCCCUAAGAUGAUAUCUCCUGAGGGGCCGGAUGAUUUUAGGCCUAUUUCUCUUACCAACACCUGCUUGAAGUUUCUAACCAAGUUGUUGGCUAAUAGGUUGCAAAGGGUGAUUUUGAAUUGCAUCCAUAAAAACCAGUAUGGCUUUCUCAAGGGUAGAUCAAUCCAGGACUGUCUGGCUAUUGUUAUUCUGAAAUUGGAUUUUGCCAAGGCUUUUGAUAUAGUUAAUCAUGAGGUUAUUUUGCCGAUGCUCAAACACAAAGGUUUUGAUGAUAAAUGGAUUGGUUGGGUCAAAGAGAUCCUUUCUACAGGGUCUUCUUCUGUGUUGCUCAAUGGCAUCCCUGGCAAGCAGUUCAAGUGCAAAUGUGGGGUCAGACAAGGGGAUCCUUUAUCACCUCUUCUAUAUGUAAUAGCAGCUGACCUUUUACAAUCUGUGGUUAAUCAAAUGCUGGCCCAGGGUAUCUUAUCACUCCCAAUCCCCACACAUGACCAGGAGUUCCCUAUUAUACAGUAUGCUGAUGAUACUGUUAUCUUUCUGUCACCCAGAGAUGAGGAGCUGGUUGCUCUCAAGAACAUGCUGCUUACCUUUCAGCAAUCUACUGGUCUCAAGGUCAAUUUUGCAAAGUCUUUAAUGAUCCACUCAACCUUGAGGAAGGUGAAGCAAUUAGGUUAGCUGCUGUGUUGGGCUGCAGGAUUGGCCAACUCCCUUUUACUUAUUUAGGGUUGCCCCUUGGAACCACUAGGCCCAGGAUUGUUGAUCUCAUGCCUUUAGUGAACACUUUGGAGAGGCGUCUGACUGCUAGCUCAUGUAUGCUAAACCAAGGAUCUCGUUUGCAGCUCCUAACUUCAGUCCUGACUUCUUUGCCAAUCUACUUUCUUUGUAGUUUGCAAAUCCCACCUGGUAUUAUCAAGCAGUUGGACAGAAUCUUCAGACAGUGCCUCUGGAGGGGGAGUUCUGAUGUUCCCAAGCAAUCUUUGGCCGCUUGGGAUUUAGUCUGUCGGCCAAAAGACAAAGGUGGUCUUGGGGUUAUCAACUUAAACAUUCAAAACAAGGGUCUUCUGCUCAAGCAUUUGCAUAAAUUUUAUAAUAAGGCUGACAUACCCUGGGUGUCCCUCAUCUGGAACAGUUAUUAUGCUGAUGGUGUUCCACACGCUACAACCCCAGUGGGCUCCUUUUGGUGGAGACAUAUCCUCAAGCUCCAUGAUGCAUACACAGCUAUUGCCUCAGUGCACAUCAACAUGGGUGACUCUGCUCUGUUUUGGACUGAUGCUUGGUUUAUUGGUGGCUCUUCUAGACCUUUAUGUUGGAGAUUGCCAAGGUUAUUUUCCUUUGUUAACAAUGACAAGGUUUCAGUGCAUGAAUUCCUCAUAUCGCAGGAUAUUUUUACCAUGUUCUUCUUGCCAUUGUCUCAUGAGGCUGCUCAGGAGUUGCAAGUGCUAGAAGAUUGGAUCAUGGCCUUGAACAGGGACACCAACAUACCAGAUGUUUGGGUUUGGCCGGGCAGAUCUAGUAGUUUCUCAGCCAAGAGUUUCUACACCUUGAUGCACUCACAUUUACCCACAAUUCAACCGUGUAAAUGGUUGUGGAAAAGCAGAUGCACCAUGAAGAUCAAAGUCUUUGGAUGGUUACUUUUGUUUAACAGGCUUAACACCAAGGACCUUCUGAUCCGCAGGCACUGGAGAUCCCCCCUGGAUGAUAAUCUUUGUGUUAUCUGUCAUGAAUUUUCAUAUGAGGAUACGCUGCAUUUGUUCUUCAACUGUAAUUUCAGUCGGAGGGUUUGGAACUACCUUUCUAUUGACUGGUCAAGAGGGCCGGAUAUUCAGCAAUGUAUCCAACAUGCUAGCUCAAGCUUCAGGCAUCCUUUCUUCUUCGAAGUAAUUUUGACGGCAUCAUGGAAUAUUUGGAUCCUCAGGAAUGGCAGAACUUUUAGAGGGGAGAGAGCUACUUUUGCUGCUUGGCGGUCUAACUUUGUACAUGAUCUUUCACUCCUAACUCAUAGGCUCAAGGAUGAUACCAGCAUCAAGCUUAAAGCUUGGAUAAAUGCUUUAGCCUAAUUAGUCCAGGUAGGUAGUUCUAGUCUUGUACCUUAGCUUUGUAGGCUAAUUUCUUAGCUCCUAUAUAUAAUCCUACUAUUCCUUUUUGUACAGUUGCUCGAUUUCAAUAAAGGGCUGUGGGGCUUUGCCUCACAGUAAAUAUUAAAAAAAAACCUUGCAUGGAGAAGUGAGACGACGCCUAGGUUGUAGGUGUGUCCCGGGGAGCACGUGCAGCACCAGUAGGCGAUGAUUAGUGGAUCUGUUGAUGAUCAAAUUCAUCACAUCCCAUGAUCAUACGGACUACGGAGGGUGAAACAUGGCGAUUGUGGAUCAGAGGUGCAGGCUUGAGACAACGGGAAUGGAGCAGGUUCGCCACUUAAAAGGGGAGGGGGAAGUUCGUCGGCUACACGCACAUGAGCAGGAGCAAUAAACCCAGCCGUUCCUUUUCUCGAUAGUGGAUCUGUCGAUUGGAGAAGAUGAAGAGGAAAAGGGGCGGCCGUGAAGAACACUGGAGGUGUUAUGGGAAGAACAGGAGUGCCAUGAUGGGAGGGAAUUGAAGCGAUGGGCAAGGCACUACGAUGGGGAAGAAGAAGCGACGGGGAAGAAGCGCGAGGGGAUCCCCUUUGGGGGAUAAAAAUAUCUGACGCUACAAAGCGGUGCGCCUGGAAAAAAAGGACGACUUCUUUAGAGAAAAAAAGGGACAUGAAGAAAAUGAUGCCAAGUGACGUGGCAUCAUCACAAUCUAGGAAAAAUCAAUAGUGGGAGUUUAGGAAUAGAGGAUGACGUGGCACACUGAUGUGGAUAGUGUGCAUGAUGAGAGAAUAGGGAGUAGUGGGGAGUAACUUCUUAAAAAUGGUAGAUGUGAUCGGACCCUAACCUCUCUAUGCUUUCUGCCUCAAACUCUAUAUAUCCAAAUCAUAUGCAUUCUGUUGAAACGGUCAAAUGUAUUCUCUGCGUCCUUGUCAGCGGAAGAUACAGAGACAAACAUUAAAUCUAUUUUAAAUGCUCAAUUCUUAUUGCCUGAAACCCGGAGAAGCCGGAACGAUCAUCCGACAGUCCAGGCGGGCGUGGGAACGUGGGACAACUCCCAAUGUGUUGCAUGUUCGCCAUGUGUCCCUCAGAUGUGAACCACCAGGGGCGCCUGCGUAAUUGUGCUGUGCUGUCCCUUUCCCUAUAAAUACACAUCCAAUCGCGGUCAAAAUCUUUCUUCCACCUCUCCACCUCAACAAACCCUAGCGCCAUCGCUAGCUCUCGACGACGCCGGCGACGAAGCGCUUAGCUGCCGCGACCUCUCCGACGCCGUCUUCACGCCGGCCGCGGACAUCGUCUUCUCCGCCGCCGCCUUAGGUGUCCUCCGUCGCCAAGUUAGGGCACGGAAGAUCGAACUGCUCGGCCUCAUCUUCUACUCCGUCUAGCAGUUCAUCGUGUGGUAAAUUAAAACCCUCUUUUUACCGUCUUUUUGAUCCUAUAGAUUAAUCCUUUCUACCAAAAGUGGUUUCUGCCUCCACAAAUUUGGAUCUAUCCUGUUUGCAUCUCAUAUGAUGCCUAGUAUAUUCACUUAUGCUUCACACGUAGUUAGAUUCCUCACUUGUACGUAUUCUUGGAUUCGUACAAAUCUGGAACCAACUCUCAACAUAUAAGUGAAUGUCUUCGCGCUAUGAGGUCAAUGGCUUCUAAACUGAUUUAUCUUCAAAAUCUUCUAAGAAUGCAUAUGACCUCUUCCCCUUCCCUCGCAUCUCUAAUGCUGUCACAGGUACAUGUCCGUGGGAGAAUCCCUUGGUUCUCAUAGUCUGCAUUCAUUUGCAGAAUUCUUACAACAUCAUAUCAACUCUCCCGAAGCCAGUUCCUGUCUGACCAGCAGACGGAAGCCUUUGACAGUGUUGAAGCCAUUCAGUCUGAACCUCAUGGCAAUAGAAAAGUCUGCAAGGAAGGGUGGCAGACAGCGCCGUGGGAACACAUCGAAGGAUUUGCCACCAUAUCUCUAUGAGCUGUACAAGACAGAUCCAGAGGAGGACUACAAUCAGUGAAAACCCCGAAUCCAAUGGAUUCGAAGAUAUUGGGCAGAACAAUGGUACAAGUACAGGUUCGUGACCCAGGAAUAUGCUGAGAAGAAUGCCAUCAAGCGACCCUGGGGAGACAUCUUGUACAAAAAUCUUCCACCCAAGUCCAGAGCUGAAGCCAUUGAACAAGGCUUCUACCCUUGCAUGGUCCGUGGACCACAGCCUGCAGAUGCCGACCCAUCUUCAUUGCUAUGGUGUCGUGACGACAAUCUGUUCAAGCGCAACUUCCAGUUUGCCAAGAACUCGGCCAAAGAAAACAAGAAGUCGCGGGGAUUAGACUUCAACCCCGGUCCCUCUGCUCCUCGUGCUGAUGGCACACGCGAAGCUGAACCCAAUCUUGUUGGUCCCUUCUACAACCUGGAAGGUCUCAUCACUCAUAUUAUGGUUCAAGGGACAGACGUGGAUCAACCUACAGAUGACGCUGAUUCUGACGAAGCGCCUGCACCACCGAAGACUAAGAAGCUGAAGAAACCCAAGGCUUCGAAGCCUUCCACUGCACCAAAAGCUUCGCAAGCGAAGCCUCUGGCCACUGCUCCUUCUCCACCAGGUGUGCAGUCUGAAGCCCAUGCACACCACUGGUCCAGCUCUGACCCCUGCUGCUGUUUUGAGGAAUGAAAAUGACGCCAUUGAUCUGUCAAGUGAUGACGAUCUUGCCGAUGACGCUCUUGAGCAGCUGAUAAAGAGCAAGCAAGAGGCAUAAAUCUUCAAUGAUUUGCCUCUCUUUGACGUGGAAGUAUUGAACAACUUCAUUGAUGAGUGGUUUGACACCCCCAAUCUCAGCUUUGAUGAUCUGCAACUUCCCAUUGGGCUAAGCGUCUCCUUCCAUGGCGCCAUUGCUGCUGAGCUGGCUCUUGCACAGAAAAUUGUUGAGCUGAAGCACAAGAUCGACUAUGAAAAGGCUCAGUUCAAGAAGCACAUGGCCAAGCUCAGCGUAACAGACGUCCAGAACUUCAAGGUCGUGCUGCAUGAGCUCAAGGAAGCGUUUCACAAGAAACGUGAAGAAGCCAAAGGUUCUCGAGAGCGCAUGAAGCUUCUGGCUGCAAAGUGUGUUCAAGCUUACAAUGAAGCUGAGAAGCGCAAGGCACUUGGGCAUCCUGGCAUCGACCCUAAGAUGGCUGCCAAGCAGAAGAAGAAGCCUGCUGUGGACCAAGCUGAACCAUCCAGGCGGGAAGAACCUCGCAUUGUCUUCCCCGCUAGUAUGACAUGCGUGAAGCCUAAGGUCCCCAUAGUGGCUUCAGAGCUUCAGAAGACAAGGGCAGCCGAAGCCAAAGCCAGAAAGCUCAAGACCAAGAACACCACUGACAAUGCUCCACCCACCAAGAAGCGCAAGACCAAGAAGAAAGAUCGGGCUGCUCCCACAGAGCCCCUUGUCGUCGAGCCAAUUUCUGUUGCUCGUCCUCCAUCUGCACAACAAGAAUGUCGUUUGAUAGUUCAUGAGCCUGCUUCCCCAAAGGCUCUUGAAGUUGAAGACAUUCCAGCUGUUGACCCCACCGCAGCUGAAGACAUUUGUCAUCAAUACAAUGUUGAAGAUGAUUAAGUCCUUCCUCAGAUCGAGCAUAAUGUGGUAUCAUCGCCUGUUCUCACGAACAACGAACUCAUCAGCAUUGGUCGUCCUUUGACGCUAAUUGCUCAGGAUGACUCAUGGGCUGAUCACCCUCAAGACUCCCCUCGUCAAGCAGAAACACCAGUUACUCCCCCAACUCAAGUCACCACUCCGAUGAUUGAAGAUGAAGACUUUGUGGCCCAACCAACUCCAUCUCCACAAGCGUCACCAGCAUUCCGCAGGCUUCGCAAAGGACCAAGGCCACAGGUCACUCUGUCAAGUGUUCCAGAAGGAGAAGAGCGCCAAUCGGUUUCUCGCCAAGUAUUUCCUGAAGCCUCUCCAACUGUGAACAACCCUGAGUCUGAAGCCAACGCAGCUGAAGAUAUUCCGGCUGCAUCAGCCGAUGACCAAGAAGAAGAACCAAGAGUUGAAGAAGUUCGUGUUGCUACACCCCUGUCCAACCCUGAAAUUGUUCUCGAGGAGAACGUGACCGACCCUCCAGCUACUCAAGUGGAGGUCAACAACAUUCAGGCGAUCACCAACACCAACACUGAAGCCAAUGACGUUGUCAUGGCUGAAGCUAAUGUGGCGCCUGAAGUCAAUGUGGUGCCUGAAGUGAUAGCACCUGAUGCAAAUCAGCAGCCUGAAGUCACAACCACUGUCACUGCUCCUGUACCGCCUCCCAGGCCACAUACUAUUGAGCAAGCAUACAACUAUGGUCAGCUGAUCACUGUCAGAUGGCCUAUUCUGGUUCCUCCACCUGCUGCUGGUCCGCAGUUUGAUUACCAUGUCGAGCACAGGCCUCAGGUCCAGAAGCCAAAGCCAAGACUGCCCAGGUUUCCAGGUACUGCCACUUCACCAGGGUCCUUUCUUUGACAGCGCCAAGAACCCCUAUUCCAAGCCAAGGAUUUCAUCUAAUCGGUUCUGGAGCUGUCAGCAGCGCAGCUACUACUCAUGUGUUCUCUAUGAUCAAGGGCACAUCUUCCCUCAUAUGCGUCUUGACUGUGAAGCCAUUGCCGGAUUGCCAUGCCUUGAAGAGCCCUUGACUGCUUCCGUGAUGCUGGAUUGCUGAAUUUUGUGACUGAUAAGGAUCAUUGGAAUGAAGAGCUUCUGCUGCAAUUCUAUGCCACCCUCCACAUUCGCGGCCACAACAGGGAUCCGAAGACAUGGGUCCUUGAGUGGAUGUGUCGGUGUACAAAAAGAGGGGUGCGUUUUUGUACCCCUUUACCUGUGCACGGGCAGUCGGAGCGGCGCCCACGGUCACGCCAAGCAGAACAGGGGAGGUAAGCCAAGGUAAGACCGAAGCCCAAGAUAAUCAGAGCAAAGCCAAGGCCAAGACCACAAAGAGCAGAGGGACGAAGCAGAUUCCCCCGGCAAGACCCUUGCCGGGGCAGCCUCAGCAGCCCCGGCAAGAUCCUUGCCGGGGCAGCUCGCCCCACACCAACAGAGCGAGCCACCCUUGAGCCCACGGUCCCCAACGCCAUCAUCCACGUGGGCCCAGGGCUCGGGAAGGCACCUCUGUGGUGGCAUGCAGAUCUUUGUGAAGACAUAUUCAAGGUCAGAUGAGGAUUAGAAGACGACGAUCCUCGGCAAGAUCCUCGCCGAGGAAGGCCACCAGAGCCCCGGCAAGGCCCUUGCCGGGGACGACAGCGCGCCACGGCAACACCCUUGCCGGGCCACACGGCAAGACCCUCGCUCGGCCACCCGGCAAGGCCCUCACCAAGGACGCCAGCGGGGCCACCGCCAGGCCCAUGCCAACCAAGCUUCCACCGCCGUUCACAUGCAGCUGCCAGCCCAACCAGCUGGGCGGGCACCUGCGUGGCGACAUGCAGCCUCCAGGCCAACUCAUCAAGCGCCUGCGUGGCGGCAUGCAGAUCUUCGUGAAGGCUCCACCACCGCGCCACCUCAGCUGCCUGCCUGCCUACAUGGCGCCGCACACAUCGCUGGCCAGGGCGCGUGUCAAAGCGAGGAGGAGCGGCGACGGAUGGGACGGGCCUCGCCCCCGUCCCCAAUAAAGCAAGGAGACACCUAAGCUACGCAUUAAUGCGUCUUGUCCUGUAAUACGAGCGAUAAGCUCAGGGCACUGUACGCCUUUCCACCUCCUGUGUGCCACUGUGGCAGCCCCUUCCGACUAUAAAAGGAGGCCCGUGGCAUACUGGAGAAGGAUUCGGCUCUUUCGAACCACGCACUCACCACAGCUAGUUCGAGAGCUCAAGAACUCUCUGAAAUACACCCUCCAAAGCAGGACUAGGGUUUUACGCAUCCUCGCGGCCCGAACCUGGGUAAACGAUCCUUGUGCUGUCUACUAGCCCUGCUCUUCUCGCAACCCCGCGCCCCGGCAACCGUAGUAGGGAUUCUUGUGAUCCCAUAGGUGUCGUUCCACACCGACAUCUUUGGCGCGCCAGGUAGGGGAGUGCAAUUGUGAGAAUCUGGUCUAGUAGUUAGCCUAGCGGUUCUUCAUCGCCAUGGCUCCCAAGAAGAAGAUGGCCACGGCGAUCGGCUCAUUGGGAGCCGAACGGCCCGUGCCGGUGCGCACGAGCAGUGGACCGGUCGUGGGCAGGACCCGGGCCGCGGUCCGCGAGCACCAGCAUCGCCCUGGCAGUCAGAACCUGGCGAGUGGCGUCGUUUGCGCCCUAGAUGACCGGCCGCACGUCGCCAGAUCCAAAGACGGAGCUGGGGCCCCCGCAGGCGGCGCGGGGCCCUCCAGGGGUGUCGUUGUGCCACCUCCGGGCGGCGCAGCGACCUCCAAGACGCCCACGCCGGCGACCACUGCGCGCUCUUCCCAUGGUGUGCGCGCCGAUCAGCGUCACCACGCUGGUGACCCUGGGCACCGCCGUGGGAAGAGCCCUGUGCGUCAUCCGCGGGAUGAAGGGGUUCAGCAUGCCCACCGAAGCGCUGGCGAAAAUGGCAUGCAGCUGCUGGGUCGUAACGGAGCUCCUUCUAACAUAGUUAGAAGUCGAAGCGCGCCGCGAUCCACGCAGCAGUCGCCGCCGCCCACGCCAGCAGAAGCUUUGGCACGCGCGCGCAGCUGCUCCUCGACUUCUGUAACGCCCACGAUGCGGCUAUAUCUCCCACGUGUCGAGGCACGACUUAGAGGCAUAACCGCAUUGUGGUUUUGUCGCAAGAAGGGUCAUCUUCACACAAUCCCAUGUAAUGAACAAGAAUGGGAUAACGAGAGUUGGCUUACAAUCGCCACUUCACACAAUACAUAAAUAUAAUUCAUACAUCAUCCAAAAUACACACAUAGACCAACUACGGUCAAGAUCCAAAUGAAAAUAAGAAAACCCCAAAUGCUAGAUCCCCGAUCGUCCCAACUGGGCUCCACUACUGAUCAUCAGGAAAAGACACAUAGUAACGACCACGUUCCUCAUCGAACUCCCACUUGAGGUCGAUCCCAUCAUCUGCACUGGCAUCGUCGGCACCUGCAACUGUUUUGGUAGAAUCUGUGAGUCACGAGGACUCAGCAAUCUCACACCCGCGAGAUCAAGCCUAUUUAAGCUUAUAGGACAGGAUGGUGUAAUGAGGUGGAGCUGCAGCAGGCACUAAGCAUAUAUGGUGGCUAACAUACGCAAAAGAGAGCGAGAAGAGAAGCAAUGGAACGGUCGUCAUCUAGUAAUGAUCAAGAAGCGAUCCUGAACUCCUACUUACGUCAAACAUAACUCAAACCGUGUUCACUUCCCGGACUCCGCCGAGAAGAGACCAUCACGGCUACACACACGGUUGAUGUAUUUUAAUUGGGUCAAGUGACAAGUUCUCUACAACCGGACAUUAACAAAUUCCCAUAUGCCUCAUAACCGCGGGCACGGCUUUCGAAAGAUAAUACCCUGCAGGGGUGUCCCAACUUAGCCCAUCAUAAGCUCUCGAAUGUGCCGACAAAUCCCGAUAGGAGCUGCACAUAUCUCGUUCUCAGGGCACAACGGAUGGGCAAGACGUCGGGUUGGCAUAGACCCUGGUUGCCCGGGGGCGCCGGACAUCGCCCAGUUUGGGCCAGCACUUGAAGGAGCACUGGUCCGGGGGUUUAAAAUAAAGAUGACCCUCGGGCUCACGAAAAACCGGGGGAAAAGGCUUAGGUGGCAAAUGGUAAAACCAAGGUUGGGCCUUGCUGGAGGAGUUUUAUUCAAGGCGAACUGUCAAGGGGGUCCCAUAAUCACCCAACCGCGUAAGGAACGCAAACUCAGGGAACAUAUCCCGGUAUGACAGAAACUAGGGCGGCAAGAGUGGAACAAAACACCAGGCAUAAGGCCGAGCCUUCCACCCUUUACCAAAAAUAUAGAUGCAUUAAUUAAAUAAGAGAUAUUAUGAUAUCCCAACAUAUCCAUGUUCCAACAUGGAACCAACUUCAACUUCACCUGCAACUAGCAACGCUAUAAGAAGGGCUGAGCAAAAGCGGUAACUUAGCCAAACAACGGUUUGCUAGGAAAGGAUGGUUAGAGGCUGUCAUGGCAAUAUGGGAGGCAUGAUGUAGCAAGUGAUAGGUAGCGCAGCAUGGCAAUAGAGCGAACAACUAGCAAAGCAAAGAUUGAAGUGAUUUCGAGGGUAUGGUCAUCUUGCCUGCAAGGUUCUCAGAGUUGUCGAAAGCUUGAUCCUCGUAAGCGUACUCAACAGGUUCCUCGUUCACGAACUCGUCUCCCGGCUCUACCCAAAACAAGAACACAAGCAAUGGAACCACAAUCAAUCACGGGAAAUGCACAAGCAACAUGAUGCAAUACAUGAAUGAUAUGCAAGAUAUGAUAUGCGAUGCAUAUGCGUGCGCCGGAAGAAAAAUGAUGAACAAGGCAGUAACUUGGCAAACCAAGUAUGCCACUGGAAAGAUGAGAUGAUUUCGGUCGAAAUCGAUAUAAAGAUCACCGGAAACGGAUGCACGGUUCGCGAAAGGCAAGCAAAACAAGAAUGACACGAAUCUGUGAUUAACAGCAUGAUAUCACUUAGAAUACAUCAAGUAACUAUGCUACAGCACUCCAACAUAGCAACAAAGCAUAUGAAAGUAAUCUAAAGGAGGUGUUUGACAAAAGAUGAACACUGAGCUACGGCUAGAUCACAACAUAACAGGCUCAAACAAGCAUGGCAAAAGUGCGAAAGAUAUCAGGUUAACAGACUUGGUGAAAUUACUGGACAUGGCUGAAACAGCAUCAGGUAGCAAUGUUCAGAGCAAGAAACACACAUGCUACAGGAACUUAAUAUAGCAAAACAAGGCAUGGAAUGAAUCUACUAAAUGCAUAGAACAAAAGUCCCUUACUGACCAUAAGCGAAAAACGACCAAAAGUUAUGAUGGCAACCAUGUGAACAUAGCAAGUUUCGUUAACAGGUUACAGACUUGGCAGAAAACAGAGCAUGGCAGAAACAAUAAUAUGAAGGCAUCUUGGUAAGCUUGAUGCACUCACCACAAAGAAAUUCAUGACAAAACAAGCAUACCUACAGCAAGAUGGCAUGUUUAUGAAGCUAUCCAUGGCAAGAGCAAGUACAUAGCAUGUAUGAAACAACUACAACAAGCUUGGCAAAUUGAAUAACACGUAAACAAUCUGCCAUAAAUAUUUUAUAGCAAAAGUAGAGCAAGAUUGAGUCAUUCUAUGGCACUCCAUAAUUGCAAACAAGGGUAGUAGUGGAUCAAUUACAACAAUAUCUACAAAACAUCCUUACUGAACAUCUCCAAAAUAUGCAUGGAUCUCUCUGUAGCAUCAAGUUUACAUGGCAACAAAAUAACAGCAGACAAAGACUUGGAGAAAUCACCAAGUCUCUGAAAUCAGAAACAUUACAGAGCCUAGUUUGCAUGCUUGUGCUAGUCACCACACAGAUCACAAAAAUACAUGGCAUACACCUCUGUAAAUAUGGCAUGGCAUACAUCAAAACACAUGUAGAGCUCCUACUCAUAAGAUGCACAUAUCAAAUGCAACAAAAAUAACAAAUCCUCAUGUUCUGAUAAGUAACAGCAGUUAACAGCAUAUAGCACGCUUGCACCAGAGAUUUGGGCAUCAAGAUCAACUCAAAUGAACAUAGUGCAAUUGAACAAAAUGUAGAGCAUCACAAGACGAACAUUUCGAUAUAUUACAUGCACGAAACGGAGCUAUAUGCAGAGAGUUAUGCCAUGAUGAACAGGGGUAUAUAAUGUGAACAUGCAAAAGACUUGGGAAUAUUUUCGGGGAGAGGAGAGGAAAGUCAACCGUGGGCUUCCUCGAUCCAGAUCUGGCCCGGGCCGGGCUUCGAGCUCGCCGGCGGUGGAUGGCGACGCCGGAGGAGAGGAGGGAGAGGCCGGAGGGAGGCGGCGCUCGGGGCCGCUGGCGGCGGAGGAGGGGGGCGCCGGCGACGGGCACGGCUCGGGCGGCGCCGACNNNNNNNNNNNNNNNNNNNNNNNNNNNNNNNNNNNNNNNNNNNNNNNNNNNNNNNNNNNNNNNNNNNNNNNNNNNNNNNNNNNNNNNNNNNNNNNNNNNNNNNNNNNNNNNNNNNNNNNNNNNNNNNNNNNNNNNNNNNNNNNNNNNNNNNNNNNNNNNNNNNNNNNNNNNNNNNNNNNNNNNNNNNNNNNNNNNNNNNNNNNNNNNNNNNNNNNNNNNNNNNNNNNNNNNNNNNNNNNNNNNNNNNNNNNNNNNNNNNNNNNNNNNNNNNNNNNNNNNNNNNNNNNNNNNNNNNNNNNNNNNNNNNNNNNNNNNNNNNNNNNNNNNNNNNNNNNNNNNNNNNNNNNNNNNNNNNNNNNNNNNNNNNNNNNNNNNNNNNNNNNNNNNNNNNNNNNNNNNNNNNNNNNNNNNNNNNNNNNNNNNNNNNNNNNNNNNNNNNNNNNNNNNNNNNNNNNNNNNNNNNNNNNNNNNNNNNNNNNNNNNNNNNNNNNNNNNNNNNNNNNNNNNNNNNNNNNNNNNNNNNNNNNNNNNNNNNNNNCGUAGCGGACGCGGAGAGGCUGCGGGCGGCGGCGCGUUUGUCCGGCGGGGUACGGACAUGUCCGGCGGCGCGGAGGGAUAGGGUUAGGGUUUGGACUGCGGAUUAUCUCGGGAGGGGUGCAAUUAUAUAGGUAGAGGGAGCUAGGAGACUCAAAACGAGGUGCGGUUUUCGCCCACACGAUCGUGAUCGAACGACCUAGAGCAUGGAAAUGACUUGGAGGGGUUUUGGGCUGUUUAGAGAGGGGGUUUUGUGGCAACACACAGAAGGCAUCUGCGGUUACCCGGUUAACCGUUGGAGUACCGAACGACCUCCAAAUGGAACGAAACUUGACCGGUGGUCUCCCGGUGGUAUACCAAGGCCACUUGACAAGCCUCGGUCCAUUCCGAGAACGUUCGACACCCGCUCACGAAAAGAAACAAGAGGGGUGCGCCGAAGGAGGUGGGAGUGCCGGAUUGCAAAACGGACAACGGGGAAAUUGCUCGGAUGCAUGAGACGAACACGUAUGCAAAUGCAAUGCACAUGAUGACAUGAUAUGAUAUGCAUGACAUGAAAAAAAUGCAAAAUGAAAGACAAAACCCGACCACGGAGGGAAUAUCAUAACACAUAGCCGAAAAUGGCAAGAGUUGGAGUUACAAAUAUGGAAAGUUACAUCCGGGGUGUUACAACACUCCACCACUACGAGAGGAUCUCGUCCCGAGAUCUAGGACUGAAAGAACUCCGGAUAUUCGGAACGAAGAUGGUCCUCGCGUUCCCAGGUGGCUUCUCGGUCGGAAUGGUGUGACCACUUCACUUUCAGGAAUUUGAUUGACUUGCUGCGAGUCUUGCGCUCAGUUUCUUCAAGAAUAGCAACGGGGUGCUCAUGUUAAGACAAAUCUACUUGGAGGUCAAUCUCUUUGAAGUUGAUAGUGCGCUCAGGCGUCUUGAAGGACUUGCGGAGCUGUGACACAUGGAACACAUCGUGCACGUUCACGAAGUUGGAAGGAAGCUCAAGUUGAUAGGCGAGGUCGCCUCUUUUGCGAAUGAUCUUGAAAGGACCCACGUAUCUAGGGGCAAGCUUCCCUUUGAUACCGAAGCGACGAGUGCCUUUCAUUGGAGAGACGCGGAGGUAGACAUGGUCUCCGAUCUCGAAAGCCAAAUCACGGUGCUUACUAUCAUAGUAACUCUUCUGGUGCGAUUGCGCGGCUUUGAGAUUAUCACUGAUGACUUUACACAUUUCUUCAGCUUCAGUGAUUAAGUCAUUGCCAAGAAGUUGGCGUUCACCAGUCUCUGACCAAUUGAGAGGAGUACGACACUUUCUGCCAUAGAGAAUCUCGAAUGGGGCCUUGCCCGAACUCGCUUGGAAGCUGUUGUUGUAGGAGAAUUCAGCAUAUGUAAGACAAUCUUCCCAUUUCAUGCCAAAGGAAAUGACACAAGCCCUGAGCAUAUCUUCAAGAAUUUGAUUGACUCGCUCGACUUGGCCACUAGUUUGAGGAUGGAAAGCUGUGCUGAAGCGAAUGUUGGUGCCCAUGGCCUUCUGGAAGGAGUCCCAGAACUUAGAGGUGAAGAUGCUUCCACGAUCAGAAGAAAUCAAUUGUGGAAUGCCGUGCAAGGAGACAAUUCUGGAGGUGUAUAGCUCUGCCAACUGAGCUGCUGUGAUAGACUCUUUCAUUGGAAGGAAAUGAGCCACUUUAGAAAGCUUGUCGAUGACAACGAAGAUAGCAUCAUUUCCGCGCUUGGACUUGGGAAAACCAGUCACGAAGUCCAUUUCGAUAUGAUCAAACUUCCACUCUGGGAUAGCAAGAGGUUGGAGGAGACCACCUGGUCGUUGGUGUUCUGCUUUCACUCUUCGACAGACAUCACAUUCAUUCACGAAUUGAGCAAUUUCUCGCUUCAUUCGAGUCCACCAAUACGACCGCUUGAGGUCAUGGUACAUCUUCAUACUUCCAGGAUGAAUGGAAAGAAGAGAAUUGUGCGCCUCGUUCAUAAUGACUUUCCUUAGAUCACCUUUAGGAACCACAAUCCGGUCCUCGAAGAACAAAGUGUCUCUGUCAUCAAUGCGAUAACACUUGUAUUUGGAAAGACCCUUGUCGACACCACGUUUCACCUUCUUCACCAUGGUAUCCAGGAGUUGUGCCUCACGAAUUUGAUCUUCCAAAGUAGGAGAGACUAUGAGGUUGGCAAGAAAGCCUUGAGGAACAACUUGGAGAUUCAGCUUGCGGAAAGCUUCACAAAGAUCCGGUUGGAAAGGCUUGAGAAUUAAGCUGUUGCAAUAAGCCUUCCUGCUUAAAGCAUCUGCAAUGACAUUGGCCUUGUCUGAGUAUAUUCAAUACUCGGAUUGUACUCUUGAAUCAUUUCGACCCAUCGAGUCUGCCUGAGGUUGAGGUUGGGCUGAGUGAAGAUGUACUUGAGACUCUUGUGAUCGGUGAAUAUGUCCACUUGUCUUCCCAACAAGAGAUGUCUCCACGUUAUUAAUGCAUGGACAACUGCCGCCAACUCAAGAUCGUGAGUGGGGUAGUUCUUUUCAUUGGGCUUCAACUGACAAGAGGUAUAGGACACAACUUUCUUCUCUUGCAUUAACACAACACCGAGACCUUGGAGAGAAGCAUCACAGAAAACUUCAAAUGGCUGGAUUCGUCAGGAGGAGUUAAGACAGGAGCUGUGACGAGUUUCUCUUUGAGAGUGUUGAAAGCAACAUCACACUCAGGAGACCAGACAUACUUCACAUGCUUUUGGAGGAGGUUGGAAAGAGGCUUUGCAAUCUUAGAGAAAUUCUCAACGAAUCUUCGGCAAUAGCUUGCAAGACCAAGAAAACUGCGGAGCUGCUUGACAUUCUGAGGAGGUUCCCAAUUCACAAUUGCGGACACCUUCUCGGGGUUAACAGCGAUGCCCUUGGCAGAGAUGAUGUGACCAAGGUAAAGAACUUCAUCAAGCCAAAACUCACAUUUGGAAAACUUCGCAUAGAAUUGAUACUCUCUGAGCUUGUCGAGCACCAAUCUCAAAUGUUUGGCAUGAUCCUUCUUAUUCUUGGAGAAGACCAAGAUAUCAUCGAGAUACACCAGGACGAAUUCAUUGGUAUAGGGGUUGAAGAUGAAAUUCAUCAUCCGAGAGAAUGUUGGAGGAGCAUUGACAAGGCCGAAAGACACGACAGUAUAUUCAUAAGAACCAAAGCUUGUUCUGAAUGCUGUCUUGGGAAUAUCUUCUUCACGAAUGCGAAUCUGAUGAUAACCCAUGCGAAGGUCAAGCUUGGAGAAUACUUUAGCACCUUUGAGUUGCUCGAAUAGCUCAUUGAUGUUGGGAAGUGGAUACUUGUUCUUGAUUGUCUUCUUGUUCAAUGGACGGUAGUCGACACAAAGUCGGUCCGUGCCAUCCUUCUUCUUUACAAAAAGAACACCACAACCCCAUGGAGAAGAACUCGGUCUGAUCAAACCCAGACGCUCUUGUUCAUCGAGCUGUUUCUUCAAUUCCUUCAGCUCCUUGGGUCCAAGCUUGUAUGGACGCUUGCAAACGGGUUCAGUUCCUGGCUCAAGAUCGAUAACGAACUCAACUGGCCGGCGAGGAGGCAUACCCGGAAGCUCUUCUGGAAAGACAUCUUGAUACUCACAAACAACUGGAAUUUGAGAGAUGGCAUUCAAUUCGCCCUUCUCAUUGAGAGAAAAUAACCGAAUGGUUUCAUCACGAGCGGCAUAGAUAAUCACAUCCUCAGAAGAGUGUGUCAAUUGAAUUUCCCUGGCAGCACAAUCAAGUUGAGCCUUGUACUUAGAAAGCCAGUCCAUCCCGAGAAUUAGAUCAAUAUCCGAGUCACCAAGAACCAUUGGAGAAGACAGAAAUUUAUAAUUGCCCAUCUUGAUAGAAACAUCCGGAGCCAUCAUUUUGGUAUUCAUGAAUAAUCCCGGAGCGGAAACCGCUAUCGGCUUAGGAAGAUCAACAGUAUGCAAAUUGUUCAUGGAUGCAAAAGGUCUUGAUAUGAAAGAAAUAGAUGCACCAGUAUCAAACAAGACUUUUGCAGGAAUAUCAUUAACAGGAAGAUUACCCAUUAUCACAUCAGUAUAUUCCUCCGCUUGAGCUGCAUUCAUCAUGUUCACCUUUGCAGACUUUGGAUUAUGCUUGACCACUGCAUUGUUGAAAGAUCUGACAGGGGGAGGAGGCGGAAGACGCCUUUGGUUGAAGCACUUGUUAGCAUAGUGACCUUUCUGCUGACACUUGUUGCAAGUCACCUCUGAGAGUGGACGGUGAUAAGGAGCAUUGGACUUUGGAGCUUGAUUCUGAGACUUGUUCUGAUAGCCAGAGUUGGAAGAGUGGGAAGAACCAUGGCCACCUUUGUUCUUCUGCUGGUAAGGCUGACGAAACGGAGGAGGAGGCAACCAGAACUUCUGUUGCUUAGCUGCCACAAGUGAGGAAGAAGAAGACUGCACUGCAUCCCUGACUCUCUUCUUAGAAGCCUCACACUUGAGCUGAGCAGCCUCUUGCUUCAGUGCCAUAUUGUAGAAUUGAUCAAACUGAGUAGGCUCAACAAGAACGAGAGCUAACUGCAGAUCCUCUCUAAGGCCACCUCUGAAGUGAUAGAUCAUGCUCUUUUCAUCAGGAACGUCUUGUUUAGCGAAGCGAGCAAGUUUCUGAAACUGGAUGUUGAAUUGAUACACAGACAUGUUGCCUUGCUUGAGAUUGCAGAACUCCUCACGCUUGCUCUCAACAACACUUUGUGGAAUGUGGUGCGCUUUGAAAUCCCGACAGAAGUCAGUCCAAGUAAUCACAGGACCUCCUCUGGAAUCUUUGUAUUGUUGAUACCAAUCAGCAACUUGGUCCUUGAGCUAAAAAGAAGCGAACUUGACAUAGUCCUCAGGCUUGACAUUGCUACAUUCAAAAUGCUUGUUGAUGUCCACGAGCCAAUCAUCGGCAUCCGUGGCCUCGGCACAGUAGCUGAAAGACUUGGGCUGAUUUGCGAGAAACUGGUUGAGGGUAGCGAAGUGAGGCUGAUUGUUGCCUUGGCCUUGAUUCCCUUGAUUGCCUUGCCCUUGGGUGCGGUCUUGCAAGAGUUGCAGAAUCAUCUGAGCAUUGGCGUUGGUGGCUGCCAUGAUAGCUUGCCAUGCCUCCGGAGGUGGAGGUGGUGGUGGAGGGUUCUCUUGACUCCCUUCAUUGCGAUCCGGAUUCUGACGCGUUGGCGGAGCCAUCCUGAAGAGGGUGACGUCCGUUAGCAUCUUGAUAGACAAAUAGACAAGUAGAAUCAACAGAUAGAAAUUGCAACAUAUAGUCUUCACAAUAAACAUUCGAACGAGGAUGAACGAAUGAAUUCCAUAGUAAAUCAUUGCACUUCCAUAAAUUGAGAAGCCACUUAGAACAAGGUAUGGAAAUCAACAUUUGACUUCGAAGCAACUCGAAUACCACAAUUCAAAACAAAACAAAGUAUUGGCUUGCAGAAUAAGCCGGAACAAACAUAUGAUAGAUAUUUCGUCCGAAGUUUUCGUGGUGGGGCCCACACGGGCUCGAUCAUACAGCACCAUCAUGUACAAGGCUGUGCACAUGACAUACGAAGCGUCCCCGAGUCGGCAUAGCCAAGGACUCUUUAAGACACUACGAGACCACUAUAAGACCAACCGUGUACAGGCGGACCACUAGACGUCGAACCCCAAUCUCAUAUCAUGCGUCUAUCGGAAAGAUAUCCUAAGAGCUACUUGAAUUCCCACUUAUAAACUCCCGAAACUUUCUGUUUAUGCAAUCUGGUGUUGGGGAUACAGGGGACACAAAAUAUAUCACCCAAACUAGCAAUCCCUAGAUCCAGCUGUAUCCAUCCGUCAACACAUAACCAAGAAACCUUCGGAAAUCGUGUACCUCAACCUUCGAAAAACAUCCGUUAUACGAGUUAUGGCAAUACUCCCGAACUCCCGCCCCAGUACUGGGUGGCGUCGAGGUGAUCUCACCAACAACUGCAUAAAAGAGAUUUCGAUGUCGGCGAAACUCAGGUAUUCCAGAACUGCAACGAUAAAAUUGUGACGACAACACCUCGGAGCUCAACUCCCCGGGACACUGCCACAACCCCUAAAUGUCAGGAGGCACCAAGAACAAUGUUCUCGUCACAAAACCAUCAGAACGAUUCUAAGAUACCCGCGUGAUCCUAAAUUUUUUUUAGUGAAAAUUGAGGAGAGAAUAGUCAAAACUUCUAUGUCAGGAGACCUCACCAGAGCGAUGAAAGGACUGAGGAGUAAAAAGAAUCCUACUCUCCGAUAUAUAUAAUCCUAAGACUCAAAACAUUUUUGCUCUAGACUCAACAACGCCAGCGAUUCGAUCAAGCAGGGGGCUCCUAAGUCGGAGAUGGCUCUGAUUACCAACUUGUAACGCCCACGAUGCGGCUAUAUCUCCCACGUGUCGAGGCACGACUUAGAGGCAUAACCGCAUUGUGGUUUUGUCGCAAGAAGGGUCAUCUUCACACAAUCCCAUGUAAUGAACAAGAAUGGGAUAACGAGAGUUGGCUUACAAUCGCCACUUCACACAAUACAUAAAUAUAAUUCAUACAUCAUCCAAAAUACACACAUAGACCAACUACGGUCAAGAUCCAAAUGAAAAUAAGACAACCCCAAAUGCUAGAUCCCCGAUCGUCCCAACUGGGCUCCACUACUGAUCAUCAGGAAAAGACACAUAGUAACGACCACGUUCCUCAUCGAACUCCCACUUGAGGUCGAUCCCAUCAUCUGCACUGGCAUCGUCGGCACCUGCAACUAUUUUGGUAGAAUCUGUGAGUCACGAGGACUCAACAAUCUCACACCCGCGAGAUCAAGACUAUUUAAGCUUAUAGGACAGGAUGGUGUAAUGAGGUGGAGCUGCAGCAGGCACUAAGCAUAUAUGGUGGCUAACAUACGCAAAAGAGAGCGAGAAGAGAAGCAACGGAACGGUCGUCAUCUAGUAAUGAUCAAGAAGUGAUCCUGAACUCCUACUUACGUCAAACAUAACUCAAACCGUGUUCACUUCCCGGACUCCGUCGAGAAGAGACCAUCACGGCUACACACACGGUUGAUGUAUUUUAAUUGGGUCAAGUGACAAGUUCUCUACAACCGGACAUUAACAAAUUCCCAUCUGCCUCAUAACCGCGGGCACGGCUUUCGAAAGAUAAUACCCUGCAGGGGUGUCCCAACUUAGCCCAUCAUAAGCUCUCACGGUCAACGAAGGAUAAACCUUCUCCCGGAAAGACCCGAUCAGUCUCGGAAUCCCGGUUUACAAGACAUUUCGACAAUGGUAAAACAAGACCAGCAAAGCCACCCGAAUGUGCCGACAAAUCCCGGUAGGAGCUGCACAUAUCUCAUUCUCAGGGCACAACGGAUGGGCAAGACGUCGGGUUGGCAUAGACCCUGGUUGCCCUGGGGGCGCCGGACAUCGCCCAGUUUGGGCCAGCACUCGAAGGAGCACUGGUCCGGGGGUUUAAAAUAAAGAUGACCCUCGGGCUCGCGAAAACCCGUGGGAAAAGGCUUAGGUGGCAAAUGGUAAAACCAAGGUUGGGCCUUGCUGGAGGAGUUUUAUUCAAGGCGAACUGUCAAGGGGGUCCCAUAAUCACCCAACCGCGUAAGGAACGCAAACUCAAGGAACAUAAUCCCGGUAUGACAGAAACUAGGGCGGCAAGAGUGGAACAAAACACCAGGCAUAAGGCCGAGCCUUCCACCCUUUACCAAAAAUAUAGAUGCAUUAAUUAAAUAAGAGAUAUUGUGAUAUCCCAACAUAUCCAUGUUCCAACAUGGAACCAACUUCAACUUCACCUGCAACUAGCAACGCUAUAAGAAGGGCUGAGCAAAAGCGGUAACUUAGCCAAACAACGGUUUGCUAGGAAAGGAUGGUUAGAGGCUGUCAUGGCAAUAUGGGAGGCAUGAUAUAGCAAGUGAUAGGUAGCGCAGCAUGGCAAUAGAGCGAACAACUAGCAAAGCAAAGAUAGAAGUGAUUUCGAGGGUAUGGUCAUCUUGCCUGCAAGGUUCUCAGAGUUGUCGAAAGCUUGAUCCUCAUAAGCGUACUCAACAGGUUCCUCGUUCACGAACUCGUCUCCCGGCACUACCCAAAACAAGAACACAAGCAACGGAACCACAAUCAAUCACGGGAAAUGCAAUAGCAACAUGAUGCAAUACAUGAAUGAUAUGCAAGAUAUGAUAUGCGAAGCAUAUGCGUGCUCCGGAAGAAAAAUGAUGAACAAGGCAGUAACUUGGCAAACCAAGUAUGCCACUGGAAAGAUGAGAUGAUUUCGGUCGAAAUCGAUAUAAAGAUCACCGGAAACGGAUGCACGGUUCGCGAAAGGCAAGCAAAACAAGAAUGACACGAAUCUGUAAUUAACAGCAUGAUAGCACUUAGAAUACAUCAAGUAACUAUGCUACAGCACUCCAACAUAGCAAAAAAGCAUAUGACAGUAAUCUACAGGAGGUGUUUGACAAAAGAUGAACACUGAGCUACAGCUAGAUCACAAGAUAACAGGCUCAAACAAGCAUGGCAAAAGUGCGAAAGAUAUCAGGUUCACAGACUUGGUGAAAUUACUGGACAUGGCUGAAACAGCAUCAGGUAGCAAUGUUCAGAGCAAGAAAAACACAUGCUACAAGAACUUAACAUCGCGAAACAAGGAUGGCAUGAAUCUACUAAAUGCAUAGAACAAAAGUCACUUACUGACCAUAAGCCAAAAAGGACCAAAAGUUAUGAUGGCAACCAUGUGAACAUAGCAAGUUUCGUUAACAGGUUACAGACUUGGCAGAAAACAGAGCAUGGCAGAAACAAUAAUAUGAAGGCAUCUUGGUAAGCUUGAUGCACUCACCACAAAGAAAUUCAUGACAAAAUAAGCAUACCUACAGCAAGAUGGCAUGUUUAUGAAGCUAUCCAUGGCAAGAGAAAGUACAUAGCAUGUAUGAAACAACUACAACAAGCUUGGCAAAAUUGAAUAACACGUAAACAAUCUGCCAGAAAUAUUUUAUAGAAAAAGUAGAGCAAGAUUGAGUCAUUCUAUGGCACUCCAUAAUUGCAAACAAGGGCAGGAAUGGAUCAAUUACAACAAUAUCUACAAAACAUCCUUACUGAACAUCUCCAAAAUAUGCAUGGAUCUCUCUAUAGCAUCAAGUUUACAUGACAACAAAAUAACAGCAGACAGACUUGGAGAAAUCACCAAGUCUCUGAAAUCAGAAACAUUAUGGAGCCUAGUUUGCAUGCUUGUGCUAGUCACCACAGAGAUCACAAAAAUACAUGGCAUACACCUCUGUAAAUAUGGCAUGGCAUACAUCAAAACACAUGUAGAGCUCCUACUCAUAAGAUGCACAUAUCAAAUGCAACAAAAAUAACAAAUCCUCAUGUUCUGUUAAGUAACAGCAGUUAACAGCAUAUAGCACUCUUGCACCAGAGAGUUUGGCAUCAAGAUGAACUCAAAUGAACAUGGUGCAAUUGAACAAAAUGUAGAGCAUCAUGAGACGAACAUUUCGAUAUAUUACAUGUACGAAACGGAGCUAUAUGCAGAGAGUUAUGCCAUGAUGAACAGGGGUAUAUAAUGUGAAAAUGCAAAAGACUUGGGAAUAUUUUCGGGGAGAGGUUUGGAAAGUCAACCGUGGGCUUCCUCGAUCCAAAUCUGGCCGGGGCCGGGCUUCGAGCUCGCCGGCGGUGGAUGGCGACGCCGGAGGAGAGGAGGGAGAGGCCGGAGGGAGGCGGCGCUCGGGGCCGCGGGCGGCGGAGGAGGGGGGCGCCGGCGACGGGCGCUGCUCGGGCGGCGCCGACGACGGGCGAGGCGGCGAGCGGCGGCGGGGCCNNNNNNNNNNNNNNNNNNNNNNNNNNNNNNNNNNNNNNNNNNNNNNNNNNNNNNNNNNNNNNNNNNNNNNNNNNNNNNNNNNNNNNNNNNNNNNNNNNNNNNNNNNNNNNNNNNNNNNNNNNNNNNNNNNNNNNNNNNNNNNNNNNNNNNNNNNNNNNNNNNNNNNNNNNNNNNNNNNNNNNNNNNNNNNNNNNNNNNNNNNNNNNNNNNNNNNNNNNNNNNNNNNNNNNNNNNNNNNNNNNNNNNNNNNNNNNNNNNNNNNNNNNNNNNNNNNNNNNNNNNNNNNNNNNNNNNNNNNNNNNNNNNNNNNNNNNNNNNNNNNNNNNNNNNNNNNNNNNNNNNNNNNNNNNNNNNNNNNNNNNNNNNNNNNNNNNNNNNNNNNNNNNNNNNNNNNNNNNNNNNNNNNNNNNNNNNNNNNNNNNNNNNNNNNNNNNNNNNNNNNNNNNNNNNNNNNNNNNNNNNNNNNNNNNNNNNNNNNNNNNNNNNNNNNNNNNNNNNNNNNNNNNNNNNNNNNNNNNNNNNNNNNNNNNNNNNNNNNNNNNNNNNNNNNNNNNNNNNNNNNNNNNNNNNNNNNNNNNNNNNNNCACGGGGCGGACGCGGAGAGGCUGCGGGCGGCGGCGCAUUAGUCCGGCGGGGUACGGACGUGUCCGACGGCGCGGAGGGAUAGGGUUAGGGUUUGGACUACGGAUUAUCUCGGGAGGGGUGCAAUUAUAUAGGUAGAGGGAGCUAGGAGACUCCAAACGAGGUGCGGUUUUCGCCCACACGAUCGUGAUCGAAAAACCUAGAGCAUGGAAAUGACUUGGAGGGGUUUUGGGAUGUUUAGAGAGGGGGUUUUGCGGCAACACACAGAAGGCAUCUGCGGUUACCCGGUUAACCGUUGGAGUACCAAACGACCUCCAAAUGGAACGAAACUUGACCGGUGGUCUCCCGGUGGUAUACCAAGGCCACUUGACAAGCCUCGGUCCAUUCCGAGAACGUUCGACACCCGCUCACGAAAAGAAACAAGAUGGGUGCGUCGGAGGAGGUGGGAGUGCCGGAUUGCAAAACGGACAACGGGGAAACUGCUCGGAUGCAUGAGACGAACAUGUAUGCAAAUGCAAUGCACAUGAUGACAUGAUAUGAUAUGCAUGACAUGAACAAAAUGCAAAACGAAAGACAAAACCCGACCACGGAGGGAAUAUCAUAACACAUAGCCGAAAAUGGCAAGAGUUGGAGUUACAAAUAUGGAAAGUUACAUCCGGGGUGUUACAACUUCCCUCCUGUUGCAGAGAAGCUCGACAAGUGGAGGGCCACCAUCCGGAGCCUCGUCGCCAUCGCCAACAAAGACGAUCCACGACCAGCGGGGCCCUCAGGUCGGCGCUCCACCGAGCCACCACGUGCUGGCGCUGGGAGGACCGGGGGAGCUGCGGCCACGGUGCACUCUCCUCCUCCUCGCCAGCCGCCGCGGGCGUCUGCCCGUCGUGACGACGCUUGUGAUAACAUCUCAAUAGCGUCGUCCGACCCACGGACCCUCCGCGACCAGCGCCAGGUCCUUCGGGAACGAGCUCACAAAGACGCUCGAACCAGCGUCGAACGCCGACGCGAAACGCGCGUCCAGUCGGACAAGCGGGCGGGACCCGCUAUGGACCACCCGGCACCGGGGGGCUCCGGCGGCCUACCUUACGAGGUGGGAUGCCCGGCCUUUACCCGUGAGCUGCGGCAGUUCCAGUGGCCGUCCCAUUGCACGUUCAAGCCCGACGUCAGCGAGAAGUACACUAGCAGGACCCAUCCGUCCGAGUUCCUCAGCAUCUACACCAUCGCGAUGCAGGCUGCUGGGGCUCGCGACGACAAGGUGCUUGCCAACUAUUUCCCGCUGGUGCUCAAGCCCAAUGUGAUGUCUUGGUUGAUGCACUUGCCGGUGGAUUCCAUUUCUUCCUGGUCGAAUCUGUGCCAUGAGUUCGUUGGCGCCUUCACAGGAGGCCACCAAGCUCAUGGCCAGGCCAGUGAUCUGCAUAUCAUUCCCCAGAAGGAAGGGGAGACCCUACGCAAGUACAUCCAGAGAUUCAGCCGGGUGCAGUACAACAUCCCUGACGUUCAUCCCGCCGCUGUGAUUAGCGCGUUCCACCAGAACAUGCGCAAUCGCAAGAUGCGCGAGGAGCUGGCGAUGACCAAGGUCAAGGAUGUGGCCGAGCUCUACGUUCUGGCCGAUAGAUGCGCCCGGGCUGAAGAGGGAAGGAAGUACCCCGGCGAAGACGCCGGCACGGAAACCGACUCUACCGAUGAGGACGCCGCUACCCCGACGAAGAAGGGCCGGCGUUGCAACAGGAAACGCAAGGGCCAGGCCGUGCUUGCCGUUGAGGGAUCUGACGACACCGGUGCCGGCAAGAAGGUCAAGGCAGGCGCUCCCGGCAAGGAGAUUCCGGGUGCGCCGCCUGCCGGGCCUUGGUGGCUACCGACAAGCCAGGGAGCUCCGGCAAGCAAUACUGCAAGAUCCACCGCACCAAGGGCCACGACCUCCAGAACUGCCGACAAGUCGAGCUGCUUGCUGAUAAGCAAAAGGCUGAGUACAAGAGGCGGGACAAGGAGAAGGACAAGGACGGUGCCGAGGGAUCCGACAAGAAGCGUGGCGGCCAAGGAGGCUGCCCCGGCAAGGACAACCAGCAAGAGAGGCCCGCCCGGGGCCGCGACAAGAAACAAGAAGAUGAUGAUCACGACGAGGAGGACGAGUCUGGUGAGCAAGGGUUCCAGAAGGCUACGGAGGCCAUGUGCGUCGAUGGCGGCGCCUCGCUGCAUACCUCUCACCGCCAGCUCAAGCAGUGGGCGCGUGAGAUUACAGCAGCAGAGUCGUUGUUCGACUCUCAGAAGCCACUGAAGUGGUCCAACACGCCCCUCAUCUUUGACGCCGAGGACCACCCUAACCGCACUACCGCGGUCGGGUGUUUGCCAUUGUUGGUCACACCAACGAUACGCAACCUCAGGGUGAACAAGAUGUUGGUUGACAGCGGGGCCGGCUUGAACCUGAUUUCGCCUGUCGUGAUCAAAAGGUUGCAAAUCCCUGAUGGAUACCUCGAGGAAACGGGCAUGUUUCAAGGGGUCAAUCCAGGGAGGAGCCAGCCGAAGGGAAAGGUCACACUGCCCGUGACAUUUGGAGGAGAGUUGAACUACAGGACAGAGAGGAUUGUCUUCGACGUGGCCGAGAUCCCCUUGCCCUAUAACGGGAUCCUCAGCCGCCCGGCACUAGCCAAGUUCAUGGCGGCAUCACACUAUGCCUACAACAUGCUAAAGAUGCCUGGGCCGUUGACCAUCAUCUUCGUCCCCUCCGGCAAGAAGGACAUGCUGAUCUGCGCCGACCAACUCUACCGGGAAGCAGUUGCAGCAGCUGCCGUCAAGGCACCUGCUCCUGCCGCUGAAGGGCUGGGAGGGAAGAAGAAGCCCGACAAGACCUCUCGCACCCACUCCGGCAAGCGCACCUCCUCGGAGUGUUGCGCUACCGUCGAGGACGUGCCAGAGAGCUCUACCGACAAGAGCAAGAGAUCCAGAGCCGAGCCGCCGCAGACCAAGAAGGUGCCCAUCAGGGAGGAUGGCGCGGGAGGGGUCUUCACCAUAGGCUUCACCCUCGACAGCAAAUAGGAAGGCGCGCUCGUCACCUUCCUGCGGGCGAAUGUCGACGUGUUUGCGUGGCAAGCAUCUGACAUCCCCGGUGUUCCCAGGGAGGUGAUUGAGGACCACCUAGCUGUCUGCCCCCACGCGCGGCCCGUCAAGCAGAAGGUCAGAAAGCAGGCUCUGGAGAGGCAGGAGUUCAUCACAGAGGAGAUCAGGAAGUUGGAAGCGGCAGGUUUGGUGAGAGGAGUGCUCCACCCGACGUGGUUGGCCAAUCCGGUAGUGGUGCGCAAGGCGAAUGGGAAGUGGAGGCUGUGUAUUGAUUACACAGAUAUCAAUAAGGCUUGUCCUAAGGACCCCUUCCCGUUGCCGCGCAUCGACCAGAUUGUUGACUCCACAGCCGGGUGUGAUCUGUUAUCAUUCCUCGACGCCUACUCAGGCUACCACCAGAUCUUCAUGACAAGAGAGGAUGAAGAGAAGACAACAUUCAUCACCCCAUGUGGUACGUAUUGCUUUUUACGGAUGCCUUUCGGGUUGAAGAGUGCUGGCUCAACGUUCGCAAGAGCAGUCCAAAUUGGUUUUGAACCUCAGCUCCAUAGAAAUAUGGAGGCCUACAUGGAUGACAUAGUGGUCAAAACCAAGGACGGGCCACCUCUUGUGCAAGAUCUGGAAGAGACAUUUGCCAACCUGCGCAAGAUCAACCUCAAGCUGAACCCUGAGAAGUGUGUCUUCGGCGUUCCAUCCGGCAAGCUUCUCGGGUUCUUUGUGUCGCAGCGCGGGAUCGAGGCAAACCCAGACAAGAUCAAGGCUAUUGGGUUGAUUGAGGCGCCCAAGCGGAUCAAAGAUGUGCGUCGGCUCACCGGCUGCGUUGCCGCCAUGAGCCGAUUCAUCUCCAAGUCUGCCGAGCGCGCCCUUCCCUUCUUCAGAAUCUUGAAAAAGGCAGGCCCAAUGGAGUGGACCCCAGAAGCCGAGGCAGCAUUGCAGGAUCUAAAGAAAUACCUUUCCUCCACGCCAAUACUGGUUGCGCCUAAACCACAAGAGCCGUUGCUGCUGUAUCUGGCGGCGACGAAUCAAGUGGUCAGCGCUGCGCGGGUGGCACAGAGGGAGGUCAACGAGGAGGCAGUGACAACGGCAGAACCAGCGGAUGGCAAGCCCAAGAUUCCCCCGGUAGGGCCUGGUGCCAGCAAGGCGAGGCCCCCGACAGAGUCUGAUGCCGCCGAGGCAGUGCCUGCGCAGUCAAGUGAGGUGGUGCAGAAGAAGAAGAUGAUGCAGCACCCGGUUUACUUUGUCAGCUCCCUCUUGCAGGGAGCUAGAUCGAGGUACUCCGGUGUGCAGAAAUUGCUCUUCGGCCUCCUGAUGGCCUCGAGGAAGCUGCGUCAUUACUUCCAAGCCCACGAGAUCACCGUCGUCACCCGCCUCCCAUUGCAACGGAUACUGUACAACCUAGAUGCGACUGGAAGGAUUGUGGAAUGGGCCUUGGAGUUGUCAAGCUUCGGUUUAAAGUUUGAAAGUACCUCGAGAAUUCAGAGCAGAGUCUUGGUGGAGUUCAUUGCAGAAUGGACCUCAACGCCCGACGAAGAAAUCCAGGAGACCACUCUCCCCGGCAAGGAAGCAGACCGCGACUGGAUCAUGUACUUUGAUGGGGCUUUCUCGCUGCAAGGCGCCGGUGCCGGUGUGCUGCUCGUCGCGCCAACCGGAGAGCACCUCAAGUACAUUAUCCAGAUGCACUUCCCCAGGGAGAUGUCCACCAACAACACUGCUGAGUACGAGGGAUUGCUCGCCGGUCUCAGGAUCGCGGCAGACCUUGGGGUUAAGAAGCUCAUCGUCAGGGGAGACUCGCAGCUUGUUGUUAGGCAUGUCAACAAGGAUUACCAGAGCCCAUUGAUGGAGGCCUACGUAGAUGAGGUGAGGAAGCUGGAGGAACGCUUUGACGGUAUCCAAGCGGAGCACGUCCCCCGAAUGGAGAACGACAUCGCCGAUUACCUGUCAAAGCGUGCUGCAUUCAAGCUACCUGUGGAACUAGGUACCUUUUUACUCCGGUUAACUCAACCAUCCGUCGAGCCAUCAACGGGGCAGAACAAGCAGAAGUAGUCAGGUCCCGGCAAGUACUUUCCUACCGAGCCCCCUGGGGCCGCCGGCAAGGGUGCUGCCGCGGACGCUGAGCCUGCCCAAGAGCAACUGGCUCCGGCAGGGCGUCAAGCCCUGGCCGUAGAGACAGCCGUUCCCAUGGCGGAAGAAAUGCCUUUGGCCCUUGCCGUCGAGCCCCAGGCUCCGGCAUGGGCGCAGCAUACCGUCCAAUUCCUCCAAACAGGGGAGCUUCCUCAGGAGCAGGAAGAAGCGGAAAAAGUAGCCCGUCGGUCCGCCCUGUACCAGUUCGUCGAUGACGUCCUGUACAGGAGAAGGCCGAACGGCGUGAAAUUGAAGUGCAUCCCCCGGGAGGAAGGACUGGUGCUGUUGGCGGAGAUACAUGGAGGCAUAUGUGGCUCCCACAUAGGGUCGAGGGCCCUUUCCAGAAAGGCGUUCCGGCAAGGUUUCUUCUGGCCCACCGCCCUCCAGGAUGCGACGGCAGUAGUAACCAAGUGUGAAGCGUGUCAGUUCCAUUCAAAGAAGCUUCAUCAACCAUCCCAAGCCCUUCAAACAAUCCCUCUCUCCUGGCCAUUCUCGGUCUGGGUCUCGACAUACUGGGCCCUUUCCCCCGCGCUGUCGGGGGCUUUGAGUACUUGUACGUUGCAAUCGACAAGUUCACAAAGUGGCCGGAGGUGGAAGCAGUGAGAAAGGUGACUGCUCAGUCACCUGUCAAGUUUUUCAAGGGACUGGUCUGCCAUUUUGGUGUGCCAAAUAGAGUCAUCACCGACAACGGCACGCAGUUCACGAGCCACACCUUCAUGCAAUACAUUCAAGACCUCGGCAGCAAGGUCUGUUUUGCUUCCGUGGCACACCCACGGAGCAACGGCCAAGCGGAGAGGGCGAAUGUUGAAGUGUUGCGAGGCCUAAGGACAAAGACUUUUGACAAGCUGCGCAAGAGCGGAAGGCGCUGGAUUGAUGAAUUGCCGGCGGUUCUUUGGUCGAUCAGAAUGACGCCAAAUCGAGCCACCAGCCAGACACCUUUUGCCCUGGUCUACGGGGCAGAAGCAGUUCUCCCCACGGAACUCAUAUACGGGUCACCUCAAGUGCUAGCUUAUGAUGAGCUUGAGUAAGAGCAGUUGCGCAAAGAUGACGCGACGCUCCUUGAGGAAGAUCGUCUUCGGGCGGCUGUGAGAGUAGCACGCUACCAGCAAGCCUUGCGCCGCUACCAUAGCCGCAAGGUUCAUGCCCGAAGCUUUGAGGAAGGCGACCUUGUUCUUCGGCGCGUUCAGUCGGCCAAGAAUGCCAACAAGUUGACGCCGAAGUGGGAAGGCCCUUAUCGGGUAAUACGAGUCACCAGGCCCGGCGCAGUCCGCCUGGAGACCGAAGAUGCCGUCCCAGUGAGCAACUCCUGGAACAUCGAGCAUCUUCGCAAGUUUUACCCAUAAGGUGCGGCUUGCCGGGCCUCCCGGCAAGCCACCUUUUGUACAAGCUUUGCCGGCAAGGCAUGUGACCCUUUGUACAAAGCCAGGCACAAACCCUGAGCAUAAAUAAAUGAAGCGCUGGCGCCCUAAGUCAUAGCAUGCAUGCUAGGUCGAGUCCCUUCCUUGGUUAGGGUUGAUAGUACUCAGCAGCGACUAACCCCUAGCUUAGAGGUCGAGUGCGCGUCUAUCUGUUUCUCUUCUGUCCUCUUUUGGUUCGCAGGGCACAUGAGCACUUCUACCGAGCUACUUGGAAGAAAGAAAACGGAACAGCGUCCUGACCCCGGCAAACCAGAGUUGCCGGGGGCUGCAAGCACAAGGAUCCAACCGCGGCAAGAUGAGAUUGCCAGGGGCUGCAGAUCUAGAUAAGUCUUUCAUCCUCUGUCAUGUAUUUCGGAACCGGACUGGGGCAUGUGAAACCUCGUUUUUAUCUCUAGGCUGCCGUGCUCCCCUUUUUCCUAUACCUAAGGAUUAUUUCCUGGGUUCGGAUUUGGUUGUAGCCGCGGUAGCAAGGAGGUAGAACGAGGAGCCUAAAGCCCACUUCAUCCCUGCCUCCGCCAAGAGCGCGAGAAGGUCGAGUGGAGUGGGGGGACGGCAAGGUCUGUUGCCGGGUGAAAAACGUUUAUCUUAAACAAUAACAAGGAUUCGCUCCUUGUCGCGGGAUUUACCCAUGAACGAAAAACCCGGCAAGCAUCCCUUUUUCAUUAAAAACAUCCCAUACAGGUACAGUUCGUACGGAAUGAAAAACUUGAGCAAGGGGAUUACAAGUUCUAAAUUUAACGAAGGCCCGCAGGCUUACAAACUAAAAAAGAGAUAAGAUGCCCGUAAUCCCUUUCUUGUCCCUGUCCUCAGGAGGCAGGUCGAGGAGGCGAGAGGGCAAAAGGGGCGCCUAGGCGAGCUACGAGCAGCAGAAAGCACCAAGAGAACACCUCGGUGGCUGCCCACGGGUGGGUCGGUGAUGACGGUGCCGGGAAAGGAGCUGGAAGAUGAGGCGGCAGGACCGGCAAUACGCGAUGAAGGCGUCGGUGCCCGCGUACUCCGAGUUGAUGGCCUUGCCACCCGCCCUCUUCCUCUUCCGCAGCCUCCCGACGCUAGCCUCCCAAGGAGACGGCCCCGAGAAGUUCAAGGAGCUGGCCCCACCCCUGGCAAACCUCUGCCGGAGGAGCGGCCAGGUGCAGAUGCUGCUGCUGCCGCACCCGCCCAGGCGCGGGGCGUCCGACGCCUAGUCGGACUCGUCCCCGUCAUCUGCCCCGCUGUCCUCCUCAUCACUUUCACUCGAGGAAGAGCUUCCAUCAUCGGAAUCUUCGUCGGAGGAGCUUUCCACGCAGCACUUCAGGCGAGUUCCAAACUCUCCGAAGACCUUGACGGAGAGCAGGCCAUCCUCCAUUAAUUUGAAGUAGAGGACGAGCCCCGCCGUCAGGCUGUGGAUGCGAGCAAACGUCUUCCAUCCACGGCGGAUGUACAUAACCCGAGGAGCCGAGAAGUCGACGUAGACCCGCGUGCCCCCGUUCCCACAGCCCCUCAUGUGCAACCUGAGGGUCUGGGGCGGGUCACGCUCCAUCACCCGAGCAAACGGGGCGGGGAGACGAAGACGAUGACACGGAGGCCGGCGCAGCCUGAUGAAGAACUCGCGGGGCUGGUCUCCGACAUGGCCUUCCAUCGGAAAAGGCAACAUUGGCGGGGGCGAAGCCGGCGCGCCGCCUCGUCCUCCUCUUCCCCGAGCACUGCGACCUCUGCCCCGGCCUCGCCCACGGCCUCGCCCCCUCCCCCUUCCCCUCGCGGCCGGCUCCACCACCGCGGGCUCAGGAGGAGAAGGGACGCGCUGUCGAGCGGCGACCCUCGCCGCCACCGUCGAAGGACCAGGAUUCCCUUUCUCCAUGGCGAGUGAAAGGAAGAAGCAGAAGCGAGAGGAGAUAGAUGACAGAAGAGUGCGAGACGCCAUCUCUCCUCCCCCUUCCUUAUAAGGGAGCGGGGUCGGGGCUCGGCUGCCCCGCUCGGCCAAUCCGGCCACCAGAGGCGCAGGGAAUCGGGACCGACCCGCUGCCCCAACCAGCGACGGCCUGGUUUCCCGCCUCCACCGCUUGCCACCCCAAGUGCAUGGAGGACGCGUGGCGAACGUGCAGAACCGAGGGGACGGGCGAAGCGACCUCUCCCCACCCCGUGAUCGUGGGGAGUGGACGCCUUGAAGACCGCACCCUGGCCCCGUUCAGUAAAUGAGCCGCGCCUCCACGCCUCCCUCUUUUUACAGGGAAGGCGCGAGCCGCCUCUUUACUGCGAUGUGACGCAUGCAUGUGGAGACCGCCCCAUGCAUGCCGCCCAUGUCACGCACACCCCUCCACGCCGCGCUGCGGGCGCGGGUCGUGGGUAGUGCAGCGCGCGAAAAGUCUUACCACGGUAAAAAACUGCCCCGCCUGCCCGCGCACCGUUUUGGGCCUGGCCUAACAACGUGUCGUGCUUAUGUGUAGCAACACGAACUUCUUCAACUCUUGGUUCUUCUUCUUGGUCAUCGGCUGAUGUGUCGGUGUACAAAAAGAGGGGUGCGUUUUUGUACCCCUUUACCUGUGCACGGGUAGUCGGAGCGGCGCCCACGGUCACGCCAAGCAGAACAGGGGAGGUAAGCCAAGGUAAGACCGAAGCCCAAGAUAAUCAGAGCAAAGCCAAGGCCAAGACCACAAAGAGCAGAGGGACAAAGCAGGUUCCCCCGGCAAGACCCUUGCCGGGGCAGCCCCGUCAAGAUCCUUGCCGGGGCAGCUCGCCCCACACCAACAGAGCGAGCCACCCUUGAGCCCACGGUCCCCAACGCCAUCAUCCACGUGGGGCCAGGGCUCGGGAAGGCACCUCUGUGGUGGCAUGCAGAUCUUUGUGAAGACAUAUUCAAGGUCAGAUGAGGAUUAGAAGACGACGAUCCUUGGCAAGACCAGACCCCCGGCAAGGCCCUUUCCGGGGACGACAGCGCGCCACGGCAAGACCCUCGCCGGGCCACCCGGCAAGGCCCUCACCAUGGACGCCAGCGGGGCCACGGCCAGGCCCACGCCAACCAAGCUUCCACCGCCGUUCACAUGCAGCUGCCAGCCCAACCAGCUGGGCAGACACCUGCGUGGCGACAUGCAGCCCCCAGGCCAACUCAUCAAGCGCCUGCGUGGCGGCAUGCAGAUCUUCGUGAAGGCUCCACCACCACGCCACCUCAGCUGCCUGCCUGCCUACAUGGCGCCGCACGCAUCGCUGGCCAGGGCGCGUGUCAAAGCGAGGAGGAGCGGCGACGGACGGGACGGGCCUCGCCCCCGUCCCCAAUAAAGCAAGGGGACACCUAAGCUACGCAUUAAAUGCGUCUUGUCCUGUAAUGCGAGCGAUAAGCUCAGGGCACUGUACGCCUUUCCACCUCGUGUGUGCCACUGUGGCAGCCCCUUCCGACUAUAAAAGGAGGCCUGUGGCAUACUGGAGAAGGAUUCGGCUCUUUCGAACCACGCACUCACCACAGCUAGUUCGAGAGCUCAAGAACUCUCUGAAAUACACCCACCAAAGCAGGACUAGGGUUUUACGCAUCCUCGCGGCCCAAACCUGGGUAAAUGAUCCUUGUGCUGUCUACUAGCCCUGCUCUUCUCGCAACCCCGUGCCCCGGCAACCGUAGUAGGGAUUCUUGUGAUCACAUAGGUGUCGUUCCACACCGACAGGAUGACAGGCAACGUACACCAUGAAGCUAAAGCUUUUGACAUUAUUGAGCUCACUGGUCCGCCCACUCCAGGUGAACUAUAUGAACCUGGUUGUCAGCUUCACCGCAAUGCUUUGGAGAGCAUCUUUUAGAAGCCAGAGCCCAACAUGAGCCAAAUGCUGAGCACGAUGAAGCCUCUGCCACAUGACGCUGAUUACCCAAAGGAAUUCUUUGUUGAAGACCUAGAGUAUCUGCCCCGCACUAUUUAUCAUAUCAUCAGGCGAACUCUAUGGCCUGUCAAAGGACAUUCUUCAGCAGCGAAACUUGAAGGAGCAAUGAAGACUUUGGUCUUUUAUAUCUUCAAUGGCAUCAACUUCAAUGCUCAAGACUUCUUUAUCAGGCAGUUGGCUGCAUCAGGCUCUGAUCUCUUUGGACCGAAGUUCUACGCUCCAUGGGUUAUGCGCCUCAUCAAGCUACAUUCAGCUGUGAACUAUCAGCCCUCUGCUCGCAACCAUCUGAUCUUUCUGCCAGAGGUUGAUAUGUCAGUUGAAGCCAUAUACCCAGAGCCUGCCAAGGAGCCUGUUUGUCUUCACAAUGCUGAUCACCAAAGCUUCACACAACCCAUUGAAGGAGUCCAGGCAGUCACUCGUGUUUAUCCUUUGGCUGGCAAUACACGCUUACCUUGCCGUGCUCAAACUGAAGCCACUGAAAGCACUAUUGCUCAAAGGCCUCGGAAGCGAUCUCGUGUUCUCAAUGACCGAGAACUUCUUGUUGCCCUGCAUCAGAAACAGGAUAAGCAUCACUUCUGGCUGAAGUGGCAGAUGCAAAGCCUCUUGGUGGACGUCAAUCGCAUUCGCAAUCUUGCCACCAAGAAUGCCUUUGUUACACAUGAAACCUGUCGGAGGUCAUGGAAGAGUUUGACAUUGCUCAGUGCUGAAGCAGAUCUUCAAGACGAUGGCUUCACUGAAAGAUUCAAGUUUGACUCCACUCCUCCAAGGAAUGCUAUCUUGUGUCGACCUCCGUCUCUUGAAGACUCUGACUAUUCCUCCUCCGCUGCAAUGGUGAAUGCCAGAGUAAUCGAUGAUCAAGAUGAUGCUACUUCACCUCCUCCAACUUCAGCGCGUAUCGACACUGCACCAAGUUCGUCUGCACCGCCAAACCCCGACGCCGACCCUGCAUCCUCUCCUACUCCUUCUGGGAAUGAGUAGAGGCUCUAUGUCUUCAAACCUUUUUGGUCCUUACUGACAAAAGGGGGAUAAGCAUAUGAGUUGAUAGUCUUCAAGCGGGUCCAUAUGGGCGGUUGCUUUAUAUUUUGCCUAGUGUUUACAACUCUCGCUUUUGAAACAUUUGGUUCUUUUGAGUUGUAACACUUAAACUUGAUGGUCGUCUGCUACCUCUUUGCUAUUCUGUGAUGCGAUGAUAAAUUCCGCAUGUGCGAUGAUAAAUCCCGCACGAAGUCAAAUUGCAGACGUCCAUUUUUCAUUAUGCAUGUCAUUAUCUUCGUUAUAUCAAAUCAUGCAUGAUGAAUUGUCUUCAUAAGUGAAGAGAAUCUCCACAAGUACAACCUGCCAUGUGCAUUUGCAUUCCAAAAGCAAAUUACUUAUAUGCACAUCUUCAGGGGGAGCCUUUUGCUACUUAUGAAGACAAUACCUAAACCCCAGUGAACAAAGUCAGAGUGACUAAAGUGAUGCUCAACCAAAAUCCUAUGUCUUCGAGCGAAGACAAUGAGAGCAAAUCUUAUCCAGAGCUGGAUGAGUCAGCUUACUUGCAGCCCAAGUCAAGCUGUCGCGUGUGUUUGAAAUCUGACCAUUGGAACACGAGUGACCCAGGGUCAUUUCAGACAGAUCAGGUCGGGUUGCCUAGUGGCUAUAAAUAGCCCACCCCCUACACCAUAAAUUGGUGGCUGCUCAGAGUUAGUGCAUGACUUCUGUCAUUUGAGAGCAACCCACCUCCGAAGCUUUUGAGAGAGAGAAAUCCUUGCGAGGACAAAGCCCAAACACCCAGAGCCAAAGAGUGUUAGGCAUCACUGAAGUCUUUUUGUCCGCGUGACCUGAAGACUUGUUACACUUGAGGACAGUGAAUCCUCCAGCCGGUUAGGCGUCGCGUUCUGAGCAUCCAAGAGUCAUUGUGGAUCGCCGGUGAACGAAGUCUGUGAAGGUUUGGAAGUCUACCUUGAAGACUUACCUACAGUUUGUCUUCGUGAAGUCAUUGCCUGCUUGCACUACUUGUUUGACUUCACUGUGUGACUACUAUCAUUGUUUGGCUUCAUACCAUCUUCCAUCCUGAUCUGUUCUACCUAGCUGCUAUUAGUCUUCGUGCUUUCACUUUAUUGCAUACUUGACUAUGGCUUGCUUAGUGUAGUCUACCUUCCGCUGCAUAUCAAUAGGUUCAUUUCUAUUUGUUUGUCUUCGAAACUCUCAUGUUUUGAAGACGUUCAUAAAAAUCGCCUAUUCACCCCCCUCUAGUCGAUAACUAGCACUUUCAAUAAUGAACCCCUUGCAACCCACGUUCCACAACCAGCCGAUCCCCGCUGGGCACUUCAAGGUUAACUUGUCCAGUGUGAAAUCGGGGCACGGGGAUUUGCCUCCUCCAGUACAGCAUGUGGGAGAGGACGACGAGACCCCGCCGCGGAUUGGAAGCUGCCAGGGUUGGGUGCUGCUAUGGCCGAAGAAUCUUAUUCACCUGGAGCCGGCCGAGAGCACACCAAUAACCACACAUCAACAAGCAUGUGCGGAGACCACCACCCCGCCUACGCAAUUACCAGCUCCUGUAGUGCCGGGUGAGAGCGGCGGACGACGUGAUGAAGGGGGUGCAAUAGUACUGGCUGCUGUAAUAGGUCCUGUAGAACAAAGAAUGGAUGAUGAGACGGAGGUCGACCCAAUGGGUUUCCUCAAUACAAACGCGUAUGACUGUGACUUAGAUAUGAUGAGUCAACCAUAUGACGAACCGGGCUAUCAGCAUGCUAAUGAGGAUAUGGAUGAUCUGCCCGGGCAGGAAGGUCGUAGCAGGGAUUGCAAAAAGUCUCUCUUCAUGAAAUCCUCACAGGACACGCCUGAAGAUGCUGCCUCAACACAGGCUCAACUAGCCGGGGGUCGUACAGUGCUUAGCCCGGGAACACCGGGGCAGGGGUUAAGGAAGGGUCUGGAAGGUGUGCCCAAGAAAAAGGAGAGGAAGAGAUCGGGGAAGAUAGCUGCCUCCAAACAAGCCAGAGCACAUAGCAGCCAGACGAUGGAUUCUGAAGAGCGUGUACCCGUGAAAUGUGCGGCCAUGUUCCAUCUCAUGGGCGAGCCGAUGCUACCGCCAAAACCGCUGGAGGCACUAUCAGGGGAUCUGAGGAGACUGCACGACCAUGUGGUGUCGACUGAGAAAAGCCUACUAGCCUCGAAGGAUCCAGGAUAUCUGACAUACGCGGCUCGUGUGCCUGAGGGGAAGUGCGACGUCGACACACGGCCCGUGGAGGUGUUCUUCCUGCGGUUUGACCAUAUCUUUGAGAUGUUUCUGACAAGGUGGCUCGAUUUUACAAUCGUUCGCCUUUUUGCGCUACAUAUGAGCUCCGUCAUGAAGAGAGAAGAAGUCUCGCAAAUCUGUGUGGCGGAUCCGUACUACAUGCACGAGUCUUUCUUGAGUCUCGUCGACUUUGAGUGUGAAACCGCUAGGGACUACCUCCAAAACUUCAUGGUACAGAAUACGGACCAGGAAAUUGUCCUCCUGCCUUAUCAUCCAAAGUAAGUCAAUUCCGGACAACCCUUUCGUACAUUUCAAUCAUUCCUUCUUGCUCAUAUGGAGAGUAAUUUGAGGUGUCUUUUCCCCGCAGCAACGGGCGCGCCGUCCUUAUCGUUCUUUACCUGCGAGUCUCCCACACCGUGUAUUUUGACCCUUCUAGAGACUACGAGAAAAAGGACUACACCCACAUAAUGAAUAUUCUAGAUGAUGCUCUCCAAGGCUUCAGCAUUAGAGGUGGCCACAUGCAGAUCAGGAAACAAAGGAACAAGAAGAUGGGUUUUGCGCAUAAAACUAACUUCUGUUGCAUCCAUGUCCCAGAACCAAGUAAGAAGGAUGGAUUCUACAUCCUCCAUCUCAUGAUUGAGUUCAGCACGGAUCACCAAAAGCUUCGCAUGACAAGCAGAAAUGAUGAUCAUAUCCACAAGUGGCUAGAAUCUCAUGGAGAAGCGGAUUAUAAACUUAGAGAUGACUUCUUUCGCAUCCAAAGGGACAUUGCGAUGAUCAUCAUGAAAGAAGUCGUCGAUGAGAAGGGGAUGUUCCACCACGGCCCUAUAUCGCGAGCUGACGUCCGAACUCGCAUAGGCAUGCAACGUCAAGACCUUAUGCCGUUUAACAAGCUAGGGUCCAUCCUCGAUGAUAUGGAAGGAUGGAACUUCUAGUGAUUUAUGAUGCCGAUGAUGAUGAUAUGUGUCGGUUGAACUUGUAUACUUUCUGUAGCGAUGAAACUUUGUGAUGUCCAUGGUCCCUGCCAAACUUGCAUAACGCUACUUUGUUAGUUUGCGUACGAUGACCUGCGUACCUCUAGUUAAUUAGUUUGCGUACUGUAUGUUGCAUCUAGUUGCUAACCCUUUCUUUUUCGUGUUGCUCUAGUAUAUUUUGUUGCAUAUGAUUGUACAUCCUCUUCAUGAAGAUGCAUCUCUAACAGGUACCUAGUUUCUUGAUGGCGAGAUGGCAGUGCUAUGUCGUGUACAAAGGGAAGGUUCCGGGGGUGUACAACGAGUGGCCUGAGUGUUAGGCGCAAGUGAAUGGGGUCUCGGGCGCCAGCCAUAAAGGCUUCAAAAGCAAACAAGAAGGAGAAGCUAGUUACUUGAGGUUCACGCUAGCGCGAGAGAGGACUCGUAACCGCCGCCUCAUGUACUGCAUAGUUCCGCUCUCACUCAUAGUGAUAGCUCUUCUCGCGUAUACCAUUGUUUAGAUGGAUGACGUUGUAGUUGCAAGUAUUCGAGACUUGCAUGUAUCGCUAUUUUUGAGAUGAUGACGAGAUACCACUUUGUGUUGGAUGAUGAUUAUGAUGAGACUAUUUGUAUGUAUAUGCUAUGAUUACAUUUCUGGUCUCGGAGCCAUUUGUAUGUGCAUCAUGAUGACAUUUGUAUCUGCUAAAGAUUCCUGUAUAAAGCCUGUUCAAAUACAAAACAAACAUGCAGAAAAAAACAAAAACUACUAAAAUUAGCAGUAGCGAGUGGAGAAAAGUUAGCAGCAGCGUCACAGUAGCAGUAGCGCGUCCUGGCAAAGCGCGCUAGAGCUAUUAGCAGUAGCAAGCUUCCACGAAGCACGCUGCUGCUACACUUGUAUAGCAGUAGCGCGGGUGUGCACGCGUUGCUGCUAUGGGUUAGCUGUAGCGCCUUAUUAGUAGCGUCGGUCCCUGCGCUACUGAUAUACCUAGAAACCGCGCUGCUGCUAGCACUACAAAAAAAAAAGACACAUCCAUGACAUUUUGGGCCGAACGAAUUUUUUUUUCUGUCAUACUUAUGACACUUCUAUGACAAUAAUUGUGACAAAACACGGUAUCAUCAUAGAUGUGGUGGGGUCCUACUUCUAUGACAAAAAAUCAUGAUAGAAAAUGGGCUUUUCGUCCUGGGCGGGCCGGAGACGCAGCUGCAUGACAUUCUUUGGGCCGUCCAUGACGGAAAAAACCGUGGUAGAAGCGAGGGCGAGGAAAAUAUCGGGGUGUUCCCGGUUAUGGUGGGUGGUCGGGGCCGAGCGAUGCGCGUUUCUCUUGUACACGCACGCGCGUGGGUGCGAGGCGUUGGGCUCUAACUGAACCCGAGCGAGGCGUUGGGCUCUAACUGAACCCGAGCGUUUGCACUGCAGGCUACACGUUACUGAACUCGAGCGAUCGAUCGAUGGCUGUUAACUAAACCCGAUCGAGCGAUUCCUUCGCUACUACUGCUAACUGAAGCCGAUCGAUGCUGCCUCUGGAUGAACAGUGAGCGUUGCUGGGGGGGGGGGUUGGAUGAACAGUUCCCAGUGAGGGUGGAUGAACAGGACCCUGUGGUGUUGCCUCUGGAUGAACNNNNNNNNNNNNNNNNNNNNNNNNNNNNNNNNNNNNNNNNNNNNNNNNNNNNNNNNNNNNNNNNNNNNNNNNNNNNNNNNNNNNNNNNNNNNNNNNNNNNNNNNNNNNNNNNNNNNNNNNNNNNNNNNNNNNNNNNNNNNNNNNNNNNNNNNNNNNNNNNNNNNNNNNNNNNNGGUUUGGAUGAAUAGUCCAGGCGGGGGUGGAUGAACAGGACCCCGUGGUGUUGCCUCUGGAUGAACAGGACCCCGAUCGAUCGAGCCGGUUGGGGCUGGAUGAACAGGACCCCAUGGAGGGCUGGAUGAACAGGACCACCCCGUGGAGGGCUGGAUGAACAGUAGACGGUGGAGGGCUGGAUGAACAGUAGCCCGUGGAGGGGUGGUUGAACAGGAGCCCGUGGAGAGGGCUGGUUGAACAGUAGCCGGUGGAGUAGCGCGCGGUGGAGGCUGGAUGAACAGGAGCCCGUGGAUGAACAGUCGCAGGUGGAGGCUGGAGGAGGUCGACGGUGGAUGAACAGUAGGCCGUGGAGGCUGGAGGGGGUCGACGAUGGAGAUGAACAGUAUCCCGUGGAGUCCCGUUUUGCGGUACGCCACACCCCUCCCGAUGAACAGGACCCCCUUUGUAGCGCUCCAACACAAGUCCGUUUCCUCCGUUUUGCGGUACGCCACACCCCUCCGAUCAACAGGACCCCCGUUUCGACCGUAGGAGGUCUGUUUCCUCCGUUUUGCGGUACGCCAGACCCCUCCUGAUGAACAAGAUCCCGUUUCGAAUGUGGCCGGGCGAACACAAGGCCGUUUCCUCCGUUCUGCGGUACGCCAGGCCUCGUUUCCAUCGGCUGUUCCGUCCAAGCCGGUUGGCUCCCACGCGUUCCGUUGCCUCCCGAUGAACACGACACAUUCCGUUGCCUCCCCAUGAACACGACGACGACGCAGUUUCUCCAUUCCGACCCAGCCAUGUACACGAGCCCUGGCCGUACGUACGCACGAGUAGGCGUUCGAGACCCCGCCCGUAUGUACGUACGUGGCCGUAUUUACUUUCUUGCACCCUGGCCGCUGUACGUACAUGUACAUGCUACGUGCGCGCCUCUACAUUGACCAGUAUGUACGUACACGUUCGCGAUCAGAAUGACAACGCUACGUAUGCUUCGACCAGGUGGGUCCCGACUGUCAGGCACUUCCUUGCGUGCGAAGAUGUAGCUGGUGGGUCCCAGCAGUCAGUGGGGCGAAUUAUUUUUUUUUGCCCGGACGCACUUCCUUGCAUGCGAAGAUGUCGCUGGUAGGUCCCAGCAGUCAGGGGGGAAACGUUUCUUUUCACGAAAUACGGUUGCCCGUUCGGUGGGUCCUUGCUGUCAGGUGGAGGAAUCAUUAUUUUCCGCGUAAUAAGGAGGCACUUCCUUGCUGCGUCCGUGGACCCAGCCGUCAGCCUCUCCACGUACAGUCCACAUCCGAUGGAAGCCGUUCCUUGACCACGUUGACCACGGGGUGCCGAGAGCACCAGGGCGGUGGACGACGGCGAGGCCUAGGAAGGGGACGACACGGAGCCGGGGAAGACGCGGCAGUGGAUGCCCACGCGUAGAGGAGUAUGAGGGUUCACUGGUUCGCUGUGGUGUGAGGCUGUUGUCGCCGCAGAAUAACAGGGGGUGUGGGUGAGUAGAGGGAUGGCCUGGCCAGCGGUGGGAGUAGUAGAUGUGGUGAGGCCUCCGCGACGUCGCAGCCGGCCACGAGAGGCAGGAGCACGAGGCACGACCGGCGCUGCUUUGGGCGGCUGGAGCAAGAAGACCAGAGGUUGAAGAAGCACUACGGCCGUUGGAUGGACAUCGUACGGUCACUGGAGCUAGAAUCAUUCAUAUUGACUAAGUUGACAAAGCACUCCGUCCCCAUCAACUUAGUAGGCCCACAAGUCAGCCUCCCACCAAGGUGGGUCCCAACUAGCAGGGGGAGUAUUCAUUUUUUGUGCGUAAUAAGGAGGCACUUCCGGUGGGUCCGAGCUGACAGCGGGGGGAAUGUUUUUUCGCGAAAUACGGUGGCCCAUCCGGUGGGUCCCAGCAAUCAGGGGGGAAACGUUUUUUCGCGAAAUACGGUUGCCCGUCCGGUGGGUCCCUGCUGUCAGGUGGAGGAAUAAUUAUUUUCCGCGUAAUAAGGAGGCACUUCCUUGCUGCGGCCGUGGACCCAGCUGUCAGCCUCUCCACGUACAGUCCACGUCCGAUGGAAGCCGUUCCUUGACCACGUUGACCACGCCGCGCCGAGAGCACCAGGGAGGUGGAUGACGGCGAGGCCUAGGAAGGGGACUACGCAGAGCUGGGGAAGACGCGGCAGUUGAAGCUCGCGCGGAGAGGAGUACGAGGGUUCACUGGUUCGGCUGCGGUGUGAGGCUGCCGUCGCCGCAGAAUAACAGGGGGUGUGGGUGAGUAGAGGGAUGGCCUAGCCAGCAGUGGGAGUAGUAGGGGGCAGUGAGGCCUCCGCGGCAUCACAGCCGGCCACGGGAGGCAGGAGCACGCGGCAUGACCGGCGCUGCUUUGGGCUGCUGGAGCAAGAAGACCAGAGGUUGAAGAAGCACUACGGCCGUUGGAUGGACAUCGUACGGUCACUUCAGCUAGAAUCGUUUAUAUUGACUAAGUUGACAAAGCCCUUGGUACGCGUCAACUUAGUAGGCCCACAGGUCAGCCUCUGAAACGGUGCACCCCAGAUGUCAGGGGGAGGAAUCAUUUUUUGGGCGGCUGAAGCAAGAAUAUCCGAGAUUGAAGAAGAAGCACGACAUCCGUUGGAUGGACAUCCAACGGCCACAGCUGCCAGAACCGUUGUUGUUGACAAAGCCUUGCAUACGCGUCAACUUAGUUUUUUUUAGGGGACGCGUCAACUUAGAAGGCCCACAAGUGUGUGGCAAAGAACAUAUAGCCCAUUUGCGAUUUGUAAGAAUGUACAGCCCAUUUUUUAAUUCUAAUGGAAUUUACUACAUCCCAUUUAUAGUUUGUUAAAAGUACAGCCCAUUUUUUAAUUGUAAUGGAAUUUACUAUAGCUCAUUUACAGUUUGUUAAAAGUACAACUCAUUUUCUAGCUAGGACAAUGAUUAAUAAUUUCAACCAACCGCUCAAAACAGAAUUAAAAAGAAAUUCCCACAUUUUUAUGGGAUCCGAAAUAUUUUUAUCCCAAAUUUCUAGUCAGACUAAAUAUAAUUUCAAAAUAAAGUUGUAUUACGUUAAAAUCCAACGAAAUAUUACACGCGCAACAAGUAAUGAAAUUAAAAUUUUCAAAUUCCAAAAAUAAUAUAUUUUUUAAACUAAUUACGUGUUUGGUGCAUUUUUUUAUAGUUACUGCCCAGUUAUUAUAAUUACAUCCCAUUUAUUAUUUCUUAAAGUCCAUUUUCCUGUUAAGCCUAAUGCAUACCUUCUAGGAAAGUUUGCAGCCCAGCGGGGCGGAGAAUAACAAGUUGACCCGGAUAUUGUGUACAACUGUCGGCCCAAUUGCAUUGCUAAUGUUGAGAAAAAAGCCUGUGUAGUACAGUACAACCUAACAUGGCUACUCAACCCACAUUCAGCGACGCCGGAAAGGCCCAAACAAGGCUUCUAUACAACUUUUUGAAGUCACUGAGCUCAAUUAAUAACUUAAGAAAAAAGUUAGAUUACAGCGGAACCUAAUUAAAAGCUGUCACGAGCAAAGAAAUAAUUCAACGGGUCCCACUUGUGCGUGUGUGCGUGUGCGUGUGUGUGUGUGUGUGUGUGAGAGAGAGAGACCCAUCGGUCGAUGCUCAUAAAUACAUCUUUCAGCCAUAUGCAUUGCUGAUGCUCAGUAAAAACUUAUAUAGUUGACACAAUCAUAUAGAACAUCAUAGCACACCGAACUUGCAUACAAAAAUUUCAUGCAGGCGGCACAAUCAGGAUGGAAGGAGUGGAUCGCUACGGGUAGGGCUAUGUUGAAACCAACGAACUCGUACAUAACGGUUCAUCGUAUUUAUCAAUGACAGGGAAAUAUCUUGACUACUGUGCAAAGAAAACAGACAGACAACACAAUAAGUUCUGCUAGCACAUUAAGUUGACGUACAUCCCUUUCUAAAAAAAGUUUAGGUACAAAAUUACAACAUGUCACAAUCAAAUGUACUGGCACAUCAGUGCUUCACACCCAUAGCUCGGAUUUAACUAGUAUCUGACAAGAUUCAGUUGUUACCUCAAAUUAGAGCACAUCCAGGCAGCCAGCCCUGCCUCUUCUCCCAAAGAAGCAGUGGCCUCCGCCGCGCGAUGGAGUAGGCCCUGUGCCAUCCAUCGUUCCGAGCAACACGGGGAAAGUCUGACGUUGACUCCUAUAAUGGACGUCGUCGACGGACCCUGGCACCAGCGGUGGCGGCAGGACUUCGAUUGAUGGAUUGACCACUUUGUCGACAUGCACGAACACUCGAUACAGGUACAUCCCUAACGUGGUCCGCGGCGGCCUUGGUGGCGACGAAUAGUACAACCCCGCUUCCUGAACCGGUAUCUCAACACCAAUCACCUUCGGUAUAGUGGACGGCUUCUUCAUCCAUGCCAUAACCAUCAGAGCCCAGCUGUUUGGAGGAACAAACAUACUUACGAGCUCACCUCCAAGGUCGUUGAUAAGCUCAUUCAUGGACUCGCUGUUCCAAGCACGUCGAGGCAUGCCGUGGAAGGUAAGCUUUGUUAAAAACUCAAGCUCAGAGGGCACCGAGCCCCAUCCUGGGUGCCACCGAUCAAAGCUCACCAGCGCGCCAUCGCAGAACAAACGCCGGGAAGAUUCAAACACACGACUGUAGUCGAAAGUUGUCCGGAACCUGACGAAGAAAUCAGCUGAUGGCGGACAGACUUCAACGAGUAAGUCACUUAUUUGGAUGCCGUGCGCAAUAACAAGAGCUUUGACAAGGUCGUCCAGCGAGACGGGAGGCCGGUCGCCGUUGAUGGUUACCAUCAGCACUUUGCCGGCAAACUGGUCAUCAAGCGCCGCCAUGCCACUGUUGAGCGACAGCAUGCAGUGACCGAAGGCAGGAUGGACCUCAGGAUCUCUGGCUCGGAGAUCCGCAUUGACCGGUGACAUGAUGGUGAGCUUGAGUACAGGGAGUACAGGAGGGGGAUUUGGGGGAACUGGAGUAGGAAUCGAGAUUCUAGAGGUGGGGGAGGGGCGGGAGAUUGGGGAUGAAAAGGUAGCUUGAAUUUCGAACACGCGCCAAUAUGCUCUCGGCGCGCAAGCGCACGAAAACACCGGUGGCACCCACAUGUCGGCCUAAGAGUCCUUAUUCUUUCUUUUUUGGAGAGCCUGGCCUUUUUUUUGAGGAUCUUUUGAGAGCCCGGCCUGAGAGUCAUAAUUGACCUGUUUGGCAUUGCGUUACUACUCGGCCCAUAUUCAACGACACCUCACUGGCCCAAACAAGUGUACAUCAUUGAAAAGACACUGAGCUCAAAUUAUAUAACUUGAAAAAAGGAGAUACACUCUGAACACUGGAGAAUGGUGAUGCCCUCAUUUAGCCCACCAGUAGUUCGAGACAAUAAAUAGUUCGAAACAACGAUAUAUACAACAUUCAAACACUAACUAGUGACUACUACUGACAUAAACAACAAGACAUGAUAGUUCAUAAGAAGUCUUGCUACACCACCAAAACGCACCCAUCUGCAGCGCUCAGACUCUCGUGAUCCAGACGAGAAUGACAUUCUAAACAGAGGUAACUAUUACAUAGUAAGAGUGACAUAGACGAGGAUGACCAAAUGACAAGGAAUAUGCAUAACAAAAGAAAGAACUACCCAUCCAGAACAAGCAGCAAAGACAACAAAGUCAUUCGAAGAGAUGAUCCAACACCAUCAUAAUCUGCAGCCCUGCUUCAGCGACCAAUGAUCCGGAGACACCAGUACUUCACCCUUCUGAUGCAACAGCGCAAUUACCUAUCAACCUGAAGGCUUGAACCACAUCACUGCCUGUCGUAAUUGAGACAUCCAAGGAUCAAAGUUAAUCCGGAUGCCUUUGUCAUUCUCACCUUCUUUUGGUUGCAGGCUGUAUCGUUGACAAUCAGGGGAGUUUGCUCCCGAACUCCUAGGGCUUGCCGUGUAGACACAAUUUUCCAUAGCAAACAGAGCCUCUCUGCCAUCAAGGUCCUUGCCAACGGUGAUCUCCUGGUUAAUCGGAUAAUUGAGUCCAAGAAAUAGAGAGUAUGAACCAAGGUUGUUUACCCGCCUCCAACUAAAAAAUCCUGAAGGCCCCAACAAGCUGGUAUCCUGCUCAUAGACGUAACAACCACUGUCCGGAUACUCACGUAUUUCAUGGUGCUUGUAUACAAUGGGGUUUUUGCAAUAUAACUUUUCUGGCUCAUGUGUCCGAAUGAUCAUUAGUCUUUUGCCAUCGUCUGAUCGAGCUAGGAACCAGUUGUGCUUCCCUAUUUUUGGCAAAGGUGGUGUGAUUACAAAGGGCAGUAACUAUAGGGACACUGCAUCAUAUAAAAAAGGACAGACAUUGUUAAUGUAAGAUUAGCAUUGUUCAGAGUAUGAGUAGGAUAAUGCAAGAAGCAACAUUGAUAUGUCCCUGUUGGAACUGGGAGGAAAAUACAGGGAAAUGUAUACUGGGUUCGAAAAUAUAGAAGUGCCAUGCAUGGUUAUACUCAUGUUAUCUCGCAAUCGAUUCUUCACAGGAAACUACCAUGUCAUGCAUGUUAUGUAAUCAUGUUCUAUCCUCACAAACAAAUUCUUCAAGGUAACUAACAGACCAUGCAUUGUUAUAUACUCGUGUUCUGUGGGCAAAUUUUUUGUGAGGAUAUUAUUCUAGCCAUUGAUUGCUGAAGGGCGAAUAUAGGUAUGUACACAUGGUAAGUGUCGUGGAAUUGUCACGGCAGAUGUCCUCGAGCUAGGACUUAGUCGUGGAGCCAUCGCAACUAGGAAGCUUAAAGGGGUUAAACGGGACAAGGAACACGGGGUUUAUACUGGUUCAGCCCCUUACGGUGAAGGUAAAAGCCUACCUCCAGUUGAGGUGGUAUUGCUUAUGGUUUCGAUGACCAGGGAGCUUAAUUGCUAUGCCUGGCUCUCGACGAGAUCUUACUUGUCCCUAAACCGCCGCCGGGUCGUCCCUUUAUAUAGAGAGGUUGACGCCCAGCGGCUCUCAGAGUCCCGGCCGGCUCAUAAGAGUGUCCGGCUCGGACUCUCAACUAUUCUUGCCUUACACUACAAGUCUUGCCAUACGGCGGUCUAUCACUACGGGCCUUAAGCCAUCUCCGGGUCUUAGGCCCAUCAUUGACCCGCUGUCUUCAAGCUCGGUACUGGGCUUCGCGUGAUGACCAUUAUGAGUAACCCGGCCCCUCCUAGCGGGUGACUCUAAUGGUUAUAUCCUCAACAUUAGGCCCCAGAUUGAUUUGAACCUGUUCAUGUCAAUGUUCAAUUCUUUUGAGAGAAAGGAUCUUCCGGCUUCUGGUCGUGCGAAGAUUAUAACCCGCCGUGACGUCAUCUUCUGGAUUCUUGGUAACCCGCCAUGACGUCAUCUUCCAUUAAGUCCAUUUUUUUAUUCCACCAUAUCCGCAACGGAUCUUAUCUUUAAUUGCCAUCCUGAAAAUUGAGGCAUUUUUGUGGUGAGAUAAUCACGCCGUGACCUCCUCGUUUCUCGUGCCCACUUAUGAGCCUCACCUUAUAAAUAGCCCGGCCCAUGAGGCUCCAGUUACUGGUCGCCUCCAUCAUCUUCCUCCUCUCGCCACUGUACUGCCGCUCGAGCUCCACCGCCGCCACCGCCGCGGGUCUCCUCGUCUUCCCCGACUCAGGCCGCUGCAUCAACCUGACUUGACCAGAGAAACGGCGGCGACCUCCGCAACUCUCCAGCACCCGUAAGCCCUUGCCACUCCAUAGAAUAGAUCUGCAUUAGGGUUCUUUUCUGUUCUUCCCGUGUUCGUCGCCGUUCAUCGCGAGCUCUUGAUAGAUUUCAUUAUUACCACCUUUUCUUGAUCUUUAGACUGCAUAGAACUGCUGCGGUAGCUGUUUCACACCCAUUCCCAAUGUACAUAGAUCCCCUUUCAUUGCAUAAAGGCUCCGUUCAAACCCUUGAACUUUUUCUGUGUCUGUUCUAGGUCUAGAAAUUUUUCCUUUUAGCCAACCGUUUGAUCCAAAAUAAUUACUGCGAUCUGUGAAACUUGUUUUCACCACACUUAGUCAAAAAUUCGAUCUGCUGAGCUAUGGAGGCUCACAUUUCCGGCUUAAAAGAAGCCACGCUCCGUAAACUUUCCGGCUCAUUUAAUGAUAAAGCUGUAGACAAUUUGAAUUACUCACGAUAUCUUCAGCGGCUUAGAUAACCCGAUGCACUUAACCAUAUGUCAUUAGGCCCCUCUCAUAAGCCGCCAUUUGAGUAUUAAACUGUAGACAUGUGCCGGCUUAUAAUUGAACCGGACUUUUUCCUUUUGUCAUAGGCUUCAUCUUUCACAAUGCCUCCCAAAGCUCCCAAGGCACCCAUCACGUGCAACUGGAUGAGAUCCAAUGUCACCGACGACACUUUAGCUGAUUUCAUAAAGACGGGUUACUUGCCCAAGAAGGAAAUCAUGUCCUAUCAUGCCCCUGACCCGUCGGAAGAGAGACCUCAACCUAGAGAUGGUGAGGUGGUGAUAUUCGCUGAUCACAUGAGCCGGGGCUUCGCACCGCCCGGCUCAAAAUUCUUUAGGGAUGUUCUGAACUUCUUCGAUCUGCGGCCGCAAGACAUAGGACCCAAUUCCGUGUCAAAUAUAUGCAACUUCCAAGUAUUCCGCGAAGUCUAUCUUGGAGAAGAGCCCAGCCUGCUGCUCUUUAGAGAGCUUUUUUAUCUGAACCGCCAGAAUGAGUGCGCCAACGGGCCGAGCCUGGAAGUUGGUGGAAUCUCCAUUCAACGCCGGAGAGAUUGCCUCUUUCCUUAUGCUGAGCCGCCAAGCCAUCCAAAGGACUGGAACCAGACGUGGUUUUAUUGUCAGGACACUUCUCCGGCUGACGAGAGCCCUCUGCUUGGCUUUCGUGCCCUGCGUCUGGAACCAAAUCACCCUUUGCCAGACAAACUCUCUCAAGCUGAGCGUCAACCUCUGAUCCCCACCAUCAACAAGAUCAAGGCUCUCCUGGGAAACGGCCUCAACGGCAUUGAUCUGGUCCGGGUUUGGAUCUCUUGGCGGGUGAUCCCCUUGAGCCGCCGCCCCGGCUUAAUGUGUGCUUACACGGGCCGGAAGGAUGACCCCCUGCGGCACAGCCCCAACGAUCUUCCUGAGGACGUUGUGGAUGACAUGACUAAGUCUCUCCUGAACGAGAGCUUAGCCGACUGUGGGAGAACCGCCCUGAACCCCUUCUGCCAAGCUAACCCGGCUCCGGCGGUAAGCCACUGACCUGAACACCUUGGUUUUCUUUUUAAUAGUUUCCAUCUAGACCUUAAGAAAUCUUUGUUGUAUGUUUCAGGCUAAUGACAAGUUCUGGAAGGUCAAAUAUGACCAUGAAGCGGCCAAAAAAGCCAAGAAGGCUAAGAAAGCCGCCAGGAGAGCCACUCCCUGCAAGAAGGGAAGCAGGCCUACUGCCUCAGAGCUGCAUCAGCUAAGUGACAUCUCCGAGUCAGAGGUAACCCCUGAAUCUGUAGGCUCUUGUUUUGUUUCUUGUUUAUUCCUAUCCACCUUACCGAUACCGAUUAUCAGCAGGAGGACACCGGAGCGAGUAUCCCGGUGACUGAAGAGGUAACUACACUUUUCUCCGACUCGGAGCCCUUGCCAAGGCUGAAAGUCCGAAGAGUAACUCGGAAAGUAAGAUUUUCACAUCCUUUAGCUUAUCAAGAUCCUCAAUUUCUUUUGAAGCGACAGAUUCAUGAGAGUCGACGGCACACCCGGACCAACAAGGAUGCAGACCUCUCCUCCGGCUUACCUGAAGCAUCAAGGAAGCGCCGGACCGAGGUUAUCUCCAACUUAUAUCCUUUUCAUCCUUUGGCGGGCGUUACUCGUCAACCGCUCAAUUCUUCUUAUUCAAAUUAUCAGGACACUUCACCUUCCUCUGGUGAUUCUAUGCAAUCGAACCUGCCGGCUUUCAAGACCGCACCCGGGUAAUGAUGAUCAUCUUAUAUUGUGCUUAUCUUUACUCAUACUUUUGUACUAACCUUUUGUCCUUUCAGUGCUCAAGCAAAGCUCAGCAAGAGAGCGAAGAAGAAUAAACCGGUCGAAGACCCGGUCUUGACUGAGCCGGAGGUUUCAGCUCAAGAGCCGCCAGCUGCCUCUGCUCCUAAAGCCACCGCUCCAACCGACGAGCCAAUCACAGAGACUUUUGCUAACCCGGAGAUCUCCAGCCCAGCUCAGCCGGCCGAUGACCCGGACGUGGUAAUCACCCGGACGGAAUUUGUCGAGCCGGGGAGACCCACUGCGCUGGCUAAGUGCUCUGCCAAGGAAGAGUUGCUAGAGCGCCGCAGGGCCAAGCUGGACAUCACCAACUACGCUAACUUGAGCAUUGGAGAUAUCAUCUCCGGCUAUGUCAAUCAGGUGCACAACAGCCGGGACCUGGAGAUCGACAUGGUGAAGCAGAUACAGCAGAAAUCUGAGGUACCACUCUCUUGCUUACUGCAUAGUCAUCUUUACCAUACUAGCCCCCAAGUCUACUACUUAUGAUAGAAUAUGUUGUAGACUUAACUUCCGGCUUACUUUCAUGAACCGGCAAUUUGUAGAUAGAACCUUUCAGCAUACAUUAGCCCCCAAGUGCCAAGUGUCUUUGCUUGGAAAGUGCUUGGGACUUUAAAGUUGUAUAAUAAUUAUUCAUACUAUAACCCGGAAAUUGUACAGGCUGCUUGCAAGAAAUUUUAGGCUGAUAUCUCUGAGCUGAAGAACCGCCUGAAGACUCAGGAAACUGAGACCCGGAAGGCCAACGCUAAAUUUGAGUCCAGUGUUGCUGCUCAAGAGAAGCUGAAGAAGAAGUUUGAAACCGAAAGGAAGACUUGGGCCGAAGAGAAGGCUGCUCUGGUCAGCCGGGCCGAACAGGCGGAGGCGGCUCUGACGGAGAGAACCGCCGAACUCUCCGGCUUAAAACGCCAUGUGUCACAGAUGGUCGCCGCAAUCUUCGGUAAGUCAUUCUACAGGCUUUAAACAAGUUUAUAGUCUUUAUGUCUCAUAAUUCCCAUCAUUGCUAGCGGCUUAUCUUACUUUGUUAAACAGGUCCCAGAAGCGCCAACCUCAACCAGAACAUGCUGACCAAGCUGAAGGCCGUGUACACUUUGGUGGAGCAACUCUACACCGGGUCACAACGCGCCUUGGCCGCUGUGGCCCUGUCCAAUGAGGUUCCAACUCACCUGGCGGACGUACUUCAGCGGCUUGCCGUUCUUCCUCAGCGUUUCCAAGAGCUGCGACGGGCCUCUGCAAGAGCCGGAGCCAUAGCUGCUCUGAGCCGGGCCAAGGCUUUCUUUCCAGAGCUAGACCCGGCUGACAUCGCACUUAGAUACCCCAGCCUGAAGGAAGACGGCACCCCCUUCGACCAAAAAGACUUUGCAGCCUGUGUGAAGAUCAUGCGCCCGGUGGCCACCCUGAUUGGGAAUGACACCGACCUUACCAAGUACCAGCCGGGCUACGACGCAGAGAAUCAGAGGGUCCCUACUCCGCGUUAUGAAGCCAUCAGCUUGGUCCCGCCGACUCGUAAGCACACCUUUGCCCCAGAAAUUGACCCGGCCGGGUUAAUUGACGAGGAGGCUCAGUUUGAAGCAUUGAGCGGCAUUGACUGGAAAUCGUCAACCUUCCAGGUCAUGGGAACAGCCGGAGGAGCGGAGAGGGAUGAGUUGGAAGCUUCAACUCAACAAGCAUCUUGACUUGUAGGCGGCUCAUGAGUACAUCUUAAAACAAUGCCUCAUCUUUUGGACUCGGGGAGUCUUGUAAUAGAGUAGGACAAAUACUUAAUUUUGUCGUGCCAUCGUGCACGUGUUGAAUGCUUAGCUCCGUUGAAACUGAUUUUUCUUAUUCCUCCGGGUUAUAAUUGAUCAGUUAUUUUCCUUAAGCUCGAAUAGCUGUAUUGAACCAUCCUGCAUAGAAAACAAGUCACAAGUCUCUAGGCGGCUUACCGCACUGAGAAUCAUAAACCUUAUAUAUAUAACCCGGAAUAUGAACGAAGUCACCAAAGACUGGCCCUCAAUUAUAUCUUUGAUGUAACUGUAACAGCAUACUUACAAACCUUCAAGCAUACUUCCGGUUCAUGUAACCCGAAUAGUAUGGUUAAAAUCUCAAUGCCGGUUCACCAGUAUCGAUAAGGCUUAUUGCGUGUUACCCAAGUUAAGCCGGCGGAGCCAAAAACCGCCCUUGCACACUGCUGAUGUGACCAAAAGAACUUGUUGUAAGUCAGAAGAUCAAAACUUAGGGGCUUCCAGUUCGAAUACGACCAGAGAACCUUCCAAAGGGGUUAAGCUAAGAUUCGAAUGCGAUCAUAUAGCCCCCAGUGGCUUUGGCAAUGCCGAUCAAGAGGGUACCGACAGCUAUGUUCUAUUUGGUUCGAAUACGACCCAUGUUUGAACAGGAAGCCCCCAAAUGACCUUAAGAGUUGUUUAAUGACGGUGAUUCGAAUACAAUCCACGUCGGUUCCCAAAGGGGGUUGAGCUAUGAUUCAAAUAUGGUCAAAGAAAACUCCCCAAUGAGCUCGGCACUUUGCCAAUCAAGUGGGUAUCGACAGCUAUGUUCUCUUUGGUUCGAAUAUGACCCAUGUUUGAACAGGAAGCCCCCAGGUGAUUAUACUGCUUACGGCUAGAUUCGAAUACGAUCAUAAGCCGGAUCCACCUCCAAGUGACCACGUGAUGUUGUAAUGGAAAUAACAUGUUUACCUUUGGAGGAGAAAAGGACAGAGGUCCUGCUUUAUUAUUUAACAUAAUAUAUACAUGGCUAUAGAGAUAUGUACAUUAUGAGAGCCGGUGGCUCAAGUGUAAUAAGGCCGAAGCUGAGCUAUGUUCCACGGCCGACGGGUUUCUUCCUCCGACUUGCGUGAAUCUUUAUGCUCCCGAACAUCAAUAAGGUAGUAUGACCUGUUGUGCAAGUUCUUGCUGACCACAAAGGGCCCUUCCCAAGGCGGGGAUAGCUUGUGUGCAUCUGUUUGAUCUUGGAUGAGCCGGAGCACCAGGUCACCCUCCUGGAAGACCCGGGACUUAACCCGGUGACAGUGAUAACGGCGCAGGGCUUGUUGGUAAAUCGCUGAACGAGCUGCUGCCACAUCACGCUGUUCGUCCAACAGGUCAAGGGCAUCUUGGCGCGCCUGUUCAUUAUCCACCUCAACAUAAGCCGCCACUCGAGGCGAGUCAUGACGGAUGUCACUGGGGAGGACUGCUUCCGCUCCAUAAACCAUGAAGAAGGGCGUGUAACCCGUAGACCUGUUAGGAGUAGUAUUGAUGCUCCAUAACACGGAGGGUAGCUCCUCCAGCCAACAACCCGGCGUCCGUUGCAAAGGGACUAAAAGCCGGGGCUUAAUGCCCUUCAAAAUCUCCUGAUUAGCUCUCUCAGCUUGACCAUUGGAUUGAGGAUGAGCCACUGAUGAAACAUCAAGUCGAAUAUGCUCCCGUUGACAAAACUCCUCCAUGGCGCCUUCAGACAGAUUGGUACCAUUAUCAGUUAUAAUGCUGUGUGGAAAGCCAAAGUGAAAUAUCACCCUUUUCAUGAACUGAACCGCCGUGGCUGCAUCACACUUGCUAACUGGCUCUGCUUCAACCCACUUUGUGAAUUUGUCAACUGCCACCAAAAGGUGGGUCUUCUUAUCCUUGGACCUUUUAAAAGGCCCAACCAUAUCAAGCCCCCAGACCACAAAUGGCCAAGUGAUUGGUAUCAUCCUCAACUCUUGAGCUGGCACAUGAGCCCGUCGCGAGAACCUCUGACAAUCGUCACAUUUACUGACCAAGUCCUCCGCAUCAGCAUGAGCCGUCAGCCAAUAAAAACCAUGACGGAAAGCCUUGGCCACGAGAGAUUUUGAGCCGGCAUGAUGGCCACAAUCCCCUUCGUGAAUCUUACGCAAAAUAUCUUGGCCUUCCUCAGGGGAAAUACAACGCUGGGAAGUUCCAGUAACACUACGACGAUGCAGCUCGCCAUUGAUGAUGACCAUUGACUUAGCCCGCCGGGUUAUUUGUCUGGCCAAAGUUUCAUCCACAUGCAAAUCUCCCCGGGUCAUGUAAGCCAAGUAUGGUACUGUCCAGUCUAGGGUGAUGUGGAGAGCCGCCACCAAAUGUGCUUCCGGGUCAGGGACAGCCAAGUCUUCCUCUGUAGGUAACUUAACAGAAGGGUUAUGCAAGAUGUCCAAGAAAGUAUUAGGCGGCAUCGGCUUUCGCUGAGAGCCCAGCCGGCUUAAAGCAUCAGCCGCCUCGUUCUUCCUGCGAUCGAUGUGCUCUACUUGGUAACCCUGGAAGUGUCCAGCAACGGCAUCAACUUCACGGCGAUAAGCCGCCAUGAGAGGGUCCUUGGAAUCCCACUUGCCUGAUACUUGUUGAGCCACUAGAUCUGAGUCGCCCAAACAUCUUACUCUGCUCAAGCUCAUCUCCUUAGCCACCCGAAGACCAUGGAGCAAAGCCUCGUACUCGGCCGCAUUGUUAGUGCAUGGAAACAUCAACCUUAGCACAUAACGGAACUUGUCACCUUUAGGGGAAGUCAACACGACUCCAGCCCCCGAGCCCUCCAAUUGCCUAGACCCAUCGAAGUGAAUAGUCUAAUAUGUAUUAUCCAGCUUUUCUUCAGGCACUUGUAGCUCUGUCCAAUCGUUGAUGAAAUCCACCAAGGCUUGAGAUUUAAUAGCAGUGCGUGGUACGUAUUUCAGACCAUGAGGCCCGAGCUCUAUAGCCCACUUAGCCACUCUUCCUGUGGCUUCUCUAUUUUGGAUGAUAUCUCCAAGGGGAGCAGAACUAACCACAGUGAUAGGGUGACCCUGGAAAUAAUGCUUAAGCUUCCGGCUUGCCAUGAACACACCAUAAACAAGCUUCUGCCAAUGUGGAUACCGCUGUUUGGACUCGAUGAGCACUUCACUGACGUAAUAAACCGGCCGCUGAACCGGAUACUCCUUACCCUCUUCCUUGCGCUCCACCACCACAGCCACACUGACGGCUCGUGUGUUAGCAGCUACAUACAGUAAUAAGGGCUCCUUGUCAACCAGAGCAGCAAGGAGUGGGGGCUCCGCCAGCUGUCUCUUCAAAUCCUCAAAAGCAGUAUUAGCAACGUCAUUCAAGACAAAGUCAUCAGUUUUCUUCAUCAACUGGUACAGUGGCAUGGCCUUUUCACCCAAACGGCUUAUAAACCGGCUCAAAGCAGCAAUGCGGCCUGCUAGACGCUGGACGUCGUUUAGACACGCCGGCUUAGCCAGAGAGGUGAUUGCCUUGAUUUUUUCCGGGUUAGCUUCAAUGCCUCUGUUAGAAACCAGGAAACCCAAGAGUUUGCCUGCAGGAACACCAAAAACACACUUGGCCGGGUUAAGCAUCAUCUUGUAAACCCGGAGAUUAUCAAAGGUUUCUCUAAGGUCAUCGACCAGAGUCUCCUUUUCCCUGGAUUUAACCACGAUAUCAUCCACAUAGGCAUGAACAUUGCGCCCAAUCUGGUUAUGAAGACAAUUCUGCACACAACGCUGGUAAGUCGCCUGUGCGCUCUUGAGUCCGAAAGGCAUAGACACAUAACAGAAGGCUCCAAAGGGAGUGAUGAACGCCGUCUUCUCUUGGUCCUUAACUGCCAUUUUAAUCUGAUGGUAUCCAGAAUAAGCAUCCAAGAAACUUAAACGCUCACAACCCGCCGUGGCAUCAAUGAUUCGAUCAAUACGGGGGAGAGCAAAAGGAUCAGCCGGGCACGCCUUAUUUAUGUCCGUGUAGUCCACACACAUCCACCAGGUGCCAUUCUUCUUGAGCACGAGCACCGGGUUAGCUAACCAUUCUGGGUGAAAGACUUCAACAAUAAACCCAGCCGCCAAGAGCCGGGCCACCUCCUCACCAAUGGCUUUCCGCCUCUCUUCAUUAAACCGCCGUAGGAAUUGCCUGACCGGCUUAAAUUUCGGAUCAACAUUGAGAGUGUGCUCAGCGAGUUCUCUAGGUACACCUGGCAUGUCAGAAGGUUUCCAUGCAAAGAUGUCCCUGUUCUCACGGAUGAACUCGAUGAGCGCGCUUUCCUAUUUCAGAUCCAAAUUGGCAUUGAUGCUAAACUGCUGAGAUGAGUCACCUGGAACGAAAUCAACAAGUUUAGUCUCAUCAGCUGACUUAAAUUUCAUCACCGGCUCAUGCUCCGUGGUCGGUUUUUUCAGGGAUGUCAUAUCUGUUGGGUCAACAUUGUCUUUAUAAAAUUUCAACUCCUCUGUUGCACAAACAGACUCUGCAUAAGCCGUGUCGCCUUCCUCACAUUCCAAGGCUAUCUUUCGGCUGCCAUGAACCGUAAUGGUCCCAUUGUGACCCGGCAUCUUGAGCUGUAAGUAUAUGUAACACGGCCGUGCCAUGAACUUGGCGUAAGCCGGCCGCCCAAAUAUGGCAUGGUACGGACUUCUUAUCUUGACCACCUCAAAGGUCAAUUUUUCCACCCUGUAGUUGUAUUCAUCUCCAAAGGCCACUUCCAGUUUGAUCUUACCAACUGGAUAAGCCGACUUACUAGGCACCACACCAUGGAAAACAAUAUUGGACUGGCUGAGGUUCUUGUCAAUCAACCCCAUGCGACGGAAGGUUUCAUAAUAGAGGAUGUUGAUGCUGCUGCCUCCAUCCAUGAGCACCUUAGUGAACUUAUAUCCUCCCACCGGAGGAGCCACCACCAGGGCCAAAUGACCCGGAUUAUCAACCCGGGGAGGGUGAUCCUCCCUACUCCACACAAUAGGCUGCUCAGACCAUCUUAAAUAGCGUGGAACCGCCGGCUCAACAGCAUUCACAGCCCUCUUAUGAAGCUUCUGAUCUCGCUUACACAGACUGGUGGUAAACACAUGGUACUGUCCACCAUUGAGCUACUUUGGAUUGGUCUGGUAUCCCCCCUGUUGCUGUUGAUGACCCUGGCCGGAUUGCUGAUUAAAGCCCCCUUGAACAUUCUGAGGAUUGGAAUUUAAGCCGCUGCCCGGGCCAUGAAAGCCGCCGGCGCCUGAGCCGCCGCCCGAGCCAUUGUUGCCAUUAAAGGCAUUGGAGUUCUUAAAGGCCUUCAUGAUUGCACAAUCUUUCCAUAGAUGAGUAGCUGGCUUCUCCCUGGAGCCAUGCCUUGGACAAGGCUCAUUCAACAACUGCUCAAGCGUUGGGCCUGAACCGCCGGCUCGGGGAGGUGGCCUCCCUUUACGUCGCUGGUUGUUACCCUGUGAGCUGGCAUUGGCCACAAACUCCAUGCUGCCAUCAGCCUUACGCUUGUUACCUCCUUGGUUUGCCGGGUUAUGCUGAGGACCCUUGCCAUUGCCGUUCUUUUUUUCCUUCCCUGUCCUUUCAUCAUCUGAAGCGGGGUCCUUUGUACUAUCAGAGUCGGCGUACUUGACGAGAGUCGCCAUCAGCGUACCCAUAUCAUUGCAGUCGCGCUUAAGCCGCCCGAGUUUCAUCUUCUGGGGCAGGAAACGACAAUUCUGCUCCAACAUUAAGACUGCAGAGCCGGCAUCCAUCUUAUCAGAUGAAUGUAUUAUCUCUUUGACCCGGCGAACCCAAUGUGUCGUAGACUCACCCUCCUGCUGUUUACAGUUAGUCAAAUCCACAAUUGACAUAGACUGCCUACAGGUAUCUUUGAAGUUUUGAAUGAACCGGGCUUUCAGCUCAGCCCAAGAUCCGAUAGAAUACGGCGGCAGCCCUUUCAACCAAGUGCGGGCAGUCCCAUCUAACAUCUUGGUGAAGUACUUGGCCAUCGCCGCUUCGCUGACCUCCAGCAAUUCCAUGGCCAUCUUGUAACUCUCGAUCCAGGCUCCGGGUUGUAAAUCAGCCGUGUAAUUAGGCACCUUCCUAGGCCGCUUAAAGUCCUUGGGUAAACGUUCAUUGCGAAGAGCCGGCACUAAACAAGGGACACCUCCAGUCCUUGUAGGGAUACCCACGUCGGCGGAAGCCGUCGGAUAAGCCGGGGGUGUUUGGUAAGCCGUCAACUGAGGCAUCUGCUCCGCCUCUUGCCGUGCUCUGUCUUGGUCUGCUGCGUGAAAGGCCCCGUUAUGAGCCGGGCCGUGGCCAGGUGGCAAGUCACGGCGUCAGACAUUACUUGAGCCGGUCGCUGAGACCAUGUGUCUGCUAUAACUCGGGCUCCGGCCUGGAUGAGGAGUUGAAUGGAUCCUGUCCCGGCUAUAAGAGUAUGCCUCUUGCUGCACCAGAGCUGUCUGAAGGAGUUCUCUGACCCGGCGGGUUUCAACAGCCAUUGGAGAGUCGCCAUCAAUUGGAAGAGCCGCCAGCCGCGCCGCCGCGGCAACCAUGUUUUCCAGCGGGUUGGCAUAAUGACCCGGUGGUAUUGGCACGUACUGAGGCGGGGCGGGGUUCACCCGGGGAGGUCCCAUCACUUGGGGCUGAAUUGGUGCCCCUGCCCCGGGCACUAUAAUCUCCGGCGGGUUACUAGACCCUGCACCCGGCGUGUUGAAGAGAUUUCGAGGAUCGUAAACCGGAGGGAGUCGAGAUUGGGCCUUUUGAUGCCUCCUUAUCAUGACCUCAUUGGAUGCGUUUUGAUCCAUCGUGAGCCGGAAGGACUGUGCCUGAAUCAGCUGAGUCUGGGCGUCGAGAGCCGCCCUCUCUGCAGCCAUCCUGAUCCCCUCCGCCGCUAGAUCCUCCUUGGCCUUUGCUAGAUCCAUCUUUAACUGUGCCACCUCCGCGUCAUGCUGAACUUGAUCCGCCGGAGCCACCGUAGCGGUCAACAGGACCGUCAACUUGUCUGUGAGAUCCAUCAGCACCUGAGCUGGUGAGGGCACCGGGCUUCCUGACCCGGAGGCGGGGUUCUGAACAGGUUGCGCGCCGGCCAUGAAGAUGCCAACCCGACUCGGCGGUUCAAAGGGGUCCGGAAUACUGUCGCCGUCGGAACAACCCCUGAGCCUGCCAUCUUGAAGUUGAUACAACGAGUUUGACUCAUCCGUGGACGACUCGCCGUCAGAGCCGGCAGCCGUCUCAUCGCCAGAUCCAGACCCUUCAGAGAGUCCUCCAUGAACACAUCCCACAAAAGCGUGCUUCAAGGCAGGUAGAGCCCGGGUGGGUCGUGCACGCUGAGCCAUCUCGAUGAGAUCGGCGCAGAGAUCCGGCUUAGGGCCCGGCUCACCAAUCUUGCCAAUGAAGACAUGAAUUCCGCCAAAGGGGACCCGGUACCCGCACUCAAUUGAGCCGGCGUCGGGGCCCCAAUUUGCAUCGUCGAUGUAGAGCUUGCCGCGACGACUCUUGGUCAUCCGGCCCACAGCGUAUCCCUUGAGCCCUUCGAAGCUGCCCUUUAAGAACUCAAAUCCACCGUGCGCUGGCCCCAUGGUGGGCGCCAACUAUCAUGGAAUUGGCACGGCAGAUGUCCUUGAGCUAGGACUUAGUCGUGGAGCCAUCGAAACUAGGAAGCUUAAAGGGGUUAAACGGGACAAGGAACACGGGGUUUAUACUUGUUCGGCCCCUUACGGUGAAGGUAAAAGCCUACGUCCAGUUGAGGUGGUAUUGCUUAUGGUUUCAAUGACCAGGGAGCUUAAUUGCUAUGCCUGGCUCUCGACGAGAUCUUACUUGUCCCUAAACCGCCGCCGGGUCGUCCCUUUAUAUAGAGAGGUUGACGCCCAGCGGCCCUCAGAGUCCCGGCCGGCUCAUAAGAGUGUCCGGCUCGGACUCUCAACUAUUCUUGCCUUACACUACAAGUCUUGCUAUACGGCGGUCUAUCACUACGGGCCUUAAGCCAUCUCCGGGUCUUAGGCCCAUCAUUGACCCGCCGUCUUCAAGCUCGGUACUGGGCUUCGCGUGAUGACCAUUAUGAGUAACCCGGCCCCUCCUGGCGGGUGACUCUAAUGGUUAUAUCCUCAACAGUAAGCAUUACAGGAUUUCACUACUUCCAAAUAUAGAGUUCUCCAUAUGCACAUUUACUUCCCUAAUGUAUGGUUAGAUGAAACCAACUGUGUGGUGCAUGUUUCUACAUCAUGAAAAUGAGGAAACUAACAUGGCCAUUGAUACGCACUUAUAUUAGUAGUAGUAUAUAGAUUACUGUAAAAUAAGGAGAAUAUCCAUAUAUUCCUAACCGUUUGAUUAUUCAGGGGUACAAAUUGGCUGUAAUGACAUGAUCACAAUCGCAUGAAUUAACUCAUCCCAAAUAUAGCUGAUUUACGGCGUCUCUAAUACAUUGCCAUAGUUCUACUCAAAUUCUGCUCAACACAGGGAUAUGCCAAUCAUCACAAAAAAGUUCAAACAGUGUCAUGGCGUCAUCAUUAACAUGAGACGGAAACAACUUACACGUGCCGUCCCAGCAAUAGGUGGUGCCAUCUGCUUUGUCGAUCGCGUAGAUGAUGCCAUUGUGUUCAAUAGCAUCACAGAAGUGUGUAUCAGCUUUGACGAUGAUCCACUGUGAGCUGAGUUGUCUCUAGCUAAAGAAGGCACCGCCGUAAAGAUAGGCGAGUCCGCGGUCGAACAAGGCAAUUAGCUUGAAGUCUGCGUAAUUCGCAUGUCGUGUGGGCACUUGGCAGAUUAUAAUCUUCUGCAAAACAAGGUCCGCCCAACUGACGUGGUAAUCUAGAUGACUAGGACCGCGAUGGCAAAACUCUAUAUAAUCCAACGGAGGAAGGAUAAUCUCAUGGGAGGUCUGGAAGUUCACGAGCACCAACUUUUUACCGUCUUCUCUGCAGGCAGCCAUCCAGUGGGAGUUCAUGCCGACCCAGUACAUACCUGCCAAGAAGUUUCGGGCGAUGGUGAUCGGAUCGAAGUCGAGGGAAAUGAUGUACGGCGACCCACUACAUACGUGCAAAGAAGUUUCGGCUAAUGGAGAUCGGAUUGAAGUCGAGGGGCAUCAUGUACGCCUUCGCAUCAUGGUGAGCCAAUAUCGCAAGACCAGAUAGCAGCAAGCAGGGUGUCUUGAAAAGCUUUGGCCUCGCUUCGAUGAUGGUCGUGUGCAUGCCCCUCAAGCAUGCAGCCAGCCGCAGGGCGCUCAACAUAUCCAUACAGGAACAAUAGAGGUCGAGGACGUCACUGGGGAGGUUGCUCCAAUCGCGUCUCAUAUGGAUCUUGCGCGGUUCGCGUUCGGCCAUGGUGGAGUUUGGAAGGUGGGGUUUUGGGGGGCUUGAUUUACGGGGGAGAAGGCUGUCGGUGCUGGAGCGGCUAGCGAGGGAAUAGUGGUAUUGGGGGAGGCGAGCGAGGCGAGGGUAUGCGGGGGCACAGUGAGAUAAUGAAGAGUGACCUCAGGAUCUCCGGCGAGACGGAGAUGGAGAUGGAGUGGUGCUAGGGGAGAGGGAGACAAGGCGAGGCAUGCUAUACAGCGGCGGUGAAAGUGACUGCACAGUGCACAAGGUGAGGCUGACUUUGGUAACCCGGACACGCCGCCUGGACUGGUGUCACCUCGGGCGCAGGGUCUUGUCACUUCACUGUGAGGACCGGAUGAAUAAUAGUAUUUUGACCAUCAAGUGUACCAUAGUUGUACUACUACUACUAGUAGUAGGAGUGGUAGGAACAUGAGUACACUCCCGUGCUAGCAUGCCUCUGGGUUCACUUCAUCCUCCAGCUAUCAUCCAUAUUGCCAGCAGAACCAAAUUCUCGUGCAUGUGGAACCGUGAAGAAGGACUUUUCUUUUUUGAGGAUAACCGCAUAUUCCUUAACCAUAGUAGGAACAUGAGUAGUACUCCCUCCGGUCCUCUUUUGUCUGCGCAUAACUUUUUUCAGUAUUUCUCUAAUUAGUCUGCGUAUAUACCCUUUUGCAUGCGCCCAUUUCCCUCCAUGCCCCGCAUUCACAGCAUUAAUUAGCAUACGCAUGAGCAGCUGCAGCCAGACUCCAGCCAAUAAACUGCAGCAUGCAAGUGGGCCAUUCUGUGCGUGUGGGAGAGAGAAAAGGCAACCGAAGAGCCCGUCCAAUCCAUUGCAUGCAGCACUCAAACCACCGCAGAUCUCCUCAUGCAUGCGCAUAACUUCUCCCAUUUACUUCUCCAUCGGGAACCGAUUUUCCUCGGCUUUUUCACUACUACUCGAUCUUCAUUUGCAUCCAAACCACACUGCAUUCACAUUGUUUUAACCUCUUCACAUCCUCCUGGAGUAAUUCCGAAGCCCCUAUAAAUAGUCAUCUUCUUCAGUUAGACUAGCCAUCUAAUCCUAAUUCUCCAAACCAUAGCCCUCCGGUCCAGCGGUUCCAAAUGGCGAAAGAGAUCGAGAUGCAGGUUUUUAGCAUCCAACAUGUCCUCGUCGUAGGCUCGUUGAGCAUAGUUGCCACAGUCACCGACCACCCAAGGGUUGUUCGGAAGUGGAUCAUUAAUGUAUCCAACUCCCUCCAAAAGGUGGAGAUGAAUGUCAUCGGUCUCGACGCAGAGUACACGGAGCGUGCCACUGGGAAGAUCCAACGCGCCGCUGUCCUUCAGCUGUGCCUCGAAGAUGAUGUUUUGGUGUACCACAUCAUACACGCGCCCUCCAUACCAGGUGAGCUUCACGAUUUCUUGUCUCGGGAGGACAUAUACUUCUGUGGGGCAGCCAUCGCAGGGGACAAACAGAAGUUGGAGCCGUACAACCUUGAUUUGAAAAGCAUCGCUGACCUACGAACCAAAAUAAAAAUUCCUGUAGAAGAUUGUGAUAAACCGACACCAUCCCUAUUCGACGUAGCAAAUUUUGUGCUAGGAACAAAUCUUUAGAAGGGUGACGCGAUGCUGGCAUUAAGUUUGUCUGGAUGGGAGAAUUAUCCCUUGACGUACGAGCGGAUAAAAUAUGCUGCCCUCGAUACCCGUGUGAGUUUCGAGAUAGCUGCAAGGUCUGGAGAGCUUGUUGCGAAGCCGUCUCCCACAGAAAAUGAGAACAAGAAGAAGAAGAAGAAGAUGCUGCACCAGCAGCAGGGCAUUAUGGAUGGAUGAACUAUUUCCUCUCUUGUAAAAAAAAAUUAUUCCCUCUCUAGGUAUAUUGAUAUAGAUGGACUAUUUCGAUGGUGUGCAUGUCUUUGGAACAAGUAGUAGCGUGGGUCCGCUUGACUAUAAGGAACUAUUUAUCCGCCUAGCUUUCUCUACUACUCCUUCCAGUGAUAGGUAUGCAAUGCAUGUGUCCAUAGACAUGACAGCUUGUCCAUGAAAGUUCAACUACGGCGACCAUCACGUUUCAUCCACUGCCACUCGUGAUUCCCACGACGCCGCUCCAACCCACGGCACCACGUCCCCCGACGUGCGCCUCACCCCUCUCGGCCGCACCGCCCAUCUGCCUUUGUGUGCAUGACAUGUGGGCCACCUUAAAUGCGACGAGCAUCAAGUUUCUACCACAGCCGCACGCGAUUCCCACGAUGCCGCACGAACCCAUGACACCACUCGUCCCCCGACCUGCGGCUCACCCCUCUCGACCCCACUGCCCCUCUAAAUUUGAAUUUGAAACUUAUAAAAUGAAAAGAUUCAAAACAAAUAAACUGGGAAAGAGGGAGUAUAUCGUAGGAUGUGUCCCAUACGAAACAAGUCCCCUGGUUUGUCACCGCAAAGAUGCGGUUAGAAAGGAGCACAGCGUCUUCGUACUCGUACGGCAACAAAUCAGCCGCAGACAGCAUGGUCCACCUUUGACCGCCAUGUGCAAGGUUCGUGCUAUCUUAUUCAAUCUCACCGUGGUUCUAUCGUACCAAUUCAUGCGGUGGCCCGUUGCAUGGCUGAUCCCAAUGCUGGACAAAGGUUCUACCGGAAUGGUGUCACCGUUGUAAAUGUUGUGCAAAUUGAUGUUGGUACCCUCCCGUACAUAUGCAAGCCAGUCUCCACUCGCACCGAGCCUAACCUGUGAAACAGUGGGCAGGGGGAGAAUUAGGAAAUGGACACGGAAGUAGUCUUUAGAAUGCAUUUACUACAUGAUCAAACUCAUCUUACCUGCUCAUCGGUGGAAAUCCGAGUGCCCCUCAAUGUCGGUAUCUCAAGGGGCGUCAACUUGCAACUACGGCCACGCCGCGCUGGAGAGACCCCCAAGGAAACAUCCUCGCGCGUUCCACGGAACAUCAAGAUGCAUUUGUAUGAGUAGUUUAUCUUGUGAGAGAAAAGGAUGAACGAGGGAAGGCCUCUAGAGAUAGAGAUAGACACUACUACUAACAAUGUGCUAGCCCGUGCGUUGCAAUGGAUCCAAAGUAGUAGAAUAAUACUUGUUCACGUGCUUGAAAUAUAAACACUCUAGUUUUGAUAUACAUGUGUCAGCAGACAUGACAGCUUGUCCAUGGAAGUUGAACCACGACGACCAUCACGUUUCUUGUUUCUACCACUGCCACACCCACACGUGAUUCCCACGACACCGCUCCAACCCUACCUGUAAGCACGACGUCCCCCGGCAAGGACAUGGAUCCUCUGAUGUGGCUAUCACUGCCUUACCCUGCCUUUCCUUCGCUGACUGGUGGGACCCACACUUGUGGGUCCCACAUGUCAGUGAUAGAAUGGUAGGAUUGUUCACGUCAGGGAAUCCUCAUCCCCCCGACGUGCGCCUCAUCCUUCUCGGCCCCACCGCUCCUCUGCCUUUGUGUGCAUGACAUGCGGGCCAGCUGAACUGCGGCGACCAUCAACUUUCUACCACAGCCACACCCGAUUGGACGCGGUUUGCCUGCUCUGCUGCUGUGCUCCGAUCCGUACUCCCGCACCAUCGAAUUUUCAUCCAGCGGCUGUGACACAUUUCGUCCCGGGCAUCAAUCCUCAGAUGGAGUACUUCUGUACUACAGGUAGUACCCGCCGGUGUGGCCAUCUACGCCUCGUAACGCCCCGACGCCCAGCUGUGGCACCCUCGCCACGGCCACGCCACCACCGGCCAGUUCAUCUCGAAUGAGUGAGUCGCGAACCACACCACCACCAUGAGAAUGACAUGUGGGCCAGCCGCAUUUAAGGUCCACAUGUCAUUGACUCAUAGGUCGGGCACUAAGCCACUGAAGUUCCGUCCCAUGGGCCCGGAGAGGGAAAUGUAACUCCUGCGGCAGGCCUUGUGGUGCUCCCGCAGUACGAGCUCGUGCCAAACCCGGAAUUUGUUUCUUACUAUCUACCAACUACUACUAGUAAGGUACACGUGCAUUGCACGCAUGAGAUUCUGGUGGUUUGAGCAUUAUGCUUCUACAUGUGGAGUCUUCUAGAUUCUACAUGUGGCAAAAUCUGGUGGAAUGUAGAUGAUAUCCAACGGCCAGUAGUGCUAGGAUUUUCCAUCUUUGUACCGUCGGAUUGGCUUCAUCCAACGACCAACUUUCAAAGUUAUGGUUUGGUUUGCAGCCUAAGGUUGCCACGCCUAAGCUUAGGCGUGCCACAAGUGUGUUUGGUUGUGUUCUCGUCUCAGCAUAGUUGUUCCCUCUUCAUGCAUGCUCAACUCAACACCCCUCUUCCUGUAUGCUCUCUUCAUGCAUGCUUCUAGUGUAUUUGUGCUAAUCUAGUGUGGACUCAUGCACCCUCCAUACACUCUACCAAACACCCAAAAGUGGGUCGAGAAGGGAACUCUUGGGAUCAUGCACCCUUCAUACACCCUACCAAACACACUAGGCAUGUGUUUGGUUCAUUGCUACACUUGUGGCUUGCCACACUUUUCUAGCUACAUGGUCCACAUGUCAUAGACUCAACUUCUUGCCAAAUCUUGCCACACUUGUGGUUGCCAUUUUGUUAGCCACAUUUUUUGUGGCAGACACACUUUGCCUAAGCUUAGUUGUGGCAAAGUUAGUCAUGAAUGAAGUUCAACCAUGGAGUCUUCUAGAUUCUACAUGUGGCAGAAUCGGGUGGAAUGUAGAUGAUAUCCAACGGCCAGUAGUGCUCGGAUUUGCCAUGUUUGUACCGUCGGAUUGGCUUCGUCCAACGACCAACUUUCAAAGUUAUUCACACACUAUAUAGGGGGUAUACAUAUAGAUGUGCCGGCCCGUUGCAAUGGAUCCAAAGUAUAUCUAUUUAGUGGAGUGCACUCUAAACACAUUAUCUAUUUAUUUUUCUCUAACCUUUCGUGGCCAUGCAACCAAGCCACAUAAGCUUCAUGGGUGCCCCCACAUCAUCUUAUUCAUACUACGUUGACUGAAAAAAAGAUAAAUCACCCAAAACAAGAUCUUCCCGUUUUUUGUUCCUACGAUGCUGUGCCGUGCACGUACCUACUAGUUGUAUAGUGGUAGUACUAGUUGUGUAGUACAAACUUGGUACUAGUAGGAGUAGAGUAGUACGGAAUGCUCCUACUCUAUCAAAGAGCCCCAUCUGACACCAAAUUUCUUGGCUUCCGUGCUACAGCUAGAUCUUCCCCUCGUUUCUGUUUUCCAACCCGGCGGCGGGCGGGGUGCGGUUUGCCAAUAGUCGGUUUGCUCAACGGCGGUCCCACAUGAAAGUGAAAGUGCUAGGCAACACGCCUUCCCUAAGCUAUGUGUCGUGCCGGACGGGCCGUGGAGUACUCCCGAUUCCCGGGCGUGUGUGGGGGAGUGCGACGCGAACGCGGCAGGCCUUUUCCUUUUACUAGCAAUGUGCCCGUGCGUUGCGACGGAUCCAAAGUAGUAGAAUAGUAGUACUUGUUCACAAACUUGAAAGAAAUCACUCUUGUUUUGAUAUACUCCUAAUAUAUUACUCCCUCUGUUCCUAAAUAUUUGUCUUUUUAGAGAUUUCAAAUGGACUAUCACAUACGGAUUAUAUAGACAUAUUUUGAAGUGUAGAUUCACUCAUUUUGCUCUGCAUGUAGUCACUUAUUGAAUUCUCUAGAAAAACAAAUAUUUAGGAACAGAGGGAGUACUUUUCACUCAAAAUAUAUUUCUCAGGCUGUUUUGAUGAGGUGAGGGAGGGAUGUGGUUGCUUUCAAAAUAAUAAGGGGUUUUCUGCAAAUUGGAGCAGAGAAGUGGGCCAUUGUUGCAAAAAUGCCACAACUUACCUCACAGCCGUUAGAUGCAGAUCUAAUGGUCAGAAACGACGGAUGGCAGACACACCACCAUCACCAACUGAGUCUUUUAUAGGAGUAGGAGUAGAGAAACAUGUAUAAAUUGUAACAUUUGGUUCUACUCCUUGGCACGAUCGAUAGAUAGAAAUAAUGAUUGGAAGGCGGGGCUAUUUCCGCCAGAUAAGCAGGGUACGUAGUAGCUAGGUUUGCGCAUCGUCGGUUUGGUCACACGCGGUCUGACAUGUUCUAGUGUUUCUAGCAAGAUGCCCGCGCGUUGCACGAAGUUGAUGGAAAAGGUAAGCACAACUUAUAAAUUGAUGGAUGGAGUACUAGUUACAGUGCUGCAUAUAAUUAAGCAAAGGGAUCGCACAUGUCGGUAUUGACUGGAACGAGAAUGCAACAACACAAUAAGAAUUAAGGCCACGAUGAUGAUGCGAUCGUAGUGGUGGUUACUGAAGGCAAGAAGAAAGAUGCAUCCAUCAAUGUACGACCUCCUCCUCCUCAACUUAGUGCGCCGGGCCACCGACCGGCGUCUAAGGAGCGGCGGCUUUUGUGGUGAGGUCGAGGUGCUUCUCAGCAAAGGCAUCCAAGGCUUCCAGCCGGUUGAGGAAGGCCAACGUCGUAGCAUCCUCACUGGCCUUGUAGACACCUAUGUACAUGAUUUGCUCAUACACGUGGAUGUGUAGGUCGACAAAUUCUUGCAGGGUGAGGUGCCUCGCGGCGAGCACGACCUCCAGGUGGACAUUCUUCGUGGCAUCGGCGGGCAGUCGCAGGGCCACCAGUGCUUGAAAGAGGUUCCGGCCAUGGACGCCGAUUAGGGUGGCAGGCAAUGAGGAGCCCGGGCGCGCGGGCUGGAGGAGUACGAUGAUGUCGUCCGCGAACUUCUUGAGGACGGUGAACUUGUUGGUGGUGGCAAUGAUCAUCUGGUCCAACUGAGAGUCAUAGUUGGCGUCGACAGCGGCCAUCCACCAGCCGGUCUCCAAUACCGUCUGGAGACGAUCCUCGGCGCCAUGCCGCAGGCCGACGUCGUGGACCAUCUGGCACAACCGCUGGCCGCUCGCGCGCAUCGCCACCAUGGGUCUGUAGUGAGCUCUUUUGCGCUUAGUGUAGGUGCUUAGGCAAAUGCUUAGGUGCGUACGAUGUGGUAGAUGCAUUGGAAUGGAGGGGCGCCUUUAUAUGAGGGCAAACUGCGUUGCAUUCACAUCGUGCAACCUCUUUUCCCGGUCCUCCUCCCAUUACUUCCCUCAUGCAUUAAUUGAAGGAGGAUGCAUUGGCCGUUCAACAUUUCGGGAACCGCUACUCCCUCCCUCGUCUGCAUUAAAGCCGUAUCGGGAACUACGCCGCCCGCUGUCAAAUUGAAUAGUACUGCGCCACCCGCUGCACGCCCGGCUGAACAUGCCUCCAUCAAACAGCUCCGUUAAACCCGCAUGCAAACCGAGAAACCUACUCUGGCCACACGUCCGUUCAUGACCGGGCCGGAAUUAAACGCAACACCGGCCGAGCUCCUCCCGUCCGCCCUCAGUUUAAACGAGGCCAGACGCCGGCCAAGCUCCUCCCGUCCGCCCUCUAUUUACACGAGGCCAAACAAACAGCGGGCAAGAAUCGCACCCCUCUGCCGCUCCCCCAUCUCCUCCUUCACCAUUUUCUCCACUCUUCCGACGGCUUCCGAGGAGCCGUUCUUCGGCAUAUUACCCGGCUGGGUGGCCCGCCGAGCGCUCCGGAUAUGGGCGAGGCCACUCGGUGCUUCACCAACCUCGCUUGCCCGAUGGAGCCAGUUGCCGCCCCAAGCAGGCGCGUGGUUCAGCAACUCACCACUCCAGUUCAGCUUGAUGAGGAGUGGCGAGUUGCUGCACGCCGGCACGGCGGUGAGCACACCGGUACAGGCGUCGUCGCUGCCGCGUCGUACCGCGCCACCAGUGUCUGCGGUGCCGCGCCUCCCGUGUCUGUGGGCGCGCCUCCCGUGCCUGCGGCAGCGCCAUGCAGGCAGAGACAGAAGCCGGGUGCAUGGAGAGCGACGAGUCGGUGGCCAGCUUCUUCGUGUCCGCUGCCAUCAUCGAGGAGAAGUAGAACACGGGAGGCCGCCGCCACUUGGGUCCCAUGAAGGCCACCGCCGAGGCGACGACUGCGCAUUCAGGUGGUUUCUUUGCUUCUUCGUCUCUUCCGAGGACCUUCGUCGACCCCGCAAAGUGUCUGCCCGGCAUGAGGAAGACAAAGGGAUCCGCGGGCGGCCAUUUCGAUUAUGUACUCCCUCUCCAGCUGGCGGGAAAUUUUUGUUCUAAGAAUGGAUAAAUUGUAUGUAUCUAUAACUAAAAUAAGUCUAGAUACAUCCAUUUCUAGGACAAGUAUUUCCAGACGGAGGGAGUAUUAAUUAUACCAAGAGAGCCGGAUUGGCACCGCUUAGUUCAUGUAAAUGUAAUGAAAUCCAUCAUGUUUAUAUGAGGAUCCGGCUUUUUUAUACGAAAUCCUUCAUGCUUAUAUGAAAUCAGUCCGUGUUUGCACGAAUUUCAUCUGGUUGGUUAGAGUUGUGAAAAUGUAUGCCGCUGGCGUUUGAUGUCGUCCUCCGCGGAAGGAAGUGGGAGGAAAUUUGCCUGCUACCGUUGGAGAUGCUCUUAUGCUGGAAAUAAUAGAGUGACAUCCAAUCCAUUUGAGUUAAUUGCGUGUAUGAUUGUCCCUCUAUAAAAAGUUAAUUGCAUGUACAGUGUACACGUGACUUGCAGGGUGGCUCCAGCUUCAUACAGAAAGUUAAAAAGAAACAAGUCCAUCCUUAAUCUUGUAUUCUAAGUACUCUGUGGGUUCCACUGUCAGUACAGUAGCGAAAGAAGUAUAUAUUAAAUAAGUAAUAUAUAAUAUAAAAAUCUAAAGUUAAAAACAGAAUUCGAACUCAUGUCAUCGCGUUGCGAGCAUCCGACGCUAACCAGUCCAGCACAUUUUUGUUGUAGACCAUGCUAGAGAUAUAUCUCCAUGUCUACUGUUAUACUCCAUCCGUUCCUAAAUAUUUGUCCUUUUCAGAUUUCAAAUGGACUACCACAUACAAAUGUGUAUGUAGACAUAUUUUAGAGUGUAGAUUCACUCAUUUUGCUCCAUAUGUAGUCACUUGUUGAAAUCUCUAAAAAGACAAAUAUUUAGGAACGGAGGGAGUAGAAAACAGAGUUGGUGAUGAUGGUGUGCGUGCCGUCCUGCAAUAUACGCCGUCGGAUUUAUAUCUAGCGGAUAGGCAGAAAACUAUGGCAAUUUUGCAAAAAUAUACCCACACCCCUCUCCACGUUCGCAAAUACGGCCUUCCCUCGUUCAUCCUUUUCUCUCACAAGAUAAACUACUCAUACAAAUGCAUCUUGAUGUUCUGUGCAAUGCACGGGCAUCUAGCUAGUUUCUUUUAAAAUAGUUACUGCGAUAAUUGGGUUGAAGUGAUAUAUUUUAUGUCUGCCCCGAAUGAUUUCAGAUCACUAGUAGUAACAAAGAAAAGGUUGCCUUGCUAAUUAACAGAAAACAGGGUGAAAACUAUCACAUGAGGCCGGUAAAAACGAGGCACACUGGGUUCAGCAUCAUCGUCACUACAGCUGUGCGCGCACGAGAAGUCUACAUAUCGAGGGGGCUACUGAGCGAGGCACAGAGACACAAUGUUUGAGAGUGAAACCAAUUGACAGAUUACAAUCAGAUCGAGUUGUCACCCUUCUACUGUCAUUGUNNNNNNNNNNNNNNNNNNNNNNNNNNNNNNNNNNNNNNNNNNNNNNNNNNNNNNNNNNNNNNNNNNNNNNNNNNNNNNNNNNNNNNNNNNNNNNNNNNNNNNNNNNNNNNNNNNNNNNNNNNNNNNNNNNNNNNNNNNNNNNNNNNNNNNNNNNNNNNNNNNNNNNNNNNNNNNNNNNNNNNNNNNNNNNNNNNNNNNNNNNNNNNNNNNNNNNNNNNNNNNNNNNNNNNNNNNNNNNNNNNNNNNNNNNNNNNNNNNNNNNNNNNNNNNNNNNNNNNNNNNNNNNNNNNNNNNNNNNNNNNNNNNNNNNNNNNNNNNNNNNNNNNNNNNNNNNNNNNNNNNNNNNNNNNNNNNNNNNNNNNNNNNNNNNNNNNNNNNNNNNNNNNNNNNNNNNNNGGUGUGGGUGUGUGUGUCGGGGGGGGGGGGGCAGUGACACUUACAUAUCCCUACUCUUAUAAAAAUAGAGUUGGUGAUGAUGGUGUUCCUGCCAUCCUGCAAUAUAGGCCAUCUGAUUUAUAUCUGACGGAUAGGAAGGAAACUGUGGCAAUUUUGCAAAAAGAUACCCACACCCCUCUCCGCAUUUGCAAAUAAGGCAUUCCCUCGUUCAUCCUUUUCUCCCACAAGAUAAACUACUCAUACAAAUGCAUCUUGAUGUUCGGUGCAACGCAUGGGAAUCUUGCUAGUAGGGAGAAGGAGUUUGUGUGACACAUAUCUAGCUAUAUUAAGGGAUAGGUAGAUAGCAUUUGUGCGAGGCAUACUUAAAGCAUCACGAAGAUAAACAAAAUUGUGUGCAUGCAAGUGCCGGAAAAAAUGAAGCGAGAAACAAUGUGUGUGUGUGCGCGCGCGUGUGUGUGUGAGAGAGAGAGGGAGAGAGAGAGAGAGCGAAAUCUCAAAACAAAAGGUGCUCUGCUGGAAUCCCAUUGUAUGUAUUCAUAUGGUUUCGGAACUCGAGUUAACCUUAGGCAUAUGUGUGAGAGACAUUAUUAUACUUUGAGACAUUAGUGGCUGUGGGUGGGCGGAAUUAAAGGGGUGGGCGUGUUCGACAGAGAGAGCAUGUGUGUUUCUGUGUGAGAGACUUGUAGGACGGGGUAGAAAGACAAAUUCUAACCUUGACGGAGGGAGAGAAAUACACGAAGUGCGCGUGUGUGAUUCCGAUGCCCACAUGGAAAUGAGAUAUGUAUGCGUGUGAGAGAGAUUGCACAAUUCAUUCACGUAUCACUAUCUAGCGAUCGUAGACGUGCAUCGCUUGAACAUAAAUCAAUAUCUACUUCAUAUCGUGGCCAAAGGUACAAUAUCGAUUCAACGCUAUAAAGAUUGGACACUCACAUAUCACAUUUUUUCUAUUUAAAUAAACCUUUUCAGUUGUGCAUGCCAAAGUUACAGUGAUGUUUCUUCAAACAACCAAUGUAGCUAUCAUGUACAUGCACCAUUGUUACUCUUGCAUUCAAAAUCAUUAGUCUAGGAUGAUUUAAGGUUCUAUUAUGAAGUAAUAUAUGUAAUAUUCAUAUAUGAACUCAACAGGUACGCAAUUUAUGAAAUGGAGGCUAUGUAAUCAUAUGAGGUAACACUUUUAAGUAGCGGACUACAAUAUCCAUUUAUUUUUGUGCACCUCUACACUAACACGUCAAUGCAUUAUGUUUAAAGUAAAUAACCAAUUGCACUAAAUUAUCUAUUUACACGAGAAAUACAUAGGCUGAGCGUUUGAUCCCUUUUUUUGUGAACGCGCCACUACACCCGUACGAUUGGCCGCGCCCGUGUGAACGUCCAAGUUAUCGGCGCAUCAUCCCGAGUUAUUGUCUUUUUUUCUUGGUUGGACUUCACACUAGUUAUUAACUGUUGACGCGUGCCCCGUGUACACAGUCUCGCAUGACCUUCCCGCUAGCACAGUCCAAAAUUAGUUGAAACUGGAUACGAACGAUCCCGCGGGCGGCAACAUCUCCCGCCUCCUUCUAAAAUUUCCGCCACCUUAGUCUUUAGCAUGCGAAAUUCCCCUUUUGUUCUUGGUGCACGGAGACCAACAGUUACAAUACCGCCCUCAUCUACAUAAUAGGUCGAGGCUGCUUUGGUAACUUCCGGUUGCCCCCACUACACAACACCCCCAUUUCCUCUCCACCUCCCGCAAAAACGACUAACUCCACAGCACCAGAGCAUCUCACAUCACGCCGCCGUACUUCAUCAGCCUUUCUCCCCCCCUCUCGAAACCCUAGACUGCUCAUCCACCGGCGUACCAGAGCCCAUUCAUUGCCAGCGGCGUCCACCUCGCCGAAUCUGCUUCUGCGGCCGCAUCUACCCCUCCCACCUCCCCUAGAAAUAUGUAGACUGCUCACCCACCACUGUACCACAGCCCAUUCAGUGCCGGCCUUGUCCACGGCGCCGGAUCUGCUUCGCCGGUACUCUCAUCAACCGCAGCGCAUCUGCAGCGGCUCAUUCGUACUCCCCACCGGAGAUGCUUCGUCCACACCCCCCCGGAGCCGCCCCACCGACUCCCCCAUCGACGGCCUUUGAUCCUCUUCGCCGACACCUUCCUCAACCCUACCAGAGCCGCUUCACCGACACCAUCGUCAACCCCACCGGAGUAGCUUCGCCUAUACCAUUUUCAACCCUACCAGAGCCGCUUUGCCAACUCAGAAGUCCACGGCCUCAGAUCCGCUUCCUCACACCCUCAUCCAACCUACCGGAGCAGCUUCUGACGCCCCGUCCACGACCACAGAUCUGCAUCAUCGACACCAUCCUUAACCCAACCACCGGAGCAGCUUCACCUACCGGAGCCACUCCACAAACACCCUACUCAACGGUUCUAGAUCCCCUUACCGGACCCCGACAGCCAGCGCAGGGUCAUCACCCUUGACGUUUCUAACCUGAUUCCCACCAUCGGGAAAGAUGCCAAGGACCCGCCACGGCCUAGGUACUUGUCACCUUUAAACCCGUUCAGCAUCACCUGCCCGAUGUACUUCAAAUAUACUAACAGGUCGCUGUUACCUGAUAUGUAGCUGGCAAAAACUACAAGGACGAUGUUUCUUCUAGAUCUAACAACUUGGCCAACCAAGAUCCUGGACCGAGGCAUUGCUAUGAUCUUGUAAGCGUGUCUCUCUCUCUUGUAUUGUUCUGUGCCUGCCAGCGUGCUUUGCUAGGAUUUUCGACCAGUAAUCCCUUUGUGCAGACAAUGAUUUCUACUACUGGCUGCUAAAUUAGAUAUGUAGACGUCAUACAUGAUACUACCUCGUACCUCCGUUCCUAAAUAUAAGUCUUUCUAGAGAUUCCACUAUAGGCUACAUACGGAGCAAAAUGAGUGAAUCUACACUCGAAAAUGCAUCUAUAUACAUCUGUAUGUGGUCCAUACUGGAAUCUCUACAUAGACAUAUAUUUAGGAACAGAGGCAGUACGUUACACAAAAUCGUAGGUGGCAUGUAGGAAUUCUAGUACACUACAUUAGGCUCCCUUAAAGUGCCUGCUAGUCCAGCACACAGAGUCAUGGCUAGUUUAUGCUACGCACACAAUCAUUAAUUGGUGGUUUAAAUAUGCGCAAGGGAUAUGCAAUGUAUUAUCAUAUAGAGAUGUCUGAAAAUUAGUCGUAUCAACUUGCAGACAGGGUUACACAAUGAAAAAGUACAAGAUGUAUGUGGCAAUUUCAUGGAACAUCGCAAAAAAAGGAGAGCCAGCGGUGAGCCUAUACAGUGUGCUAUGGUACGUUACUCCUCCAUUGCAAUCAUCAUGACAUGUUAUUUGUAUGUCAGUUCUAUUGGCCAAGUUUCUUAGGGACAGUUAUUACGAGUUAUCCUAAGAAAAUAAGCACCUGUGAAUAUAAGCUCCAUGUAAUAAGCCAACCAGUUCUUUUCAUUGCGUUUUCAGCUUAUCUUUGGUAUGAUCAGUGAAAAGUCUAGAUUGCAUUAUAUUUUUUUCAUUUUGCUGCCCAUAUGAAAAUUAAUUUGACUUGCAAACAUCACAAAUUGAACCCAGUGCAGUAAUUAAUAUGAUAGUAAAACAUACCAUCACUAUUUGCUCAAAAUGCAAAUACAAAGAUACCAUCUACUUGGCACAAUCUACUUUGGUCAAUGUUUUCCAUAGAGAUCCCAUUGCCUAAUUUAGACGAAAAAUGCAUGACCCAUAUUUAAGUGAAGAACAAUUAUUUAUUGAAAUUCGAUGGUCCAAGUGGCUGGUUAUUAUCAUAUAGCAGCACCAUCUGAAAGCAUCAUAUAGCAGUAGCAGCAGCUCAUAGCAACUCAUCAUACAGCAGCAGCAGUGUGCAAUUCAUCAUAUACCAGCAGCAGCUCAUAGCAAUUCAUCAUAUAGCAGUAGCAGGAGCAGCUCAUAGCAAUUCAUCAUAUAGCAGCAGCAGGAGCAGCUCAUAGCAAUUCAUCAUAUAGCAGCAACAGGAGCAGCUCAUAGCAAUUCAUCAUAUAGCAUCAGCAGGAGCACCUCAUAGUAAUUCAUCAUACAGCAGCAGCAGGAGCAGCUUAUAGCAACUCAUCAUAUAGAAGCAGCAGCAGCUCAUAGCAAUUCAUCAUAUAGCAGCAGCUCAUAGCAAUUCAUCAUAUAGCAGCAGCAGGAGCACCUCAUAGCAAUGCAUCAUAUAGCAGCAGCAGAAGCAGCUCAUAGCAAUUCAUCGUAUAGUGGAUCAGAAUGAAAAUUUGGCAAAAAAUCAGAGGAGAUCCUCACCUUGUUGGAUGAGCUCUUCCUUCAACAGCACCUCAAGGCCACGGCCUGGGAGGUGGGGAGGGGGAAUAAGGUGCCUUCUGCCGCAGUGUGGCAUCAACCGUAGUUGUGCAGCGCCUACUGGAGUAGUGCGUUGGACAAACCACAGUGGAGCAACUGCUGGAGACCAUGAGAAUGAGGGGCGGCACCAGAGGUAGGAGCAGCCAGGGAGAGUUGCCCCUACCCGCCGACCAUGUAGCCUAGAUGGACAAAGCAUCGUCGAGGACCAGGCUAGAUGGGACUAGUGGCGACGGCUUGCUGGAGGAACCCUAUGCUGCAGGUAGGGGAUCGAGGUAGAGGGAAAGGGGAGAGGAGAUGCAAGCGGGCAUGGCAAUGAACGCUUGCGUGUUUGUUUUUACUUGAGGGUGAGGUGUGACGCGGGCGUCACCAGUUGCAUUUUGAGUGUAAUAUAGGCAGACAACAGAGUCAUUUCACUAUUCCCCUUCCCUUCAAUUUUUAGUGAGGUUCUACCUGAAACACCCCCCUCCAAAGAGAAAUUAGUUAAGCCCAAGCCCAUAACUCAAAAAUGACUUCUUUACAUCUUUUAUGGCUUAUUUUGACAAUAAGCCCUGAAAAGGCGGAAUAGAACUAGCCCUUAACCUGCAAUUCAAUUGUGCGUGCAAUGAUGAAUCACUCCUGCCUGCUAUAGUGUACAUUUGGGCAUCAUCAUACAUGGCAUAACCUAAUACAUGUGCAUUCCAUUGUAGAAUCUUGAAUAUGCAAUGUUUAUGUUAGUUCAUAUGUUGCACAUGAUGUUUAAAUGCCCCUUAAAUCUGGUCAGUCAAGUGAUGGUCUUUAAGCCUCCUUCUUUGCUUCUUUUCUUGAUAUGUAAGAUUUGCUCACACAUCUGUUCAAUUGCUUGUUUGCAUCAGCCAACCAUACUAGGACUGUUUGCUUUGAUUACUUGUUGUUCUUGACCUAACACUCUAACAGAGCUUGUCAACGAUUUAAACACUAAGGGCUGCUGUAGUGGGGCCUUUUCUAACUCAUAGGUGACAUAAAGGUUUGGCUGUACACUAAAGUAGGCUCUCCAAGAGUACCUGGAGAUCCAGUUCGAAGGUAUGCCUAGUUUUUACAUAGUACAGACAUAGUAAAUGCUCAUUUCAUUGUGUGCAAGUGCAAGAGAUGCAGCAUGUUUCAUUAUGUGGUGUUGUUUUGUUAUAAUCUCAUCCUUUUGUGUUCACAGACUGGAAAGUAUGCAUAUUUAUCUUCCAAGGAGACGAGUAACUAGUUUGUGUCACCUUGAAGAGGGGGUGCAAUGAAGAUAAUAUUGAGGAUUUCCAAGUACAAGAUGUUAGGAAGGAGCCUUGCAAGAGAAGUAGGACCACCGCUGAGCCUCUUCAACCUGUUAAGGUAAGUCACUGUAUCCAACUCAACAGUUCAAUUCCUUGUUUGUUUCAGGCAUAGUUAAUUUGCUCUUUUCAAUUGCUUUAUUUGUCCUCAGUUAAUGAGAUGCCCAAGGAAUGAUGCCUGAUGUUGGGUACUUGUAUAACUAUUAGUUGACAUAAUUAAAUGCCUUACCAUUUAAUUACUAUGCCGAAGUGUGCCUGAAGGUUUGAAGUCUAUUAACCAACUAUUAUUGCAUGAGGCUCACAAUCUAGUUUAUACUAGGCUAAUGAUUGCAUAGUUUUGCUUGCUGUAGUAUGUUUGUAUGAAACUCUCUGCUGUUCAUUAUGCUCCCUAAGACUUUAAUUGAGCUACAGAAUGGCCAACUGCUUGCUUACUUCUACGCAACGUGCUGUCUAAAUUUGUAACUUGUCUGUGUUUUGGAUUGGGCCCCAACAUCAUGCUCCUCUAGUGAGCUAAGAGAGAUUUCUGUAUGCAGGCUGCACAGACUACCUUUUUAUAAUUUUUAAAAUAUCACCUGCUUAUGCUUCAUGACGUGUAACAUUAUUGUUAGUCCUGUUUUGCCAUGUACAAAAUAGUCUGUCUUGCUCGCUCCACAGUUGUAACUAUAUUUUUGCCCUAGUCAUGUGUACUUACAGAAACAUUUCAGGAUGAAGUGACAUCAACACAAAGAUCUGCGAGCAGUGCGGCAUGGCCAUUACCGAAUGAUUAUGGAUUGGAAUUGGAAUGUGCUGAUGUUCUCGAGCAUCAACUAGAGGUGGCAAGACAACGUGUACAUGAUUCUGAACGUACAAUCAACAAGUUGAGACUGGACAUGCAGGUAUUAGAUGCAGGAGUCAAAAAAAUGAAACAAGACACUGAGGUAACAACGAAGGAAUUGGAGAUUUUGCAGACUAAAAUUUGUGCUAUCUAAAUCCGGCCAAUCCUAUUUUCUGAAGAGAUUAUAGUUCAAAUGGUAAGUUAUGUUGAUGCGCGUCCAUGAUGUAUGAGUUGUAUUUGCCCAGUGUAUGCAAUUUGCUGUUUGUGUAUGCUUUAUUAUCAUUGGUGCCGAACCAUAAUGCCCAGUGGGUAUAAUCAGAUGUAAUUUCUUUAUUGUAUAGUGUAGGAUUAUUCUACGUUUCUAUGCCUUAGUCUCUUUAUUGUAUAGUGUAUGUUUUUUAGAGGUGAUAGUAUAGAGUAGGAUAAUUCUUUGAAUAUGCUAUAUCGUCAAACGGGGGCCAACUCGCCCAAACGUUGUAGUGACCAUGGCCCUCCACAUGCCGUACAAUCCAUGGGCCAUCUACGGGACAGACGAUCCAUGGCCUUCUAUGGCUGUCGGAUUCGUGGGCCUUCUAUCUGCUGUCGGAUCCAUGGGCCUUCUAUGGGCCAUCGGAUCCAUGGGCCUUCUAUGGGCCGUCGGAUCAAUGGGCCUUCUAUGGGCCAUCGGGUCAAUGGGCCCUCUACGUCCCGUAGGAUCCAUGGGCCUUCUACGGGCCGUCUCAUCUAUGGGCCUUGUACGGGCCGUAUAAGGGGCCAUAAACAGGCUAGAGUGGAAAUCGUACGUUUUAUGGGCUGACCAUAACGGGCCGUUAAUAGGCCGUAUUUGAUGAUGCUAUGAAAAUGGCCCAACAGAUUAACGGGCCGUAAACGGACCGACAAUAUCCACGGGCUGAAUUUGGUCCACAAGCAGAAAAGGCCAGUAACGGGCCGUAAGUAACCGAAUGCUAGAAAUGAGCCCAAGAAUAAAUGGGCCCUCAGAAGGCCGAAAGGUAACACGGGCUAGAAACGACCCAGUGGAAUAAUGGGCCGCUAAUGGGUAUAAAGCGAUACACUGUUCAUUACGGGCCGGUUUCACCACGGGCCAUUAAUGGGCCAAGAGUUACAAAGGGGCUCAUAUGGGCCAAAAUACGUCAUGGGCCAUACAUGGGCCGGAAGUUAAAACGGGCUGGAAUUAUAUUGGACGGCCCAGAUGACGCUACUGGGCCUAAUUCGGAUAGGCCGUAAAUGGGCCAUGGGUUAGCGGGCCGUAAAUGGGCUAUAUGCGAACAUGCCGUUAACAGGCUUGCCGUGGGCCGGCCCGCCACCUUUUGACCAAGUCAAACGGGCCGACCUUUUCACAGGAAUGGGCCUCUGUUGGGCCGUGCCACGUGUCGACGUAUCAUAGUCGCUUUGGGUCCAAUGAGUGGAUGACAUAUGUCCCAACGGUGAGCCGACACGUGUUUCCUCUAGCCAAUGAUGAUUUUACACGUGGAAAAUCCCCAUUGGUCGGGGCUGUUAACGUGUUAUCGGAUCCAAAACCGGACCCGAUAGCUUAACGGCGUUCCGUUACGGUGGAUGCCACAUGUCGGUCACCCUUGACGAAAGCACUUCUGUGACGCGCGAUUUAUCGUCAUGGAAGUGGACACUUCCGUGAUGAUAAUUUUGGUAAUGUCAUGGAACACUUCUACGGCAGCACAGGUAUGACUAUCUUUCAUAAAUUUGUCAUGGAUGUACAUGCAUGACAGAAAACGUGACCUACUGUGACAAACACGUAUCAUCACGGAAGUGUAUUUUUUUGUAGUGUAGGCUUUUCCCUAGUAGUGUAUAAAACCCCGAGGAGCCCUCAUGCAUACGAGCGAUCGAACACAGAGGAUCGCUCACUCACACACGCAUAGCAAGCCACACCCAAGGAGAGGGCGUAGCCUAAGCCUCGGCCUUCCUUCCUUCCUCCUCCAUAUAGCUCUAGGAGCAACUCUGUACUGAUACACAUCAACUACACUCGGCAGGACUAGGGGUGUUAUCUCUCCGGAGAGCCCCGAACCUGGGUAAGUCUUGCGUCCCGCGCUCGCUCAUGCCGACCUCGCCUCUGGAGCCCACCAGUGCCCUCGAGCCUCCUCCUAUCUUUAGCCAUCCCUUGGCAUCUGUCGUGCGCCCACCACGAUAGUUAGCGCCCACCGUGGGGCAGCUCGAGCUCCUGGCCGGGAGCAUGCUUCAGACGGGGCUCCUCUCCGACUCCGACGAGCCUGUCAUGUUGGCGGACGACGUCAUCGACGCACUCGCCGCCUCCUUCGCCGCGCUGCGCAUCUCCGAUGCGCCUGCGGCCGACGAGUACCCCAGCGAGGUACUUGACUUUUCCGAAUCCCCCCUCUCCCUCAGCGGCAGCGCUCCCGCCGGGGCAAUGGACCUUUGCGUGGAGGUUUUCAUCACCGACACCGGCACCUCUUCCUCAUCGUGCGCGGAGAGGAAGGCCGCAGCGGAUCGGGCCGGCUCGCCCAACCCACUGCGCCCCAUGAUGCAGAGCCUUCGCGUUCCCAUCAGCACCGACAUCGACGCGUCCAACGUCGCCGAGGCCCGGACUCGGCUCAAGGAGGACAACCAGCGCCUGCUGGACCUGACCGAGACGCUCGCCGCCACGCAGCGUCACGUCGACUCCGUGCAGCUGGAGCGCAACGCCGCCUACGGCUUCACGCCUACCGCGGCCGAGCCAAGCCGGGUCGCGGACGUGCGAGCCCGGGGAGGCGCGAUCGGCCGUGCUUUCGGCGCCAUCCCGCCCGUCUACGAGACUCCCAUGAAGAAAAUGCGCGCCGCGCAGGCGAGGAGCUGAAGGAUCGCCUCAAGCGGGUGAACGACCUCCUCGACGCGGCCAACGCGCAGCAGGACCGCCUCAACCAACUCGCCAAGCCGGCGGGAUCCAGCUCCGCCCGCAUCGGCGGACCCGGCGACCACCAGAACACGGCGUCUUCACCACCCGGCGAGGCGCACUCCGGCCGGACCCGGCGCAACCCUGACCCGGCAACUGCCGGCGGCUUGGGCGAUGAGCCGGUCUUGGAGGACCGAUGUCGGCUCGACCCUCUGCUCCAACCCGGUUGACGUCCGACUACGGUUGACUUGGGCCCCCGCGGCACGGUCACCGACCGGCUGGGCCCGCGCGCCAUCGAUGACACCGACGCCCGCCACCGCCCCGACCGACUCGCCCUUUCCCAGGAGCUGGAGGAGAGCGGCCCUGUCAGGUCAGCGUGCUUCAGACCACGCAUCAGGGAUGAGCCCUUUACUAAAGGGUUCUUGCUCCCCCGCGAUACCCCCAAGUACAACGACACCGUGAAGCUGGAGGACUGGCUCACCGACUACACCACCGCCAUCGGCAUCGCCGGCGGUAACCACCGUCUCGCCGUGCGCUACGCGCCGCUCAUGCUCCAAGGGUCGGCCCGCACUUGGUUGAACAGCCUGCCGGCAGGCAGCAUCAACGAGUGGGUCGACUUCGAGCAGGCCUUUGCAUACAACUUCACCGGCACCUACAAGCGACCCGGCCGCCCCAGCCAGCUCGCCAUGUGCGUGCAGGGGCCGACGGAAACCGGCCGCGAAUACCUCGCACGCCGGACCGAGCUCCAGAACAGUUGCGAGGGCGUCCACGAAGUCCAAGCGAUACGGUACUUCGUCAAUGGGUUCCGGGAUGGCACCCUCCUCAAGCACAAGCUCUUGCUCUCCGAGCCGGCCACCAUGGCCACGCUCAUGGUGACGGUGGACAAGUACGCCAACGCUGACUCCGCCAUGAAGAUCCAGGUGGCACUGGAUGAAGCCGGCGAAGCAAAGCCGGUUCCCCCUCUGAAGCCGGCCGGCAAAGGAAGCCGGCAGCAGCAUAACCAGUAGAACAACAAAUGCAAGGCCGAUCAGCCGGCCCAGCACUACGAAAACCGGCUCGUCGCGGCCGCCGCGCAGGCGCCCGCGACCGACCCGGCCGCCAAGCGCCGGCAGACCGGCAAGACGACGUGGCAACCCGCCAUGAGCUUCGAGGAGAUGCUCGAUGCUCCCUGCAAGUACCACAGCGAUGCAAGGCCGUCCAUGCACACGCUUCGGCAGUGCGCCAUCACCAGGCGCAUCAUGAGGGGCGACAUCCUACCUCCUCCGGCGCCGGCUCCGGGAGCGGGGCAGCCGCCUCCGCCUCUGCCUCCACCACCACCUCCGGCUGGCGGCACGAUGCACGACGACGUCUACCCGUCCCAGAACGUGACCUAUGUCGUCUUCACCAGCCUCGGCGACGACAAACACAGCGAGCGCCUCCUUCGGCAGGAGGUGAACACCGUCGUCCCAGCCAAGCCGGAAUAUAUGCACUGGUCGGAGCGCCCGGUCACCUGGACUCGGGAGGACCACCCGGCCGUCAUGCGGAGCCUGGGUGGUUAUGCUCUCGUCCUCAACCCCACAAUCGUCGCACCUCGGUGCACAUGCAAGUUCUCCCGGGUUCUCAUCGACGGCGGCAGCAGCAUCAACAUCCUCUACCGUGACACCAUGACCAAGCUCGGCCUCGAGGCCAAAGACCUGGAGCCGACCUGGACGAUCUUCCACGGCAUCGUUCCUGGACUCUCAUGCUCUCCAAUCGGCCGGGUCCGGCUCGACGUCCUGUUCAGCGACAACAACCACUUCCGACGCGAGCCAAUCUGGUUCGAGGUGGUGGACCUGUCCAGCGCGUACCACGCGCUGCUGAGCCAGCCCGCGCUCGCCAAGUUUAUGGCGGUCCCCCACUACGCCUACCUAAAGAUGAAGCUGCCGGGUCCGAAGGGCCUCAUCACCAUCACCGGCGACUACCGCAAGUCCCUGGAGUGCACCCGAGACGGCGCCAAAUUGGCCGAGUCGCUGGUCAUAGCCGAGGAGCGGCGCGAGCUCGACCGGAUUGUCGCCCUAGCCAAUGAGACGUCGGCCGUGCUGAUCUCGGCCGACGAGCCGGCGGACGAGGCCUUGUUCAAGCCCUCCAAGGAGACCAAGAAAGUGAAGCUGAACCCGGAAGACCCCAGCUGUAGCAAGUACGUUGUCAUGGGCACCCACCUCGACAGAAAAUAGGAAGGCGAGCUCGUCGACUUCCUCCAUGAGAAUCGGGAUAUUUUUGCAUGGACCCCAAAGGACAUGCCGGGUAUCCCGAGGAAAUAAGCCGAGCACAAACUCCACGUCCGCAAGGAUGCCAAGCCUGUCUGCCAACCCCUACGGCGUUUCUCUGAAGAGAAGAGAAGAACCAUCGGUGAAGAGGUCGCCAAGCUUUUGGCGGCCGGCUUCAUCCUGGAAGUGUUUCACCCCGAGUGGCUGGCCAACCCAGUCCUCGUCCUGAAGAAGAACAAGACCUGGCGCAUGUGUAUCAACUACACCAGCCUGAACAAGGCCUGCCCCAAGGAUCCGUUCGACCUCCUGUAGAUCGACCAAGUCAUCGACUCCACUGCCGGGUGCGAGCUCCUGUCCUUACUAUAUGCUUACUCCGGCUAUCACCAGAUCAAGCUGGACCCGGCCGACGCCCUGAAUACGUCCUUCAUCACGCCCUUUGGGGCGUAUUGCUACAUCACCAUGUUGUUCAGCCUGAAGAACGCCGGUGACACCUUCCAGCGCUGCAUGUAGAAAUGCCUGCUGCCGCAACUCGGCCGCAACAUCCACGUCUAUGUGAACGACAUCGUGGUGAAGACCAAGCAGCACCUCACGCUCCUCGACGACCUGAAGGAAACCUUCGCUAACCUGCGUGAAUACAAGGUCAAGCUCAACCCAAAGAAGUGCGUUUUCGGUGUCCCGGACGGAAAGCUACUCGGCUUCCUCAUCUCGGAGCGCAGCAUUGAGGCAAACCCGGAGAAGAUCAAGGCCAUCGAGCGCAUGCGCAAGCCGGCUCGGCUGCGCGAUGUCCAGAAGUUCACCGGCUGCUUGGCCUUGGUCAGCCGGUUUCUCAGCCGGCUGGGCGAGAGGGCCUUGCCCCUGUAUCAGCUGAUGAAGAAGAUGACACCGUUCGAAUGGAACGACCUGGCGGACAAGGCUUCCCGGGACCUCAAGCGCAUGCUCUCCACCGCACCCGUCCUGGCCGCACUGGCCAAGAAGGAGCCGCUGUUGCUCUACAUCGCCACAACCUCGCGGUCGGUCAGGACGGUGAUGGUGGUUGAGCGACCAGAGAAGGGCAAGAUCCAAGCCGUCCAACGUCCCGACUACUACCUGAGCGAGGUGCUCUCCGCCUCCAAGCAGAACUACCCACAGUACCAGAAGAUGUGUUACGGCGUGUACUUCACCGUCAAGAAAUUGAAGAAGUACUUCCAAGAGCACGUUGUUACCGUGGUCAGCACGGCCCCUCUCGGCGAAAUCAUCGGGUGCCGGGAUGCCUCUGCCCGGGUCGCCAAGUGGGCGCUCGAGCUAGCCGGCCACACCAUCCUCUACGAGCCCGACACUACGAUCAAGUCCCAAGCUUUGGCCCACUUCCUCGUCGACUGGAUUGAGACCCACUACCUGCCGCCGCCGCCGGACUCGACACACUGGCGCAUGCACUUCGACGGCUUGAAGAUGCGUCUCAGCCUAGGGGCCGGCAUUGUGCUGUCCUCCCUGAAGGGCGACCGGCUCAAAUACGCGCUCCAGAUCCACUUCACCGCCUCCAACAACGUCGCCGAGUACGAAGCCCUUGUGCAUGGCCUCUGGCUUGCCAAGGAACUCGGCAUCCGGCACAUCCUGUGCUAUGGCGACUCGGACCUGGUGGUGCAGCAGUGCUCCGGCGAGUGGGACGCCCGCGACACCCACAUGGCGAGCUACCGCUUCCUCAUCCAGAAGCUGUCCGGAUUCUUCGCGGGCUGCGAGUUCCUCCACGUCCCGCGUGUUCGGAAAAUGAGGCAGCCGACAUGCUCGCCAAGAUUGCCUCGUCCCGGCAGUCCAUCCCGUCCAGCGUCUCCCUUGAGCACCUGCACAAGCUGCCUGUCAAGCCGUCUCCGGACUCUGAGUCCAUCUACGUCUCGGACGACCCGGCCGCACCUCAACCCGUCCCGGGGACUGCCAAACCCGGCCCGAGGACUGCUGAACCCGGCCCGGGGACUGCCGAACCUGGUCUGGGGACCGCUUAACCCGGCCCGGGGGCCGCAGCCAUCAAUCUGACCGCUGCUGUUGCCGACCCGGGGGCUGCCGCCCCAGAACCCGCCAUGGUGGUCGUCUUCGCCAUGGUGAUGGCACCAUCAUGGGUCCUGCCCAUCUCAGAGUUUCUGGAGAACGGGGUCCUCCCCAUGGACGAGACCGAAGCCCGGCAAGUGCAGCGCCGGGUGUCCGCCUACAACAUCAUCAACAACGAGCUCAUCAAACGCAGCUCCAUCGGCGUGUUCCAGCGCUGCGUCGAGCAGGACAAGGGCAUUGAGAUCCUCCUCGACAUACACCAAGGCGAGUGCGGGCACCACGCCGCCUCGCGAUACCUGGUGGCCAAGGCCUUCCGCCAUGGUUUCUACUGGCCCACGGUCCUCGAAGACGCCGAGUCACUCAUCCUCAAGUGCGAGGGAUGCCAGCGGUUCAGCAAGCGCAGUCACCAGCCGACGUCAGCACUCCGGACCAUCCCGAUCGCCUGGCCCUUCACGGCCUGGGGACUCGACAUGGUGGGGCCCUUCAAGACCGCUCGAGGCGGCAUGACGCAUUUGCUGGUGGCGGUGGACAAGUUCACCAAAUGGAUCAAAGCAAGGUCAAUCAAGAAACUGGACGGGCCAACGGUCGUCCGAUUCAGCAAGGACAUCGCGGUGCGCUACGGCAUGCCGAACAGCAUCAUCAUGGACAACGACACCAACUUCGCCAAGGGUGCACUCGCGUAGUACUGCUCCGUCUCUGAUACGUCUCCGUCAUAUCUACUUUUCCAAACACUUUUGCCCUUGUUUUGGACUCUAACUUGCAUGAUUUGAAUGGAACUAACCCGGACUGACGCUGUUUUCAGCAGAAUUGCCAUGGUGUUAUUUAUGUGCAGAAACUAAAGUUCCCGGAAUGACCUGAAACUCCACGGAACUUAUUUUUGGAAAAUAUAAAAAAUAUUGGUGAAAGAAUCAAGGCCAGGGGGCCCACCACCUGUCCACGAGGGUGGGAGGCGCGCCUGCCCCCUGGGCGCGCCCCCCUGCCUCGUGGGCCCCCUGGAGCUCCACCGACCUCAACUCCAACUCCAUAUAUUCGUGUUCGGGGAGAAAAAAAAUCAGAGAGAAGGAUUCAUCGCGUUUUACGAUACGGGGCCACCGCCAAGCCCUAAAACCUCUCGGGAGGGCUGAUUUGGAGUCCGUUCGGGGCUCCGGAGAGGGGAAUCCGUCGCCGUCGUCAUCAUCAACCAUCCUCCAUCACCAAUUUCAUGAUGCUCACCGCCGUGCGUGAGUAAUUCCAUCGUAGGCUUGCUGGACGGUGAUGGGUUGGAUGAGAUUUAUCAUGUAAUCGAGUUAGUUUUGUUAGGGUUUGAUCCCUAGUAUCCACUAUGUUCUGAGAUUGAUGUUGCUAUGACUUUGCUAUGCUUAAUGCUUGUCACUAGGGCCCGAGUGCCAUUAUUUCAGAUCUGAACCUAUUAUGUUUUCAUGCUAGUUUAUUUUCCCUUUUCUUGCUUUCUUCUUGUGAGUUCAAUUAACCUUAAGAAAACAAAAAAAAUUAGUGUAGCUUUUAGUUAGUUUUCUUUUCUUGCUGUAGUAGUAAUAAUUAAAAGAAAACCCAAAAAGAUUUCCCGUUCUUCUUUUGUUUGUUGGGAGCUUUCCCGUGUAAAUAGUUUUAUUUCUGUUCUUUUCUUUGGGGGUCGAUAGGAGAAGACCAUGAUUAAAUUGUUGAAGUAGCUCUUAUAUGCAUUAUUGUUGAUUUAACCAAGAGCCCAUAUUGCCUUGUCUUCUCCUGUUUAUUGAAUGCUCGCAGAUUCCAGCUUAGUCCAAUGCACGUGCACUCUUAUUAUUAUUCACAUCGUUCGGUCGUGCAAGUGAAAGGCAAUAAUGACGAUAUAUGAUGGACUGACUGAGAUGAGAGAAGCUGGUAUGAACUCGACCCCUCUUGUUUUUGUAAAUAUGAUUAGUUCAUCGUUCCUGAUUCAGGCUAUUAUGAAUAAACAUGUUUGCAAUGACAAUUAGAGAUUAUAGUUGCUCGUGCCAUUCUUGAUUAGCUAUGAGUUAUAAUGGUUUACCUUGCGUGCCAACAUGCUAUUAAAAUGGUUGUGAUGUGGUAUAGUGGGGUGGUAUCCUCCUUUGAAUGAUUCAAGUGACUUGACUUGGCACAUGUUCACGCAUGUAGUUGAAACAAAAUCAACAUAGCCUUCACGAUAUUUAUGUUCAUGGUGGAUUAUAUCCUACUCAUGCUUCUACUCAAUGUUUAUUAAUUUUAAUGCAUGUUCAUGACUGUUGUCGCUCUCUAGUUGGUCGCUUCCCAGUCUUUUGCUAGCCUUCACUUGUACUAAGCGGGAAUACUGCUUGUGCAUCCAAUCCCUUAAACCCCAAAGUUAUUCCAUAUGAGUCCACUAUACCUUCCUAUAUGCGGUAUCUUCCUGCCGUUCCAAGUAAAUUUGUAUGUGCCAAACUCUAAACCUUCAAAUGAAAUUCUAUUUUGUAUGCUCGAAUAGCUCAUGUAUCAACUAGGGCUGUCCGUGUCUUCCAUGCUAGGCGGGUUAUUCUCAAGAGGAGUGGACUCCGCUCCUCACUCACGAGAAAAUGGCUGGUCACCGGGAUGCCCAGUCCCAUGCUUUAUGCAAACUAAAUCCAAAUAAUUGCAAACAAAACUCCCCCUGGGACUGUUGUUAGUUGGAGGCACUCGUUGUUUCGAACAAGCAAUGGAUUGAUGCUUGUUGGUGGAGGGGGAGUAUAAACUUUACCAUUCUGUUUGGGAACCGCCUAUAAUGUGUGUAGCAUGGAAGAUAUCGCCAUCUCUUGGUUGUUAUGUUGACAAUGAAAGUAUGCUGCUCAAAAUAUUAUUUAUCUCUGCUUUAAAAUCGACCUCUGGCACCUCUACGAAUCCCUGUUUCCCUCUGCGAAGGGCAUAUCUAUUUACUUUUUAUAUGUUGAGUCAUCACCUUCUUAUCAUAAGCACCAGCUGGAGAGCACGGCUGUCAUUUGCAUCCAUUACUAUUAGUUUAUAUUGGGUAUGACUAUGACUGGAUCUCUUUUACCAUGAAUUACAAUGUCUAGUCAGUCCUUGAUCUUUAAAGGUGCUCUGCAUUUAUGUUUUGCGGCCCCAGAAAGGGCUAGCGAGAUACCAUCUUGUUAUAUUAUAUCAUGAUUGUUUUGAGAAAGUGUUGUCAUCCAAGAUUUAUUAUUAUUGCUCGCUAGUUGAUUAUGCCAUUGAUAUGAGUAAACAUGAGACCUAAGAGUUAUUGUGAAUGUGGCUAGUCAUAAUCUUUGCUGAAAACUUGAAUGCUGGCUUUACAUAUUUACAACAACAAGAGCAAACAGAGUUUGUAAAAGUUUUUCUUUAUCACUUUCAGUUUAUCAACUGAAUUGCUUGCGGACAAGCAAAGGUUUAAGCUUGGGGGAGUUGAUACGUCUCCGUCGUAUCUAAUUUUCCAAACACUUUUGCCCUUGUUUUGGACUCUAACUUGCAUGAUUUGAAUGGAACUAACCCGGACUGACGCUGUUUUCAGCAGAAUUGCCAUGGUGUUAUUUAUGUGCAGAAACAAAAGUUCUCGGAAUGACCUGAAACUCCACGGAACUUAUUUUUGGAAAAUAUUAAAAAUAUUGGCGAAAGAAUCAAGGCUAGGGGCCCACCACCUAUCCACAAGGGUGGGGGGCGCGCCUGCCCCCUGGGCAUGCCCCCUACCUCGUGGGCCCCCUGGAGCUCCACCGACCUCAACUCCAACUCCAUAUAUUCGUGUUCGGGGAGAAAAAAAUCAGAGAGAAGGAUUCAUCACGUCAAGCCCUAAAACCUCUCGGGAGGGCUGAUCUGGAGUCCUAAAACCUCUCGGGAGGGCUGGAGUCUGUUCGGGGCUCCGGAGAGGGGAAUCCGUCGCCGUCGUCAUCAUCAACCAUCCUCCAUCACCGAUUUCAUGAUGCUCACCGCCGUGCGUGAGUAAUUCCAUCAUAGGAUUGCUGGACGGUGAUGGGUUGGAUGAGAUUUAUCAUGUAAUCGAGUUAGUUUUGUUAGGGUUUGAUCCCUAGUAUCCAGUAUGUUCUGAGAUUGAUGUUGCUAUGACUUUGCUAUGCUUAAUGCUUGUCACUAGGGCCCGAGUGCCAUGAUUUCAGAUCUGAACCUAUUAUGUUUUCAUGAAUAUAUGUGAGUUCUUGAUCCUAUCUUGCAAGUCUAUAGUCACCUACUAUGUGUUAUGAUCCGGCAACCCCGAAGUGACAAUAAUGUAACACCCCGGAUGUAACUUUCCAUAUUUGUAACUCCAACUCUUGCCAUUUUCGGCCAUGUGUUAUGAUAUUCCCUUCGUGGUCGGGUUUUGUUUUUCGUUUUGCAUUUUGUUCAUGUCAUGCAUAUCAUAUCAUGUCAUCAUGUGCAUUGCAUUUGCAUACGUGUUCGUCUCUUGCAUCCGUGCAUUUUCCCCGUUGUCCGUUUUGCAAUCCGGCACUCCCACCUCCUCCGGCGCACCCCUCUUGUUUUCUUUUCGCGAGCGGGUGUUAAACAUUCUCGGAAUGGACCGAGGUUUGCCAAGUGGCCUUGGCAUACCACCGGUAGACCACCUGUCAAGUUUCGUUCCAUUUGGAGGUCGUUUGACGCUCCAACGGUUAACCGGGUAACCGCAAAGUCCUUUUGUGUGUUGCAGCAAAACCCCCCUCUAAACAACCCAAAACCCCUCCAAGUCACUUCCAUGCUCUAGGUCGUUCGAUCACGAUCGUGUGGGCGAAAACCGCACUCUAUUUGGAGCCUCCUAGCUCCCUCUACCUAUAAAUAUGUGUCUCUCCCGGAUUUCUCACGCAGAUGAAACCCUAGCCCGCUCCCCUUGCGCCGCCGGACACGUCCGGCCCGAGCCGGACGAACNNNNNNNNNNNNNNNNNNNNNNNNNNNNNNNNNNNNNNNNNNNNNNNNNNNNNNNNNNNNNNNNNNNNNNNNNNNNNNNNNNNNNNNNNNNNNNNNNNNNNNNNNNNNNNNNNNNNNNNNNNNNNNNNNNNNNNNNNNNNNNNNNNNNNNNNNNNNNNNNNNNNNNNNNNNNNNNNNNNNNNNNNNNNNNNNCGACCGCCGCCGCUCCUCCCGCGCGCCGCCCGCGCCCGCCGGUCGCCGUCCCCUCGCCGUCCGGGACCGCGCCUCCCCGAGUCCUCCUCUCCUCCGCCGCGCCUCCUCCUGCCGGCGAGCUCGAGCUCCGAGCCGGCCCGAUCCAGAUCCACCGGAGAUGGUUGACUUCUCCCCUCCCCCGAAAUAUUCUAAGUCCCAAAUUUUUGCAAUAUAUGCUCCCGUUCAUCGCAUCAUAACUCUCUGCAUAUAGCUCCGUUUCGUGCGUGUAAUAUAUCGAAAUGUUCGUCUCAAGAUUCUAUUCAUUUUGUUCCAUUAUGCAUGUUCAUUUGAGUCCAUCUUGAUGCCCAAAUCUCUGGUGCAAGAGUACUAGUUGCUGUUAACUGCUGUUACUUAUCAGAACUUGAGGAUUUGUUAUUUUUGUUUCAGUUAAUCUGUGCAUCUUAUAAGUAUGAGCUCUACAUGUGUUUUGAUCUAUGCCAUGCCAUCUUUCAGAGGUAUAUGCCAUGUAUUUUUGCGAUCUCUGUGGUGACUAGCACAAGCAUGCAAACUAGGCUUCGUGAUGUUUCUGAAUUCAGGGACUUGGUAAAUUUACUAAGUAUGUGACUGCUGUUAUUUUGUUGCUGUGUAUCCAUGUGUCUACAGAGAGAUCCAUGCUUAUUUUGGUGAUGUUAAGUAAGGAUGUUUUGUAGAUAUUGUUGUAAUUGUUCCAUCCAUGCCCUUGUUUGCAAUUAUGGAGUGCCAUUGCAUGACUCAAUCUUGCUCUACUUUUGCUAUAAAAUAUUCCUGGCAGAUUGUUUACGUGAUAUUCAAUUUUGCCAAGCUUGUUGUAGUUGAUCCUUUCAUCCUAUGUAUUUGCUCUUGCCUGGGAUAGCUUCAUAAACAUUCCAUCUUGCUGUAGGUAUGCUUGUUUGGUCAUGCAUUGCCUUUUGUUGAGUGAAUCAAGCUCACCAAGAUGCCUUCAUAUUACUGUUUCUGUCAUGCUCUGUUUUCUGCCAAGUCUGAAACCUGUCAACAAAACUUGCUAUGUUUACAUGGUUACCAUCAUAUCUUCUGGUUCCUUUUGGCUUAUGGUCAGUAAGGGACUUCUGUCAUAUGCAUUUAGUAGAUUCAUGCCAUGCCUUGUUUAGCUAUGUUAAGUUCCUGUAGCAUGUUGAUUUCUUGCUCUGAACAUUACUACCUGAUACUGUUUAUGCCAUGUCCAGUAAUUUCACCAAGUCUGUGAACCUGAUAUCUUUUGCACUUUUGCCAUGCUUGUUUGAACCUGUUAUGUUGUGAUCUAGCCGUAGCUCAGUCUUCAUCUUUUGUCAAACAUCUCCUGUAGGUUACUGCCAUAUGAUUUGUUGCUAUGUUGGAGUGCUGUAGCAUAGUUUCUUGAUGUAUUCUAAGUGCUAUCAUGCUGUUAAUCACAGAUUCGUGUCAUUCUUGUUUUGCUUGCCAUUUGCAAACCGUGCAUACGUUUCCGGUGAUCUUUAUAUCGAUUUCGACCGAAACCAUCUCAUCUUUCCAGUGGCAUGCUUCGUUUGCCAAGUUACUGCCUUGUUCAUCAAUUUUCCUCCGGAGCACGCAUACGCAUCGCAUAUCUCGCAUAUCAUACAUGUUUUGCAUCAUGUUGCUUGUGCAUUUCCCAUGAUUGAUUGUGGUUCCGUUGCUUGUGUUCUUGUUUUGGGUAGAGCCGGGAGACGAGUUCGUGAACGAGGAACCUGUUGAGCACGCUUACGAGGAUCAAGCUUUCGACAACUCUGAGAAUCUUGCAGGCAAGAUGACCAUACCCUCGAAAUCACUUCUAUCUUUGCUUGCUAGUUGUUCGCUCUAUUGCUAUGCUGCGCUACCUAUUCACUUGCUCUUCAAGCCUCCCAAAUUGCCAUGAACCUCUAACCUUUGUCACCCUUCCUAGCAAACCGUUGUUUGGCUAUGUUACCGCUUUUGCUUAGCCCCUCUUAUAGCGUUGCUAGCUGCAGGUGAGAUGAAGAUUGCUCCAUGUUGGAUUAUGUUUAUGUUGGGAUAACACAAUAUCUCUUAUAUUAUUAAUGCACCUAUAUAUUUGGUAAAGGGUGGAAGGCUCGGCCUUAUGCCUGGUGUUUUGUUCCACUCUUGCCGCCCUAGUUUCCGUCAUACCGGUGUUAUGUUCCUUGAUUUUGCGUCCCUUACGCGGUUGGGUGAUUUAUGGGACCCCCUUGACAGUUCGUUUUGAAUAAAACUCCUGCAGCAAGGCCCAACCUUGGUUUUACAUUUGCCUCACCUAGCCUUUUUCCCUUGGGAGUCGCGCUCCCGAGGGUCAUCUUAUUUUACCCCCCGGGCCAGUGCUCCUCGGAGUGUUGGUCCAAACUAGAGCACCGUGCGGGACCAUCCCUUGGCAACUUGGGUUACAUCGGUACCUGUACGCUUCGCUUAUCCGGUGUGUCCUGAGAACGAGAUACGUGCGACUCCUAUCGGGAUUGUCGACACAUCGGGCGGCUUUGCUGGACUUGUUUUACCAUGGUCGAAAUGUCUUGUAACCGGGAUUCCGAGACUGAUCGGCUCUUCCCGGGAGAAGGAAUAUCCUUCAUUGACCGUGAGAGCUUAUAAUGGGCUAAGUUGGGACACCCCUGCAGGGUAUUAUCUUUUGAAAGCCGUGCCUGCGGUUAUGUGGCAGAUGGGAAUUUGAUAAUAUCCGGUUGUAGAGAACUUGACACUUGACUUAAUUAAAACGCAUCAACCGCGUGUGUAUCCGUGAUGGUCUCUUCUCGGCGGAGUCCGGGAAGUGAACACGGUUUCUGGGUUAUGUUUGACGUAAGUAGGAUUUCAGGAUCACUUCUUGAUCAUUGCUAGCUUCACGACCGUUCCGUUGCUUCUCUUCUCGCUCUUAUUUGCGUAUGUUAGCCACCAUAUAUGCUUAGUCGCUGCUGCAACCUCACCACCUUACCCUUUCCUACCCAUAAGCUUAAAUAGUCUUGAUCUCGUGGGUGUGAGAUUGCUGAGUCCUCGUGACUCACAGAUACUUCCAAAACAGUUGCGGGUGCCGAUGAGACCAGUGCAGGCGAUGCCACCGAGCUCAAGUGGGAGUUCGAUGAAGACCUUGUUCGUUACUAUGUUUCGUUUCUAGAUGAUCAGUAGUGGAGCCCAGUUGGGACGAUCGGGGAUCUAGCAGUUGGGUUGUCUUCUUUUCUUUUGGUUCCGUAGUUGGACCUAUGUGUGUACUCUGAUUGAUGUAUAAUUAAUUUAUGUAUUGUGUGAAGUGGCGAUUGUAAGCCAACUCUCGUUAUCCCAUUCUUGUUCAUUACAUGGGAUUGUGUUAAGAUGACCCUUCUUGCGACAAAACCACAAUGCGGUUAUGCCUCUAAGUCGUGCCUCGACACGUGGGAGAUAUAGCCGCAUCGUGGGCGUUACAAAUUAUCGGGACCACUCCCGGUGAUGACCGUAGUUUGAGGAGUUCAUGUAUUCACUAUGUGUUAAUGCUUUGGUCCGAUACUCUAUUAAAAGGAGGCCUUAAUAUCCCUUAGUUUCCGCUAGGACCCCGCUGCCACGGGAGGAUAGGACAAAAGAUGUCAUGCAAGUUCUUUUCCAUAAGCACGUAUGACUAUAUUCGGAAUACAUGCCUACAUUACAUUGAUGAAUUGGAGCUAGUUCUGUGUCACCCUAUGUUAUGACUGUUACAUGAUGAACCGCAUCCGGCAUAAUUCUCCAUCACCGAUCCAAUGCCUACGAGCUUUUCACAUAUUGUUCUUCGCUUAUUUACUUUUCCGUUGCUACUGUUACAAUCACUAGAAAACCCAAAAAUACUACUUUUGCUACCGUUACAGUUAUUUCCAUACUACUUUGCUACUAAAUACUUUGUUGCAGAUAUUAAGUUAUCCAGGUGUGGCUGAAUUGACAACUCAGUUGCUAAUACUUGACAAUAUUCUUUGGCUCUCCAUGUGUCGAAUCAAUAAAUUUGGGUUGAAUACUCUACCCUCGAAAACUGUUGCGAUCCCCUAUACUUGUGGGUUAUCAGUCUCCGGCAUCCGCCUUGACCUGGCUUCCGUUGCACACCCGCAGUCCAACGGCCAGGUUGAGCGGGCCAACGGCCUCAUCCUAUCCGGCAUCAAGCUACGGCUCAUCGAGCUGCUCAUCCGUUCACCCGACAGCUGGCUCGAUGAGCUGCCAGCCGUCCUCUGGAGUCUCCGAACGACACCGAACCGGUCGACCGGGUUCACCCCAUACUUCCUCAUCUAUGGAGCGGAAGCCGUCAUCCCGACCGACGUCGAGUUCGACUCGCCGCGCGUCGUGAUGUACACUGAAGCCGAAGCCAAAGAAGCCCGCAAGGACGGCGUCGACCUACUCAAAGAAGCACGUCUCCUAGCGCAUAGCCACUCAACCAUCUACCAGCAAGGCCUGAGGCACUACCACAGCAAGAAGAUCAAGCCCCUCACUUUUCGGGAGGGAGACCUCGUCCUCCAACUCGUCCAAGAGCAGAACGGCCAACACAAGCUGUCCCCCCAUGGGAGGGCCCGUUCAUCGUCAGCAAGGCCUUGCGCGAUCGCAACGCCUACUACCUCAUCGACGCCCGCAAGUCAAACAAGCGCAAGAGAGACACCGCCGACGAAGAAACAACACGGCCGUGGAACGCGGAACUCCUCCGCCCGUUUUACAGUUAGCCGUAUGCACGUAUGUAUCGCUGCCCUUUGUAAUCAUCUGAAAACUAUGGAGUCCACGAACGACGCUCGGGGGCUGCCCUUUACGACCAAGCUAUUGUGUCUCCCGUAUUUAUGCAUUAUUUACCUCUUCAUCAAACCCGGCCACCGGUCCGACUCGCUCGACCCGGGGGCUGGCCAGCUUGGUCACCACCCACCGCCUUACUCAGCGAUUCCUGACGCGCUGGGACUGCCGCGGCCUCCUGCUUUGCCCUAAGCCACAGAACUGGCUUCGGCUGUUGGCCGGCAAGCGCGCAAGUCCAGAGCACCAGCACGCCAUGAACACUAAGUCAAGGACCGCCGGGUCACCCAACCGAGCCACACCACUUUAAGUUGCCGCACGACCGGCUGCUCGCCAACCGGCUUCGCCGGAUUGCCGCUAGCCGGCCCAGUGGGUGUUUCGCUCACGCUCAACGUUUCGAACGCCUAAGUACUGCGCGCUCCUCNNNNNNNNNNNNNNNNNNNNNNNNNNNNNNNNNNNNNNNNNNNNNNNNNNNNNNNNNNNNNNNNNNNNNNNNNNNNNNNNNNNNNNNNNNNNNNNNNNNNNNNNNNNNNNNNNNNNNNNNNNNNNNNNNNNNNNNNNNNNNNNNNNNNNNNNNNNNNNNNNNNNNNNNNNNNNNNNNNNNNNNNNNNNNNNNNNNNNNNNNNNNNNNNNNNNNNNNNNNNNNNNNNNNNNNNNNNNNNNNNNNNNNNUCAACAGAAGAAAAGCAAAGGCGCAGGCACCCGCGAAAUUCAUACAUACCGCCGGGUCGAUCGCCCGGCCCCGUCACUUGUAACACUGCCGCACGACCGGCUGCGCGCCAACCGGCUUCGCCGGAUCGCCGCCAGCCGGCCCAGUGGGUGUUUCGCUCACGCUCAACGUUUCGACGGCUUAAGUACUGCGCGCUCCUCUCAAAGGCUGAACUCCUUGUCACGGACCGGAGCCUCGGCCGUCAGACUCGCGGGGGGGAAGCCCGAGAGGGGAAAAGCGCAAGAAAACGGCUCAAAAGACGAAAAGCAAGAGCGCAAACAUCCACGAAAUUUAUACUUCACCAGUUCAAAUUUAAACAGGCCCAAGGCCAGAAUUCAUCUCACCCGGAUACCCCCAGUGGGUGGGUGGACCUGCUACCUAACCGAAAUUUUUACUAAGUUAAAAACAGGCAGCCUCAUGCAUCUCCCUCGGUGGCCUCCGGGUUCGCUGAGGUGCCGCUGUCCCCCCCCCCCCUUGCUGUCUGCAUGGAGGUAGACGUCCGUCUCCUCGGAGCUGCCCUCCGGGUCGUCUAGGAGCAGGCCGUAGUCGUCGGCAGGCAUGACUCCGUCAUCCUCCGACCGCUCUUGCCGGAACUCGUUGUGGAAGGCGAACCCAGCGAUGUAGCUGGCCCGAGCAGCAAUCCGGCCAGCCUCCGCCUGCAGCUGGCUCUCCGAGCCGGCUCGCUGGCCCAUCAACGUGUCCAGCGACAGGUCCGGAUGCCAAGACAUCGCGAACCUGAGCGCCAUCUUGGUGCCAACACGAGCGGCGGAACCCCGCCAGUCGUGGAGCCGAUCCGGCCCCGCCUCCAACCACCGCGCCAGACGCGUGAAGCUAUUCGGCGUGACGGAACCCGGCCAGAGGGCCGUCGUCAUCGCCGCGCCGGCCUUAGAGAGCCGCCCCAUCUGCUCGCUCAAGACUCGUAGACGAGCCUCGACGGCGGUCACGAUCUCCGGGAAGGUCCAGGCCACCCGCGGGUCAGUCCCGGAGCCGAUGAUCCCCUGCGGGUCGUGCUGAAAGCGGACGGCCUCCUCCGCUAGCUGGCACGUCUCCGGGAAGGCCCUUGUCAAGAAGAAAAGCAAGUCAGAAGAAAGUCACCAAGGACAAGAAGCCGGGGUCCUAGCCCGGCAAAACCCAAGGAAAGAACUUACUGGAGAAGGACUCUUCCAGGUGCUGUGCUUCAAGCAAUGUACCGCGCCGCUCAAGGGCAAGGGUGCGGUCGUGCUCCUGCAAUGACUUCUCCAGCUCGGCGACCUUGGCAAGGGUCGCCUUCAGCUCGGCGUCCUUGGCCUCGGCCGCCUUCUCUGCCUCCUCGCGGCGAUGGGUUUCCCCCUGACGGGUCUCCUCCGCCGCGGCCACCAGCGCCUUCAGGCGCUCCACCUCGGCCUGGAGCUGACCCUUGUCGUUGGCCAGCUUGCCGCGUUGCUGGUCCACCUCGACGAGGGCCCGCUGUGCCUCCACAACCUUGGCGGCUUCCUCCUUCAGGCGUUCCACCUCGGCCUCUAGACGACCCUUGUCGCCUUCCAGCUGCUCCCGUAGCCGGCUGGCUUCAUCGAGUGCCCGCUGGGCCCCCGUUGCCUCCGCCCACGCCCUCGCCACCUCGGCCCCAAGCCGGUCUGCGUCAGCAACGAGCCGGUCGUAGUGGAAGUCGGCUCGCAUCAGCCAGGUCCUCCAGGACAUCACCUUGGCUGCAGAAGAAAGAUUUAGAAACAAAGUACUAUUUUAAGAUUCGGCCCAACUGCUACACAGUUGGCCCGAAUCUUGGGGGCUACACCCAGUGGGUGCGCUAGCGCGCCCCCACUAAAAAAGUGCACGCAAGAAAUGUACCCGCGGCGACGUGGAGCUCCUCCUCCUUGGCAGCGAGCUGCUCCUUGAGCCGCCGGUGCAUCUCCAGGAGCCGGUUGAAGACGCCGACCCAGUAGGAGUGCAGUUGCUGCAAGAAGCAACGAUCAACACAAGACAACGGUUUAAGAUUCGACCAAACUGCUACGCAGUUGGCCCAAAUCUUGGGAGCUACACCUAGUGGGUGCGCUAGCGCGCCCCCACGAAGAAGAAGCAACAGAAAAAUAAAGGCAGAAAGCAAGGAAAACUUAUGAACACGGCGCGCUCCAGCUCCCGUGUCUGCUCCACCUCGGCCUGGGCGCAGGCGCUGGGUCAUGGCGUCCAUCGCCGCGUCCUCCUAGGUCAGAGGCCCGAAGAAGCCCUCGCUUGUCCCGCUCCGCACCGGCUGCGGCCCGAUGGCCCGGCGCUCCCCUGGCCUGGGCACCAGGGCGUGCUAUCCGCUGGCCGCCUCCCUGGCGGCCGGCACCUUCUUUGGCACCAUCACCGGUUCAGUGGCCGGAGUGGCCUGCGGCUCCACCACCAGCGGUGCCUCGCUCAUCAACGCCUGAGGCGCCCCAUCCGGCGUCGUCCGCGACGUCUCCUCGAAGACGGCGUCACCGCCGCCUCCGUCGGCCCCCGUCCGCUCGACCACGUCGGUCCGCGGCGGGGUGUCGUCCCCGAUGACCACGACCUCCCGGUCGAGGUCCAUCACAUCCACACGACCGCCUUGGCCACGCUCCCCCUCCAGCGACGGCACGAAGACCGUCACCGCUGCCACCGUCCCUGCCAGCAUCUCUGGCCACGCCGGCUCCUCGCCGGCUCGCGCCCACGUCGCUGCGGCGUUAACCCAGGCCUGGGUCGACGCCGCCUCCAACUCUGCCUCGGCCCGGUUCCAGUCCCGCCAGGCCAGGGCUUCGGCGUCGGCCGGGUCUAGGCCAAGAUCCAGAUCCACCCGCUCCUCCUCCUCGAACUGGUCGACGGUGCCGGAGCGGCUCCUCCGGAACGCGGCGCCCUCUUUGGACGCGGCGUCCGCCGCCGCCAGCGCCAACGAGAUCGCGACCUGAAACACAAGACAAAAUAAAUACGCAAGAACCAAGCAGAGCCGCUCAGCCACUCGGUUCAGGCAAGAAGAGAACUCACCACGGCACCACCGGAAUGGCAGGCCUCGCCGCCCUCUCCUGCGGAGCGCCACGCCUCCUCUUGGCGGGAGGCUUCGCGCCCCCGGCCGGGUUCGCUGUGCGCUUCACGGCCGGGGCCCGCGGCGCGACGUUGUCCUUCCCGUGCGGUCGGCUCACCGCCGGCGCCCCCCGAGAUGACCCGGCUCCGGCCGCGCCGCCGCCUCCUCCACCUGGCGCCACUACGACAGCAACUCGCAUUAGCACCCCAAGACCGUCCCGCGACCGAUGACCCAAGAAGUGAAGACAAACUUACCCGCUCUGCGCCCUGUGCCCGCGUCGGCGGUCGUCCCCUCCCCUCCGCCGUGGGCCUCAGGCUCCUUCGAGGCAACGCGCACCACCUUCAUCCGUGCCCGGUCGUAAGGAUGCCCGGGCGAAUGAGAAGAUGGGCGGCAACAAAGUACGAAGACCAAGGAUCUCAUCAUCGGUGUCGGGUUCGCAUGGCUGUACGGGGGCUUCCCGAACUCCCAGUCGUCCCGCAGGUUGGCCUUGGAGAUGUUGUUGACCCGGCACGCGACCUGGUCCGCCCCCAGCCGCAGGUUCGCCAUGCGGUUGGGGUCCUGAAGGCCGGUCAUCUGACCGAUGAGGUGGUUGCGCUACUGCAACGGCAGGACUCGAUGGACAAUGAAAGCGGUGAUGAGGUCAGUGCCGGUGAGCCCUUCCCGCUCCUUCAUCACCGACACCCGCUUGCACAGGUUGAGCACCCCCUGUGACGGAUGCUUGGGGUAGUAACCCCAAUUCCGUUUCUCCCUCGGCAGCGAGUUGAUGAAGGGCGGCAAGUUGAUGCGGUCCGCGCCGAGGUUGCGGACGUAGAAGAAGGAAUUCUUCCAUUUCUUGGCAGAAUCCUCCAACGGCAUCUUGGGGCAGUCAGCGCCUGACCGCUUGGAGAUGACGGUGGCCUUGCACUCGGACAUCUCCCUAGCCCUCGGCCCCUGCUGCUUCAAUGAGAAGAAGCGCACCCAGAGGUCGAUCGAAGGCUCAACCCCCAGGUACCCCUCGCAGAGGGUGACGAAGCCCAAAAGCUGCACGAUGGCGCCGGCGCCAAGAUGAUGGGGCUGGAGCCCGAAGAACUCCAGGAAGUUGCAUAAGAAGGUGCUCGCGGGAAGCCCGAACCCGCGCUUGAAGUGCGGGAAGAAGGCCACGUCCUCCGUGCCCUCGGGCCGCGGCUCCCGCUCGCCCUGCGGCAGCCUCCGUCACCCCCGGCAGGCGCCUGGUGGUGCGAAGAUAGGCGAUGUCAUCGAGAGUGACAGUCGAGCCCAUCCACGAGCCCGACGGCAGCGCCAUCGACAAAGGUGCAGAAGAAAGAAGGAAGAAGAUGACGAAGAAGCUCUGCUCGAAGCAACGGGCAUCGCGAUGCGCGGCGGGUGCAAGAAGCAGAGGAAGGAAGAAGAAGGCAGGGGGCGCGAGCGAGAAUGAUUUCUGCUGCCCCCUGCUCGCCCCAAUCUAUAAGCCACAGUUUGAAACAUGGGGGAUUGGGAUCAUUUGCGUUCGCGUUUCCCACUUCCCCGCAAUAACUGCGCACGUACGUGCGCAAUAACUGCCUUGAGAAUGGCAACCGACUUGCGGACGCCGCAAUAAAUCCGUGCACGUGGGCCGAGGGCGCGCGGCCGCGGGCCCCAGCACGUCGCCCUAUCCUGUCGCGCGCGUGGCCUGCCAGGCCCCUCCGGCUUCCGGGCGCCCCAUGGCGCUCGCACGAAGUCCAAAAGAUUGCCUCAAGAUUCGACGGAUUCUUCGGUUUCCCGCCCCUACUGAGGUACCGCGAUCCGGCUUCCGGAAGCCGGCACACAGUGGGUGUUGCUGGACCCGGCGGUCACAAAAUUCGCCUCCUCAAAGGGGGAAACGGCGAAGGCCCUCCCAUCCGAAGACGGCGGACCUUCAAAGCUUCGGGGACUACUGUCGGGGGGAUGAAUCCCGGGAAGGCAACGGAACCCGGAUCCUUUUCAAAAAUGAUGGGGCCAACAUCGCCCCUCAAGCCGGCACGUGCUUGGCUGGGUCGCCCAACCCGGCCAAGCCCCUCGACCCGGCCAAACUCUCCAACCCGGCCAGACUCCUCAACUCGGCCCCAACAACCAGCUCAAGACAGACGAACCCGGCACACCAAGACUUCUCCAACAAGCCAGCUCCACCCUUGGCGCGUUCAUCAACCCGGCCACGGGUCAGCUCCCAUCCCAUCCCAGCCAUAUGAUGGGACGAGUCUCCACCUACCGAUGACCGAGGCAACAGUGCCCCGCCCAUGCCUCUGGCCAGGCGGGGCGUGGCAACAGUGCCCCACCUACCCGCUGACCAGGGCCGGCGUGGCAAUAGUGCAACCAUCGCUACCAAUGACGCUAGCAAGCGGCGACCUGACGGAGCGCCACUGUAGCCGACUCAACCUGGCCACUCCCUGACAAUCGACAAGACGGCCAACAGUGCCCCCGUACCUGGCGGGCCCCGCGUUCGGAGAACCCGGCGAGCCCUGACGGGUUCCAGCGCCGGCUUCCCGGACAAUGACAAUCCGGCCCCACGGCCUUGUAACAUUAUCCUUGUACCCCUGGGGGUUGGCCUAUAAAACCCCUAGGAGCCCUCAUGCAUACGGGCGAUCGAACACAAAGGAUCACUCACUCACACACGCAUAGCAAGCCACACCCAAGGAGAGGGAGCAGCCUAAGCCUCGGCGUGCCUUCCUUGCUCCUCCAUACAGCUCUCAGAGCAACUCUGUACUGAUACACAUCAACUACACUCGGCAGGACUAGGGGUGUUAUCUCUCCGGAGAGCCCCGAACCUGGGUAUGUCUUGCGUCCCGCGCUCGCUCAUGCCGACCUCGCCUCUGGAGCCCACUAGUGCCCUGGAGCCUCCUCCUAUCUUUAGCCAUCCCUUGGAAUCUGCCGUGCGCCCACCAUGACACCAACCUAGACUGUAGUCCUAAAACGCGGACACGGCUAUUCGAAUAUAUAUAACUCUGCAGAGGGUGUACUCUUUACCCGCAAGUAAAGGAUUUCUUUGGUCAAUGCCGAGACGUUGAAUAAUUCCGAUUACGGUCUUUGGGAUGAAAACACACCUGACCCGCACAUACCAGCUUUAAUCCAUCAAGCCAUGGAAUGGAUUGAGCAGAAACGCGCCCAAGGCGUGGUAGAGCCGCGAGGCGCUACUGGGCCAAGCCCAAUCGCUCGACUGCGCGGGAGGGCUGCGACCUCGAAGGCGUGCUCGCUAGAAUAUGCUUUCCUCACGGGAAAGCAACUUCAACGGAACCCGUCUCCACUUAAGACGAGCUGGCGCGACACUGGGUCACUGACAGUGGGCCUGCCUGGCCCACUGGUCAGGUUUGACCAGUCCACGCGCGCGCCAUCUCCUCCGGCCGAACAGAGGCGGCGCUCCGACGAUGCUCGCCGGCGAAUGGCGGCACCCCUCGGGGAUCUGAGCACAUGGGUGUGUUCAGGAGGUCUAGGCGAACCUGUGGGUACCCUCCUUGGUCGCUAGAGUGGAAGGAGUCGCCGACGGUGAGCUCCCCGAUGGAGGGCGGUGUCGGGUGAGACGGGGCUUUCGCCUAUGGUGGUCGCCGAGCUAAAUUGAUGACGGGGAUGGAUCAGUGGGUGCUCAAGGAGGUCGGUGGUGAAGAAAUAUGUGAGGGGGAGGCACUGGCUGCGUCGGAACCGACUGGAACAAGGCGGCGGCCGAAGCUGCCGGAGAUGGGGGANNNNNNNNNNNNNNNNNNNNNNNNNNNNNNNNNNNNNNNNNNNNNNNNNNNNNNNNNNNNNNNNNNNNNNNNNNNNNNNNNNNNNNNNNNNNNNNNNNNNNNNNNNNNNNNNNNNNNNNNNNNNNNNNNNNNNNNNNNNNNNNNNNNNNNNNNNNNNNNNNNNNNNNNNNNNNNNNNNNNNNNNNNNNNNNNNNNNNNNNNNNNNNNNNNNNNNNNNNNNNNNNNNNNNNNNNNNNNNNNNNNNNNNNNNNNNNNNNNNNNNNNNNNNNNNNNNNNNNNNNNNNNNNNNNNNNNNNNNNGAGGAGUGUGGUGAGGAUCAUAGAGAGCCCGGAGUGAGCUUUUAUAUCCCGUCGGGGCCGGUUCCGGCGGUGUCCAGAGGAUAAGCACGACGGCGGCGAUCAUUACAGCGGUAGGCGUGGCCGAUGGAGGUAGGCGAGGGCGAUAGCGGCCUCAAUUACUCCUGGGGGUGCUGGGUGGCUCGGGGUGAGGCACGCGUCGGGGGCGGAGACGUGGCCGUGGGGGACUCAUCGGGCGAUGGUCCUGGUCGUCGUGGACGGCGGUGGACGACGCUAGGGGCCAAGCGGGGGUGUCGGCGAGCUUCUAGGUGGUCGUGCCGAUCUAGAGAAGGAUCAGGAUGAGAGGGGGAGGCAGCAGAGACACGGCAGGAGCUCGGUGCCGACGCGUGCAAAACGCAUGCUCUGGCCGUGCCCGGAGCACGUACACAGAGUGCUCGACAAAAUGCCAGGGCCACCUAAGGGUCUCUGAUGGCAGUGAAAAUUGAUAGGAUUGUGAAACUGGUUAUGAGAGAGCUAAUGGACAUCCUGGUUUGGCCAAAUGACCAAGUGUCCAGUGCAGUUUAGGAAGUGGCAACAUUUCUGUCAUGCACAUGAAGUGUUCGACAGAAUGCUAGAGCAAGCUAGAGGAUACUGUUGAUGAUGAAAUUUGGCAGGAUGAGGUCUCUUUAGAUGAUAGAGAUGGCGGUGGAGUAAUUUUGGCAAGAUGAGAAACUUGCUAGUGCAAGUUUUACCAGAAUUCAGUUCUGGACAGACACUUCAGUGGCAUGUGUGGUGAACUUAAAAGAUGCAAAUAGAGCUGAUCUCCUGGGGUUAAGGUUUUGGUUGGAAGGACUACAAUAUGGCAAAGCUUCGGAAUUAUUGGAGCUAGAAAAAAGAGGGUUGCAGUUGUAACUCAAAAAUGGGACAUAAUUGAAAAGAGGAUGUUUCACUCAAAAUUUUCAAAAGACAUAGUUAGGUUUUUAAUCAAAAGUGAUUUAUAGGCAUCACCUGACCUCUCAUAAUUUUUGUGGGAUUUUAAACAUUUAUUUAAAAUAAUCGUAGUGCAACAGAAGUGUUUCAAGCAUUCAAAAUGCUAGUAAAAGAAUUGUUUGUGGCAUAUUUUAUUAUGAAAAUAUGCCCUACUGUUAUUUGUGAUAUACUCCCUCGGUUCCUAAAUAUUUGUCUUUUUAUAGAUUUCAACAAGUGACUACAUACAGAGCAAAAUGAAUGAAUCUACAUUCUAAAAUAUGUCUAUAUACAUCCGUAUGUGGUAGUCUAUUUGAAAUCUCUAAAAAGACAAAUAUUUAGGAACGAAGGGAGUAAAUGACAAGAUUUAUAAAACAACCACAGACCACAAUAUUUCACAAAAAUAAUCUUCUAUGGAGGGAAGAAUUUUGGAAAACAGAAAAUAGAAAAGGCUGUGAGAUUAAUAAAUGACCUAGUAUAAUUCAAAGUUUUAUUUCUGGCCAAGUUUUACUUAAUAAAAUUUGAUUAAAUUUUUGGGGUGUUAUAGUUAGCUUUAUUAAUACUCAAAUCACUGUUACAUCAUCCGUUAAGAACCCCGAAAAAAUCCGUUAAGAAAUUAACGGUAAAAUCCGGGGGUGACUCAAACCAAAUAGAGGGCUGGUUUUCACACACCCAUUUAGGUAGCACAUGCGCUACUACAUCUGACUCCCUAUUAUAAUAAUCAAUACAAGCCUUCCCGAACUCACAUAACUCGCGACGACAAUCAUCCAAUAUAGGGGCUGCCACCAUAGAAUAACCUCCAUCCUGAUUAAAAGGCUGAACCACUGUGGUAUUGUCCAUUAGAACUAAAAUAAUGUUGCAACCCAUCCGAGUAGCAAACUUCAACCCUUCAUACAAAGUAGUGGCCAUGGCCAAAGUGACGUGAGGAACAUGAGAUAAUUUUUUAGUUGAUGCUGCUAAGUAGGCCCCCGGAUGAUCAUGAAUCACCGGGCCACAAGAUCAUGAAAAAUCUGUAUCUGAAAAGGAAGCAUCGACAUUGACGAUUGUCUGUCCGACUAGGCCUUUCCUCCACUGAUUUGGUGAGGGGUGGAUGAGGCAAACCGGCCGCAUGAACAAAGUUCAGUGACAACGCCUGAAUUGUUGGGGCCGUUCUCAACGAAGAAAGAACAUACUCCGAUCGGACUAUGUAGUGCCCCUGUCACCAUAGAUACCAGCAGGUGCUCGCUACGAUAUCUGAAAAUUGUACCUGUUCCAUUUAUGGACUUUGGACUACUAGGUCACAUAGGAGGUAUUCAAUAAUAGUAGCACCUGAUCUAUCAAUAUUAGUAGACUCAUCGAUAGGCUUCCUAAGAACAAGACCUUCCCAGACCGAUCUUGCCCUCUCACACUUGAAUAAUGCAUGCGCAAUAUCUUUUGCUCCACUUUUACAGAUCAUACAUUGAGAUGUAUUACCAAUAUGGCGAUUUUCUAAAACACAUAAGCAAGGAAUCGCGUUGUGCAAGAAACAUCAUAAGAAAAAUUUCACCUUGCCAGGAAGCCGCACUCUCCAAGCCUUCUACCAAACAGGGUGCGGUGAAGAGCCUUCUCCCGUAGAGUUUUGAUCUUUGUCAAAUAACAAUCUUCCCAUUGCUUGUAAUAAGCCAACCUGACACUAAAAAUACCGUUAUUAGUGAGGUUCCAAGCCAUAUAAUCCUCAGUAUAUUGAUGAUGGAUGAGAAUUUGGAGUAUACAGUCAGCAUCAUCGAGGAGAAGUUGUCUCUAAUUAAAGUCUCAUCCCACUCUCUGUGGCCAAAUCAAUGAGCUCAUUGACCGUCGUCAACACUCUAUUACCUCUGGCGGUGAUGAUCCUCCUUGAAGAGCCAUUUGGUAUCCAACAAUCAUUCCAAAUAUGAAUUUUUGUCCCAUCACCCACUCUCCAUAUACAUCCCUUCUUAUAAGUUUGGACACCAAGCCCAAAUACUUUGCCAAACAUAGGAUGACCCCUUCUUCAAUUCAUAAUUUAAUAUAUCUCAUGAGGGGUAAUACUUAGCUCUCAAUACUCUUGCACAUAAUGAUCCAUGGUUUUCAAUAAGUCUCCAGCAUUGUCUUGCCAACAUAGCUAAACUAAAACCGUGUAUAUCUCAUAAUCCUGUACCGCCUUUCUCCUUAGGCACACACAUUUUCCACCACACAAACCAAUGCAUCUUGUGUUGGUUCUCACCAUCACCCCACCAGUAAUGUGAAACUGUGUCAGUGAUUCCCUUACAUAUUUUUUGGGAGUUUUAACACACUCAUCGCAUACGUCGGGAUAGCCUGAGACACCGCCUUUAUGAGAGCUUCUUUUCCACCAAAGGACAAUGUCCCGUCCUUCCUCCAACAUUCACAAUUUGCAUGAUCUUUCAAUAAGGUUGUUGCCGCGUGUGUGCAGAACACACGCGAGACACUGUGGACUGUGGACGUCCUUUGCUGAAUUGGCGGUAGGGUGCAAGGUGAGGAUCUAUCACCAUAGAAAAUGCCGAAAUGACAUGGUGAUUUACCCAGGUUCAUGUUGCAUGGUUGCGUAAUACCCUACUCCUGCUUUUAUGUGUGGUUUUCUUUAGUUGAGCUACAUGUCCUUCCCGUGAAUGGGGAAGAGUAGUGUGCUCCUACUGGUGUUCUACAAACACUACAAAAAAAGACAACCCAUGACAUUAUGGGCCGAACAAAAAAAUAUGUCAUGCUUAUGACACUUCUACGACGAUAAUUGUGACAAAACCACGUACCAUCAUAGAUGUGGUGGGCUCCGACUUCUAUGACAGAAAAUGGGCUUUUCGUCCUGGGCGGGCCCGGGACGCAGCUGCAUGACAUUCUUUGGGCUGUCCAUGACGGAAAAAAUCGUGGUAGAAGCGAGGGCGAGGAAAAUUUUGGGGAGUUCCCGGUUACGGUGGGUGGUCGGGGCCGAGCGAUGCGCGGAGGUUUUGCGCUUUUCUCUCGUACACGUACGCGCGUGUGUGCGAGGCAUUGGGUGAUACGUCUCGAAUGUAUUUAUAAUUUUUAUUGUUCCAUGCUAUUAUAUUAUCUAUUUUGGAUGUUUUAUAUGCAUUAAUAUGCUAUUUUAUAUGAUUUUUGGGACUAACCUAUUAACCUAGAGCCCAGUGCCAGUUUCUGUUUUUUCCUUGUUUUAGAGUUUCGCAGAAAAGGAAUACCGAACGGAGUCCAAACGGAAUGAAAAUUUCGCGAUGAUUUUUCUUGGACCAGAAGACAUCCAGAGGGCUUGGACUACACGUCAGGAAAGCCACGAGGCGGACACAAGGUCGGAGGGCGCGCCCCCACCCUUGUGGGCCCCUCGUGACUCCACCAACCUAUUUCUUCCGCCUAUAUAUUCUCAAAUACCCCAAAACCUUCCAAGGGAGCCACGAAACCACUUUUCCACCGCCGCAACCUUCUGUACGCGUGAGAUCCCAUCUAGGGGCCUUUUCCAGCGUCCUGUCGGAGGGGGAUUCGAUCACGGAGGGCUUGUACAUCAACACCCACUACAAAAAAAAGACAUCCAUGACAUUUUGGGCCGAACGAAUUUUUUUCCUGUCAUACUUAUGACACUUCUAUGACUAUAAUUGUGACAAAACCCGGUAUCAUCAUAGAUGUGGUGGGCUCCUACUUCUAUGACAAAAAAUCAUGAAAGAAAAUGGGCUUUUCGUCCUGGACGCGCCGGAGACACAGCUGCAUGACAUUCUUUGGGCCGUCCAUGACGGAAAAAACCGUGGUAGAAGCGAGGGCUAGGAAAAUAUCGGGGUGUUCCCGGUUAUGGUGGGUGGUCGGGGCUGAGCGAUGCACGGAGGUUUGCGCGUUUCUCUCGUCCACGCACGCGCGUGGGUGUGAUGCGUUGUGCUCUAACUGAACCCGAGCGAGGCGUUGGGCUCUAACUGAACCCGAGCGAUUGCACUGCAGGCUACGCGUUACUGAACCCGAUCGAUCGAUCGAUGGCUGUUAACUGAACCCGAUCGAUCGAUGGCUGUUAACUGAACCCGAUCGAGCGAUUUCUUCGCUACUGCUGCUAGCUGAAGUCGAUCGAUGCUGCCUCUGGAUGAACAGUGAGUGUUGCUGGGGGGGUUGGAUGAACAGUUCCCAGUGGGGGUGGAUGAACAGGACCCCGUGGUGUUGCCUCUGGAUGAACAGGACCCCUAUCAAUCGAGCCGGUUGGGGCUGGAUGAACAGGACCCCGUGGAGGGCUGGAUGAAUAGGACCACCCCGUGGAGGGCUGGAUGAACAGUAGACGGUGGAGGGCUGGAUGAACAGUAGCCCGUGGAGGGGUGGUUGAACAGGAGCCCGUGGAGAGGGCUGGUUGAACAGUAGCCGGUGGAGUAGCGCGCAGUGGAGGUUGGAUGAACAGGAGGCCGUGGAUGAACAGUCGCAGGUGGAGGCUGGAGGAGGUCGACGGUGGUUGAACAGUAGCCCGUGGCGGCUGGAGGGGUCGACAGUGGAGAUGAACAGUAUCCCGUGGAGUCCCGUUUUGCAGUACGCCACACCCCUCCCGAUGAACAGGACCCCCGUUUCGACCGUAGCGCUCCAACACAAGUCCAUAUCCUCCGUUUUGCGGUACGCCACACCCCUCCUGAUCAACAGGACCCCCGUUUUGACCGUAGGAGGUCCAUUUCCUCCAUUUUGCGGUACGCCAGACCCCUCCCGAUGAAUAGGAUCCUGUUUUGAACGUGGCCGGUUGAACACAAGGCCGUUUCCUCCGUUCUGCGGUACGCCAGGCAUCGUUUCCAUCGGCUGUUCCGUCCAAGCCCUCCCGAUGAUCACGACGACACAUUCCAUUCCGACCCAGCCGGUUGGCUCCCCAUGAACACGACGGCGAUGAUGUUUCUGCAUUCCGACCCAGCCAUGUACACGAGCCCUUGCCGUACGUAUGCGCGAGUAGGCAUUCGAGACCCCGCCCGUAUGUACGUAUGUGGCCAUAUUUUCUUUCUUGCACACUGGCCGCUGUACGUAUGUGUACAUGCUACGUGCGCGCCUCUACAUCGACCAGUAUGUACGUACACAUUCGCGACCAGAAUGACAACGCUAUGUAUGCUUUGACCAGGUGGGUCCUGACUGUCAGGCACUUCCUUGCGUGCGAAGAUGUAGCUGGUGGGUCCCAGCAGUCAGGGGGAAACGUUUUUUUCACGAAAUACGGUGGCCCGUCCGGUGGGUCCCCGCUGUCAGUUGGAGGAAUAAUUAUUUUGCGCGUAAUAAGGAGGCACUUCCUUGCUGUGGCCGUGGACCCAGCUGUCAGCCUCUCCACGUACAGUCCACGUCCGAUGGAAGCUGUUCCUUGACCACGUUGACCACGCCACGCCGAGAGCACCAGGGUUGUGGACAACGGCGAGAGGCCUAGGAAGGGGACGACGUGGAGCCGGGGAAGACGCGACAGUGGAAGCCCGCGCGGAGAGGAGUACGAGGGUUCACUGGUUCGGCUACUGUGUGAGGCUGCCGUCGCCGCAGAAUAAUAGGGGGUGUGGGUGAGUGGAGGGUUGGCCUGGCUAGCGGUGGGAGUAGUAGGCGGUAGUGAGGCCUCCGCGGCAGCACAGCCGGCCACGGGAGGCAGGAGCAGGCGGCACGACCGGCGCUGCUUUGGGAGGCUGGAGCAAGAAGACCAGAGGUUGAAGAAGCACUACGGCCGUUGGAUGGACAUCGUACGGUCACUGGAGCUAGAAUCGUGCAUAUUGACUAAGUUGACAAAGCCCUCCGUCCCUGUCAACUUAGUAGGCCCACAAGUCAGCCUGCCACUAUACUGGGUCCCAGCUAGCAGGGGGAGUAUUCAUUUUUUUGUGCAUAAUAAGGAGGCACUUCCUUGCGUGCGAAGAUAUAGCUGGUGGGUCCGAGCUGUCAGCGGCGGUAACAUUUUUUUCGCGAAAUACAGAGGCCCUUUCGGUGGGUCCCAGAUGUCAGGUGGAGGAUUCAUUAUUUUGCGCGAAAUAAUGAGGCAUUUCCUUGCGUGCGGCUGUGGACCCAGCUGCAGCUUCUCCACGUACAGUCCACUUCAGAUGCAUGUCGGUUGUUGACCACGUUGACCAGGCCGCGCCGAGAGUCACUGCUUGUGCGUCAACCUUUUUUUAGGAAAGCCUCAAAUCUGUGGAAAAUAGCAUACAACCCAUCUGCCAUUAUUUCUAAUAAUUUACAGCCCAUUUGCUAAUUCUUAAGGUUUUUUUGGAGCCCAUAUUCUUUUUGUUAGCAUUACAGCCCAUAGUGUGGCCACAGUUAAAAAAUUAUAUGAAUUUUUGCAUAUUUCAGUGCGGUCCGAACUAUUUUUAAUCCCGAAAUUUUGAGUCACAUUCAAACUGAUUUUAAAAAUAAAUGUAUAUCAAUAUAAAAUCAAACAAAUUGUCCACGCAUAAAAAUCAAUGCAAUUUAAAAUCUCGAAAUGAAAAAAAGAAAUUUGAAACUAAUUGCCGGUUUGAUGUGUUUAAAAAUGUACAGCCCAUUUCUCAUUACUGAUAGGCCAUUUUGUCGGCCAGCCGAAUGAAGCUCUCCUCGCCUUGAAAGAUUUGCAGCCCAACAGGCCUGACAAAGCGACUUACUUGGCAAAUCACAAACAAACUGGGUUGUGGCCGUGGACCCAGCUGUCAGCCUCUCCACGUACGGUACUCUUCCGAUGGAAGUCGGUCGUUGACCACAUUGACCACGCCACGCCAGAGCACCAAGGCGGUGGAUGAUGGCAAGGACUGGGAAAGGGACGACGCGGAGCCGGGGAAGACGCGGUAGUGGAUGCCCAUGCGGAGAGGAGUACGAGGGUUCACUGGUUCGGCUGCGGUGUGAGGCUGCCGUCGCCGCAGGGCCUGGCUAGCGGUGGGAGUAGUAGGGGGUGGUGAGGCUUCAACGGCAGCACAGCCGGCCACUGGAGGCAGGAGCAGGCGGUCUCGCCAGCGCUGGUUUGGGCGGCUGGUGCAAGAAGAGCAGCGAUUGAAGAAGCAGUAGGACCGUUCGAUUCAAAUCCAACGGUUACUGCUGCUAGAAUCGUUUGUUGAUAAGUUGAGAAGCCCUGUGUACGCGUCAACUUAGUAGGCCCACAGGUCAGCCUCCAACCGGUGCGCCCCAGAUGUCAGUGGGAGGAAUCAUUUUUUCGCGUAAUAAGGAGGCAGUUGAUUGCGUGCGGCCAGGCCAGCGGAGGGAGUAGGGUGGGCCGGGGAAGCCUGCGCGGCAUCACAGCGGGCCACAAGAGGAGGGAGCAGGCAGUCCCACCGGCGCUAGUUUAGGCGGCUAGAGAAGGAAGAUCAGAGAUUGAAGAAGCACGUCGGCCGUUGGGUGGACAUCCAACAGUCACUGCUGCUAGAAUCGUGUGUUGACUGACAAAGCCUUGCGUAAACAAGUCAGCCUCGAAAUCGGUGGCGUGUACAACUCAUUUGCUAUUAUUUUUAUAAUUUUUACUCAUUUUUUAAUUCAUAUGGAAUUUAUUGCAGCCCAUUUUCCAUUUUUAGAAUUGCUGCCCAUUUUCUAGUCAGUACAAGGGUUAAAAAAUUAACUGAAUAUGUGGGAAAUUUUGAAAAUUUGCAAAUUUUUGCUAGGGAACAAAAUAUUCUUAAUCCAAAAAUUAGUAGCCAUACUAAAACAAAUUUAAAAAUAAAUUAGUACUAUUUCAUGUUAAAUCCAAUGAAAUACUCCCUCCGUCCCAAAAUUCUUGUCUUAGAUUUGUCUAAAUACGGAUGUAUCAAGUCAGGUUUUGGUAUUAGAUACAUCCGUAUCUAGACUAAUCUAAGACAAGAAUUUUGGGAUGGAGGGAGUAUAAGAUAUCAGUGAAGAACAAAAACAAAAAAAGAAACUAAUAUCUCAUUUUCUAUAAUAUUUUUGGAAUUUUCAACCCCUUUUGAUAUUACUUUUAACAGACACUGACCAUACUCUUUGAACAGGCCGGAAUGCAUCCCUCCUCGUCUUGAAAGAUUUGCAGCCCAGUAAGUCGGAGAAAACAAAUAGGCCUAGCUUGGGUAUUCUUCAAAAAGAAAUACUGGGCUACCUAUUUUCCCAAAGAAAAAACCGCUGGGCUGGUCAUGUUACUAGACGGGCCAUAGAGACCGCACAACCCAGUUUAUAGCCUGCUCCUCCGAAUUACUACUAAAAAAAGUUGUGCAAUUCUUUCGUAAUGGACUAUACGUUGAAAAUGAUGUGGGUCCCAGAUAUCAGCAGGGUGGAUUAGAUUAAAAAACGAAGGGUUCAUCUGAGUAGUAAAAGAGGUGCUUGCUUGUGUUCGGGAGUGGACCUGGUGGGUCCGUACUUUCAUACUCACAACUACAGUCCUCUCCCGAUUCACUAUGUUGACAGGGACCGUUUAAAAAAACUAUGUUGACAGGGCCGGACGGCGGCGCCGUGGCGAGCGCACCAAGGGGGAGGAUAAAGUGCUGUCGCCAAUGUGCUGGGCUGGGUUGGACAUUCUUAUUGAAAAAUAAAAAUGGACAGGAACUAUUUACGACAUUGACUACGAUUUGCAUGGGUCCACUGGUUGCAGGAAGAAAAUGUUGGGAGAAAGAAGACUGGUCGCUAUCUUUGCCUAAGAAUAAUAUCGACUGAAUGUAACGACACUAUCAUAGGAAAUAAUAUCCUCCUGUUAAAUCGUGAAUUUAAAGAACUGGUGCAUGAGCAUUUAGCUUUAUUUAUUUAUUUACUUAUUUAUGUUUAGGGGACCAUGACCAUGUACCCGGGCCGGAUUCAUGUGAGAGCCUCCCUUCCAGUUAAUUAUGGGCUUCUCUAUUGGGCCUUCAUCAGUGGGCUAUAUGUUAUCAACAAGUGGAAAAUGUGUUCCGUACGAAAAAUAGUAUGCGCUACGUACGGUACGGGGCACUAAAGGAUCGAACCGUGCAACGACUUCCAAAACAUUGUGUUUGUCGUUCUAACAACACAUUUAUUCAACCAACAGACGAAAUAUACUACUGAUUGUACAUUGAAAACAGCAGCAACAGCAACCAGGGCUGGGGGUGCAACAGAAGCAGUAAGCAUGCCAGAAGAGUGAAGACGCAGCUCUCUCUUCCAAACCAAACAUCAGCCAUCAUUACAAAAGGGCUACCAAAAAAGAACAAGUGUAUGCAUCAAACUAAAUAAAGAUCCUACUACACCAAGUGUACGCAUCUAACUAACUGGCUCAGUUAGACGUUACUAUUUAUUAACCUAUGGAGAUUGGCUGACGGCUUGAACCAGAUGGGUGCCUGAUGGGGGAAACUCCAGCCAGCAGGUCGAAGUCUGAUACUUGCGACCCUCUGUCACGACCGGUUUUUCAAUAAAAUAAUUAUUGAGAAACCAAUCCCUGUUACGGACCAGCGAGGAAGAAUUCCUUCUCACUGAUAGACAAUACAUUGGUCACAGAAGAAAAAUACCAGGAGUACUAAAUAUAAUACAAAGUUGAGCAGAGACUGCCCAACAAUUUAUUACAUGCACGCCGAUAAAACAAUACGGAGGAUAGGGUGGCAAACUUCUAACUCACGAUAAAAACGGUGGUGGAAAUAUCAUCGCGAAGCGAGUGACAUGAUUCCAGAAUACUACAACUCUUCGAGCGUCGGAGUGAGGCUCGAGAAGACUUAUUGCGGGUGGCGGAAGCGUAAACGAUACAAGUGACCAAAAUCCGGGAUCGCGCAGGACUGACUGGGACUCCUCUAGGCAUCAGACGCGCUAUCAAACUCCUCAUCCAAGAGAUCGCCUUCGUCAACAUCUGGCCAAAUCAACAAGCCAGGUGAGUACUAUGAAAGUACUCGCAAGACAGUUCGGACAUAAGGUAUAACAAAUGCAAACAUGAAGCACAUGAAUAAGUUAACCAGUGCGAUCAGACACAGAGAUAAUAAAUACUGGGUGCCAAGCGAGGGUCUGAAUGACGCCUCGAGCGGAAACUGCAGAAUAGCAAUACUGGUGCCAAACGAGUGUCUGAAAGACUCCUCGAGAGGAAAAUGCGGAAUAAUAAUACAGGUGCCAAACGAGUGUCUGAAAGACUCCUCGAGCGGAAAAUGCAGAAAUAAUAAUACGGGUGCCAAACGAGUGUCUGAAUGACUCCUCGAGCGGAAAAUGCAGAAUAAUAAUGCCACAGUCGGGCGUCGGGGCGACACCACAUAAAGGGCUUAUAUCGAAAGUGAGAAACGAGUACACGCCACAGUCGGACGUCUGCGCGACGUCACAUAAAGGGCUUAUAUCACAACUCAUUAAUACAAUAGCUCGGAGACAUAAAUUAUCACAAGCAUGAGACACAAAAAAAUAAAGUUAGUCCAUCAACUGGAAUAACAAUAAAUCUGAGAUUUUUACCGCUUGAGCUUGUUCACCGGGGGCAAGAUUUUCACACGGAUAGAUUUGGAUGUAAAGUCUACAUUACUGAUCAUGGAUACGAUGAUUUGGAAAGGAUUGACUCUGCAGAGUUUGUACUUAACCACAGCCAACGGAUUUCAGUAGUCACGGGGACUAGUUCCUUCUACGGUGUUCUGGAAGGAACACGUCUAACCAGUACACACCCAAUUUAACCAUCCGAAGCCAGGGAUCACCCUCGGAAACAUUCAGGAAAAACCCUGAGUCGGGGAGGCUACAACCUCGCGUAGCAUGGGAUCAAAUUUCUAUACGCGCGCUAUAAGGGGGUGCCCCCCCCCUCUCGGUCCCAACCGGAAACACCCAUGCCCCCUGACCGAAUGACUGGCUUUAAUCCUGGGCCAAGGUACCAUCAUCCCGGCCUCUCUGUUUGGUGUGUACACGGAAAGAGGUUACCAACUUACUAAACCGUAUCCUGGCAAUGAGACAUGUGGUAGCACGGAAAGGGGAAGGGACGAUAACACGGCUCCAACCAUGUUAACGUCGGGAAAGUCGGAUGACACAAGGCUGGCAUGCUACAACAGUACCACCUUGCUGCCCUUCAUGUCACCACAUGAUUAGGCCACCUCUCAUCAGAGGUCAUCGCAACUUUGGAACAUGCGGGAAAAGAUCGAUAACGUGGCUCCAACCACGUUAACGUCGAAGAAAGUCGGAUGGUGCAAGGCUGGCAUGCUACAACAGUACCACCUUGCUGCCCUUCAUGUCACUACAUGAUUAGGCCACCUCUCAUCAGAGGUCAUCGCAACUUCGGAACAACCGGGUCGUUGCCUUACAAGCAACGAGGUACUUAUCGACACUCACAUGCCACGCACAAACUUUCACAUGAACAUGCAAAACAUCUUCCAUAUCAAAUGUUCAAACAUGCUUGCCUGGUUCGGAGAAGUCGGAGUCUAGCUCGGCGAAGUUCGCGGCUCCGUCCCCUCUCCCGGAACCUACGGCAAUCACGAAACGGGUUACUAACGUGAAAACCAACACAUGCACAGAAACUUUGCCAAAUAUUUUUCAAAUAAAUCCCAUAAAAAACUAGACAAAAUUUGGAGAUUGACAGAAAAAGAAUCACUCAAAAAUACCUUUUCAUUAAAAAGUUAUAAAGGUUUCUGUCCAGGGACCUUUCUGUAAUGAAACAGAAAAGUUCCAGGGUUUUAACUGAGAAAACAGAAAACGCUUCGGCUGGGAAUGCGCAAGCACAAGGGGAAAACGUAUUUAGCCCGAAGGCGCCAACAGAAAACGGUUCGGGGAAAUAAAACAGAGGCUGACACGCGGGGCCCGCAUGUCAGGUUUGAAAGCUCGCCGGCGCCCGAAGACGGCGGUGGACGCCGGCGUCGAACCACGGCGAGUUAGGAGAAACGGAGGGUACCAAGAGCUUCAGUGUCUUCUUCCGCGUCGGUGGGUGGUGGACUCGUCCAACGGGGAGCACCACGUCGACGACGACACUAUCUCCGGCGGACGGCGGUUCGGGUGAGGUUGGGGAACUCCGGUGGAGGGCUGCAAAGUGCGAAUUGAGGCGCGGGUCAGAACGGGUGAUGCAAGGAGAAGCUACUUGCAAGAGAAUGGGGGCUGCGGAGCACACACGGGGGCGAAUCGGGCUGGAUCCCGUGGCGGAUCGCGGCGGCCGGAGUCGAGGAAGGAGACCCCCUCGCGGCUCUUCCAGUGGCUGGGCGUGCUCUAGGGGAAGUGUAGGGCUGGUGGGUGCUCGAGUUGAAGCUUGGGGCCCCUAUUUAUAGGUAGAUCGACGGGGUGGCCGUGAACGGAGAAUCUCCGGCGAGCGAUUAUGGCGGAGCAGUGGAUUGGAAGGUGGUUUGAGCGGUCGGGCAGCAUCAGUGGAGAUUACUGGAGUUGUUCCACUGCUAAACGGAGCUGGCCCUGGCGUAAUGGCAUCUGCCCACGGUGAGGUGACCGCACGGGCUCAACGGCGGCAGAGAGCGCGCUCCGCGCCCUGGGGUUCACGACGAGAGCGCCAGCGCAUUCGGGGGAGUGGACGGCCACGCGGCGGGCUCCGGUGGUUUGGGCGGCGCUGGGUGGAGUCGGCGGCGCCGUGUCUCCCGCUGGCGUCCGCAAAGCCGCCGCCGGCGUCGGUCACGGGGCGGCGCACCUUCUGCUGCUCGUCGCCGACGCCCGCAAGUUGCCAGGCACUCGUGCGGUGCAGGAACGAGAGGGCGAGGACGAGGAGCAAGGCGACGCGAGGGUACUGGCGAGAUCGACGCCCGUUUCUGAAGAAAACGACAGCAGCCACUUAACUGAACUCUGAACUUACUGAAUCUUGACAGUGACCAAGCAUUGCAGGUGUUCGACAGUAGGUUUUGGUAAAGAGAUAAAUUUUUCUGGAGCUGUAACUUGGUGAGAUGAUCACUCAAAGCACCCAGGGGCUGCAUGAAUUUACUUGGAAUUUUUGGAGAAAGUUUUGAAUGAAUUUCACCAAAUUUGGCAAAUCUGGUCCAAACUUGCAGCUGAUGUAGUUUGAAAUUUUUGAACUGGAGACCAGUGGAUCUUCAUGGUUCCAGGUUGAGGGUUCAAAGGACUAGGAGGGGAAAAAGGUUUGGUGGCAAAAAUCAAAACAGAAAAAGGAGUUCCUUUGUAAAUCUCCAAGUGCUAUAAGAGAAGACAGAAAUUUAUUUGAAUAGAAUUUGAAUGGAAAUGAUCACAUGAGGAGGUUCAACUUGCUGGAUUUGAUGCAAAUCAUGAUCCAAAGGUGAGGGAAGGGUUAGGAGAGAGGAUUUGCACUAAUGCCAUGGCAAGAAGGAAUAGUUGAAAGUGGCAAAGGACUUUCCAAAAGCCAUAGUGCAUUCUCAAAAAGGAUUUUCAAAGGUUAUUCUCUCAAAUGAAAAAAAACAUUUUGUCUUGAGCCCAAAUGAAAAGCAAGAACCCCCAAGGUCAAAGGCAGAUCUUGGGUGAAUCCAAAUAAAAUUUUUGCCAUAAAGAAAAAUAUUUGAGAGUGAGAGUUCUCUUGAAGAAUUUUUUUUUUAAAAAUCACUCCCUUCAAGUCAAAUAAAAUCUUUUGAAAAAUCCAAAUAAAAACUUGGGUGUCACAACACCUACCCCCUUAGGAAAAAUCUCGUCCUCGAGAUUUCUGCUGAUCCUCAAAUAGAUAUGGAUACUCUGCUCGGAGGAAAUCUUCCCUUUCCCAUGUGGCUUCAUCCUUGGUGUGGUUGCUCCACUGGACCCUGAAAAACUUUGUCGUUUUCUGACGGGUCCUCCGUUCAGACUCUUCUAAAAUCUUUACUGGCCUUUCUCUGUAGGUGAGAUCUGGUUGCAUAUCAAUGUCCUCAUGAGGUAUAUGUUUCUCCGGGUUACUCACACAUUUCCUCAACUGCGAGACGUGGAAUACGUCAUGGACGUCUGAUAGCUCCUUGGGUAGGUCUAGCUGGUAGGCUACCGUGCCUCUUCGUGCCUUCACACAAAAUGGUCCAAUAAAUCUUGGGGCUAGUUUCCCCUUUAUUUUGAACCGUUGCAGACCCCUCAUAGGAGAUACUCGGAGGUAUACGGAAUCACCAGGUUCAAAGCUGACCUCACGAUGCUUCUGAUCAUAGUAGCUCUUUUGUCGGCUCUGUGCUGUCUUGAGUCUGUCCCUGAUUUGUUUAACUUUUUCCUCGGCCUCCUUAAGCAUAUCUGGGCCGAAGAUACGGCUGUCACCUGUUUCUGACCAAUUCAAUGGGGUACGACACCUCCGUCCGUACAAUGCUUCAAAGGGUGCCAUUUGCAAGCUGGCUUGGUAACUGUUGUUGUACGCAAAUUCGGCAUACGGCAAACUCUCUUCCCAACUGGUUCCAUAGGUGAGCACACAGGCUCUUAGCAUAUCCUCCAGGAUUUGGUUUACACGUUCUGUUUGUCCAUCUGUUUGAGGGUGGUAUGCUGUACUGAAAGCUAGUUGCGUGCCCAGAGCUUGUUGUAGGUGAUCCCAAAAUUUGGAGACGAAUUGGGUGCCUCGGUCUGAUAUUAUAGUCUUCGGGACUCCAUGCAAGCAAACUAUACGAGAUAGAUAGAGCUUUGCCAGUCUUUGAGUGGAGUAGGUAGUCUUCACGGGAAUGAAAUGAGCAACCUUGGUUAGUCGGUCUGUGAUGACCCAUAUGGCAUCAUUUCCGCGUUGUGAUCGGGGUAAUCCGACAAUGAAGUCCAUUCCUAUUUCAUCCCAUUUCCACUCCGGUAUUUGGUUUGGCUGGAGUAGCCCUGCUGGCUUUUGAUGCUCGGCCUUGAUACGCUAGCAUGAAUCGCAACAAGCAACAAAUGUGGCUAUAUCUCUUUUCAUACCGUGCCACCAAAAUCUUUCCUGGAUGUCCUUGUACAUUUUGGUUCCUCCAGGAUGGAUCGAAUAUGGAGCGGUGUGGCUUUCCGUCAAGAUCUGUUGCUUGAGUUCCUCAAUGUUAGGUACGCAAAGUCUGUUUCGGUACCACAAUGUUCCUUCACUGUCUGUGACGAACUCUGAAGUCUUACUAGUAUUCAUUUUCUUCUUUAUGCCUUCGAUGCUGGGAUGUCCCUGUUGGGCCUUCUUAAUUCGUUCCAUCAAGGUGCGUUGUAUCUCCAGGUUUGAUACGGUGCCCUCGGGGACUAACAUUAUGUUGAGCCUAGCGAACUCUCGCUGAAACUCAGGCCUCAAGUUUUGCUGACCGUCACUGUCUGGGCUGGGGUUUCGACUAAGGGCAUCGGCCACUACAUUUGCUUUUCCUGGGUGGUAGUGGAUGCCGACGUCGUAGUCUUUGACCAGUUCCAACCAGCGUCGUUGGCGUAAAUUCAGCUCUGGCUGUGUGAAGAUAUAUUUGAGGCUCUUAUGGUCCGUAUAUAUUUCACAACGAUUUCCCAACAGAAAGUGCCUCCACUCCUUGAGUGCAUGUAGGACCGCUGCUAGCUCCAAGUCAUGUGUUGGGUAAUUUUCCUCAUGCUUUCGCAGUUGCCUGGAGGCAUAUGCAACAACUUUGCCAUCCUGCAUUAGUACACAUCCGAGACCUUUUCGGGACGCGUCACAAUAUACUUCAAAACUCUUGUGUAUGUCUGGCACAGUUAAGACUGGUGCGGUUGUCAGUUUUUUCUUGAGUUCUUGGAAGCUCUGCUCACAUGCUUCCGUCCAUACGAAUCUCUUGUCCUUCUUGAGCAGUUGGGUCAUAGGUUUUGCCACAGUGGAGAAUCCUUCAAUAAAUCUCCUGUAAUAUCCGGCCAUUCCUAGGAAACUCCGCACAUCUGUGACGUUGGCGGGCGGUUUCCAGUCCAGUAUGGCCUUGACCUUUUCUGGGUCUACGGCUACGCCUUCUUGGUUCAGUAUAUGGCCUAAGAAACCAACUUGUCUUAGCCAAAAUUCGCAUUUGCUAAACUUGGCGUACAACUGAUGCUUCCUCAAUUCUCCCAAAACCACUCUGAGGUGCUCAGCAUGCUCUUCGGGUGUCCUUGAGUAAACCAGAAUAUCAUCAAUGAAUACCACCACAAAUUUGUCCAUGAAUUUCAUGAACACUUUGUUCAUGAGGUGGACGAAAAAUGCGGGGGUGUUUGUUAGACCAAAAGGCAUCACUGUGAACUCGUAUAAUCCAUAUCUGGAAGUGAAUGCUGUCUUGGGGAUAUCCUCUGUUCGUACCUUCAGUUGAUGGUAUCCUGAUCUCAAAUCAAUCUUUGAAAAUACUUUAGCUUGUGCGAGCUGGUCAAACAAAUCAUUUAUCCGUGGCAUCGGGUAUUUGUUUUUGAUGGUGACCAUAUUGAGGGCUCGAUAGUCUAUGCAUAGUCUCAGUGUCCCAUCCUUCUUCUUGGCGAACAAUACGGGCGAACCCCAUGGUGAGGAGCUGGCUCGUAUAAACCCCUUGUCCAGUAAUUCCUUUAUCUGCUUCUUCAACUCCACCAAUUCUGAGGGUGCCAUUCUAUACGGCUUCUUAUAAAAGGGAGCGGUGCCAGGUGCUAAUUCAAUGCUGAAUUCGAUCUCUCGGUCUGGUGGCAUACCUGGUAGUUCUUCCGGGAACACAUCAGGGAACUCGCAUACCACUGACACUUUUCUUAAUUCUGCGAUGUCCAUCUUGUUCAGUUUUGGUUUCUGUGAUCGUGGCCUUUCUUGAGCGGAAACUCUUAUUGUCUUGCCGUGAUGGUGAGUGAGAAUCACUGUCCGAUUGAAACAGUCGAUGAAUCCUUUGUUGGUGGUUAACCAGUCCAUUCCUAAAAUGACAUCCAGUCCUUUACUUUCCAACACGAUGAGAUUUGCGUGGAAUGGUAGUCCUUCGAACUCAAUGACCACUCCUUGGCAGUAACCCUGAGCAAUUUGCUUGUUUCCGGGGGACUUGAUGAUCAUAGAUUUUUCCAAGGGGAGUAUCGGAAAACCGUGUUGUGAAACAAAACUCUUCGAAACAACCGAAUGGGAAGCUCCAGAAUCAAACAAAACCAUGGCAGGUACUGUGUUGACAGGGAACGUACCGAGCACGAUGUCUGGGGCAUUCUGCGCUUCUUCCCUGGUCACAUGGUUCAGGUGACCCUUCCUGUGGUUGUUGUUGGGAUUGAAGUUGUUGCGCUUGGGAGCUGGAUUGUUUUCACCAUUGUUCGGCUUGGGUGCCGAGUCUCUUGGUUUCGGGCACUGUUUAGCAUAAUGCCCUUGCUGACCGCAAGCAUAGCAGGUGACCCCUGGACGGUAUGUGAACUCCUUGUCUCUGGCAUGAAAUUGUCCAACGGGUCUUGGCUCAGUAGUCGUGGAUCUCCUCGUGUCUGUCCUUGGGACCUCAGUCUUGCCUCGGUUGCUGCGGGUAAGAGUCGUCUUGUCCCUCUUCCGCUUGCGGAUAUCUUCCAGACUACGGCGCUCAUUCUCCAGGGUGAUGGCCUUGUCCACCAGCGUCUUAAAAUCCGGAAAGGUGUGUACAAUCAGCUGGCAUCUUAGUGCUGGUGCCAGGCCGUCCAGGAAUUUUUCCAUCUUCUUGUUUUCUGUCAUGUGCUCGUCGUAGGCAUAACGAGACAGUUGGGUAAACUGGCCGUUGUAUUCUGUGACGAACAUGCCUCUUUGCUUCAGGUCAUUAAACUCUCUCUUCUUGAUCUUUAGGAUGCUCCUGGGAAUGUGUGCCCCACGGAAGCCUUCCUUGAAUUCUUCCCAGGUGAUGUUGUGUUCCCUGGGGUGCAUGUGUAGGAAGUUUUCCCACCAUGCUGCGGCUGCUCCAGUAAGGUAGUGUGGCGCAUAAAGCACCUUCUCAUGAUCUAAGCAUUGAGCGAUAAUCAGUUUCCUUUCAAUCUCGCGAAGCCAAUCAUCAGCUUCCAGUGGCCUAUCGGUGUGAGCAAAAGUUGAGGGGCGAGUCUUCUGUAACUCAGAUAACUUGGAAUGUGGUUGAUAGGGUUCACGGUGGUUUCCCAUAUUGAUGACAUGGUUCAUCAUCUCCUGGUGCUGUUGCUGGCUUUGCUCGAAGAGACGGCAUACUUGAGAUAGUGCCGCUUCGCUGUCCUGUUGGCUGGACUGACCCUGAGUGAAAUUGUUGCUGGUCUGUGUUCCAUAAACCUCUUCUGCAUUUUUCCAGUCUGGGGUAUCAUUUGCAAAACCCUUGAGAAAAACUGUGUAGCGCAGGAAAACUCUUGCAAAGGCAACACAAAUGAUUUUUCAUGGAGGAGAAGUGCUUAACAUAAAACUUUCAUGCGAAAAGCAAACACACGAUACAACACUCAGGAUGCGCGUACACAAUCCUGACAUGCUAUUAAAACUAGCGUACUACUCCGGAAGGCAGCAAACACACCAAUACAAACUAGCGUACAGAUAAAACAGCACAUCAUACAAGCAGACAUAACACGCGGCUACUCGGUGCUCUCAGUCGGAGAUGGUGAAGAUCUCCUUCCCCUUGCCGAUGGCAAGGCUCAGCGGUCCAGGAGAGUCAACCUCCUCCUCUCUAGCUGGUUCCUGGCGUGCGACGCUGCGCUGCGGUGAUGGUGCGGGGGCGAUUGGUGGUAGAGCGCGUGCGGCAGGCGGUGCGGCUCUGACUGGAGUGGGAGCGAUGACUCGGUCGAACUCCUCAGUGGUAGGCAGACGGCGAGCAGUGGCCAAAACGGCCGGUGCAUACGAGGCUGAAGACGAGACGAAUGUCAGAGGCGGCGCCGUGUGGAGAAGCUCCUUCCUGCUGGCAGGACCGCCCCGGACUAAGUCCAUGCGGGCAGCCACAAGAUCAUCUACGAGGUUGUCGAAAGAUUCCUCCAGAGCCUUGAGAUACUCCACAACCAUCUCGAUGGCUUCGUCUCUUUCUCCCCGAUGGCAGGAAAACGCAUAGUGGCUGGUGUAUGGCACAUGGCAUGGGAGGUAGCGGUAGCGACGAGUCUUCAUCGUAGGAAGGAUGUCCCGAAGGCGAGCUAUCGCCUCACGGGCAGCCAUCUGCAUGGCAUGCCUCUCCGUAGGCAUGGCCCUUCCCACAAAACGGAAGUGGCGUGCAGCUGAACGUCCUCCCUUGAACUGCACCACAGCCUGGUGCAUAGACACGUCGUCACUGAGCUUGUGCUGAUAGAGGGUGAACUCCGGGCGAGCUGCUGGCCCGAUCGCGAGCUUGGUGAUGGAGACGAGGAGCUUGACAAACCCCUCGGGCACGUUGGUGAACACUCGAUUCUCACAGCCGCUGCCAGCCAUCUACAAAAGUAGGCAAAAAUUCUGAGUAGUCAUGUCAUAAAUUUUAUGAUGACCAACAGAAGAUAGCUACAAUUGCAAAAUGCUGAAGAAGCACUAAAGACGCUAAUAACCGAUUAGCGAUCGCACCUAGUGGCUUCCUAUAGUCAGCCUGGCUCUGAUACCAAGCUUGUCACGCCCGGUUUUUCAAUAAAAUAAUUAUUGAGAAACCAAUCCCUGUUACGGACCAGCGAGGAAGAAUUCCUUCUCACUGAUAGACAAUACAUUGGUCACAGAAGAAAAAUACCAGGAGUACUAAAUAUAAUACAAAGUUGAGCAGAGACUGCCCAACAAUUUAUUACAUGCACGCCGAUAAAACAAUACGGCGGAUAGGGUGGCAAACUUCUAACUCACGAUAAAAACGGUGGUGGAAAUAUCAUCGCGAAGCGAGUGACAUGAUUCCAGAAUACUACAACUCUUCGAGCGUCGGAGUGAGGCUCGAGAAGACUUAUUGCGGGUGGCGGAAGCGUAAACGAUACAAGUGACCAAAAUCCGGGAUCUCGCAGGACUGACUGGGACUCCUCUAGGCAUCGGACGUGCUAUCAAACUCCUCAUCCAAGAGAUCGCCUUCGUCAACAUCUGGCCAAAUCAACAAGCCAGGUGAGUACUAUGAAAGUACUCGCAAGACAGUUCGGACAUAAGGUAUAACAAAUGCAAACAUGAAGCACAUGAAUAAGUUAACCAGUGCAAUCAGACACAGAGAUAAUAAAUACUGGGUGCCAAGCGAGGGUCUGAAUGACGCCUCGAGCGGAAACUGCAGAAUAGCAAUACUGGUGCCAAACGAGUGUCUGAAAGACUCCUCGAGAGGAAAAUGCGGAAUAAUAAUACAGGUGCCAAACGAGUGUCUGAAAGACUCCUCGAGCGGAAAUGCAGAAAUAAUAAUACGGGUGCCAAAUGAGUGUCUGAAUGACUCCUCGAGCGGAAAAUGCAGAAUAAUAAUGCCACAGUCGGGCGUCGGGGCGACACCACAUAAAGGGCUUAUAUCGAAAGUGAGAAACGAGUACACGCCACAGUCGGACGUCUGCGCGACGUCACAUAAAGGGCUUAUAUCACAACUCAUUAAUACAAUAGCUCGGAGACAUAAAUUAUCACAAGCAUGAGACACACAAAAAUAAAGUUAGUCCAUCAACUGGAAUAACAAUAAAUCUGAGAUUUUUACCGCUUGAGCUUGUUCACCGGGGGCAAGAUUUUCACACGGAUAGAUUUGGAUGUAAAGUCUACAUUACUGAUCAUGGAUACGAUGAUUUGGAAAGGAUUGACUCUGCAGAGUUUGUACUUAACCACAGCCAACGGAUUUCAGUAGUCACGGGGACGAGUUCCGUCUACGGUGUUCUGGAAGGAACACGUCUAACCAGUACACACCCAAUUUAACCAUCCGAAGCCAGGGAUCACCCUCGGCAAAGUUCAGGAAAAACCCUGAGUCGGGGAGGCUACAACCUCGCGUAGCAUGGGAUCAAAUUUCUAUACGCGCGCUAUAAGGGGGUGCCCCCCCUCUCGGUCCCAACCGGAAACACCCAUGCCCCCUGACCGAAUGACUGGCUUUAAUCCUGGGCCAAGGUACCAUCAUCCCGGCCUCUCUGUUUGGUGUGUACACGGAAAGAGGUUACCAACUUACUAAACCGUAUCCUGGCAAUGAGACAUGUGGUAGCACGGAAAGGGGAAGGGACGAUAACACGGCUCCAACCAUGUUAACGUCGGGAAAGUCGGAUGACACAAGGCUGGCAUGCUACAACAGUACCACCUUGCUGCCCUUCAUGUCACCACAUGAUUAGGCCACCUCUCAUCAGAGGUCAUCGCAACUUUGGAACAUGCGGGAAAAGAUCGAUAACGUGGCUCCAACCACGUUAACAUCGAAGAAAGUCGGAUGGCGCAAGGCUGGCAUGCUACAACAGUACCACCUUGCUGCCCUUCAUGUCACUACAUGAUUAGGCCACCUCUCAUCAGAGGUCAUCGCAACUUCGGAACAACCGGGUCGUUGCCUUACAAGCAACGAGGUACUUAUCGACACUCACAUGCCACGCACAAAGUUUCACAUGAACAUGCAAAACAUCUGCCGUAUCAAAUGGUCAAACAUGCUUGCCUGGUUCGGAGAAGUCGGAGUCUAGCUCGGCGAAGUUCGCGGCUCCGUCCCCUCUCCCGGAACCUACGGCAAUCACGAAACGGGGUACUAACGUGAAAACCAACACAUGCACAGAAACUUUGCCAAAUAUUUUUCAAAUAAAUCCCAUAAAAAACUAGACAAAAUUUGGAGAUUGACAGAAAAAGAAUCACUCAAAAAUACCUUUUCAUUAAAACGUUAUAAAGGUUUCUGUCCAGGGACAUUUCUGUAAUGAAACAGAAAAGUUCCAGGGUUUUAACUGAGAAAACAGAAAACGCUUCGGCUGGAAUGCGCAAGCGCAAGGGGAAAACGUAUUUUGCCCGAAGGCGCCAACAGAAAACGGUUCGGGGAAAUAAAACAGAGGCUGACACGCGGGGCCCGCAUGUCAGGUUUGAAAGCUCGCCGGCGCCCGAAGACGGCGGUGGACGCCGGCGUCGAACCACGGCGAGUUAGGAGAAACGGAGGGUACCAAGAGCUUCAGUGUCUUCUUCCGCGUCGGUGGGUGGUGGACUCGUCCAACGGGGAGCACCACGUCGACGACGACACUAUCUCCGGUGGACGGCGGUUCGGGUGAGGUUGGGGAACUCCGGUGGAGGGCUGCAAAGUGCGAAUUGAGGCGCGGGUCAGAACGGGUGAUGCAAGGAGAAGCUACUGGCAAGAGAAUGGGGGCUGCGGAGCACACACGGGGGCGAAUCGGGCUGGAUCCCGUGGCGGAUCGUGGCGGCCGGAGUCGAGGAAGGAGACCCCCUCGCGGCUCUUCCAGUGGCUGGGCGUGCUCUAGGGGAAGUGUAGGGCUGGUGGGUGCUCGAGUUGAAGCUCGGGCCCCUAUUUAUAGGCAGAUCGACGGGGUGGCCGUGAACGGAGAAUCUCCGGCGAGCGAUUACGGCGGAGCAGUGGAUUGGAAGGUGGUUUGAGAGGUCGGGCAGCAUCAGUGGAGAUUACUGGAGUUGUUCCACUGCUAAACGGAGCUGGCCCUGGCGUAAUGGUGUCUGCCCACGGUGAGGUGACCGCACGGGCUCAACGGCGGCAGAGAGCGCGCUCCGCGCCCUGGGGUUCACGACGAGAGCGGCAGCGCAUUCGGGGGAGUGGACGGCCACGCGGCGGGCUCCGGUGGUUUGGGCGGCGCUGGGUGGAGUCGGCGGCGCCGUGUCUCCCGCUGGUGUCCGCAAAGCCGCCGCCGGCGUCGGUCACGGGGCGGCGCACCUUCUGCUGCUCGUCGCCGACGCCCGCAAGUUGCCAGGCACUCGUGCGGUGCAGGAACGAGAGGGCGAGGACGAGGAGCAAGGCGACGCGAGGGUACUGGCGAGAUCGACGCCCGUUUCUGAAGAAAACGACAGCAGCCACUUGACUGAACUCUGAACUUACUGAAUCUUGACAGUGACCAAGCAUUGCAGGUGUUCGACAGUAGGUUUUGGUAAAGAGAUAAAUUUUUCUGGAGCUGUAACUUGGUGAGAUGAUCACUCAAAGCACCCAGGGGCUGCAUGAAUUUACUUGGAAUUUUUGGAGAAAGUUUUGAAUGAAUUUCACCAAAUUUGGCAAAUCUGGUCCAAACUUGCAGCUGAUGUAGUUUGAAAUUUUUGAACUGGAGACCAGUGGAUCUUCAUGGUUCCAGGUUGAGGGUUCAAAGGACUAGGAGGGGAAAAAGGUUUGGUGGCAAAAAUCAAAACAGAAAAAGGAGUUCCUUUGUAAAUCUCCAAGUGCUAUAAGAGAAGACAGAAAUUUAUUUGAAUAGAAUUUGAAUGGAAAUGAUCACAUGAGGAGGUUCAACUUGCUGGAUUUGAUGCAAAUCAUGAUCCAAAGGUGAGGGAAGGGUUAGGAGAGAGGAUUUGCACUAAUGCCAUGGCAAGAAGGAAUAGUUGAAAGUGGCAAAGGACUUUCCAAAAGCCAUAGUGCAUUCUCAAAAAGGAUUUUCAAAGCUUAUUCUCUCAAAUGAAAAAAAACAUUUUGUCUUGAGCCCAAAUGAAAAGCAAGAACCCCCAAGGUUAAAGGCAGAUCUUGGGUGAAUCCAAAUAAAAUUUUUGCCAUAAAGAAAAAUAUUUGAGAGUGAGAGUUCUCUUGAAGAAUUUUUUUUUAAAUCACUCCCUUCAAGUCAAAUAAAAUCUUUUGAAAAAUCCAAAUAAAAACUUGGGUGUCACACCCUCUCUCCUACUUUGGGCUGCAGAGCGUGGCGGCACAUAUCAGGGUAUGGUGCAUGCAGAGACGCAUGGUACGCUAUGUACACACAGUUUUGCCUGAUGAACGAAACCGCGCUGCCAUCAUGAUCCUUGCCGUCGGUUAUCUCCUGGUUAAUCGGAUAAUUCAGUCCAACAAACAGAGAGCGUGUACCAAGGCUACUUACCAACCUCCAGUCAAAAAUUCCUGAAGGCCCAGAGAAGUUGGGAUCCUGCUCAAAGACCUUGAAGUGAUUGUGAUUGUAUUCCGCGAAACAACACGUCUGGUACGUGCGAACGAUCAUCAAUCGUUCGCCGUCGUCUGAUCGAGCCAGGAAGCACCUGCAACUGCCAUGCCGCUUUUCUUUGAAAGGUUCUGGGAUUAGGAAGGGUACGAACAUGAGGCGACUUACAACAUCAUAUCAAGUUGGAGACAAAUAACCCUCAAAAAAAGUUGGAGUCAAAUAAAAAAGGGCUCUUGAUUGUAUGACAUGGCUAGCCAAGAUGGAUUUAAUCCCGAUAUUCACUUUAUCAAAAGGCUCUAAUGGGUUGGUUCUGAAUCUUGCAAGCUGGGAAUCAAUGAGAUGUGUAGGCAUCUUUGUUGUACUUAUUAUUUGAAUCUUAUUUGUUGGUUCUGAAUCUUGCAAGCUGGGAAUCAAUGAGAUGUGUAGGCAUCUUUGUUGUACUUAUUAUUUGGAUCUUAUUUGUUGGUUCUGAAUCUUGCAAGCUGGGAAUCAAUGGGAUGUGUAGGCAUCUUUGUUGUACUUAUUAUUUGGAUCUUAUUUGUUGGUUCUGAAUCUUGCAAGCUCGGAAACAUGGCAUGAUGAUGCAGAGGACAACAACCAUAACAAACAGUUCAAACUUGGUAGUAUUAUCUUUGUGAAAGUGCGACAAAUGUGCUGAUCGUGUGCGUCCUGAGAAUAAUAAUUCUAAUUGUUGUGCAUGUUGAUCCCGUGGCACUGAUAGAAUGAGCCAAUGCAUUGCUUGUUUUAAGUAUAAAUUUCUAUUAAAGCUAAUUAAAUUUAAGUAAAGUGACCACUAACUCCUGUUAUUACAGGACCAAUACAGACCCGCUCAUGAACCGACGUGUGGCCGGAGUAGGUUUCUUAAUGGAGGCGUUUGAAUGCGCUGAGGGUGCAUCUUCUGCCGGGUGUGCAGAACUGCUGCCGCCGCCUACACACUCGUUCACUUGAAGAGACUCCAAUGGCGAUCCGAGGGGUGAGCCUGCUGGAUAUGGACUUCAGCAAGGAGUUCCCCUUUGAGUUCGCCAUUCAGUCCUAUGGCUGCACCAAGUUGAAUGUGAUGUACACCAACGAUCCAGACUCGGUGAAGCUCUGCCUCGCCGAGUUCAAGCAGUACCUACAGGACGAGAAAGCACAAGGUUGCAGGACUAGACCUUGUGCCCAUCCAUUCUUCUCCUGACAGGGACCAGCAGAUAGCCGUUGCCUAGGAAUGUGUGCGGGACGAGGUUCUCAUCUACCACUUCUGUAGGGCCAUCAGAGGUUCUGGAGCAUUCGCCUGUUUCAUCGGCAGCGCUGACUGCACCUUCGCUACGGUGGAGAGAAGGAAGAACGCGAUGAUUCGGCCAUCUGGUGCAACAAGCUUGUCGACAUCCAGAAGCAAUACAAGAUCAUCAGCAACGAGCAGGAGAAGGACUCCGUGGUUGACCUCGCCGAGACCAUCAUCGACCCCUGAUACGCCAACAUGAAAGAAGACAACGAUAACAAAGACCUGAACACGUGGGAGGUACCUCUGAAUCUAGCCUACAUAACCUACACGGCCAAGGAUGCAUACGCAUGCUACGACAUGUACAGGUAGAUCUUGGACAUGAGGGCGUGUCUGCAUCCCGUAACCGACGAGUACACGGACAGCCGCAGCGUCAUGAUCAAGCAUGCCAGGAAGGUCUAGAUGUUGUACUUUAUCUGUUUAUAAGCGCCUUUAUCAUCUGAGUGUUUCAUGCAUUAUCCUAAGUGUUGUAAUUAUCUGUUUUGUCCGAAAUUUUUCUUUUAAGAACCCAUUAACCUGUUUGGUUUUUUUAGUGGCUAUUUGCUUAUGUAUGUAACUAGUUCACUUGUCCGUUAAAAAAAACUAGUUCACUCGGCUGCCGUGCUUUGAAUCUCCUUCCUCCCAACAUAUUCCCCUCCUCAGGUGGACCCAGCAGGUCUCGUACACAGACAUAUGGGACCAACCACCUAUCCAUUUGUAUUUCUUUAUUUUGUUCAAUCUUUCGUCCUCUUCCUAUACAGCUCAGUUCUAUUUUUCCUUUUCAUUAAUCCUAUAUCUGAAUUUUCUCCCACUUUCUUUUUCGAUGUAAACUGAGUUUUCUCCCAGUACUUUUCCCUAGAACCAACAACUGUCCCACGUCUAGCCUAAAAAAUAAUAAUACCCCACGUACUAUUAACUCAUCAAAUUUAAAUGAUAUUUUAUUUUGUAAGUUGAAAGUUUUUACAAAAUAAUAAUAAUUCUUAUUUAUAUGUAACUUGGCAAGUUAACCCCUAGUGAUUGCGUACAUAAGCUUGCAAAGAUUUUACUGACCAAUGCAGUAAUAGACGUGCAAUCAUGUGUUUAUGUUUUUAUAACAUUUCUCCGUCUAGCCCAACAUGAUAUUUUCACCCAGCCCAGCAAGUCCGCGGAUUUCGAGAAAAAUGCAAAUGGGCUUUAAAUUCUAGCAUACAUAUAAACGGGCUGCAUAGAUGCUACAUCAUUGUUUCACCCAGCCCACCAAAUGGACUAAAAAACAAAUGGACUGGCUGACAUGUGGGCCAGUAGGUCGAAGCCUAAGAAGGCGUUGGAUUUACAUCCAACGGCCGGCAUUCUUCUUCAAUCUCUCGUCUUCUUUCCCCAGCGCUGCCAGGACCGCCUGCUCCAGCCUUCGGCGUCCAGCGGCAUUGUUUUGCACUCCUCAGCGAAACGCUACCCCACCGACGGCCAGGCCAUCCCUCCACUCCGCACCUCCUGUUAUUCUCUGCCGAGUGUAGGCCCACCCCGCACCCGAACCAGUCAAGUUUCCCACUCCUCUCCGUCUGCGACUCCACUGCCGCGUCUUCCCCAUCUCCGGGUCGUUCCAGUCUGGGGCCUCGCCGUCGUCCACCGCCUCGGUGCGCUCGGCGCGGCGUGGUCAACAUAGGAGAGUCAUCGGAAGAGGACUGUACGUGAAGAGCCUGACGGCUGGGACCCACGAGGUCGAUGGUCGCAUGCAAGGAAAGUUCCUCCUUAUUACGCACUGUACGUGGACUGUACGUGGGAAGGGCUUCUGUAUUUCACGAAAAAAUGUUCCCCCCGCUGACAGGUCGGACCCACCACCUAUAUCUUCGCACGCAAGGAAGUGCCUCCUUAUUACGCACAAAAAAUGAAUACCCCCUGCUAGCUGGGACCCACCAUAGUGGGUGGCUGACUUGUGGGCCUACUAAGUUGACGGGGACAGAGGGCUUUGUCAACUUAGUCAAUAUGAUCAAUUCUAGCUCCAGUGACCGUACGAUGUCCAUCCAACGGCCAUAGUGCUUCUUCAACCUCUAGUCUUCUUGCUCCAGCCGCCCAAAGCACAAAGCAGCGCUGGUCGGGCCGCAGCGGCCUCACCACCCCCUACUACUCCCACCGCUCGCCAGGGCAUCCCUCUACUCACCCACACCCCCUAUUAUUCUGCGGCUACGGCAGCCUCACGCUGUAGCCGAACCAGUGAACCCUCGUACUCCUCUCCGCGUGGGCAUCCACUGUCGCGUCUUCCCCGGCUCUUCGUCAUCCCCUUCCUAGGCCUCGCCGUCGUCCACCGCCUUGGUGCUCUCGGCGCGGCGUGGUCAAUGUGGUCAACGACCGACUUCCAUCGGAAGAGUACUGUACGUGGAGAGGCUGACAGCUGGGUCCAUGGCCGCAGCUGGGUCCACGACCACAGCCCAGUUUUUUGUGAUUUGUCAAGUAAUUCGCUUUGUCAAGCCUGUUUGGCUGCAAAUCUUUCAAGACGAGGAGAGCUUCAUUCGGCUGGCCGAGAAAAUGGCCUAUCAGUAAUGACAAAUGGGUUGUACAUUUUUAAAACACAUCAAAUCGGCAAUUAGUUUCAAAUUUCUUUUUUUCAUUUCGAGAUUUUAAAUUGCAUUGAUUUUUAUGCGUGGACAAUUUGUUGGAUUUUAUAUUGAUAUACAUUUAUUUUUAAAAUCAGUUUGAAUGUGACUCGAAAUUUCGGGAUUAAAAACAGUUCGGACCGCACCGAAAUAUGCAAAAUUUUGUAUAAUUUUUUAACCGUGGCCACAAUAUGGGCUGUAAUGCUAACAAAAAGAAUAUGGGCUCCAAAAAAACCUUAAGAAUUAGCAAAUGGGCUGUGAAUUAUUAGAAAUAAUGGCAGAUGGGCUGUAUGCUAUUUUCCACAGAUUUGAGGCUUUCCUAAAAAAAGGUUGACGCACAAGCAAUGACUAUUGGAUUUCCAUCCAACGGUCGUCGUGCUUCUUCAAUCUCUGCUGUUCCUGCUCCAGCCGCUCAAACAAGCGCCGGCGGGACUGCCUGCUCCCUCCUCCCCGCGGCCGGCUGUGCUGCCACGCAGGCCUCACCGCCCCACCGUACUCCCAUCGCUGGCCUAGCUACACCUCUACUCACCCACACCUGUUGUUAUUCUCCGGCGAUGGCAGACGAACCAGUAAACCCUUGUACAGUCGUACUUCCCUCCGCGUGGGAAACAACUGCCGAGUCUUCCCUGCCUUCGGGUCAUUCCCAUCCUAGGCCUCGCCGUCGUCCACCGCCCUGGUGCUCUCGGCGCGGCCUGGUCAACGUGGUCAACGACCGACAUGCAUCUGAAGUGGACUAUACCUGGAGAGGCUGACAGCUGGGUCCACGGCCGCACGCAAGGAAAUGCCUCCUUAUUACGCGCAAAAUAAUGAUUCCUCCACCUGACAUCUGGGACCCACCGAAAGGGCCUCUGUAUUUCGCGAAAAAAAAGUACCGCCGCUGACAGCUUGGACCCACCAGCUAUAUCUUCGCACGCAAGGAAGUGCCUCCUUAUUACAAAAAAAAUGAAUACUCCCCCUGCUAGCUGGGACCCAGUAUAGUGGCAGGCUGACUUGUGGGCCUACUAAGUUGACGGGGACGGAGGGCUUUGUCAACUUAGUCAAUAUGCAUGAUUCUAGCUCCAGUGACCGUACGAUGUCCGUCCAACGGCCAUAGUGCUUCUUCAACCUCUGGUGUUCUUGCUCCAGCCGCCCAAACCAGCGCCGGUCGUGCCUCGUGCUCCUGCCUCCCGUGGCCGGCUGCGAUGCGGUGGAGGCCUCACCACCCCUUACUACUCCUACCGUUGGCCAGGCCAUCCCUCUACUCACCCACAGCCCCUGUUAUUCUGCGGCGACGGCAGCCUCACACCGCAGCGAACCAGUGAACCCUCAUACUCCUCUACGCGUGGGCAUCCACUGCCGCGUCUUCCCCGGCUCUGCGUCGUCCCCUUCCUAGGCCUCGCCGUUGUCCACCGCCCUGGUGCUCUCGACGCGGCGUGGUCAACGUGGUCAAGGAACGGCUUCCAUCGGACGUGGACUGUACGUGGAGAGGCUGACAGCUGGGUCCACGGCCGCAGCAAGGAAGUGCCUCCUUAUUACGCGCAAAAUAAUUAUUCCUCCACCUGACAGCGGGGACCCACCGGACGGGCCACCGUAUUUCACGAGAAAAAACGUUUCCCCCUGACUGCUGGGACCCACCAGCUACAUCUUCGCACGCAAGGAAGUGCGUCCGGGCAUAAAAAAUGAUUCGCCCCCCUGACUGCUGGGACCCACCAGCUACAUCUUCGCAGGCAAGGAAGUGCCUAACAGUCGGGACCCACCUGGUCGAAGUGUAUGUAGCGUUGUCAUUCUGGUCGCGAACAUGUACGUACAUACUGGUCGUUGUAGAGGCGCGCACGUAGCAUGUACACGUACGUACAGCGGCCAGGGUGCAAGAAAGAAAAUACGGCCACGUACGUACAUACGGGCAGGGUCUCGAACGCCUACUCGCGCAUAUGUACGGCCAGGUCUCGUGUACAUGGCUGGGUCAAAACGGAGAAACUGCGACGUCGUCGUGUUCAUGAGGAGCCAACCGGCUGGGUCGGAACGGAAUGCGUCAUCGUGUUCAUCCGGAGGGCUUGGACGGAACAGCCGAUGGAAACGAGGCUUGGCGUACCGCGGAACAGAGGAAAUGGCCUUGUGUUCGACCGGCCAUGUUCGAAAUGGGAUCCUGUUCAUCGGGAGGGGCUGGAGUACCGCAAAACGGAGGAAACGGACCUCCUACGGUCGAAACGGGGGUCCUGUUGAUCGGGAGGGGUGUGGCGUACCGCAAAACAGAGGAAACGGACUUGUGUUGGAGCGCUACGGUCGAAAUGGGGGUCCUGUUCAUCGGGAGGGGUGUGGCGUACCGCAAAACGGGACUCCACGGGAUACUGUUCAUCUCCACCGUCGACCCCCUCCAGCCUCCACGGGCUACUGUUCAUCCACCGUCGACCUCCUCCAGCCUCCACCUGCGACUGUUCAUCCACGGGCUCCUGUUCAUCCAGCCUCCACCGCGCGCUACUCCACCGGCUACUGUUCAACCAGCCCUCUCCACGGGCUCCUGUUCAACCACCCCUCCACCAGCUAUUGUUCAACCAGCACUCUCCACGGGCUCCUGUUCAACCACCCCUCCAUCCGGCUACUGUUCAGUCACAAUGAAUAUAAGAAUGCGCACAUCAGAAGAAUAUUGUGGAACAGUUCAAUGGGUAACAAACUUGGCAUCAAGGGAUUGAGGUCCAUUGUGGAUGCAAUGAAACCCACAUGCUCCCGACCUAUAGAUUCGUAUUCGGAAUAUGAUCCUAAUGACUAUUCUAAGCUCAAGGAGUCAAAGGCAGAUGGCCUAUCCUGUUCACCCAAUAAGGUGCCUGUUCUAAUUUGGCAAGGUUUUAUUGGUUGCACAUAUCUUGCAUAAGGUGUCUUGCAUUUCUUUUGCUUCGUUGCACCGCCAUCUGCUUAGUUUACUCAUGAUAUAUGUGAAGAUGCCAUGCCCAUCCAUUAUCAACACCUAUUCCAUUUGUCGUCAUACCAUGUUUUUUCAUUCAAAUGUUGUUCUUGUGUUUCAGACAUCCAAAAGGAAGAGGGUGAUUGCAGAACCUGAAGGAGUACAAGCAAAGUCCUUGAAAAAGGUGGUGCUACCAGAGAAAUCACCUAGCACCCGACGUAUAUUGGCGAUAGAACCAGUACCGCAAAACCUAGGAUGUCGCAACCAUGCUGGUCGAUGCUUUGCUCUUCUGAGUACAUAUUGUCCUAUCGCUGUCCUUACAUUCAUACCUGGUGGAUUAUGUGACAUCAUUGUGCAAUAUAGCUUUCUUAUCCACUGUUCACUCCAAAUUAUCAGAUCUAUAUUAAUGCUUAAAUUAAUGUAGAAGAAACCAAUGCCUAUGAAGAAAGUUAGUUCUGCAUUGUUCUUGUAAGUAUCUGUUGUCCUUCAUCACUGUACUUAUAUUUGUCAGCUAGUUCUUCAUGUACACUUUGCAGCUUAUUUUACCUUGUCCUCCAUUUUUCUACACAUCAAAUCUACAUUUACUCUUGCCAAAAUAUUGAAUAAAACCAAUGUUACUGAAGAAGUUUAGCUCCGCAUUGCUCGUCAGUGCCUUCUGCCUAUAUGCUGUAUUUACAUUUGUACUCUGCAUCUUAAGUUAAAUAAUCGCCAUUUGUUCCUAUAUUUUCACAUCUAUAUUACUCUUAACAAAAUGUAGAAUAAAGGCAAUACUCUUGAAGAAGAGUGUGCGGUAAAGUUCUUGAAUUGCCCCCCCCCCCAUCAAUAUGGACAAGGCCUUUAUAGAGCAUGUCUUCACUACUAAUGUAAGUUUGUCCUCCUCGAGCCUUCAAACAAUGUUGUGUAUAUUUGGAUAGCUAUGACUGAAAAUGCUGUUUAUUUUUAUCGUCUGCAUCAAAUUUCUUGUUCAAAGUUUAUAAAGUAGAAGUACAUAAACAUAAGUUUGUCCUUCUCAAUUUCAGUCUUUUAGUUGUACAAUCUAGUUCCUUAUUCGUACCAUGUAAAUUAAACUAAACAUAGAAAGUUAUCUUCUUUAGCACUAUGUGUAUGCUUGUGUUCUUGAUCUAUAAUCGAGUGGUGUGGUGAGACUACCAACAACAGCACAAUGUCAUAUCCUGCUAUGUCUCAACUAUGAACAAUGCCUUAUUAUAUUAAUGUUAUUUAAAUCGUGUCUCUUUAUUUACCAAUCUGAAAUGGUAUAAAUUGACAGUACACUCACCAUUCAUGCUUAUACGUUGUUUAGAACUACAUCUAUGCUUGUGUUCUUGAUCUGUAAUCCAGUGGUCUGGUGAAUCUGGCCGCUCCUACACAAUGCCAUUUCCUGCCGUCUUAACUAUGAACAAUACCUAUUAUGUUAAUGUUAUUUUAAAUAGUGUCUCUUUAUUUCUGACAAAGAAAUGAGAUGAAUUGACAGCGCUGAUGCUUAUACGUGCAAAACCUGUUAUCUACCUACUUGUUUCUCUUUCAGGGUGACAACACUGCUGCUAGGAAGAACUGCCACAAUGAUAGUGAGACGACCCCAUUGUUUGUCCCUCUAAAACAUAUUCCACAGGAGAAGGCAACACAUAUUGAGGGUAGGGAUACAACCACGAAGUCACAUCUUGAUGUAGUGUCAAAACUUACUCAGUGCAAGCUCGAUGAAGUAGUCGCCUGAAUCUAUUUGACUUCUUCAGUCUGAAAUUCAUGAGAAAUACAUAAUUCCGCUCAAAUACGAUUGGAACUCCAAUCUGUAUGCAAGAUUAACCUUAAGUACAUGACGUUUAUUGAUGCUGUGCAGCUUAAGUUGGUGGAUAUGAGCACCAAAGAAGCGCAGUCUCAUCAGGUUGCUAAGCUGCUUGCGCUGUAGCACCUGGGCCGAGCUAACCUUUCUUGAACUGUGUUGAAGUGAUGUCGGUUUUGUCUAUUAUUUUGUCCGCCUGUUAACUUCCACUGGUGGCGACCUGCCCAGUUUAUGUAAUCUGCUGUCUGGUUGCCCUUUAUUAUCAUUUGCGGUGAACUUUGAUGCUGAGGGGAUGUAAUAUGCUGUAAUUUCUUUGUUGUAUAGUCUAGGUUUAUUCUUGGUCGGUAUGCUGUAAUUUAGGACGGAAGGUUCAGUGGAUCUCAGUGUUGUCGGUCUUCAGGCCGGCCCGUUACUCAUAUGGACCAAAACGUGGGCCUAUAAUCAUCUUGGGCCAUUAGCGGGUCUAAACCUAUAGUAGUUUCCUUCCUUUAACAGGCCGAGUAAAGUUCUGGCCAGCUGGGCCAGAGAAUACCAUGGGCUUUUAACAGGCUAAAACCUAGAUUGGGCUGGCGUUGAGCCGAAAAUUUCACAGGCCAAAACUUCCUAAGGCCCAUGUUGGGCCCAAAUAGGAUGAGCAGUUAACAGGCCAAAAUAUAUCUCGGUCUUGUUUGGCCAAAUAAAAUUAUCAGCUUUAAGCAGGCCGGUAUCCACGCGGGCCAUAGACCCAAAAGUGUCACGGGCCAUUAUCAGAUGGGCUGUAAGCAGGCCGGAUUCAACGCGGGCUGUAAUUAGGCCCAACUGUUUCACAGGCCAUUAACAGGCCGAUAGGCCAGUUGGGCUGAAAUUUGUCCACGAAGACUACGGGCCGUUAAGAGGCCUAAAGUUUCUUCGGACAAGAAAUAGCCCAGUUUCUGCAUGGGCCGUUAAAUGGCCUAAAGUUAAACCAGGCCGACAACGUCCCAGAUACACCACGGGCCUCUAACAGGCGAAACUAUUAUCGGGCCGAACUGGUAAACGGGCAUUUAACAGGCUGAAAUAAAACAUGUCUUAGAAUGGGCCCAAAAGAACAGUGGCCUGUUAACGGGCAUGAUCCGAUAUGUGCCAUAAUUUGGCCCAAAACACAGCAGGCUGUGAACGGGCCUGAUCUGGUAUGGGCUUCAAUUUGACCCAAAACAUGGUAGGUUGUUAACGGGCCACGCACUAUUGUCUGAAAAAACAUGGUGGGCCUUUAGCUGGGCCGGCCUUUUCAUCGGACUGGGCCUCGGUUGGGUCGUGCCACAUGUCGACGUAUCAUAGUCACCUCCUGUCCCAACGGUGAGCCAACACGUGUUUCCUCAGGCCAAUGAGAAUUUUACAUGUGGAAAAUCCCCAUUGGUCUGGGCUGUUAACGGGUUAUCGGAUCCAAAACCGGACCCGAUAGCUUAACGGCGACCCGUUCCAGUCGAUGCCACAUGUCGGGCACCCUUGACGAAAGCACUUCUAUGAUGCACGAUUUAUCGUCAUGGAAGUGGACACUUCCGUGAUGAUAAUUUUGGUAAUGUCAUGGAACACUUCUACGAUAGCACAGGUAUGACUAUCUUGAUUCUGUCAUAAAAUUGUCAUGGAUGUACAUGCAUGACAGAAAACGUGACCUACUGUGACAAACACGUAUCAUCAUGGAAGUGUAUUUUUUUUGUAGUGUAUGCCAUGACUUGUUAGAAUAGCUCUCUAUGCUUCACUUAAAUUUUUAUGAGCUAUGGAAUUGCUCAAGUGCUUCACUUAUAUCUUUUUGAGCACGGUGUGCUUUGUUAUUUUUGAAGAAAUGCUCUCUUGCUUCACUUAGAUUUGUUUGAGAGUUAGUAAAUUUUUUGAAGAAAUUCUCUCUUGCUUCACUUAAAUUAAUUUGAGAGAAAGAAAUAUUAUGCUCAUGAUCUUCACCUAUAUCUGUUUGAGCUUAUCAAAAGCAACAUGAAAAUUAGUUCCAAAGUGAUAGAAAUCCAAGAAGGAUAUAAUAAAAAAAUCAUGAAGAUCAUUAGACAAAAUAAACUUGAUUCCUUGUAAUAGUCUUGAGAUAUGAUGAUGUGAUAUGUGAGUCAUGUUGAUGAGUAAUUGUGCUUUAGUAAGAAUAUUGGUGUUAAAGUUUGUGAUUCCCUAUGCAAGCACGAAAGUCAAUAGUCAUGCAAUGAAAUUACAUCUUACUUGUGGUGCAUUAUUCGGUGUUAAUUAUGUUUAAUGCUCGCUUAUGAGAUUAUUCGUUUCUUGGUUGGUUGCUUCUCAAUCUUUUGCUAGCCUUCAUUUUGCACUAAGUAUGAUCACUACUUGUGCAUCCAAAAUCCUUUAAACCAGUCUUGCCACAUGAGUCCACUAUACCUACCUAUAUGCGGUGUUCUUUUUCCGUUCUAAGCAAAUUUGUAUGUCCCAUCUCUAAUUUUCAAAAUAAAUUUCUCUUUUGUGUGCUCGUACCGCUCGUGAGGCGGUGAGGGGUGGCAAAUAUUUUCCAUGCUAGAUGUGUUAUUCUCACGACGAAUGUUUAUUCACUUGUCAUUGCACGAUAGUAAGGCAAAGGUAUUAGGGAUGCCCAGUCCCGAAAUGAAAAAUGAAUUUACUUUAUGUUGUCAAAUAAUAAAUUCCUUGGAAAGUGUUGGUAUGGAAGGCAACCGUGGAUUCGGCUAGCCAUGGAAAGUGAAAGUAUGGUGGAAAAAGGAAUAAACUUUAUUUUCUGUUUGGGAACCGCCUAUGAUAUAUCUAGCAUGGAAAGUGUUGGGAGCUCUAAGUCGUUUUCAUUGGUGGGAAAAGCAUGCCUCUCAAAAUGUUUUUAUCUCUGUAGGAUCAAAAGUAUGUCUAGAGGGGGGUGAUUAGACUACUUGACCAAAUAAAAAUCUAGCCUUUUCCCAAUUUUAGUUCUUGGCUGAUUUUAGCAACUUAGCACAAGUCAAGCAAUCAACCUACACAUGCAAUUCGAAGAGUAUAGCAGCGGAAUGUAAAACAAUUGCAUAUGAAGGUAAAGGGAGGAGUUUGAGGGAGCAAACGCAAUGUUGACACGGAGAUUUUUUAUCCGUGGUUCCGAUAGGUGGUGCUAUCGUACAUCCACGUUGAUGGAGACUUCAACCCACGAAGGGUAACGGUUGUGCGAGUCCACGGAGGGCUCCACCCACGAAGGGUCCACGAAGAAGCAACCUUGUCUAUCCCACCAUGGCCGUCGCCCACGAAGGACUUGCCUCACUAGGGUAGAUCUUCACGAAGUAGGCGAUCUCCUUGCCCUUACAAACUCCUUGGUUCAACUCCACAAUCUUGAUGGAGGCUACCAAGUGACACCUAGCCAAUCUAGGAGACACCACUCUCCAAGAAGUAACAAAUGGUGUGUUGAUGAUGAACUCCUUGAUCUUGUGCUUCAAAUGAUAGUCUCCCCAACACUCAACUCUCUCUCAUAGGAUUGGAUUUGGAAGAAAGAGGAUUUGAGUGAAAAGCAACUUGGGGAAGGCUAGAGAUCAAGAUUUAUGUGGUUGGAAUGGAAUAUCUUGACCUCAACACAAGUGUAGGUGGUUCUCUCUCAGAAAAUAUGUAUUGGAAGUGUAGGCAUGUUUUGAUGGCUCUCUCCACGAAUGAAGAGUGGGUGGAGGGGUAUAUAUAGCCUCCACACAAAAUCUAACCGUUACACACAAUUCACCAAACUCGGUGGGACCGAUUCAGAGAACUCGGUCAGACCGAUUUGGUUCAUAAUGUGACCGUUAGGCAUUUCGGUGGGACCGACAUGUCAACUCGGUGGGACCGAUAUCAUUAGGGUUAGGGCAUAACAUAAUCUCGGUGAGACCGAUUACACAAACUCGGUGAGACCGAUUUUGGUAAUAGACAAAUAGAGAGUUGGCCAGGCAAACUCGGUGGGACCGAUUCGCUCAUCUCGGUUGGACCGAAACGUUAUGAAAGGGAAACAGAGAUCUUGCAUUGCAAUCUCGGUGGGACCGAUCGCUCAUCUCGGUUUGACCGAAACGUUACGAAGGGAAACAGAGAGAUUACAAUCCCAUCUCGGUGAGACCGAGAUCCCUAUCGGUGAGACCGAAAAGACUAGGGUUUCUGGCAAUGGCUAUGUCAACUGAACUCGGUGGCUCCGGAUAGAAAGAAUCGGUGGGGCCAAGUUGGACUUAUGGUUUGGGACAUAUGUUUAUAUGAGAAAGUAGUGGAGGGUUUUGGAGCAUAUCACUAAGCAUUUUGAGCAAGAACCUCAUUAAGCAACACCUCAUCCCUUCUUAAUAGUAUUGGCUUUUCCUAUAGACUCAAUGUGAUCUUGGAUCACUAAAAUAGAAAAUGUAGAGUCUUGUGCUUUGAGCUUGAGCCAAUCUUUUGUCCUUAGCAUUUUGAAGGGUCUACUUUCUAAUCCAUGCCAUGCCAAUCAUUGAGCUUUCCUGAAAUAUUUAUCUUGGAAUAGCAUUAGCUCAGUGAACUAUAUGUUGUUAGGAAUUACCAAAACCACCCAGGGAUAGUUGCACUUUCAAUCUCCCCCUUUUUGGUAAUUGAUGACAACAUAUAGAUCAAAGCUUCGACAAAUGAUAAGUAAGAUUGAAAAACAUCGUCACUUUGAGAGGUAUGUGAUAAGCAAGAGCUCCCCCUAAAUUUGUGCAUUAUUUAAAAUUUGCUUUUGAAUGCAAAUGCACAAUCGAUUAGGAUCAUGGGUUAUUCUUCCAUGUCACAUACAUCUUGGUGGAGCGCUCAAAAUGAUAGAAGUUAAAGCAUGCACUCAUCACCAAAACAAGUGAAUGAUCGUCUAGGAUAUAAGAGAUAAUAUCAUCUAACAAGCAUUAAGGGUAGCAUAUGAUCAAACAAGUAUCUCACAAGUAGCUCACACAAGCACACAAUAAAGUUUCAAACCAAACCAAAAAUAAGUGCAAAGAGAGAUAAAAACCAACACACUCUCUCUCUCUCGAAGCCUAUGAUCUAUACAUUUUUCUCCCCCUUUGGCAACAAGUUACCAAAAAGUUCAAAAAAGCAUAGUGCUAAAUGUCUCUCAGGCUUGAUCUUCGGGAGGUGGUGUUGAGAGAACUCCAAGAACGAAGGCUUCAGAUGAAGUAGGUGGAGCUGGUGGAGUAGCUGCUGGAGGUGGAACUGGAGCUGUAGCUGAUGGUGCUGAUGUUGUAGCUCUAGUGUCUGUCACUGGCACUGCAGCAGAUCUCUGUCCUCUGGGCACUCUGGCAAAAGCAUCUGUGGUAGACUUGCCCUUCUUCUCCUCUGCUUCCUCCUGAAGUUGCUCAACUGCAGUUUGGAUCUCUGUUACCUUGACAUCAAGGUCAUAGAAUUUCUGCUCAAUGAUCCUCUCCAUACUCUCCUGGUUCUUGGUCAGGGUGGCCAAGCCCUUCUCAAUCCUCAGGAUGGAUUGGAUUAGAUAUCCAAGCUGGUCUUGCUUGCUCUUCAAGAAUACCUGAGAUGUCUCUUCCACUGUUGGCAUCUUUGCAGCCUUCUCAGCUUUAGCCUUCUCUCUCUUCUCAUGUGCUUGAGCUGAAGAUGGUUCAUUCUCAUUCAUCACUACAGUGUUAUCUUCAAAUUCAGGAUAGAUGGGCAGGUGCUCCUUGUCCAAAAGAUAUGUGAGGGAGACCUGGCUUAGGGGGUCCUCGGACGGCCGGACUAUAUAGUUUAGCCGGACUGUUGGACUAUGAAGAUACAAGAUUGAAGACUUCGUCCCGUGUCCGGAUGGGACUCUCCUUGGCGUGGAAGGCAAGCUUGGCAAUACGGAUAUGUAGAUCUCCUCCCUUGUAACCGAAUCUGUGUAACCCUAGCCCCCUCCGGUGUCUCUAUAAAUCGGAGGGUUUAGUCCGUAGGACAAGAACAAUCAUACCAUAGGCUAGCUUCUAGGGUUUUAGCCUCUACGAUCUCGUGGUAGAUCAACUCUUGUAAUACUCAUAUCAUCAAGAUCAAUCAAGCAGGAAGUAGGGUAUUACCUCCAUCGAGAGGGCCCGAACCUCGAUAAACAUCAUGUCCCCCGCCUCCUAUUACCAUCCGCCUUAGACGCACAGUUCGGGACCCCCUACCCGAGAUCCGCCAGUUUUGACACCGACAUUGGUGCUUUCAUUUAGAGUUCCACCGUGCCGUCACCGUAAGGCUUGAUGGCUCCUUCGAUCAUUGGCAACGAUGCGAUCCAGGGUGAGGUUUUCCUCCCCGGACAGAUCUUCGUGUUUCGCGGCUUCGUACUGCGGGCUAACUCGCUUGGCCAUCUGGAGCAGAUCGAUAGCUACGCCCCUGGCCAUCAGGUCAGGUUUGGAAACUUGAACUAUAUUGCCGACAUCCGCGGAGACUUGAUCUUCGACGGAUUUGAGCCCAUGUCAGGUGCGCCGCACAAUCCCGACGAGCAUGAUUUAGCUCUGCCGUCGGACCGUGUUCGGGAGAUCACACCUGCAACUACUCCGGCCCUCAAUCCAGAACAAAUUGCGCCAUCCGAGGAUGGGUGGAUAGACCCCGCCAUGGAGGCCGCACUCUCAGUGGCGAUAGAGCCGAAUACUGACUUCACCCCUUACGAGAGCCGUGUUGCCGAACCAUUGGAUUCGUCCCCGGCCACGGGCUCUGAGCCGCUUGCGUCCGUGCCUAUCGAAUCCGAUUGGGCACCGAUCAUGGAGUUUACCUCCGCGGAUAUCUUUCAGCACUCGCCUUUUGGCGACAUACUAAACUCGUUGAAGUCUCUCUCCCUGUCGGGAGACCCUUGGCCGAACUAUGUCCGGCUAGAAUGGGAUGUGGACGACGAAGAAAUUCGCGGCCCACCCACCACCCACUUAGUAGCCACUGUCGACGAUUUAACCGACAUGCUCGACUUCGGCUCCGAAGACAUCGACGAUAUGGAUGACGAUGCAGGAGACGAACAAGAACCACCGCUCAUAGGGCGCUGGACGGCCACCUCAUCGUGUGACAUAUACAUGGUGGACACCCCUAAAGAAGGGGAUGGCGACAAGACAAUGGAGGAUAAUCCCUCCAAGAAGCAACCCAAGCACCGACGUCAGCGGCACCGCUCUAAGUCUCACCAUAGCAAAAGCAGCGAUACUGGCACAAGAGACAAUAACGCUCCGGAUAGUGCCGAAGACGACGACAAUCCCCUCCAGCCAGACCUCGAGCGGGAGGAUGAACAAGCUAGCCCUCCGGAACAGGCAGCAAACGGAGAAUCAGAGGAUGACAAUUACAUGCCUCUCUCCGAAGACGAAGUGAGCCUCGGCGACGAAGAAUUUGUCGUGCCUGAGGAUCCCGUCGAGCAGGAACGCUUCAAGCGUCGGCUUAUAGCCACAGCAAACAGCCUAAAGAAAAAGCAACAACAGCUUUGAGCUGAUCAAGAUCUGCUAGCGGAUAGAUGGACCGAAGUCCUGGCAGCCGAGGAAUACGAACUCGAGCGCCCAACCAAGAGUUAUCCAAAGCGCAGGUUGCUACCUCAACUCGAGGAGGAAGCAGUGAAACCUACAUCACCAGCGUAUGAUGUGGCUAAUCGGCCACCUCGUGGCCGAGACAGAGAGGCAUUUCAGCCCGAAGUCCAGCCCGCGCCCCCCCGCCAAUCAAACAAAAAUACCAAGGCCUGGGGCAACACGCAGGACCUGCGAGACGUAUUGGAAAGCAAGGCAAAACAUGCAAGAUCGAUCUACGGAUCACGGGGUCGCGCCCCAACGUGAGACGAUGAUUGUCACGCCGGAUAUACCAAAAGAAAAUCCGGUCGGGCCGAAUACAGCAGACAAGACUCGUAUGAACUGCGUCGUGAUAUAGCCUAGCACAGAGGCGCCACACACCCCCUAUGCUUCACUGAUGAAGUAAUGGAUCACGAAUUCCCAGAGGGUUUUAAACCCGUAAAUAUUGAAUCAUAUGACGGUACAACAGAUCCCGCGGUAUGUAUUGAGGAUUUCCUCCUCCACAUCCACAUGGCUCGCGGUGAUGAUCUACAUGCCAUCAAGUACCUCCCACUAAAACUCAAAGGACCAGCCCAGCAUUGGCUGAAUAGCUUGCCAGCAGACUCCGUUGGCAGUUGGGAGGAUUUGGAAGAUGCAUUCCUUGACAACUUCCAGGGCACUUAUGUGCGACCACCGGAUGCUGAUGACUUGAGCCAUAUAACUCAGCAGCCAGGGGAAUCGGCCAGGCAAUUCUGGACCCGGUUCUUAACUAAGAAAAACCAAAUUGUCGACUGUCCGGAUGCAGAGGCCUUAGCGGCAUUCAAGCAUAACAUCCGUGAUGAGUGGCUCGCCCGGCACCUCGGCCAGGAGAAGCCGAAGUCUAUGGCAGCCCUCACGACACUCAUGACCCGCUUUUGCGUGGGCGAGGAUAGCUGGCUGGCUCGCAGCAACAACACAUCAAGGAAUCCGGGCACUUCAGAUACCAAAGAUAAUAACGGCAGACCAUGUCGUAACAGACAUAAGCGCCGCAACAACGGUGAUAACACCGAAGAUACGGCAGUCAAUGCCGGAUUUAGUGGCUCUAAACCCGGUCAACGGAAAAAAGCCAUUCAAAAGAAGUACUCCGGGCCCGUCCAGUUUGGACCGCAUACUCGAUCGCUCGUGUCAAAUCCACGGCACCCCCGAUAAGCCAGCCAAUCACACCAACAGAGAAUGCUGGGUGUUCAAGCAGGCCGACAAGUUGAAUGCCGAAAACAAGGACAAGGGGCUGCAUAGCGAUGACGAGGAGGAGCCCCGGCCGCCAAACACAGGAGGACAGAAGAGGUUCCCUCUACAAGUGAAAACGGUGAACAUGAUAUACGCAACCCACAUUCCCAAGAGGGAAAGGAAACGUGCACUAAGGGACAUCCAUGCGAUGGAGCCAGUCGCCACAAAGUUCAACCCAUGGUCCUCUUGUCCGAUCACCUUCGAUCGAAGGGACCACCCCACUAGUAUUCGUCAUGGCGGAUCUGCCGCAUUGGUCCUUGACCCCAUCAUCGACGGAUUUCACCUCACCCGAGUCCUUAUGGACGGCGACAGCAACCUGAACCUGCUCUAUCAAGAUACAGUGCGCAAAAUGGGUAUAGACCCCUCGAGGAUCAAACCCACUAAACCCACCUUUAAAGGUGUCAUCCCAGGUGUAGAGGCCCAUUGCACGGGAUCAAUCACACUAGAAGUAGUCUUCGGAUCUCCGGACAACUUCCGAAGCGAGGAGUUAAUCUUUGAUAUCAUCCCAGGUGUAGAGGCCCAUUGCACAGCUGAGGCACAAAGCAGCCUUCCAAGGCAAACCGCCAAUUCAGCGAUAAAACCGCCGGACACCUUCAAGCGAGUCCGGAGCAACCUGCAACAGGACCGCCUGGCACGUUCAGAGCUUGCCUAGCAAUUCGGCCCCCGUCCUAGUCUCAGUCAAGCGACGGAAUAUGUGCCGCGUGUACAUAAUUACGCACUAAAAAUACCAUGGGCAUAGGCGGGGGCACGACCAGGGCACGUCCCACAAUGCGGCUCAACCACCCCAGGGGUUGUAUACCUUUAUCAUUUCUUCUCUUUCAGGACAUUACUCUCUGGAAGCCCUUUCCAGCAGUCCGAUUGCUGGACACAUUAUGGGAAGGAACACCCAAGGAGGCAAGAAGCUAAGAUGUACAAGGGAAUCCUCAGGUGGUCUCUGAUAACAAUCGAAGUACCCAUUUUUAAUACCCAUACGCAGCUUACCCAUGGACAGGACAUGUCAAAUAGUCCUAUUUUUUGCUUAUUGCACUACUUGUAUCAGUACGCUUCAACGUAUUAUUUAAAUAACAAUGCAUAGCAUUAGUCUAUUAUUGCAUUACCCUUCCUUUUUCUUGUCUAUUUUAUUUACGACAACUUGCACCUGUACAUUCUGGUACGACCAGUACGCCAGGGGCUUCAGUAUACCCCAUAAUACGGCGUAAGAAGUCCGAACACUUUCGACAGUGCGGCACCCCGAACUUAUAGCAUUAUAUGCAUCAGCUCCGAAUCAUGUCUUGGGUCAAUAGUUGGGUUUGCCCGGCUCCCAUGUUUUGGUACCUUACGUUCCGCAAUAUCGGCUAAGGUAGCGCUGGGAGAACUACUGCGAUUGUGUCCCGGUUCUUCCGGACAAGCACCUCAGUAGAGAAAGCCGAAAACUGACUGUCAUGAUAAGGCGAGAGCUGGUCGCUGUUCGAGAGGUCUCAAGUCCUUAAAGACUUUUUCCGCUUCGGGCGAGGAGUCGGCCUUGCCCGACUUAGGCGUAUAUAGCGCACCAAAUUCGGCCUUCCGAAUACUAGGGGCUUCGCCAAAAUUUAAAAUUGUAGACUUCUAUGGCUAAGUGAGAGUGAUAAAGCCUUAUAGUCCGAUUGCCUGGUUCGUUGUGCUGAACACCUCCCUCGAAGGACCCAAAAUUGGGAUAAAGAGUGCUCAGGUUUAUCCCGAACACCUCAGUACUAGUUACAUGGGGGCAGAAGGCGACGAAUGGCCAAUUCUCAGAUUUUAUAAACGGCCGCACAAAAGGUAAUAUUUUAAAUUAACAAGCGUUGCAUAGCGCAAAUGAACUCGUUUCACAUUACCGGAUCACAUGAGUACGUUCAUUCAAAUAUUACAUGUUUAGCACAUUCCUCCGCCACAAGGCGGGAACUCUUCAGGACACUGUCAUUUCGGGGUGGCGAUGCUCCUUGCCUUCCGGCGACCCCUCCUUCACCAGCUUUACAGCGUCCAGCUUCGCCCAGUGCACCUUCGCCCGGGCAAAGGCCCUGCAUGCACCCUCGAUGCAGACGGACCGCUUUAUGACUUCAAGCCAUGGGCAGGCAUUCACAAGCCGCCUCACCAGACCGAAGUAGCUGUCAGGCAGGGGAUCGCCAGGCCACAUCCGGACUAUAAGACCCUUCAUGGCCUGUUCGGCCGCCUUGUGGAGCUCGACCAGUUGCUUCAGCUGGUCGCUCAAGGGCAUUGGGUGUUCGGUCCCAGUAUACUGAGACCAGAACAACUUCUCCGUCGAGCUUCGCUCCUCAGCCCGGUAAAACUCCGCGGCAUCCAACACACUGCGGGGAAGAUCUGCGAAUACUCCUGGAGAGCUCCGAACUCGGGUAAGUAAAAGGAAAGUUUCCUUCACAUGCUUGCUUUGCAUAAUGAAUUCUUUACCCGCUGCUAUCUUCUUAACCGCCUCGAUCUCCUGGAGGGCCUUGUGGGCUUCCGCCUUGGCGUUUUGUGCGCUUUCGAGGGCCUUCGCAAGCUCGGACUCUCGUGUCUUAGAGUCAAGCUCCAAGGACUCGUGUUUUCUGGCGAGAGCCUCGAGCUCUUGCUGUACCUCGCCUACCCGAGCUUCUUGCUUUUCUUGCUCGAUGCGCUCCUUGGCCGCUUUGUCUUCGGCCUCGGACAGCGCCUUCUUCAGGGUCGCCACUUCGGUCGUGGCCUCUGGCAAAUUCAUGAUGAUCCUAUUAUUUUACAACUAAAUUUCUUUUUAAUAUAUAGACAUGGUAUCGCUUACCUUUGUUCUCUUCGAACUGCCUCUUGGUAAGGCCGAGCUCUUCCUUGGACCGCUCAAGGUCCUGCUUCAGUGCAGCGACCUCCGCAGUACGUGUGGCAGCGGCCCGCAGUGAAGCCUGCAUAUGCACAUAGACAUAUUCUGAUUAGACUCCUGAGUCAUUAUUUGAUCCUCUAUUCGGCCUUUCUUCACGAACGCCAAACAGAGCAUCAGGGGCUACUGUCUAUCCAGUAAUAUUUUCCUAUAAUUUAGUUACUUACCUGAAAACCUGUUAGGAGGCUGGCACAAGCUUCAGUUAGUCUGCUUUUGGUGGACUGAACCUUCUCGAUAACCGUACUCAUGAUAGUGCGGUGCUCUUCAUCGAUUGAAGCACCGCGAAGCGCUUCCAGCAAGUUGUCCGGUGUCUCUGGAUGGACAGAGGCCACCGGCACGGGCGGCUUGCCCCUCUUAACGGGGGGUCGCCUGACAGAGUCCGGAACCACUGGAGGUUCCAGCGCAGUGUUCGGCUGGAGGCCGAAUUCGGAGCCCAUGGGAGUCUUUCUCCCUUUGCGCCCAGGGUCCGGAAUGUCGCCUCGCGGCGCCUCCAGGACUACCUCCCCUCGGCUCGGUGCCCUUUGAGACAACACCUCGGCGUUGUCCGUAGGGAGAGGGGUGGAGGUGGUCGGAAGUGAAUCGCUAUUCAUAUCCGACGGGUCCAAAGAACCAUCUGACGAAGAUACGUCGAUAUGGGCUCGGGAGGACUGCAUAAUCAUGUUCGGCGUGAUGAGAAGCAGUACAAUAAAACAUACCAUGAAUUGCUAUGGUAUCCGGAUACUUACGACUUCGCUAGGGGCUUGUCCCUGGGCAACCACUCGUCGUCGCUGUAAGAGGCCGUCGUGGAGCAGUCCGGAAGGAGGGUCCUUCCCUUCUUGGACCCUUCGGCCUCCCCGGUUGGGGCGGCUUUCCUUUUCUUGUCUCCCCCGGCUGGGGGGGGAGAACUUUCCUCUUCCUCCUCCUCGUUUUCAUGGGAGGAGUGCGCCUCAGAGUUUUCGGACGAUGAGUCCGAUAUAACCUUGCGCCAGAGACCCUUUCGGGUCCCCGUGGCCUUCUUCUUGGCCUUCUUCACCGGCACCUUGUAAGGCGCCGGAAUUAGCAUCUCCGUUAGGAGAGCAUCUGCAGGAUCUUCAGGCAGGGGGGCUGGGCAAUCGAUCUGCUCCGCUAUCUCUACCCAGUCCUGUUAGAUGGCACGGAGGCUUAGACCCCGCACAUGAUUAAACUGGGGAAAAUAAACAUCCUGUGAGAUAUAAAAAAGUUACCGGAUUGGCAUGGCGCUUUGCGCUGAGUCCGCGGUCCUCGGUAAGGGGAGGAGGUACCUCGUCACCCUUGAAAAGCACCUUCCAGACAUCCUUGUGCGUCGUGUCGAAGAGCUCUCGCAGCGUCUGGUGCUUGGCCGGGUCAAACUCCCACAAACUGAAUGCCCGUCGUUGACACCGGAGGAUCCGGCGGAAGAGCAUGACCUGGACCACGUUGACAAGCUUGAUUUUCUUGCUCAUCAUGUUUCUGAUGCAUUUCUGGAGUCCAGUCAGCUCCACCAAUGAACCCCAGGACAGGCCCUUCUCUUUCCAGGAGGUGAGCCACGUGGGGAUUCCGGAUUGGAAUUCGGGGGCCGCCACCCAGUUGGUGUUGCGCGGCUCGGUGAUGUAGAACCACCCCGAUUGCCACCCCUUUAUGGUCUCCACAUAGGAGCCUUUGCGCCAGGUGACAUUAGGCAUUUUGCCCACCAUGGCGCCUCCACACUCCGCUUGCUGGCCGACCACCACCUUCGGUUUAACAUUGAAGGUCUUCAGCCACAGGCCGAAGUGGGGCCUGAUGCGGAGGAAGGCCUCGCACACGACGAUAAACGCCGAGAUGUUGAGGAUGAAAUUGGGGGCCAGAUCGUGAAAAUCCAGCCCGUAGUAGAACAUGAGCCCGCGGACAAAUGGGUGGAAGGAAAAUCCCAGUCCGCGGACAAAGUGGGUAAGGAAAACCACACUCUCAUGGGGUUCGGGAGUAGGGAUGAUCUGCCCCGCAUCUGGCAGCCGGUGUGCGAUGUCCGCGGACAAAUAUCCGGCUCCCCGUAGCUUUGUGAUGUUCUCCUCCGUGACGGAGGAGACCAUCCACUUGCCUCCCACUCCAGACAUGCUUGGAGUGGCUUGAGGGGAAAAACGCGAACUUGGGUGCUGGAGCUCGAGUGCGCAAGAAUGGAUGAGCAAGGACGAAGAAGGCGUGGGUAAAAAGAGGAAUCCUUGUCCCUUUAUAGGGGCGGAGGAAACUAUAUGCCUCCCCACCUGCCCAGUAAAACUCGCUUAUUCCCCAAGCGCCGUAAUUGAUGGCGCGGUUGGAUUACCCACAUCCGUAUUGAUGAGAAUCCCGUGAUAAGGGGACACGAUCUCUGCUUCGACAAGACGUGCCAAGAAAACCGCCUCGCAAUACGUGCAGUAGCUGCUUGAGAAAAACGGUUCGAAUAAUGACCGGGCCAUGGUAUGAUGUCAUGCUACCAAACGUGUUAGUAGAUUAGAUUUGUGGAAAUAUUAUUCUCUCUACGGUGGUAUGUGGAACUUGUUCAAGAUCUUCUAUGGAGUAUUCGGAGGAAGAACCCGCCUUGCAAUUCUGAAGACAAAUCUGCGUGCCGCACUCAUCGUCAUUGAAGCCUGGUCCAGGGGCUACUGAGGGAGUCCUGGAUUAGGGGGUCCUCGGAUGGCCGGACUAUAUACUUUAGUCGGGCUGUUGGACUAUGAAAAUACAAGAUUGAAGACUUCGUCCCGUGUCCGGAUGGGACUCUCCUUAGCGUGGAAGGCAAGCUUGGCAAUACGGAUAUGUAGAUCUCCUCCCUUGUAACCGACUCUGUGUAACCCUAGCCCCCUCCGGUGUCUAUAUAAACCGGAGGGUUUAGUCCAUAGGACAAGAACAAUCAUACCAUAGGCUAGCUUCUAGGGUUUUAGCCUCUACGAUCUCGUGGUAGAUCAACUCUUGUAAUACUCGUAUCAUCAAGAUCAAUCAAGCAGGAAGUAGGGUAUUACCUCCAUCGAGAGGGCCCGAACCUGGAUAAACAUCGUGUCCCCCGCCUCCUGUUACCAUCCGCCUUAGACGCAUAGUUCGGGACCCCCUACCCGAGAUCCACCGGUUUUGACACCGACAAUAUGUGCCUGUGCCCAUCUUUGAGUUGAUGAGCUCCUGAAUGUGCGGGGCAUACCCACAACUUCUCUUCUGGUCAGCAGCAGUCCUCUUGAUUGUCUCAACAAUCAGGCUCAUAACUUUGAACUUCUGUGGGACAUCAAAUAUAUGCAGCAAGUUGAUGGCAUGUCCUCUGAUCAUCUUGUGAUCACCUGACUUGGGUAGCAGUGUGUGCCUUAAGAUCCAGUUUAUGGUUGGCAGACCAGACAACAAGUAAUGGACAGAUCCAAACCUAUGUGUAUCCAAGGCAGCAUCUGGGAUCUCUUUGUACAUGUUGGCCAUAGUGUUGUGGUCUUUCUUCUUCUCUGCAUAAAUAUCCAAGUCAUCCUCAUGUUCCUUAGGAGCAUUUAUAAGCUUGGCCCAUUCCUCAACUGUAGACUGGUACCUAGUACCCUCAGACAUCCAUACUAUCCUUCCAUCUAGAUAGAAGUGUGAAGUGGAGUAAAACUGCAUGAUGAGCUCAUCAUUCCACUUGGUGAGCUUCUAGGCAAAAAAAGUGUCCACUCCACAUGCCUUGAAGCUAUCAAGCACACCAGGGAAGUGAUCCUCAUUUUCCUUGAUGAAUUCCCAGUCAACCCAUCUCAUAUCACACACAAUGGGCUUCUUGUCAAGCAGAAUAGUCUCAGAAGUCCUGCUGUUCCUUAGUGUGAAAUCUGUAGUCCACAGCAGGCCUUCUCCUGAUAGCAUAUGGAUCAGACUGUCUCCAUAGUCUCAAUCAUGCAUCCUUCCUGAUCUUCAUGUUCUCUGCAAUUGGGUGUGCAUCAGUGUGGUCAGGGAUCUUGGGUUUCAGCUUCCUCAAUACAACAGAAUCAUCUUCUUCUUCUUCAGCAGCUUGAGGCAUUGGGGCCUUGUUCUUCUCUUCUGCAGGGAUGUUCCUAGUGCUUCUCUUGGUUUUUGGCUUUGGAGCUGGAGCAGCAGCCUUGGGAGCAGCUUUGGGCUUAGAUGGAGCAGCCCCUGAUUUGAUUGCAUCUCCCAUGAGCUUCUGAGCUUUGGGUGCUAGUGCAGCAUCCUCUUCCUCUUCUUCUUCAGAAGGUUCUUGCAUCAUGGAGGGCUUUCCAAUGACUCUGGCCAUGGUUUUCUUAACCCUCUCCUUUCUCUUCUUCCCUUUUUCAGCUUCUUCAGCAGCUGAUUUUGAAGCUUCAGUAGUUGAUGAUCUGACUUUUGACAUGGGCUGUCUUCUUGCUGGCAUCUUUGUUUUCAUUCCUGGCUUAGUUGCAGCAGCUGAGCCAUAUUCUUUCUUAAGCACCUUCUUCUUUGAAGUGGCUUCAUCAUCAACAGCCACAUAAUCUUCAUCCUCAGAGUCAGAAGUUCUCUUCUUCCUUAUCCUGGUAGCAACCUUUGGCAGAUUGCUUGGAGUGCUCCUGCUGCCUUCAUCAUAGCUACUAGAGGGAUCUGAGCCCUCACUCAUCUGCACCUGUUGCUCAGACCUGUUCUGACUAUCACUCUGGUCAGACAUCUCUGCAAAUACUCUGAUAGCAGACCCUGUGAAUAGGUUAUAGAUGAGGUAGAGUAGAUGAGCAUCACAAAGUACAGGAGUUUUGCAAAAAGGAUGACUUAAAAACUUAGUUUUAGUUCUUCACAGAAAGCAUUUCGGAGCUACCGAUUUGUAAACUCGGUGAUACCGAAGCAGCUUUUGGAACCUAUACUAGUGAACUCGGUUAGACCGAGUCACAGUUCGGUGGUACCGAGACUGCUACGGUUUCACAGAGAAUCAAACUCGGUCACACCGAUUUGCAAUUUUCGGUCAGACCGAAAACGCAUGUGCUCUGGCCUAAGCCAAAAUCGGUGAGACCGAUUUCUACAAAUCGGUCGGUCUGAGAUGAAUUCGGCGGAGACCUAACCCUAAAUUUUCAAAUCAAAACUAAUCUACGGGAUGUUUUCGCUGGACAGGAUGAUCUCAAUCGUGGCAAGAAUCAUGGCAAAGCAAUGUGCUAAGAAUCGGAGAUAAGGAUUAGCACAAAGUUCAAGUCCGUACCCUAGUUCGGCGACGAACCUGCUACGGCGGCAAUGGCGGUGAAGAUUGCCGUUGACGGCGGCGGAGACCAGUGGCGGGAGGUCGCUAGCGACAAGAGGACGAUCCGGACACCCAAGGAGGCAGAGCAGGUUACGCGCGGGCUAGGAGGUUCGGAAAAAUUUCCAAAAUUUGGCCCGUCGGUAUAUAUAACCUGACCCUGUCGGUGUGACUGAGUGGAACGUCUCGGUGGCACCGAGAUGCAAAACUGCAAGCAGUUACUGCAACUCAGUGUGACCGAAAGGUUCUAAUCGGUUGCACCGAGAUUGAAAACCCUAGAUCAACUUAGUGACUCGAUAGGACCAAAGGGGAUGAAUCGGUCAGACCGAGAUGCACAAAGAGGUUUUGGAGAUUUAAGUCUAUGACGAAUCGGGAACUCUGAGUGCUCCUCACACAGAGUGGUUCGAAUCUGACUUGAUCAAACUUUGUGAUGUAGCAUGAAUAGAGUUUGAGACGAGAAAAGCAUAGAUAGCUAGAGGGAGUUCUUAGGCAUUCUUGUCCAUCCAUUUGGCAAAAGAUAAAGAGCCAAACAAUCAAAACAACAAAUGGAUGUCCUCGAAUGAGUAAAAUAUGCAUUCAACAUGCUCACACAAUAAAAUGGCAAAUGAAAUAUGUGACAAAGCAUGCGCAAACACUCUAGCAUCUAUCAAGCAAUUAGGCGAUGACUAGGUCAUCUAUAUAUGAGUAUAUUUACUUAGGAGUCAAAUGAGAACAUUUGAUCAUAGGUCAUACUUAUCGUUUAAGCACAAGUGGGGUUACCACUUUUACAUAAAGCAUUGUUGUGUUCACACCAUUAGAGUUGCUUUAGCUCAAUUUAUUAGAGUAAAGCUCCCCCUAGAUGUGAUAUCCCCCCCUAAGAGGGAUGAACUAACCUUGGGUUUUGUCGAUGAUGACUUCAUGUAGGUGUUGAAGAUGUAGAUGCUCAAUGUUGAUGUAGAUCAUUCGGAGCAAUCCUUUGGAGUGAGUUGAACUUUCAAUACCUGCACGGGUUAGUCCCACAAGGAACAAACAAGAAUAUCCAUAGACAUAGAGUGAUGCAUACACAAGAUGAUGUCCAUGAAAGCAUUAGGUUUCCUUGUCCCUUGUCUCACCAACAAGAGGGUUUGUGACUCCUUGAACUAGUGCAAGAUACGGAAGUUGUUUGCACUUGUCCUCGCCAAAAUGAUAAGAGUGAAGUAUGUUGGCGGAGUCACCCUCAAGAACUCUCUAGUCCUUCUUCUUCUGGAUCCACACCAUCUUGAUGGGAAUCCUUGGAGUUGUAGUUGUACUUGAUGAAGUAGAACUUGAUGUAGUCUUGGGAACCCACUUGACCAAGGCCUUAGGUGCUUCUUCAAAUGCAUCAAUUUCCUCUUGAAGCUUGUCCUUGCCUUUUUGCUUGUGGUCUUGUGCUGGAAGAUCAUCUUGAGCUUGUGUCCCUUUGAAAGAAGUAGGAUCAUACUUCUCGUGUUGAGGAACAAACUUUGUCUUGGGGUAUUGAUCUUCUUCCCACUCAACUCCAUUGGCAUUGAACUUUCGUUCAAAACCAACACCUUGAUUCUUCCGGUGUCUUCCUUGCUUGCGCACAAUUUCCUCAAAUUUCUUACUUCCGGCAAGGCUCUUGUAAACACCUUUCUCUAUAAUUCCCUUCAAUAAGCUAUUUUCUUGCUCAAGUGUAACUUGGCUAACAACAUUGGAUUUAGCAUGAUUGUUGUUACUACUAGAUGAAGCAUCUUUCUUGUUCUUGUUGCUAGAUUUAACUUGUGGCAUGUAAGUAGACAAGAGUAAACGCUUGGCAAUGUAAGAAGAACUUUUCUUGCGAAGAUCAUCAUUGAGUGCCUUUAAAAACUCAUGCUCUUGCUCAAGGUUGAGCUUUUCAAAGCGUAGCUUAUCAUGAGUCUUUAAAAGUUCUCGAUGAUUUUCCAAGGUAGUUUCAUGAGCUAACUUAAGAGUGUUUAGUUCUUUAGUUAGUUGCUCAAUCUCCUUCUUAUCAUCGUCAUUCGUUUUAUCUUGAUUAGCAUGAUCAAUUGACGUUUCAUCAUAGUCUUCAUCACUAGAGCUGUCAACAAGGAAAUCAUCAUCACCUAGCAAAUCAUCUUCAUCACUAUUGAAAUCAACAUACUCGGGAUGUGUUACCUUUGGACCUUUGGCCAUGAAGCAUCUUCCAAUUCCUUCAUUUGGUGAGUCAAAUAUGUCAUAGGAGUUGGUUGACACAAGUGUUAGACCGGCAACACCUUCAUCUUGAGUAUAUUCGGAGUCGGAGUGAUAACUUCUUUCGGAGUGAUGGUUGGAGUCGGAGCCGGAUACCCAUUCACCAACAUGAGCUUGAUGUCUUCUUUUUGUGUAGCUCCUUGAUGACUUUUCCUUCCUUUCUGAAUCCUUGCUUCUCCGAGAGGGUCUACUCCUCCUUUCUCUUGGUGGUGAUUCUUCUCUUCUACUUCUUCUUUUGGGAGAAUCUUCCCUUCUUUUGUAGGGGGUCGUACACUCAUUGGAGUAGUGUCCGGGUCUUCCACAAUUGUAGCAAUUUCGCUCACGACUAGAAGAUCUUUUGUCAUUGUAGGACCUUGACUUGGAACUUCUUUCUUUGCUUCUACUCUUGUAGAACUUGUUGAAGUUCUUUACCAUUAGGCUCAAUUCUUCAUUUAAGGUCUGUUUCUCACUUGAUGAUGUGGGAGCAUCACACGAGGCUUUGUAAGCACCACUAGACUUGUUGUGAAGCUCUUCCUUAUCCUUGAGUGACAUCUCAUGAGCAACAAUUCUUCCAAUGACUUCCGUUCGCUUGAGAUCUUUGUAAUUGGGCAUCAUUUGGAUCAAUGUGCACACGGUAUCAUAUUUUCCAUCCAAGGCUCUUAGGAUCUUCUUGAUGAUGAAUUUGUUGGUCAUCUCUUCACUUCCUAAGCCGGCAAUCUCAUUUGUGAUGAGAGCAAGCCUAGAGUACAUUUCAGCGGCACCUUCACCAUCCUUCAUUUUGAACUUGUCAAGUUGACUUUGAAGCACAUCCAAUUUGGAUUCCUUGACGGAGUCGGUACCUUCGUGCAUAUCAAUCAAUGUAUCCCAAAUUUCCUUUGCAUUCUCAAGAUGGCUGAUUUUUUUGAAUUCUUCGGGGCCCAAUCCGUUGAAGAGAAUAUCACAAGCUUGAGCAUUGUAUUGUAGCAUCUUCAACUCUUCUGCGGUAGCUUCACGGUUAGGUUCUUUCCCAUCAAAUAAUUCACCUUGCAAGCCAAUACACACAAUAGCCCAAACGGCAGGGUUAUGUCAAAGAAUAUGCAUUUUCAUCUUAUGCUUCCAACUAGCAAAAUUUGUACCAUCAAAGUAAGGACCUCUAUGGUGGUAAUUUCCCUCGCUAGACGCCAUACUCUCCUAGGUUGUGAAACCAAGGCUAUGACCACCAAAAGCUAUGGAAAUCAAAGCAAAUGGAGACCAAUGCUCUGAUACCACUUGUAGGAUCGAAAGUAUGUCUAGAGGGGGGUGAUUAGACUACUUGACCAAAUAAAAAUCUAGCCUUUUCCCAAUUUUAGUUCUUGGCUGAUUUUAGCAACUUAGCACAAGUCAAGCAAUCAACCUACACAUGCAAUUCUAAGAGUAUAGCAGCGGAAUGUAAAACAAUUGCAUAUGAAGGUAAAGGGAAGAGUUUGAGGGAGCAAACGCAAUGUUGACACGGAGAUUUUUUAUCCGUGGUUCCGAUAGGUGGUGCUAUCGUACAUCCACGUUGAUGGAGACUUCAACCCACGAAGGGUAACGGUUGCGCGAGUCCACGGAGGGCUCCACCCACGAAGGGUCCACGAAGAAGCAACCUUGUCUAUCCCACCAUGGUCGUCGCCCACGAAGGACUUGCCUCACUAGGGUAGAUCUUCACGAAGUAGGCGAUCUCCUUGCCCUUACAAACUCCUUGGUUCAACUCCACAAUCUUGACGGAGGCUACCAAGUGACACCUAGCCAAUCUAGGAGACACCACUCUCCAAGAAGUAACAAAUGGUGUGUUGAUGAUGAACUCCUUGCUCUUGUGCUUCAAAUGAUAGUCUCCCCAACACUGAACUCUCUCUCAUAGGAUUGGAUUUGGAAGAAAGAAGAUUUGAGUGAAAAGCAACUUGGGGAAGGCUAGAGAUCAAGAUUUAUGUGGUUGGAAUGGAAUAUCUUGACCUCAACACAAGUGUAGGUGGUUCUCUCUCAGAAAAUAUGUAUUGGAAGUGUAGGCAUGUUCUGAUGGCUCUCUCCACGAAUGAAGAGUGGGUGGAGGGGUAUAUAUAGCCUCCACACAAAAUCUAACCGUUACACAUAAAUCACCAAACUCGGUGAGACCGAUUCAAAGAACUCGGUCAGACCGAUUUGGUUCAUAAUGUGACCGUUAGGCAUUUCGGUGGGACCGACAUGUCAACUCGAUGGGACCGAUAUCAUUAGUGUUAGGGCAUAACAUAAUCUCGGUGAGACCAAUUACACAAACUCGUUGAGACCGAUUUUGGUAAUAGACAAACAGAGAGUUGGUCAGGCAAACUCGGUGGUACCGCGCUCAUCUCGGUUGGACCAAAACGUUACGAAAGGGAAACAGAGAGCUUGCAUUGCAAUCUCAGUGGGACCGAUUGCUCAUUUCGGUUUGACCGAAACGUUACGAAGGGAAACAGAGAGAUUACAAUCCCAUCUCGGUUAGACCGAGAUCCCUAUCGGGAGACCGAAAAGACUAGGGUUUCUGGCAGUGGCUAUGUCAACUGAACUCGGUGCCUCCGGAUAGAAAGAAUCGGUGGGGCCGAGUUGGACUUAUGGUUUGGGACAUAUGUUGAUAUGAGAAAGUAGUGGAGGGUUUUGGAGCAUAUCACUAAGCAUUUUGAGCAAGAACCUCAUUAAGCAACACCUCAUCCCUUCUUAAUAGUAUUGGCUUUUCCUAUAGACUCAAUGUGAUCUUGGAUCAUUAAAAUAGAAAAUGUAGAGUCUUGUGCUUUGAGCUUGAGCCAAUCUUUUGUCCUUAGCAUUUUGAAGGGUCCACUUUCUAAUCCAUGCCAUGCCAAUCAUUGAGCUUUCCUGGAAUAUUUAUCUUGGAAUAGCAUUAGCUCAAUGAGCUAUAUGUUGUUAGGAAUUACCAAAACCACCCAGGGAUAGUUGCACUUUCAAUCUCUCAAAUUUUUCUUUGAGCUCUGGCACCUCUACAAAUCCCUACUUCCCUCUGCGUAGGGCCUUUCUUUUACUUUAUGCAAUUUUUAUUUUCAAUUUGAGUCUCCAUCUUCUCUUAUAUAGCACCAACUAGGAGGCACUAUGGUCGUACUUGAGCAUUCGGUGUAGCUAAUAUGGGAGUGUGUUUCAUGAAUGGAUCGAUGAUUGAGCAUGAUGGGCUAGGGAUAACUUAUUUUAGCAUUGAUAUUUUGAAAGACAUGGUUGCUUGUUGAUAUGCUUGAGUAUUUAAGUCUCAUGUCAAAACUAGACUAUUGCUUUGAACCAUAUAAAAGUCCAAAUGUCCAUGCUAUAAAGAAAAGAAUAUGAUAUGACAUGUUAGGCAGCAUUCCACAUCAAAAAUUCCGUUUUUAUCAUUUACCUACUCGAGGACGAGCAUGAAUUAAGCUUGGGGAUGCUGAUACGUCUCCAACGUAUCUAUAAUUUUUUAUUGUUCCAUGCUGUUAUAUUAUCAUUCUUGGAUGUUUUACAAUCAUUUUAUAGUCAUUUUAUAUCAUUUUUUGGUACUAACCUAUUGACCUAGUGCCAAGUGCUAGUUGUUGUUUUCUGCAUGUUUUUUACAUCACAGGAAAUCAAUACCAACGGAGUCCAAACGCAGUGAAACUUUUUGUGGAUUUUUUGGACCAGAAGACAUCCAGUGGGCCGGAGAAGCACGUGGGGGGUUCUCCGAGGGGAGCACAACCCACCAUGGCGCCCCUAGGGACCCAGGCGCGCCCAGGUGGGUUGUGCCCCCCUCGGGUGCCCCCUGAACCGCCUCUUUGCUCUAUAAAUACCCCAAUAUUCCAGAAACCCUAGGGGAGUCGACGAAAAUCAAUUCCAGCCGCCGCAGAGUACAGAACCACCAGAUCCAAUCUAGACACCAUCACGGAGGGGUGCAUCAUGUCCAUUGGUGCCUCUCCGGUGAUGCGUGAGUAGUUCUUUGUAGACCUACGGGUCCGUAGUUAGUAGCUAGAUGGCUUCCUCUCUCUCGUUAGAUUCUCAAUAUAAUGGUCUCUUGGAGAUCCAUAUGAUGUAACUCUUUUUGCGGUGUGUUUGUUGGGAUCCGAUGAACUUUGAGUUUAUGAUUAGAUCUAUCUUUUUAUCCAUGAAAGUUAUUUGAGUCUUCUUUGAUCUCUUAUAUACAUGAUUGCUUAUAGCCUCAUAUUUCUUCUCCGAUAUUUGGGUUUUGUUUGGCCAACUUGAUCUAUUUAUCUUGCAAUGGCAAGAGGUGCUUUGUAGUGGGUUCGAUCUUACGGUGCUUGAUCCCAGUGACAGAAGGGGAACCGACACGUAUGUAUCGUUGCUACUAAGGAUAAAAUGAUGGGGUAUAUUUCUACAUAAAUAGAUCUUGUCUACAUCAUGUCAUCGUUCUUAUUGCAUUACUCCAUUUUUCCAUGAACUUAAUACACUAGAUGCAUGUUGGAUAGCGGUUGAUGUGUGGAGUAAUAGUAGUAGAUGCAGGCAGGAGUCGGUCUACUAAUCUUGGACGUGAUGCCUAUAUAAUGAUCAUUGCUUGGAUAUCGUCAUGAUUAUUUGAAGUUCUAUCAAUUUCCCAACAGUAAUUUGUUCACCCACCGUUUGCUAUUUUCUCGAGAGAAGCCACUAGUGAAAUCUACGGCCCCCGAGUCUCUUCUUUAUUAUAUUUGCCUUUGUGAUCUAUUUUCUUUUGCUUUUAUUUUCAGAUCUAUUAAACCAAAAAUACAAAAAUACCUUGCUGCACUUUAUUUUAUUUGGUGUUCGAUCUAUCAAUGUUUACAACUCUCUCACGUCCGUUUGCCUAUCUUUGGCGCCGUUGCUCGAAAGGGAUUGACAACCCCUUUAACACGUCGGGUUGCGAGUAUUUGUUAUUUGUGUGCAAGUGUCAUUGACGUAGUGUUGCAUGAUUCUCCUACUGGUUCGAUAAGCUUGGUCUCAUCACUGAGGGAAAUACCUACCGUUGUUGUGCUGCAUCAUCAAUUCCUCUUUGGGGAAAUACCGACGUAGUUCAAGCCAACAUCAAGGACACACCAAAGCUUCCAGGGUUUCCUGUCCAGACACGGAGUCACCUUAUAGCUCGGCCUUGCAGUAGUCGUACAGCAUCCCACCUGUCUGGCCCAUAAGAGAAAGGCCGGCUGCCCGAGGACCCCCUAGUCCAGGACUCCCUCAGGCGCCGCACCGAAGCCAGAGGAGGUGGCUUUCCCGGCCUUCUUCCUCUUCUCCGCCUUGGCCGUGGAAUCUCUCGCAAAAAACAUCGCUGCGGGUGCUCUGAACGCUCGAGCCUGGAGAGGAAUGGAGAGGCCGAGGCAGAUAGAAGGGGAUAUAGGGUCCCGACCUCAGCCCCUAAACCUUUUAUAUCACGGAGCAAAUCAUAUGCCAGAUCUUGUCCAUAGAUCCCCGGAUCGACAGCGCGCGGCAAGGCAUCGCGCAGAACAGACGCUGCACGUGGCAGAUUUUGUGCACGAAAAUCAAGGAGCCGUGCCCCCACUUUCCCCACUAAUGCACGUCGUUACCACUUCUGCGCGCGCACACACAAAUUCAAAUCCCAAGAUUUUCGGGCGAAUCAAUCCGAUUGAUUACCCCCGGUUCCUUUCCUAAACGAUGCAUGUCAGUCCAACUGACCACCCUCCAAGGGGAUUCGUGCACUCGGCCAUGCUAAACACCUGAUUGAAGUAAACUUUAGGAUUGCUAUAAGACGAGCUCGACGCCCCUCCGCGGGUUGACUUGGCCCUUCAACAGGCUCCAAGGCGCAUGACUCGUAAACCUGGACUCGUAGAAGGCCAGCGCUGGCGUUCCCCUGGGAUAAGGAGUGGCAUCUCUCCAGAGAAUCAGGCCUCGCGCCAGCGUCGCCGCUCGAGUUGUUAUGGCAUGCUCUCACUCGGGCCUCAAGUCUAUCUCCCCCGGGAGACAAAUGAAUGCCACCAGGUUUUUCUCGGCGAUCGACAACACCCGGUUAUCUGGGAAAACUUGUAGUCCAGAAUCCAUUGUGUUUUCAUCCAAGGAGCAGCGAACCACGACUCGAAAACAUAUUCCGAGUGCCCUAGAAGCACUCAGACUUAAACAAAGGAUCGGUUCGUUUACCCUAUGAAACCUGAACCGACUCGGGGGCUAAUGAUGAGGUCACCUAUUACAGGUAGGGUCAAGGACCCAUCAUAUGGGACCCACAUGGGGCCCAUCACCACCAUUGGUAGGUCCUAGGACCAUGCCGGCAUUCAGAUGCACAUAUCAGGGAGUCCACUCGGACAGCUCGACAGCACUCGGACAACCACCCGUCACUCGGCUGGACAACCACCACUCAGACUAAAGAGGUGAAGGGACGGCGUGGGAGCUGCAACGGUCGAGGAAUCCUAAGUCGCCCUUGAAGCAGAGUCAAGACUACUGUUACCUAUAACUGAUGUAGUAGAAGCUCAUAAUACCUGUAACUGAUGCAUUCAAUGUCACUUAAUUCCCCGGCGACUGAUGUCUACUAUGCAACUUUAUUCUUGUAGACUCGUGUUGGGCCUCCAAGCACAGAGUUUUGUAGGACAGUAGCAAUUUUCCCUCAAGUGGAUGACCUAAGGUUUAUCAAUCCGUGGGAGGCGUAGGAUGAAGAUGGUCUCGCUCAAGCGACCCUGCAACCAAAUACAAGAAAUCUCUUGUGUCCCCAACACACCCAAUACAAUGGCAAAUUGUAUAGGUGCACUAGUUCGGCGAAGAGAUGGUGAUAAAAGUGUAAUAUGGAUGGUAGAAAUAUAUUUUUACAAUCUGAAUAAAUAAAAACAGCAAGGUAGCAAAUAGUAAACGGGCACAAAAAUGGUAUUGCAAUGCUUAGAAACAAGGCCUAGGGUCCAUACUUUUGCUAGUGCAAUCUCUCAACAAUGCUAAUAUAAUUGGAUCAUAUAACCAUCCCUCAAAGUGCGAUGAAGAAUCAUUCCAAAGUUCCUAUCUAGCGGAGAACAUAAGAAUAAAUUUUUUGUAGGGUACGGAACCACCUCAAAGCUAUUCUUUCCGUUCGAUCUAUUCAAGAGUUCGUACUAACAUAACACAAAGCUAUUCUUUCCAUUCGAUCUAUCCUAGAGUUCGUACUAAUAUAACACCAAAGCAAAUUCAGAUUCAUAAUACUCAAUCCAACAUAAAGAACCUCAAAGAGUGCCCCAAGAUUUCUACCGGAGAAACAAAGACAAGAACGUGCAUCAACCCCUAUGUGUAGAUUACCCCAAUGUCACCUCGGGAAUCCGCGAGUUGAGUGCCAAAACAUAUAUCAAGUGAAUCAAUAUGAUACCCCAUUGUCACCACGAGUAUUCAUAUGCAAGACAUAUAUCAAGUGCUCUCAAAUCCAUAAAAGUAUUCAAUCCGAUAACAACGAAAUCUCAAAGGGAAAAACUCAAUUCAUCACAACAAGAUAGAGAGGGGAAAACACCAUAUGAUCCAACUACAUUAACAAAGCCCACGAUACAUCAAGAUCAUGCCAUAUCAAGAACACGAGAGAGAGAGAGAGAGAGAGAGAGAUUAAACACAUAGCUACUGGUACAAACCCUCAGCCCCGAGGGUGGACUACUCCCUCCUCAUCAUGGUGGCCGCCGGGAUGAUGAAGAUGGCCACCGGUGAUGAUCCCCCCUCCGGCAGGGAGCCGGAAUAGGGUCUAGAUUGGUUUCUCGUGGCUAUAGAGCCUUGCAGCGGUGGAACUUCUCAUCUAGGAUUACCCGAAGGGUUUUGGAAUAUUUGGGAAUUUAUAGGGCGAAGAGGGGGUAUGGGAGGCCACUGAGGUGGGCACAACCCACCCGGGCGCGCCUGGGCCCCCANNNNNNNNNNNNNNNNNNNNNNNNNNNNNNNNNNNNNNNNNNNNNNNNNNNNNNNNNNNNNNNNNNNNNNNNNNNNNNNNNNNNNNNNNNNNNNNNNNNNNNNNNNNNNNNNNNNNNNNNNNNNNNNNNNNNNNNNNNNNNNNNNNNNNNNNNNNNNNNNNNNNNNNNNNNNNNNNNNNNNNNNNNNNNNNNNNNNNNNNNNNNNNNNNNNNNNNNNNNNNCCAUAAAAAUCCACAAAAAGUUUUGCGGUGUUUGGACUCCGUUUGAUAUUGAUUUCCUGCGAUGUAGAAACAAGCAAAAAACAGCAACUAGCACUAGGCACUGGGUCAAUAGGUUAGUCCCAAAAAAUGAUAUAAAGUUGCUAUAAAAUGAUUGUAAAACAUCCAAGAAUGAUAAAAUAACAGCAUGAAUACUUCAUAAAUUAUAGAUACGUUGGAGACGUAUCAGCGACGUGGAGGACAUGGGGCUGCGGUGUACUCUAUAUAAGUUGCCGCCCACCUCCUUAGUGGGGGUCAAGAAAUAUUUGUAACCAUACCCAUCAAAUCAAAACCAAGCCUCAGGGCACGAGACGUAGGGAUGUUUCCUCCUCCAAGAGGGGCUUGAACUCGUUAAACACCGAGUGUUACACCUGCGCCAUAGCUAGGUUCUGCCCCUUAUUCGUACCCCUAGAACUCAUUGUCAGGAUCGUAACCCCGACACCCCCCCCCCCCCGGGUACGCCCGCCGAGCUUGUCGCCAGCUCGUGGCCCUUCUGACCUCCUCCCGAAGCUUCCAGGGUGUCUUGUGGUCCAAUAAAAAUCAUCGUCCAAGAAAAAUCAUCAAAAAGUUUCUUUCCAUUUGGACUCCGUUUGCUAUUGAUUUUCUGUAAAGACAAAAACAAGGAAAAAACAGCAACUAGCACUGGGCACUAGGAUAAUAGGUUAGUCCCAAAAAUGAUAAAAUAGCAUAAUAAUGCAUAUCAAACAUCCAAGAUUGAUAAUAUAAUAGCAUGUAACAAUCAAAAAUUAUAGAUACGUUGGAGACAUUGAAGAAUCCCCCAGCUUAAUUCCUGCUCGUCCUCGAGUAGGUAAAUGAUAAAAACAAAAAAAUUGAUGUGGAAUGCUACCUAACAUGUUUAUCAUGUAAUCUUUUUUUAUGUGGUAUGAAUAUUCAGAUCCAUAUAAGAAUCAAAACAAAAGUUUAAUAUUGACAUAAAAAUAAUAAUACUUCAAGCAUACUAAAAAGCAAUCAUGUCUUUUCGAAAUAUCAUGGCCAAAGAAAGUUAUCCCUACAAAAUCAUAUAGUCUCGUAAUGCUCCAUCUUCUUAACACAAAGUAUUUAUCAUGCACAACCCUGAUGACAAGCCAAGCAAUUGGUUCAUACUUUUAACACGCUUCAACUUUUUCAACUCUCACGCAAUACAUGAGUGUGAGCCAUGGAUAUAGCACUAUGGGGGGAAUAGAGUAUGAUGUUGGAGGUUGUGUGGAGAAGACAAAAAAGAAGAAAGUCUCACAUUGACAAGGCUAAUCAACGGGCUAUGGAGAUGCCCAUCAAUUGAUAUCAAUGCAAGGAGUAGGGAUUGCCAUGCAAUGGAUGCACUAGAGCUAUAAGUGUAUGAAAGCUCAAAAGAAAACUAAGUGAGUGUGCAUCCAACUUGCUUGCUCAUGAAGACCUCGGGCAUUUGAGGAAGCCCAUCAUUGGAAUAUACAAGCCAAAUUCUAUAAUGAAAAAUUCCCAAUAGUAAUAUAUGGAAGUGACAAAAUAGGAGACUCUCUAUCAUGAAGAACAUGGUGCUACUUUGAAGCACAACCACAGAAAAAGAUAGUAACAUUGUCCCUUCUCUCUUUUUCUCUCAUUUUUUCGUUCUUUUUCUGUUUUUUUAUUUUGUUGGGCACUUUGGCCUCUUUUUUUCUUGGGCUCGUUUGGCCUCUUUUUCAUUUUUUAUAUUCCUCACAUAGGACAAUGCUCUAAUAAUGAGUAUGAUCAUCACACUUCUAUUUACUUACAACUCAAGAAUCACAAAUCAAUACUAGAACAAAAAUAUGACUCUAUAUGAAUGCCUCCCGCGGUGUACCGGGAUGUGCAAUGAUCUAGCGUGACAUAUAUAAAAAAUAUGAACGGUGGCGGAGCCACAAAUACUAUGCAAACUAUAUGAUCAUGCAAAGCAAUAUGACAAUGAUGAUAUGUGUCAUAAUAAAAUGGAACGGUGGAAGUUGCAUGGCAAUAUAUCUCAGAAUGGCUAUGGAAAUGCCAUAAUAGGUAGGUAUGGUGGCUGUUUUGAGUCAGAUAUAAGGAGGCUUAUGUGUGAUAGAGUGUAUCAUAUCACGGGGUUUGGAUGUACCGACGAAGUUUGCACCACAACUCGAGGUGAGGGGCAAUGCACGGUACCGAAGAGGCUAGCAAAAUGCAGAAAGGUAAGAGUGCGUAUAAUCCAUGGACUCAACAUUAGUCAUAAAGAACUAACAUACUUAUUGCAAAAGUUUAUUAGCCCUCGAAGCAAAGUGCUACUAUGCAUGCUCCUAGGGGGAUAGAUUGGUAGGAAAAGACCAUCGCUCGUCCCUGAUUGCCACUCAUAAGGAAGACAAUCAAUAAUAAACCAUGCUCCAAUUUCAUAGCAUAACGAGAGACCAUACGUGCAUGCUACGGGAAUCACAAACCUUAACACAAAAUAUUCUUACUAAACCACAAUUACUCACUAGCAUGACUCUAAUAUCACCAUCUUUAUAUCUCAAAACAAAUGCAAUGAAUCAAACUUCUCAUAUAUUCAACGAUCUUGAUGAAAGUUUUUAUUAUAUCCCUCUUGAAUACCCAUCAUAUUAGGACUAAAUUCAUAACCCAAGCAAAUUGCCAUACUAUUUAUAAGACUCUCAAAAUAAUAUAAAUGAGGCACGAGAGUUCAUCAUUUCUUUAAAAUAUAACCACCGCCGUGCUCUAAAAGAUAUAAGUGAAGCACUAGAGCAACUACCUAGCUCAAAAGAUAUAUGUGAAGCUCAAAGAGUAUUCUAAUAAAUUCAGGAAUAAUGUGUGUCCCUCUCAAAAAGGUGUGUCCAGCAAGGAUUAUUGUGGAAAACUAAAAGGCAAAUAAAUCAAAGACUCAUAUAAUACACGACGCUCCAAGCAAAAUUCAUAUCAUGUGGUGAAUAAAAAUAUAGCCCCAAGUAAUUUACCGAUGGAUUGUAGACAAAAGAGGGGAUGCCAUCCGGGGCAUCCCCAAGCUUAGACGCUUGGUUGUCCUUGAAUAUUACCUUGGGGUGCCUUGGGCACCCCCAAGCUUAGGCUCUUGCCACUCCUUAUUCCUUAGCCCAUCAAAACUUCACUCAAAACUUGAAAACUUCACAACACAAAACUCAACAGAAAACUCAUGAGAUCCAUUAGGAUAAUAAAACAAAUCACCACUUUUGAUACUGUUGUAAACUCAUUCAAAUUUCAUAUUAGCAUUAUAUCUACUGUAUUCUAACUUCACCAUGGUUCGUGCCCCCCGAUAUUACCCAUAGAUUCAUCAAAACAAGAGAACAACUCAAUGAAAACAGAAUCGGUCAAAAACAGAAUAGUCUAUAAUAACCUAAAUAUUGCUCACUACUGUAACUCUAAAAAUUCUGAAAAAUUAGGACAACGUGGGCAAUUUGUGUAUCAAUCUUGUGUAAAACAUUCAAAGUAAAAACACGUUUUUGUGAAUUUACAAAAUUCCAGAACUGGACGCAGAAGUUUCUCUUUUUCACAGAAUCAAAUCAACUAACUUCCAAAUCAUCCCAAAGGUCUUACUUGGCACAAACACUAAUUAAAAUACUAAAACACAAUCAUAACAGUAGCAUAAUUGCAUAAACUCAUAAAACAGAAAAGAGAGAUAUUGGGUUGUCUCCCAACAAGCGCUUUUCUUUAAAGCCCUUUUAGCUAGGCAUUGAUAAUUUUAAUGAUGCUCACAUGAAAGAUAAGAAUUGAAGCACAAAGAGAGCAUCAUAUAGCAUGUUAAAAUUAGAUUUAGUUCUAACAUACUUCCUAUGCAUAGGCAUUUUAUAAGAAAAUGAAUUAUCAAAACAAGCAAAAACUAGCAUAAGCAAGGAAGAAGAAUAAACAUUGACAAUCUCAACAUGAAGAGAGGUAAUUUAGUAACAUGAAAAUUUCUACAACCAUAUUUCCCUCUCUCAUAAUAAUUACAUGUGGGAUCAUAUUCAAAUUCAACAAUAUAGCUAUCACAUAACAUAUUCUCUACAUGAUCCACAUGCAUGCAAAGUUGACACUCUUCCACUAUAGUGGGAUUAUCGUCAGAUAAAGUCAUGACCUCUCCAAGCCCACUUUUAUCAAAAAAUUCAUAAGAUUGAUCAUUCUCCAAAGUAGUAGGAUCAUUAUUACCUAGAGUUGACACUCUUCCGAACCCACUUACACUAUUAUCGCAAACAUAUUCAUCAUGAGGCUUAAAUAAAUUUUCAAGAUCAUAAGUAGAAUCACCCCAAUCAUGAUCAUUGCAAUAAGUAGUGGACAUAUCAAAAUUAGCAUCCCCAAGAUUGGGGUUUUGCAUAUUAUUAGCACAAUUGACAUUAAUAGAAUUUGUAAUAACACCAUUGCAAUCAUGCUUUUCAUUCAAGGACUAUCGUUAAUCACUUCAUAAAUUUCCUCUUUUAGCACUUCAUCACAAUUUUCAAAUUCACGAAUUUCAAGCAAAACUUCAUAAAGAUAAUCUAGUGCACUCAACUCACUAGCAAUUGGUUCAUCAUAGUUGGAUCUCUUAAAAAUAUUAGCAAGUGGAUGAGGAUCCAUAAAUUUUUUGCUUCUGAUUUGGAAUAAACAUACAAUUAUGCCAAGCGAACAAGCAAACAAACCAAGUAAGACAUAAAGGCAAAUGGAAAGAAGGCAAAUAAAAAGGCAAAUAUUUUUGUAUUCUCUGAAAAAUGUUUUAGAAGUGGGUGACAGGAAAACGAGAGGCAAAUGGAUAAUAAUGUAAAUGCAAGAGAUGAGAGUUUAUGAUAGGUACUUGGUAGGCUUGAUGUAGAUCCUCCCCGGCAACGGCGCCAGAAGUUCUUCCUGCUACUUCUUGAGCUUGCGUUGGUUUUUCCCUUGAAGAGGAAAGGGUGAUGCAGCAAAGUACAGAUAAGUAUUUCCCUCAGUUAAGAACCAAUGUAUCAAUCAAGUAGGAGGAACACAAGUCUCCAAUGAUAGCACCUACACAAACAAACAAAUACUUGCACCCAACGCGAUAAAGGGGUUGUCAAUCCCUUCAUGGUUACGCAAGGAUGAGAUCUGAUAGUGAUAGAUAUAAAAGAUAGGUAAAAGUGCAAAAUAAAAUAAAAGUAAAUAAAUUGCAGCAAGGUAUUUUUGGGUUUUUGACUUUGUAGAUCUGAAAAUAAUAUGAUAAAAGAUAAACCCCGGGCCAUAGUUUUCACUAGAGGCUGCUCUCUUGAAAGAAAGCAUACGGUGGGUAAACAAAUUACUGUUGAGCAAUUGAUAGAAAAGGGGAUAAUUAUGAAGAUAUCUAAGGCAAUGAUCAUAUAUAUAGGCAUCACGUCCGAGACAAGUAGACCGACUCAUGUCUGCAUCUACUACUAUUACUCCACACAUCGACCGUUAUCUAGCAUGCAUCUAGUGUAUUAAGUUAACAAGAACGGAGUCACUACAAAAAAAGACACAUCCAUGAUAUUUUGGGCCGAAUGAACUUUUUUUCUGUCAUGCUUAUGACACUUCUAUGACGAUAAUUGUGACAAAACCCGGUAUCAUCAUAGAUGUGGUGGGCUCCUACUUCUAUGACAAAAAAUCAUGACAGAAAAUGGGCUUUUCGUCCUGGGCGGGCCGGACAUGCAGCUGCAUGACAUUCUUUGGGCCAUCCAUGACGGAAAAAAACCAUGGUAGAAGCGAGGGCGAGGAAAAUAUCGGGGAGUUCCCGGUUACGGUGGGUGGUUGGGGGUCGAGCGAUGCGCGUUUCUCUCGUACACAUACGAGCGUGGGUGCGAGGCGUUUGGCUCUAACUGAACCCGAGCGAGGCGUUCGCCUACUGAACCCGAGCGAUUGCACUAUAGGCUACGCGUUAUUGAACCCGAGCAAUCAAUCGAUGGCUGUUAACUGAACCCGAUCGAGCGAUUCCUUCACUACUGCUGCUAACUGAAGUCGAUCGAACCCUGCUGCCUCCUUCCCUUGAUGAACAGUGAGUGUUGUUGGGGGGUUGGAUGAACAGUUCCCGGUGUGGGGUUGGAUGAACAGGACCCCGUGGUGUUGCCGCUGGAUGAACAGGACCCCGAUCGAUCGAGCCGGUUAGGCGUGGAUGAACAGGACCCCGUGGAGGGCUGGAUGAACAGGACCCCGUGGAGGGAUGGUUGAACAGUAGCCGGUGGAGGGCUGGUUGAACAGUAGCAGGUGGAGGGCUAGAUGAACAGUAGCCCGUGGAGGGGUGGUUGAACAGGACCCCGUGGAGAGGGCUGGUUGAAUAGUAGCUGGUGGAGGAGCGGUGGAGGCUGGAUGAAUAGGAGCCCGUGGAUGAACAGUCGCAGGUGGAGGCUGGAGGAGGUCGACGGUGGAUGAACAGUAGCCCAUGGAGGCAGUUGACGGUGGAGAUGAAUAGUAUCCCGUGGAGUCCCGUUUUGCGGUACGCCACACCCCUCCCGAUGAACAGGACCCCGUUUCGACCGUAGGAGGCCCAAGAGAAGUCCGUUUCCUCCAUUUUGCGGUACGCCAGACCCCUCCCGAUGAACAGGAUCCCGUUUUGACCGUGGCCGGUCGAACACAAGGCCAUUUCCUCCGUUCUGCGGUACGCCAGGCUUCGUUUCAAUCGGCUGUUCCGUCCAAGCCGGUUGGCUCCCGAUGAACACGACGUAUUCCGUUGCCUACCGAUGAACACGACGCAUUCCGUUGCCACCCGAUGAACACGAAGACGACGUAGUUUCUCCAUUCCGACCCAGCCAUGUGUGCGAGCCCUGGCCGUACAUAUGCACGAGUAGGCGUUUGAGACCCCGCCCGUAUGUACGUACGUGGCCGUAUUUUUUGGCGUGGGGUUGUAUGUACGUGUACACAGUUUAGACGGGGCAACCUGAACUGCUACGUGGGGGGCUCUACUAUGACAUGUGCCGCUACUUACUCGGCCAUGGUUCAUCGUUACAGAGCGACCGAUCGACCAGUAUGUACGUACACAUUCCGGCAAGACAGAAAACGGUACGUACGCUUCGACCGCGUGGGUCCCAGCUCUCAGGGAGGAUAAGGACGCACUUCCUUGCGUGCGAAGAUAUAGCUGCUAGGUCCCAGCUGUCAGGGGGUUUUUUUCCGUAAUAAGGACGCACUUCCUUGCGUGCGAAGAUGUAGCUGGUGGGUCCCAGCAGUCAGGGGGAGAAAAUAUUAUUUUUCAGGGUAAAAAGGAUGCAGUUGCAUGCAUGCAUCCAUGGGCGUGGUGUGUCCCCACUGUUAGCCUCUCACGUACAGUCAUCUUCCGAUGACUCUUGUUUGUUGACCAUGUUGACCACACCGUGCCGGGCGCACCAAGGCCGGUGGACGACGGCGAGGCCCUAGACUGGAACGACCCAGAGAUGGGGAAGACGCGGCAGUGGAGUCGCAGAUGCAGAGGAGUGGGAAACUUGACUGGUUCGGGUGCGCGGCAGCACUGCCGCCCAAGGGCGAUAGGAGCAAGAACAGAGGUUGAAGAAGGAGCACGGCUAUUGGAUUAACAUCCAACGGUCAGCUGCUAGAAUCAUUUGUUGAUUAAGUAGACAAAGCCCUGCGUACAAGUCCGCUUAGUAGGCCCACAAGUCAGACACCAAAUCUGACGAGUCCCAGCUGUCAACGGGAGGAAUGGUUUUUUUUUUUUGCAUAACAAGGAGGCACUUCCUUCCGUGCGAAGAUACAGCCGGUGGGUCCCAGCUGUCAGGGGGAGGAAACAUUUUUUUCAGCUUAAUAAGGAGGAACUUUCCUUGCAUGAGACCAUGGACCUCGUGGGUCCCAGCCGUCAGGCUCUCCACGUACAGUCCUCUUCCGAUGACUCUUGUUUGUUGACCACGCCGCGCCGAGCGCAGCGAGGUGGUGGACAACAGCGAGGCCCCGUACGGGAACGACCCGGAGAUAGGAAGACGCGGAAGUGGAGUCGCAGAUUGAGAGGAGUAGAAGGGUUAUAACUAGUUCUGGUGCCGCGUGGGGCUGCAGUCGGUGGAGAAUAACAGGAGGUGUGGAGGGGCGGAGGGAUAGCCCGGCCGGCGGUGGGGUAGCGCUUCGCAACAAUGCGUGCUAAGCAAAGCCGCUAGCCGCCGGAGGCCAGACCAGGCGGUCCCGGCGAUGCUGGAGGAAGAAGACGAGAGAUUGAUGGUGCAUGCCGGCCGUUGGAUAUAAAUCCAAUGGAUGUGGAUGUCAUAAUCAUUUUUUGACCAAGUUGACAACGCCCUGCGUAGGCUUCGACCUAUUGGCCCACAUGUCAGCAUGCAAAAAUGUGGCAUAUAUUUAACCCAUGUUUUCUAGAAUGUACAAUCCAUUUGCUGGGCUGGGUGAACAAAUAAUUUCGCGUCAAUGCGGUCCAUUUAAUAUUUUCUAAGAAAUCCCAGCCCAUUUGCACUUUCUUGAAAUACAUGAAUUAGCUGGGCUCAUUCUAUAUGUAAUGUUAGGUUAGAAGGUGCAAUUAAUAUCAAAAAAUAAACAGAAGCGGCACAUUUUUUAUAUAUAAUAUUAACAAAUUAGCGAGUUAUUGCUCAAAAUAAAAAUGAGCGCGUUAUUAUUACAUUGGUCCUUAAAAAUCUUCGCAAGCUUUUGUACGCAAUCACCAGGAUUUUCCUUGCCUGUGAGUCAAAAACAACCAGGAUUUAUCUUGCCAACAUCUGUUAAACAUUUACUUUUAUAAGUUAAUAACAUGUGGGAUGUUUUUAUAAUGUAUAUAUAAGUCUCUAUAAAAUAUACGAUAAUCGUAAUAGUAUAAAUAUAUAUAAUGUGGUUAGAAGGCAAAACAUAAAUUGGACACAGCAUUAUUAUUCUUAUAUAUAAAUAAAUAGAACAAAGAUUUGUGUUUUAUUGAUAAAAAACAUUGGGCUGCCAAUCUUUAAGAAAAAGUAAAACCUACGCUGGGAGGCCUAUAGGCCGGUAUGGACCUCAAAAAAUAAGUUGAAACCACUGUCUCCGUAUGUCGUGGGCUACGCAUGUUAAAAAACAAAACCUAGGCCUAGCUGAUACUUGUUCGCCCUCUACAAAAAAAUGAUACCAGCUAGAUCCCCGAGCGAACUGGAUUAAAGAGGGGGCCGGCGGCGCGACUAAAGAAGCACAUCAGACGCGAUUGUUUUUCUUCGGUGGAUGGCUCUCGAUGGCUUUUUUUACUUGCCUCUUCACCAUACAACUUGUAUUUUUAGCCUCCCAGUCCGUGGUGGACCAGCAACCCAUUUGCUGGGCGGGCCAACCUACAGAAACCAGCACUCAAUUUUUCAUCAAGCCCCAAAAACAGUGCAGUACUAUGUUUGUUUUGAGGCCGAAAACAUUACGGCAGGAGUUGAGCGGGGGAGGGGGGAAGAUAGAGCAAAAAGAUUAAAAAGAGCUGAUGCGCCGUUGCUACCCUAACAAAGCAGGUGCAAUUCUUCUCGGGAAGAAGGUGUGCCGUUGACACCCACACGUCACAAAUCCCAUAGUAGACAUACUAACAAGUUCACACACAAGUACAACAGAAAAGGUAAACAUUCAUAUCAAACUCAGGUUCACAGGACACGUUCAUAUUCAUAGCCAACAUUCACAAUCAACAACUCAAAAGAUUCAUAUAUACACAAGUUCAGCAUGUCUAUGCAUCCAAAUGAUUAAUAAAUCACACGACAAUAUUCAUAGAUAAUUCACAAAAAGAUUCAGAUAUACACAUGUUCAGUAUGUUUAUGCAUCCAAAUGAUUAAGAUCAUAGCCAAUAUCAUCCAUGGACGAACUUUAAUUACCUAGGGUACAGACUGGUAAAUGGUGUUCAGUCGGAGGUACUUCUUGCUAAAAUUAAUGCUUGUACGAGUAAACUUUUGAGUACAUAAGAGGCAGCACAGACAAUCUGAACUUUGCUUGUAGGUUUAUCCUCAAAUAGUGGCCUUGUGCCGAGGGAGGUUUGAGCAACUUGCCCACUACUUUCAUCCAACUAGUUUACUAGCUCAUCUUGGUCCUGUAGCUCGCCAAAAUUCUACAUUGCAGACAAGAAAGGAGGCGGUUGAGAAAAUGAACCACCCAAAUUUGUUGUGCAAUUCAACUGAAAUGGAGCAUCCCUGGCGUGCACCCUGAUUAAGUGUCAGAUGAAUAUACGCGUCAACCAACUUGUUUGGAAUCUUUAGACUCCAUGCCAUACAGUUCGCUACCAUAUGUGCCGAUAACCAAAAGGCACAAGUUGGGACCAAAGACUGGACUGCGUUUUUCUGGGCUAUGCGCCAAGCAAUAUUUGUGGCGGGUUAAUGCCGGUUGAUACUCGAAUGAAUAUAGGCACUUCUUCUUGUGAACAUCGAUGCUUGUCUGAGUGAACUUUGGAGUACAUAGCAGCAGCAUAAGUAUCUGUCCAUCUGAUCUUUUUGUGCAGUUCUACUGAAAUCGCCCAAUGUAAUGAUUUGCCUGCGAGUUCAGGCUCCAAGUUACUCCUUUAUGAAAUCGGCAAACAGUAGCACAAUACCAAAUUACCAAUACAUAUGACAAGCACAAUAAUCAGGAUAAAGACUAGUACCAACCUGUGUGAGGUAGCAUAUCAAUUACUAUUUCCUUUGACUGGAAGCCGAGAUAAAUGAAGCGACUGACAGUAAAGGAAGGAAGGAAGCCGAGAUAAGCGACUGACAGGAAAGGAAGGAAGCUGUCGAGGCAAUGAAGCGCCCAAAGUUUUUGUGCAGUUCCACCAAAAUCGAGCAUCCCUGUUGGCACAUAUAUUGAGAGAGUGAGAUUACUGUAAUAGUGGGACUAGUUGAUGAAACAUACACUAACAAAUAGAAGCACCCUCAUUAUCUUAAUGGGUAAAGUUAGCAACAUAGUAGUCUUGCUUGAAGAGAGGUAUUAGUUUAUUUAAUCAGUGCCAAUUAGCUCAACACUCAAAGCAUUGCCAUGUAUCAUAGGUUGCAAAACUUUAACGUGCAAGGAUAAAGGAGUUUCUCAUGACUAUUGCACAAUACAAAUAGAGAUGAUAGCAAACUAAUAUGGAUGAAGGCCUUAGGCCGGUACCAACCUGAGCAAAAAAACUUAUUCAUGUAGUCCCAGAAGAUAUGAUAAAGCACUCACUGGAAUCACUCGAUAGUAUAUAUUUUUGUGCACUUCAAAUGUAUGGUUGAAAUCACUCUUGUUUACCAGUGCUGAGAUUAUAUCGAAAGAUUAUCAAGAACUUUCAGCAGAGUUAAAGCACUGGCUGGGAUACAGUUCAUUGUAUUGUCUUGUGUAGUUCCACUAAAAUGUAUGAUUGGCACAACAUGAUCCCUGUUUGCACAAGUAGGAACAAGGUGAAACCUUCAUUAGCUUAGUGAGAAAGGAUAGAAAGACAUUAGCAUAUUACUCUAAUAGUAGCAUCAAAUUCAUGAUAGACAAUACGCAAAACAUUGCCUCAUUGAACCAAUGGCAAUAAAUUGACAUGCAAAACAAUAGCACUAUUAUUUCAUGACACUACGCAGAUUCCCUCCCUGCUCCACCACAUGAUUCACCUCCACAGACACACAUACACACGUACAUGAUUCAGCAUAGGGUGCUACUAAAGAUUUGUUUAACUCUGACAGGAAAAUUAGGUAGCAAUAAAUUAGUGGUGCUUAAGUACUCCUAAUUAAUUAAGUGACCUUGCAGGAGAGACAACAGAAGUGGAAGGGCUCCCUGGAGGAUCGUCUCACAUGUAAGGUAGACAUUGCUGGAGCCCUUGAAUGGCCUCGACUGAGCCCUCGGGCUUCAGCAAGAUCACCUUGGCACUGUUGAUCGUGUAGAGCUGGGUCACAUAUGCAUCCAGAAUCCAGUUAAUUAGUAUGAUGUGUCGUCAACCCAAGUACUACUCUGCUGCAUUUCUCCAUCUAUCUCUACUCUACUCUACUUUACUUCUCUUAUAAAAAAAUAGAGUUGGUGAUGAUGGUGUGCCUGCCAUCCUACAAUAUAUGCCGUCUGAUUUAUAUCUGACGGAUAGGAAGGAAACUAUGGCAAUUUUGCAAAAAGGUACCCACAGCCCUCUCCACAUUUGCAAAUAAGGCCUUCCCUCGUUCAUCCUUUUCUCUCACAAGAUAAACUACUCAUACAAAUGCAUCUUGAUGUUAUGUGCAACGCACGGGCAUCUUGCUAGUCUUCCAAGUAAAUUAACACUAGUAGCAACACAGAAAUACAAUACCACUAGCAAAAUGUCAGGAUAACAUAGGACGGUACCAUCGUGUGAUCUCCAUUUCCUCUUUAUUCUUCUUCUUCCUCCUCUUCAUGCUCUGUUUCUCUUUCUCCUCAACAGUUGGUGAAACCAAGUACAUGAUUGGCCUUCUAUUUCAAAUUGGUUUUGUCAGUGAGGGAGUACAAGUGUACUAGUAAACAAUAGCAUUAUUUUCUCAUGGCAGUCGCAAAAUAGAGAUGAACACAUGCAUUAAAUAUCAUUCUUACCUAAAGGAAAGUUAUGGUGCCAAUAUGGAUGAUGAGGAUUGGAACACAGAUCUCCCUUUGUGCAGUUCCACCGAAAUGAACCAACUGUUCCAUUCUGACAUUCCAGUUAAACAGCACAAAAGUCACUUCUUUUAAGAAGUGUUUUGUGCAGUGCACCAAAAGGUCACAACAGCAACCAGGUGAAAUGGAUAUCCCUGUUUGCACAAAAAACUACAGAGGAAACAGUCAGAGUCUCAAACAAUUACAGGCAAAAACAUUUGGGUAAACUUGUCAUCGCUUAUAACAGUGGCAUGGCUUCAUUUUACCAGGGGCAUUAGAUUAAGAAUAGCUAAAUAUUUGGUAUAAGGGAAUGGGACAGUGGGCGCACCAGCAGCCCAGCACCAUGUACCUAAACUGGGGCAUAAACUGGUGAUUCAGAGUUUGUUGCCCCGAGAAACAAACAUCCAAGAAACAUAUCUGGGUUGGUCCCAUUUUUGUUCACUCUAGCCACCUACUCCUAUGUGUGGAUAGCAAAUCUAGUCCUGUUCAUACCACUGUGUACAGCAUUUCCCCUAUAUUUCCCUUUUCGACCAAGAGACCGGUUGGAUGACUAGUCUGUACUACUUUCACCCCCUUUCCUUCAUGUUUGUACCAAGUCCGAUGUACAUACUAAAUUCCCCCACCCCCACUUUAUUUCUUGUUUGAACCAAGUACAAGAUUUGACUCCAUGAAGUAGCUUUACCUCUAACAAUAGAGAAAAAAAUAGGUGACGUUGGACCAUCCGAUCGAGAGGGGCUGAGAGGUAGAAAAUGAUGCACAUGCAGCGACGUAGCAAGCUGGGGAAGUAGAGCUAGGGCGGUUUCGAAGGAAGAUAUACCUGAAGGUCAUCGGGAUGUGGAUAGGUGGGUGGCAGGAGGCCGGAUCCGCCCACACUAGGGCAACGACGAAGGGAUCGGAGGACCUCCCGCAUCGGCGCUCGGCUAGAGAUAACGGUGCGGCCGACAGUGGGUCUCCUCCCUCGCUGUCGACGACGGCCUAAAUGCUGCCCCUCCUCCCCUUCACCGGCGGAGGGGGAUACGUCCGAAUCUGUAACCAACGGUGAGGAUAGAAAGACAAUGUUACCACCGCUAUCUUGUUUAGAUCUGGAGAGGAUGAGAGUGUGUGAAUAGAGCAACCCUAGCAAGCAAGCGCGGAUGCUCCGGGCUAUAUAUGCACGUAGUGGGGUAGUUUUCCUUUUUCACUCCAUCAAAACAAUCGUUUAAAAUUGUGUGCGUGCCAGGUCACCGUUUUUUCUUGAGUUGUUGAUUGUUUUUUGAGAUAGCUACCCGCUUAUUCCAAGUGGUGUUACGGUGUGCCAGCUCGCACUUUGUAUCGUUCAAGUCUGGUACAAGACCCUCCAUUAAAUGAACAACCACCGCCUCAUAAAAUUUGGGAACAAGCCCACGGCUAAAAUUAUCAAAAACGUGGGCUGCCCCAACAUGCAUUAUUAUUUAUAUUUUCUAUGUCGGAGUAUCCUCAAAACAAAAUGUGAGAGUACAAUAUUUAUUGGGCCCCUUUGUAAUUGGUGCUAAAUUUUGACCAAAGAUUUAACUGACAAAAUGUUAGUGCAUAUUAACAAAAAUUAUAUCGUUUGAAUCGUAUUUCAACAUAUUUUUCAAUGAUGUAAUUUUUUGUGAUAUGCAUGAACAUUUGGUUAGUUAAAUUUAUAGUCAAAAUUUGGCAAGGUGCAUUAAAUCAACACAUGCAAGUAUCAAAAGGAAAGUAACGCCAUGCAUGCAUGCGUUGUAAUUAAUGCAUCGGUAAACGCAAAUUAUUGAAAUAUAUCGAGUGCAGUGCUUUGAUGUGUCGCGUCAACUCAUACAACAACGAGAAGUUUGAUUACUACAACGCCCUCUGCCUCGCGGACUGAGCUCCGGUGCCUUAACUGCACCUGCCUUUGGCUGUAUGACAAGUGGACCACCCACCUGUUGGGCCCACCUGUGAUACACGCAAAGGCAAGAGCAGUAAGUCAAUGAAGCUGUGUCCCUCCCUCGCCCAUGAGCAUGGUGGCUGGCAGGACUAGGAGAAGCUUUUGCUACACGCUCUCCCUCCCGCACGCGGUGGACAUGCAGCUGUUCAUUCGGUGUCAGAUGACCAGAAGUAUAAUGUAGUACUCCUCCACUGCAGUAGCACUCCAUCAUUGUUCGACUUCCCGAAGAGGCGAAGAGCCAAGCGCAGCCCGGACGCUCAUGUGGCAGUUUCAUGUGUAGAGUAGUCUAGGAUAGCGUGUACCAUGCCUGUAAGCUUAAAAUUGUUGGGGUCGGCUCCAUGCUAUGAGGCCGUCUCGAAGCAUUUUUUGGUUGAUUAAAAUAAUCUUUUGGACCUACCUGUCAUCCUAGUGAUUGUAGUUUGCACGCUCAUCUGGUCAAGACAGGAAUAUAUAUUUUAAUUUGUAGUGGGGUAAAUGUUAGAGGUUGCAGCAAACAUAUUGUACAUUGCGGGUCUUUCAGCCAAGUUUAGAGGCAAGCAUGUGGGGCCAGUGCUAUGAUGUGUCGCGUCAACUUGUACAACGAGGAGAAGCAUGAUUUUACUACUACACGCCUUCUCCCUCGCCCAUGCGCGCGGUGGCUCGCAGACGAGGAUGGGCUUUAAAUUAUACUACAACAAGCUAUCCCUCCCGCACACGGUGGACGGACAUGCGUCAGGGGAUUCGAUACUGUAGAAGUAGUAGUAACAUCAUUGUUCAUCUUCUCGAAGAGGCGAAGAGCCAAGCGAAACCCGAACGUGGUAGUUGCGAACGCUUGCCUGGCAGUCUUUGUGUACGGGUGGGGCGUGGUGCGGAGCCUUGGAGUACGCAUAUAGCCAGGCUCUUGCAUGAGAAAAAAUUGCUAUUUGAGCCCACUAUUUUAGUACACUACUUGCUAGUAUAGCCCUGUAAACUGGAAAGGAGUAUUUGCCUUUCUAGAGAUCUCAAUAAGUGACUAGACUACACCCUAAACGAGUAGUACAUAUGGAGCAAAAUGAGUGAAUCUACACCGUAAAUAAAUACGUAGUUCUCUCGUUUUCCUCUCCGCCUUGGUCGCGGUGCACAAUAUUGAGUACUCCUAUAUGACUAGUCGCUCUAUCUACAUGCGCGACAUCAAAGCAUCCGGGCCUGCGUGCCAUCCACCAAAUCACAGCGAGGUGCUACAGUCGAGACUCACCAGUCACCCCGGUGUGGCCGUCAUGACCCGUCAUAUCACAAAACCCACACCUUUACCAGCAGUGGUAAAGUGGCCUCAAAGUUGGACUGGAUGAAGCAACCAUCAUUUCCCUGUAACGCUCGUUGAAGCCCUUUCUCCCCUUUCUUGAAGAAAACCUCACUCCAGGCUACUCACUUCUGCCAUUUUUCUUCUGUACCGACAAAGGAAAGGUGGGCGAAUCAGUGAUGCUACUAUAUUUUCAUUCCAAGAAUCUUCUUUUCGGGAAGCACCGACCGAUUCUCAUAGCCUAUUCUUUUCCCGUUUUCAUUGCGAUUGUGCUUUCCUUUCGAUUGCUUUUUGUUUGUCAGUUCAUUCCUGAUGGAUCCUGGAGCACUAGGCAAAGAUUUGCCGGCAGACAACCCACUGGAGACAGCGAUCUCCAGGAAGCGAGCACCAACCAACGAGUUGACCAUGUUGGUGGGCCAACCCAUGGAGACGAAGAACUCCAAGAAACAAGCACUGGACAAAGAGUUUAUGACAUUGGCCGAUGAACUCCUCAAAGAAAGCUGGAAGAACAGCAAGGGCCCCACCGUGCCUACCCCAGAAACUCUAAUGGCCACCUAUGCGAGGCUCAAGGCCGAGUUUGAGGAGAUAGUCUCCGUUGAGAAGCAGUAUUCCCCUGGCAAGGUGAUGGCCCCAUCGAGGACGAGGAGAUGGCCUCCGGAGGGAUGGGAUCCCCCGGUGAGCUACACAAGGUAAAAAAAUAAUGGCUUACCAUAGUUGUGGUUUUUGAUUAUUUGCAAUGUGCUUGCUAAUAUGUUAGGGUUGUGCAGGUGCCGGUGGACGUCCUUGAUGAUUCCGAUGUCGUGGCCCGUCCUGUGGACAACGCCCCAGAGAUCGUUUUCGAUGUCGCGGUCCGUUCUGUUGACAUCGCCCCAAAGAAUGAUUCCGAUGCCGCUUUCCAUCCUAUGGACAUUGCCCAGAGAUCAAUUCCGAUGUCACAGUCCGUCCUGUGUACAUCGCCCCAGAGAUCGAUUCCCAUGCCGUUGUCUGUGUUGUGUUCAUUGCCCGAGAGAUCGAUGACAAGAAAUAGUUGGUCAUGCUAAUCCUUCAAGGUAGUUUGCAUUGUGUUUAAUUACCAAAACAAUGUGUGUUAUCAAACCAUCUUAGGGCUAGUGCAUUGUCUUGUGUGGGCGGUACUUGCUACUUUUGUUUGAUAGUGAAUCAUGUGAACCCUCUCCGAGUUAUGGAAACAGAUGUAUCCUCACCAGCUUUUGAUGUAAUAUAUGGCAUGCUUAGAUGUAAGUUUGAACUGUUUAUCAUAUCAGCAGGGCUUGUUUGAUGAUUCUUGGUGUUAGUAGGCUAGCUACUGUGCGAGCUAUAGUACUUGCAAAACACUCACCGAAGAGAAAUGUUGGGGCUGAUGAGCUCCUGGUAUGCUUAUACUGAUCCCUCGUCGAUCGGCCAAUAGCCCAAGCUCCUAAAAUUGUAGGCUUAGCGAUCGAUCAGACAAUAGUCGACACGGAUACAUUCAGGCCUCAUUUGGUUCAUAAGGUAGGAAAAUCGUAGCAAAAGUACAGAGACGUACAACACAAAAUCAUAGCAGUAUAGAGACGUACUCCCUCCGUUCCAAAAUAGAUGACUCAACUUUGUACUACUAACUUUGAAAUGGAGGGAGUACAAAUCCUAGGCGGGCUAGUUUGGCCUAGUGGAUUUCAGUGAUAUGACGUGGUACAGUGUCGUCCAGUCUUCGCGUGUGGUAGCAGUAUUGUGGGUAAAGUAAGUUUUCUUGAAGAAGCGGAAUUCAACGAAGUCAUGAUGGUUCCUUUGUCCGACCAACUUACAGUGGGAAAGGUUGGGCCUGCGCUACGACUGGGGUGGACCAGGAUAAUUUUGUGCAUGGUAGGUGGACCAGGAUGGUCGACGUCCCACAUGUCGGCGAAUGAAAGUAUUCUUUCCGAUAUAGAGGACGAGCAACGAGUAUUCAUUGUUUAUUUUUUAUGAAAGCUAUUGUCUCCAUUGUUACGUCGGAGGAGUGUGAAACACGGCAGCCCAGUGAACUUGGCAUGUGCACCACUCCCUCCUUCCUCAUGUAAUACUACCAUAGUGUUGACUAUAAGGUUGGCUAUAAGGUUACAACUUUUCUCACUUUCUCUCUAUCUAUUUCCUCUCAAAUGUUUUUUACCUUUCUUUUUUUUAGACACAAUUGUUUUUUAUGCCUCUUUUUUUAGAAUUAGUUUUUUUAUACCUAGGAGCACGUGUAGAGACGGGCUCUUGCAGAGCCCACUCCUUGAGUUUGUCAAUGCCUCUCUCUCCUCCACAUAAGCGGGCUUAUAGCCUAGUAUUUUACUGGUACUACUUGCUAUGAAUGCGAGCAGCUGGCGUCUGAGGGGGGAGCGCGCGCGGGGAGGUGGGGGGUUCUGGUGGGCCAAGGUGGUCAGAAGCGGGCUUGGAAGCGGUCCGGACUCCCGCAUGGCCCACCUCACAUUAUCACCAUAUAUUUCUUGGAGUCCGUGCAUGGCAGGCGGGCGAUCUCUUCUCCCUCCCCCGUCUCUCUCUUCUCAGCCGACUCCCGCCGAGCGAUUAGAUUUCGGCUAUCGAUGGUUUAUUCAAUUGCUGUCCCACAUGUCAGUGAAAAUGCAAGACAACGUGUGUCCCCUCUGGUGAGCGGCGUGCGAGCCGGACUGUCAAGGGUGCGAUGCGAACGCGACGCGUAUGAGUCGUAAGUGUGCCGCCUUUUCCUUUUGAACUUGCAAAGCAUAACAUUUUCGUGCGAUCGAUCGAUAGAAAUCCAGAACAAAAUGACGAGGGCAUUGCUUUCCCGCGCGUUAGGCGGGCUAGUUUGUGAUAUGACGUGCUACAGUGCCGUCCACUUGCUCUUUUUAUGUAAGCAAGAGUCUACACUCUUAAGUGGGAGGAGUGCGAAACACGGCGGAUCUGAUUUUGAUCGAGGGAUAACUGUUCCCUGCGAAAUAAUGGAGCGCUGUUAGCGAUUAUAGCAUGAUAGUUAGGGCAUCUCCAGCGCUGGCUCACAAAUUUACACCGGCAUCUGUCCGAGGACACUGAUGGAUGUCAUCCAAUGCUGCCCGCAUACCUUUCGACAACAGUAUGAACUAACCGGACGAAAUUCGUGCAAACAAAGCAAAUUUCAAAUUACAUUUCGAAAACUUAUCCUAUAAACUGGACGAAAUUCAUUACAUAUUUUGCACAAACCGUACUAAAACCUACUGUAAACCUAAUCUAAACGAUCGCCGGCGCCCGACCACCAUGUACGGCCAUGAACCCGAGAAAGCCGGCCAUUGCCUUUGCCUCCUCCUCAUCUGCCUCGAUAACCUCAUCCUCUGGAGCACAAGGUUCUGAAGAUUUCCGCCUCCACGUCGCCGUCAAGAGGCUAAUCGGCCGCCGAUGUUUAUCCCACCAAGCUUGGCGUCGACUGAGUGGAGGAGCGAUGGCCUUCCUGGGACCAGAGCGGCGGCGACCUACCAUGUACUACUCUUCCUCGCUACCGGCUGCGCCCGCGCACGCGCGCCGGCUUCGUGGUCGUGGCGGCAGAGGGCGGCCGGGGGGGAGCCGGCGAUCUCCUUCAUCUGCUCCUACGACAGUACGUCCAAGAGAGCUUUGGAGCGCGCCCGGAGCGGAGCCGCCGAUGUCCUUCGUCUGCUCCUGCGACAGUACAUCCAAGAGAGCUUUGGAGCGCCAGGAGGCCAUGGUUGGAGUGGUGCCGACAGAAGGAAGGGACCGGAGGAGAAUAGGUGUGGGUCUUUGGCUAUGGCUGGGAGCUGGGGCUCAAGUUAAUAUAGCGGGCGAAUGGCAAUGAACCGCGGUAGACGGAUGGACGACUGGCGCUGGAGUAGGUUCGCCAGCAGCCGCGUGUCAUUAAUGUGGGCGGUGAAUGGAAGUAUGGUCGCGGUGUCGUUAAAGCAGAGUAGUCACUUGCACCGGGAUGCCGCGCGGGUGGCGCUCUCUCGGCCGUCGCGCUGCUGCAAUGUCGGCGCCAGUGAGCAGUCGCGUCGGGCGUGAAUACGGAUGCUGCUUCAGUGACUUAACUGCAUGUGCGUUGGGUCACUGACAUGUGGGCCCGACGGGCAUCUGGCCCGCAUGUCAGUGACACACCAACUGCACCUGCAGUUAAGUCUGGUGAAUGCGGCAUUGACAUUCUGGAGAGACGGUGACCAUUUCAGGAGGGAAGCGCGUGCUAGCGAUGGAAGGGGUUUCGGUAGACCAGGGCGGUCAGACGCCGGCGUGGUGGUAAAAUGUGAACUCAUGGAUGACGAGCCUUUGAAGCGUAUGCGGCACGUAUUGACAACCAGGCAUCCAUGCAACCGCUCUUGCCGCCACCUAGCCUUCGAAGACCACCAUUAGACACCACACAACCAUGCAUAACUUACGAAUAAUGGACAAAUCGAUCAGACACACACUCGUGUGCAGUGGCACUAUGAUCGGUCGCUCACGAUAGUACAUACUACGUACCAUAGUACCCUCUCUAGCUAGGCUGUUUUAUAGAUUGUCGUUGUGAUGGACGAUAUACAUGAGCAAGGCGCUGAGUCACGAGUAUGACCGUUGGUGUUGAGCCAGGUGAAUACAUGCUCGGUGUUCACGGAGGCCUCCAGCGAACGUCUAAACAGUAAUGUCAGGCACUGCCGGGGCGCGCAGGCGACGGGAUCGCUGUCGGUGUCGAAACCGGCAGAUCUCGGGUAGGGGGUCCCAAACUGUGCGUCUAGGAUCGAUGGUAACAGGAGACGGGGGACACGAUGUUUACCCAGGUUCGGGCCCUCUCUAUGGAGGUAAUACCCUACUUCUUGCUUGAUUGAUCUUGAUGAAUAUGAGUGUUACACGAGUUGAUCUACCAUGAGAUCGUAAUGGCUAAACCCUAGAAGUCUAGCCUAUGUGAAUAUGGUAGUGAAUAUAUGCCUUCCGGACUAACCCCUCCGGUUUAUAUAGAUACCGGGGGGAUCUAGGGUUUACAUGGAGUUGGUUACAUAAGAAGGAAUCUUCAUAGUUGGUCGCCAAGCUUGCCCUCCACGCCAAGGAAAGUCCAAUCCGGACACGGGUAUAGUCUUCGGCCUUCGUAUCUUCAAAGCCCAUCAGUCCGGCCCAAUGAACAACAGGCCGGACGCCCGAGGACCCCUUAGUCCAGGACUCCCUCAGUAGCCCCUGAACCUGGCUUCAAUGACGAGGAGUCCGGCGCGCAGAUUGUCUUCGGCAUUGCAAGGCGGGUUCCCCUUUUUCCGAACUCCAAGAUAGUCUUCGGACGUGAUAAUCGUAUCCGGACCUGUUAUACACCAUACAUAGCUGCAGAGAGAACAUAAUAUUUGCACAAAUCUAAUCUGUUGACAGCUUCUUUUCAACACGACAUCGCGUCUGUCCGGUCAUAAUUUCGAACCGUUUUUCCUCUGCCAUCCCACGUCUCGAGACACGGUUGCUAUUGGCACGUCUUGUCGAAACAGAGAUUGUGUCCCCUUAUCGUGGGAUUCUCAUCAAUGCGGGCAUGGGUAACUCAACCGUGCCGUUUAUACAGCCCUUGGGAACAGGAGAAUCCUAAGGCGAGUGAGGAGGCGUUUAAUAUUUGUUGCCUUUAUAAGGAGAUAAGUGUUGGGAUUCGUAGCAUAAUUUUAAAAUUUUCCUACGCUCACCAAGAUGCAUCUAUGGAGUCUACUAGCAACUAGGGGAAGGAGUGGAUCUACAUACCCUUGUAGAUUGCGAGCGGAAGCGUUCCAAUGAACGUGGAUGACGGAGUCGUACUCGCCGUGAUCCAAAUCACCGAUGACCGAGUGCCGAACGUACGGCACCUCCGCGUUCAACACACGUACGAUGCAGCGAUGUCUCCUCCUUCUUGAUCCAGCAAGGGGGAAGGAGAGGUUGAUGGAGAUCCAACAGUACGACGGCGUGGUGGUGGAUGUAGCGGGUCUCCGGCAGGGCUUCGCCGAGCUUCUGCGAGAGAGAGAGAGAGAGAGAGAGAGAGAGAGAGNNNNNNNNNNNNNNNNNNNNNNNNNNNNNNNNNNNNNNNNNNNNNNNNNNNNNNNNNNNNNNNNNNNNNNNNNNNNNNNNNNNNNNNNNNNNNNNNNNNNNNNNNNNNNNNNNNNNNNNNNNNNNNNNNNNNNNNNNNNNNNNNNNNNNNNNNNNNNNNNNNNNNNNNNNNNNNNNNNNNNNNNNNNNNNNNNNNNNNNNNNNNNNNNNNNNNNNNNNNNNNNNNNNNNNNNNNNNNNNNNNNNNNNNNNNNNNNNNNNNNNNNNNNNNNNNNNNNNNNNNNNNNNNNNNNNNNNNNNNNNNNNNNNNNNNNNNNNNNNNNNNNNNNNNNNNNNNCCCUUUAUAUAGGCCCCUGGGGGGUGCGCCAGCCCCAAGAGAUGGGAUCUCAAGGGGGGCGGCGGCCAAGUGGGGGGGAAGGGGUGCCUUGCCCCCCAAGGCAAGGGGGAAGCUCCCCCCCUAGGGUUUCCAACCCUAGGCGCAUGGGGGGAGGCCCAAGGGGGGCGCCCCAGCCCACUAGGGGCUGGUUCCCUUCCACUUUCAUCCCAUGGGGCCCUCCGGGACAGGUGGCCCCACCCGGUGGACCCCCGGGACCCUUCCGGUGGUCCCGGUACAAUACCCGUAACCCCCGAAACUUUCCCGGUGGCCGAAACUUGACUUCCUAUAUAUAAUUCUUCACCUCCGGACCAUUCCGGAACCUCUCGUGACGUCCGGGAUCUCAUCCGGUACUCCGAACAACUUUUGGGUUUCCGCAUACAUAUAUCUCUACAACCCUAGCGUCACCGGACCUUAAGUGUGUAGACCCUACGGGUUCGGGAGACAUGCAGACAUGACCGAGACGCCUCUCCGGUCAAUAACCAACAGCGGGAUCUGGAUACCCAUGUUGGCUCCCACAUGCUCCACGAUGAUCUCAUCGGAUGAACCACGGUGUCGAGGAUUCAAUCAAUCCGUAUGCAAUUCCCUUUGUCAAUCGGUAUGUUACUUGCCCGAGAUUCGAUCGUCGGUAUCCCAAUACCUUGUUCAAUCUCGUUACCGGCAAGUCUCUUUACUCGUACCGCAAUGCAUGAUCCCGUGACUAACGCCUUAGUCACAUUGAGCUCAUUAUGAUGAUGCAUUACCGAGUGGGCCCAGAGAUACCUCUCCGUCACACGGAGUGACAAAUCCCAGUCUCGAUCCGUGCCAACCCAACAGACACUUUCGGAGAUACCCGUAAUGCACCUUUAUAGUCACCCAGUUACGUUGUGACGUUUGGCACACCCAAAGCACUCCUACGGUAUCCGGGCGAUCUCAUGGUCUAAGGAAAAGAUACUUGACGUUGGAAAAGCUCUAGCAAACGAAACUACACGAUCUUUUAUGCUAUGCUUAAGUUGGGUCUUGUCCAUCAUAUCAUUCUCCUAAUGAUGUGAUCCCGUUAUCAAUGACAUCCAAUGUCCAUAGUCAGGAAACCAUGACUAUCUGUUGAUCAACGAGCUAGUCAACUAGAGGCUUACUAGGGACAGUUGUGGUCUAUGUAUUCACACAUGUAUUACGAUUUCCGGACAAUACAAUUAUAGCAUGAAUAAUAGACAACUAUCAUGAACAAAGAAAUAUAAUAAUAACCUUUUAUUAUUGCCUCUAGGGCAUAUUUCCAACAGUCUCCCACUUGCACUAGAAUGAAUAAUCUAGUUACAUUGUGAUGAAUCGAACACCCAUUGCGUCCUUGUUGGGUGGUUGGUGCGACAUAUACCAAGGGAUGGCUUAUCAUUGUGGGAGCCAAUAAAACAUCGCCGGUGCCUGGAAACGGGAUGAGGCGAAGACAUGCACGCCGGCGAAUCUUACCCAGGUUCGGGGCUCUCCGAGGAGAUAACACCCCUAGUCCUGCUCUGCGGGGUCUCCGCAUGAUCACUAGAUCGAUAAAGGGUAGCUACAAUCGCUCCUAGAGCUGUUGGGAUCAAGGGAGAAGAAGAACAAGGCUAGCUCUUGCUUCUCUCUAUCUAUGUGUGUGCGUGUGCUAUGCUUGAAGGCCAAACAUGCAGAAGUGCGAACCAGAAGCGAACCCUUUGCAUGGGUGCUCCGGGGGGUUUAUAUAGGCCUACCCCCAGGGGGUACAAUGGUAAUCCGACUGGGAGCGGGUCCCAGCCGUCAGUGUCUAUGCUUGCCGGCUUCUCCACCGGCUGCUGGGUCCCGCCGGCGGCCGGCUACUUGGUCGACAGGCCGGCCCCACCGCCUAGGGCUUUGUCGGCGGCUGCUUACUGUAGCCGCGCCUCUGAUGAUGAGGGCUUUGUCGAGGUGAGCGUGGCUACAGUGGGCCGCCUCGGAGGCUAUCACUGUAGCCUCACCUCGUCUUGUCUCCUUAAUGGGGCUCCUGCUUCGAGGAAGGGCAUAGCCGGCUUCUGGAGGCCGGCUAUGCUCCCGGCCGACUAGGAAAAUCCGGGCCGCCUUCACGCCUCUCUCUGGCUGAAGGGGCCCGCAGUCCUUGGGUCGUACAGGAAUGGGUCGUGGAUGACGUCGAGGCUAACGUGGCUACAGUGCUGGGCCGCACGGGAGACCUCCCUCCCGUACGGCCUCCUGUAGCCAUGCCCGCCUCGGGCUUCGGGGGUCGUGGGCCGCACUGUGGCCAUGCCCCGUCAGGUCGUCGUUAUGUAGGAGUGGUUGUGGUCGUGGCCGGUUUCUAGGAGUCGGCGUCCUUCUUGGCCGGCUCCUUGGAGUCGGCGAGGCUGGGUCGCCUUCCGGGAGUCGGCUUUAGUGGUGACCGGCCGGGGAAGGCGGCCCAAAUGCUUGGAGUGCUUGAAGGCCCAAAGGCCUGAUAAAUUUUCUGAAGAGCCAGGGGUAGUCGGUUAGGCUACCCGUGGCCACUUACUCCGACAGUAGUCCCCGAAGCUGAUCGGCCUUCGAGGUGGAGUAGGGUUUUAGAAGCUCGAACAGCUUCCUAUCAUGACAAGCCGGCAGCUGGGAGCUGGCCUUGGUCAGGCACGCCGCCUGAGCCGAAAUCUUCUGGAGUCGGAGGGCGGGAACCCACUGGUACGUGCGCCGGGCCGCGGGCCGGCCACGGGCCGACGGCGCGCCACGUAGCCGGAAAGCCUGCCAGCCCACGCGCGUGACGGGAUGUUGCCGCAGCGAGGGGGCCCGCCACGUCCGUGCCCCGGCCCAGGCGCGGAUCUUUUGUAUCCCGAAACUGCCCGCACGUUCCGUGCGGCAGUUUCGGCUCGCACUUAUGCGUAAUAAACGCGAGGCGUGGGGGGAGUGGGCGCAGUUAAUCCCAUGUCUCCCCCCACGUCCGGGGUCUUCAGCCGCGUGAGGCUAUAAGUAGGGGGAGGCGGAGGGCGGCAGACCCUCGCACGCUCCUCCUACUCCCUUUGUCUUCUCGUCUUGCUCGUUCUUGCGACAGCGCCUCGCCGCCGCGCUCUUCCCCCGCACGCUCCUCCGCCGCCGUGCUAGCUUCCGCUAUGCCUCCUCACGUCGAGCAGCUUGGCGGGGAUUGGGAUGGCUCCAUCGUCCACAACGACCACAUCGACUUCCUCCGCGACACCCGGCGCCUGCCCAGCACGGACAAAGUGGAGGUCCGCCUUGCGCCGGAGAAGGAGGUCAGGCCGGCGCCGCGGGAUGGCGAGCGGGUGAUCUUCCGCUCGCACUUCCUGCGUGGCUUCGGACUGCCAGUGAGCGCCUUCUUCCGCUCCUGGCUGGACUUCUAUCAGCUCCAGCCGCACCACCUCACCCCCAACGCGGUGGUGCUGCUGUCGGCCUUCGUCACCCUGUGCGAGGGCCAUCUCGGCGUCCUCCCCACCCUCGAGCUCUGGGGGGAGUUCUUCCAGUCGAAGCUGGGUACGCGCGUGCGGGGCGUGCCGGCUCAGACCGGCGCCUUCAUCGCGUCACGGAGAUCAGGCGCCGACAACCCCUUCCCCAUCAUCACGCUGAUCCAAUCGGUGAAGAAGUGGCAGAAGUCAUACUUCUACGUGCGGAACAUGGUGAACUACCUCGUCAACUGCCAGCUUCCCGACGACUGGCAAUUCGGCAAGGAGCCAUACAACCGCGCCAAUCCUCCACCUACGGUACGCUCCCCUUCUCUUUUUCUCUUUUUCUCUCUCAGCUCUGUCGCCGAGUUCCUCUGGGCCGACUCUAACUCAGUCGGCUCACUCUUUUGACAGAAUCCUCUGCUUCGGCCGGCCGGCGGAGCGGACGUGGAACGCCGCUUCGUCCCCGACCGGACCGAGCACGACCAGGAGGACCCCGAUCUGGGGGCGGUCCAUAUGGAGGACGCCGCCAAGCCGGCUGGUGGCCAAGCCGGCGGCGAAGCAGGCGGCGCCGGGUUCUCCGCGACCUUCGACGACUGGCCGGACGAGGACGAAGCCGAAGCCGUCCCGCCCCGCUAGCCGGCCUUCGGACGCGGCGCGGGCUCCUCCGGCGCGCAGCCUGCUCGAGGUAGAGGCCAGAAACGUCGCGCCACCCAGGGCAUGUUCGGCAGCCGGACGAAGAAGCCGAGGGGUGGAGCGGCAGCCACUAGGCGGGAAGAAGCGGCCGCGAAGGCGGCUCGUUUCCGCAAAGUGGUGAAGCAGCCGCAGGCUGUGUCAGCGUAAGCUUUCUCUCUUUCUGUGUAUUCUCCUUCUUUCUUUUCUUGGGUGGUUUUCUGAACCUUUGUCUUCUUUUCCUUGAUCAGAGCUCCACUGUCACUCGAGCGGGCGGCUGCCUGCUCCGUUGUCGAGUCGCCAGGGGGCUCUGGGAGCACCACCCGCCGCGUAGAUCCCCGUGCCGCCCUCCUGGAGGCGACGGAAAGGAACGCGCGGGAGGUGCGGGAGGAGCAGGAAGCGCGGGAGGCGGUGGCACGGAGGGCAGCCGCCGCCCAGGCAGCUCGGGAGGAGGAGGCGGCGAAGGCGCUCGCCGAGGCUGCAGCCAAGGCCCAGGAAGAGGCUGAGGCCGAAGCGGUGGCAGGGGAGGCCUUGAUGGUCACCCCCCUGCGCGCCAUGGCGCCCGGGGACGCGGAUCCCUCGCCAGGGGGAGCCAGCGGUUCCCAGCCGGGUCUGGGCAGGAGCGGCGACGACGUUAUCCUCUUGAGGGAGGCGCCGGGGCCGACUCCUCCGACUAGGGCGGCCCAAGGCGGCCAGACUGAGCCUGCGCCCGCACAGUCGGCGGAAGGCGAGCCGGUCGCGGGAGCUGAGGUGGCGGUCCGGGUUCCGCCAAGCCGGCGCGCAGGGAAGGCCGCGUCGGAGCCGCAGAAGGCGGCGUCGGAGCCACGGCCGGCCGUGGGCUCCAGCUCGUCGGCCCGAGACGCGGAGGCGGCCAGCGCUACCUCCGGGUGGACGCCAGGCGGAGGGACAGCCGUGGUGAACAUCGCUGCACAAGACGUCCGGACCCGGCUCCAGGGCCAAGCCGCGGCGCUGAGGCAGUUCACCGACGAAUUCCUCGCGACGCGGGCAGCCAUCCGGGUUAGUAUUCUCAUUUUGUUCUUGAUUUUUCUCGUGGGGGCGCGUCAGCGCACCCACUGGGUGUAGUCCCCGAGUUCCGAGUCGGCUGCUGAGCAGGCGGCUUGGAACUUCUUGGAGAUUUUGUUUUUGCUGCUUUGUUCUUACUUCGGUCUUCUGUCCAUCUUGCAGGACUACCACAACCUCCGAGCAGCCGCCUUCAACUCCCAGGCUCGGGAGCUGACGCAGAAGACCGCCGAUCUCACUGAAAGCCGAGGUAUGUGACUUGAUCUCUAUCUCAUGUGGGGGCGCGUCAGCGCACCCACUGGGUGUAGUCCCCGAGAUUCGGGCCGACUGCUGAGCAGUCGGCUCGGAUCUUCCUUGAUGGUUUCUCAUUGUUCUUCUUCUCUAUCUCUGCAGCGGCCAACGCCAGUCUGAGGGCACAGCUGGGGGAGUCCCAGACUGCUCUUCGUGCCAAGGACGCGGAGCUCGCCGCCUUGGUGCAGGAGCGCGACCGCCUGGUCAAGAAGCUGGCCGACCAGGAGGAAGGCCACAAGGCUGCGCUAAAGGCUGUGCAGGAUCGUGAAGCCACCCUCCAGGCCGAGUUCGAGACGGAGGCGGCCGGCUGGGACGAGGCCAGGCAGACUCUGGUCUCCGGCUAUGGCCAGAUUGAGGACCUGGUUGACGGUAAGUCGUCUACUCCUUCAUCCUUUCUUGCCAACAGCCACUUCGGCUCGUUUUCCUGAUUUGGGGUUCUUCUUUUCUUUUCUUCUUUGCGCAGAGUACUUCCCCGGCUAUUCCACUGCCGCCAACCAGGCCAUCGAAGCUCGUCGCCAGGCGAAGAGGCAAGCCGGCUUCGAGAUCUCGCCGACCGCCGGCCGCUCGUUGGAGGAGCAGCUCCUGGCGAUCCAGGCUCGCAUCCAGCCGGCUCACAGGCUGCUCCGCCGGCUUCAGAGUGCCGGGUCACAGGUCCUGGCCGCCCUCUGGCCCGGCCAAGUGAUCCCGCGCACUCCCAGUCGGACCGCCGACUGGCUGGAGGUGGCCGUCGGCCGCUUCGAGGCUUGGAAGGCGUCAGCGGCUCGCUCCGGAGCCGGGCGGGCGCUGGAGUUCGUCAAGGCCUGGUACCCAGGCCUGAAUUUGGACCAGCUGGCCACCUGGCGGCAGCAAGCUGACACGGAGCUGGAGCCGGCGCGGCCGGCCAUCAUUCGGCGGGCUUCGGCGAUCGCCGACUACACCGACACCAACGUCUUCGCCCCCGAGGUGGACGACAAUGGAGUCGCCCAGCCGGAAGAUUGGUUCGGGCUGGACCCGGCGUGCGGCGAGGACUCGGCGGAGGAGAUCGACUCCAGCAACGAGGGCGAAGAGGAGGAGGAGGAGGGUGAAGACGUCGAGCCGGCUGGCGGAGUAGCCGGCCAGCCUGACCGUGCCUCCAGCACUACGUCGCGUGCGAGCGUGUCUCCUGCCGCAGGAGGUGGUCAAGCCGGGACUAGCUAGGCGGCCACUCCUUCAGCCGGCGAGCUACCUUCACCGACCCACUCGGCCUCCAAGUCGCACCUUAGUCUUCUUUCCUUUAUUUCCCUGUCUUGUUACUUUGAACAAUAUUUGGUUAAGUCUGCACAAUUCCACCCACUGGGUGUAUUCAAACUUAAGUCUGUUGCCAGCCUGUGGGCGGCUUUAUGUAUAUAAGUUAUGCAAUCGGUCUUUCCUUGUACUUUCGCUUUUUGUCCUUUUGCAUUUUUCCUUUGCCGCCCUCCUUUAGAUGCCGCCUCCCUAGUCAAACAGCUGCUCUGCAAACUGUAGCCGGGGAGUGCCUGGCCGAUUGGGGAGGGGGAAGUACUUUUAGCUCUGUCGGACUUAAGCUAAGUUUUUUAGAAAGCCGGCUAGCCGGCUGCUGUGACAGCCGGUAGGCAUAUACGGAGGCCGUCUUUUUGCUAUAUAGAUUAGUUGUUCCUUAGCCGUUUUUCGUGUGGGCGUCCUGUCUGUCUUCUCUCUUGCUAGUCGGACAGUCAGUUCUUUGAGCUGCGACUUUCAACAAGAGAGGACUUGGGAGCCGGCGCACUACUUUGCUGACUUCGGGAAGAACUUAGAAUAUAGCUCAAGGCGGCCAGUCCCCGGGCCGACUAGUCGGACCCGGUGCCGGACAAGAAUUCGAAAAUGUAAUAAUACAUUCAUGGAUAUGACACUCGUCAUUCAUAGAUAAAUAAAAGGCAGUCCCCGAGUACUGUUCGGGGGGGCUGUUGGUUUGUAACGUAAUACAAAAAGGGGGUAGCGUGAUACAUACUGCUUUUCAGCUGUAAAAUCGUCUUAGGAGGUUUGCGUUCCAUGGUCGCUCCGACUCCUUGCCGGAGUCGUCUCUCUUGCGUGCUCUUGGCUUUUGCGCGUCGAUCAAGUAGUAGGAGUCGUUGCUGAGUGCCUUGCUGACGACGAAGGGGCCUUCCCAAGGGGCCGAGAGCUUGUGCUGGCCGGCUAUUCGCUGGAUCAGCCGGAGCACAAGGUCGCCCUCUUGGAAGGAUCUUGGCUUGACCUUGCGGUUGUAGUAGCGGCGCAGGCCUUGCUGGUAGAUGGCGGACCGGCUGAGGGCUAACAGCCGGCCUUCUUCCAGUAGGUCGACGUCGUCUUCUCUUGCUUCUUUGGCUUCCUCCUCCGUGUACAUGGUGAUCCAAGGCAAGUCGAACUCGAUGUCUGUUGGGAUGACAGCCUCGGAACCGUACACAAGGAAGAAUGGAGUGAAGCCGGUUGACUUGUUGGGUGUAGUGCGCAGACUCCAGAGGACAGCCGGCAGCUCUUCGAGCCAGCAACCGGCCGAUCGCUCCAGUGGUACAACCAGUCGGGGCUUGAUGCCGGAGAGGAUAAGUCCAUUUGCUCGCUCGACCUGGCCGUUUGACUGUGGGUGGGCGACGGACGCUAAGUCCAGGCGGAUGCCCUGUGUCGCGCAGAAACGCGCCAGUGCGCCUUUGGCGAAGUUCGUGCUGUUGUCGGUGAUGAUGCUGUGCGGCAUGCCGUACCGAGUAGUGAUGUCGGUGAUGAACGUCACGGCAGUCGGCCCGUUCAGCUUCUUGAUGGGCUUGGCUUCGAUCCACUUUGUGAACUUGUCCACAGCAACGAGUAGGUGCGUCAUGCCACCGCGGGCUGUCUUGAAAGGGCCCACCAUGUCCAAUCCCCAGACGGCAAAAGGCCAGGUGAGGGGGAUGUUCUUGAGGGCAGAAGCCGGCAGGUGUUGUUUGGAACUGAAGACUUGACACCCUCUGCAGCUCCUCACUAUUUCUUUAGCAUCCUCCAAGGCAGUCGGCCAGAAGAACCCAUGGUGGAAAGCCUUGGCCACGAGGGAUCUUGAGGCGGCGUGGUGGCCGCAUUCGCCUUGGUGGAUGUCUUUGAGGAUUGCCACUCCUUUUUCUGGCUCGACGCAAUGCUGGAAGACUCCAGUGACGCUGCGCUUCACAAGCUCCCUAUUGAUUAUUGUGUAUGCUGCGGCUCGUCGUUGCACUAGUCUUGCUGCGAUCUCAUCAGUCGGCAGUGGUUGACUAGGAACUUGAGGAUGGGCUGGGCCCAUGAGGGAGCUGUGACUUCUUCUGCUGUUAAUGUGGCCACCAUGACUCGGGUGGGUGGGUUGGGUGUUGUAUUGGAGUCGACCGCCGCUUCUUGUGUCGUUGCAGUCCCCGGGCCGGGUUCUGAAGUCCCUGGGCCGGGUGCGACUACGUCAGUCCCCGGGGCAGUCGUCGAAGUCCCCGUGCCGCCUGCCGAAUUUCUUGAGCCGGAUCCGGCUGUUUCUGGCGCAGGCGGUAUGAAGGUGGAGUCCGACUCUGGAGACGACUUGAUGGACGGCUUGAGGAGGCGCUGGAGGGAGACGCCAGUCGGUAUGGCUUGUCGGGUGGAGCCGAUCCAUGCUAGGGCAUCUGCUUGGUCGUUGUCGGCCCUUGGCACAUGAAGGAACUCGCACCCUUCGAAGUAUCCGCUCAUCUGCUGGACGAGGAAGCGGUAGCUCGCCAUGUUCGCGUCCUUGGCGUCCCAGUCGCCAGAUGAUUGCUGGACCACUAAGUCGGAGUCGCCGUAGCACAGGAUCCGGCGUAUGCCGAGUUCUUUGGCUAGCCGGAGCCCAUGUACGAGCGCCUCAUACUCGGCCACGUUGUUGGAGGCGGCGAAGUGGAUCUGCAACGUGUACUUGAGCUUGUCGCCUUUGGGAGAGGUGAGGACGAUGCCGGCUCCCAAGCUGGUGCGCAUCUUGGACCUGUCAAAGUGCAUCCGCCAAUGGGUAGAGUCGGGAGCCGGCGGUAAGUACUGGGUCUCGGCCCAGUCGACGAGGAAGUCGGCCAAUGCUUGCGACUUGAUGGCGGUGCGGGGUUGAUAGAAAAUCGUGUAGGGCGCCAAGGCAAUGGCCCAUUAGGCCACCCGGCCGGAUGCAUCCCGGCUGCCUAUGAUCUCGGCGAGCGGGGCAGUGCACACGACCGUGAUGGGGUGCUCUUGGAAGUAGGGCUUCAAUUUCUUGGCAGCGAAGUACACCCCAUAGCACAUCUUUUGGUAGUGCGGGUAGUUUUGCUUUGAGCUGGACAGUACUUCGCUGAGAUAGUAGACCGACCUCUGGACCAGCUGAGCUCGGCCUUCCUCCGGGCGCUGGACCACAACAACAGUGCUGAUGACUCGGCUUGUCGCGGCGAUGUAGAGGAGCAUGGGCUCCUUCUCAGUCGGCGCAGCCAGGACAGGCGGAGUAGUCAACAUUUUCUUCAACUCAUGGAAGGCUUGGUCGGCUUGAUCAUUCCACUCAAAGUGAGUGGACUUCUUCAUGAGUCGGUACAGGGGGAGAGCCUUCUCUCCUAGUCGGCUGAUAAAACGGUUCAGGGAGGCUAAGCAGCCAGUGAACUUCUGCACAUCUCGCAGUUUGGUGGGAAUCUCCAUCCUCUCGAUGGCUUUGAUCUUGACAGGGUUGCACUCAAUGCCGCGUUCGGAGACCAGGAAGCCUAGCAGCUGGCCGGCUGGCACUCCGAACACGCACUUCUCGGGGUUGAGCUUGAUCUGGAAUCGGCGCAAGUUGGCAAAUGUUUCCUUCAGGUCUUCCAGCAAGGUACCACGCUUCUCUGUCUUCACCACAAUGUCGUCUACGUAGACGUGGGCAUUUCUGCCGAGUUGUUUCAAGAGACAUUUCUGCAUGCAACGCUGAAAAGUGGCACCGGCGUUUCUCAAGCCGAAUGUCAUUGUCAGGUAGCAGAAAGCUCCAAAGGGUGUGAUGAAGGCAGUCUUCAGGGGGUCGGCCGGGUCCAACUUGAUCUGAUGAUACCCUGAGUAUGCAUCCAAGAAACUUAACAGCUCGCAUCCGGCUGUGGAGUCUAUCACUUGGUCAAUCCGUGGCAAAGCAAACGGAUCCUUUGGGCAGGCCUUGUUCAGACUUGUGUAUUCUAUACACAUGCGCCACUUGUUAUUCUUCUUCAAAACCAGAACUGGAUUGGCAAGCCAUUCUGGAAAGAACACUUCCAUGAUGAAGCCGGCUGCAAGGAGCCGGGCUAUCUCUUCUCCCACGAUUCUUCGCUUCUCUUCUGAUAGUCGGCGGAGGGGUUGCUUGACCGGCUUCGCAUCAGCUCGGACAUGUAAUUUGUGCUCGGCGAAAUCCUUCGGGACACCCGGCAUGUCCUUUGGGGACCAUGCAAAGAUGUCUCGAUUCUCACGGAGGAAGUCGGCGAGCUCGCCUUCCUAUUUACUGUCCAAGUUCGCCCCAAUCACGGCGAACCUCUCCGGGUGCUCCGGGUCUAGAGGUAUCUUCUUCGUCUCUUUUGCAGGCUGGAAGGAGCCCUGCGCAUCACAGUCCUUGGGGUUGGGGGACAAGGCCGGCUGCUUGCCGGCCAUGGCCACAACCCGUUCCAACAUCUUCUUCUCUUCUGCCACCACGAGGGACUCGGCCAGCCGGCUGCUGGCCAUGGCACACUCGAUGGACUUCUUGUAGUCGCCGGCUAUCGUGAUGAUCCCUUUCGAGCUCGGCAUCUUCAUCUUCAGGUAGGCAUAGUGGGGCACAGCCAUGAACUUGGCCAAAGCAGGUCGGCCAAGCAGUGCAUGAUAGGGGCUCUCCAAAUCCACCACCUCGAACCAUAUUGCUUCCCGGCGAAAAUGAUCUUUGUCUCCGAAGAGAACAUCCAUCUUGAUCUUGCCGAUUGGAGAGCAAGAUAGGCCGGGUACGAUACCAUGGAAGACUGUGCGGCUCGGCAUGAGCUGCUUUGCUUUGAUGUUCAGCUUGUCCAUGGUAUCGCGGUACAGUAUGUUGAUACUGCUUCCGCCGUCUAUCAGGACGCGAGAAAAUCUGGCAGCUCGCCUCUCCGUCGCAAGGGUGAUGUCCAAGACCAUAGCAUAGGAGCCAGGCGAAGGCAUCACCUCUGGGUGGUCGGCCUGGCUCCAGCUGAUGGGCUUUUCCGACCAGUGCAUGAACUCGGCGGUGCUAGAGGCGACUGCGUUUACUUCUUGGUGCUGCCGGCGUCGGCUGCGCUUGUCGUCGACUUGACUUGUGAAGACGACGUAGGCGUCGUGCGCUUCGGGGAACUCGUCUUGGAUGGCGCCGACUGCCGGCCGGGCCGCCGGCUGCGGGGGAGCUGGAGGCGGCGGGCCGGGAGGCGGAGGCGGCACCAUCCCUUCGCCCUUGGUGGUGCGGGUGAGACAGUGGCAUUUCCGUGUUGUAUGGUUGGACGGCUUCGCGCCGCUGUGGAACUUGCAGGGAGCAUCGAGUGCUUGUUUGUAGGAGAAGGACGGCUGCCAAGGCGGCCGGCCUCCCUUCUUCUUGGGAGCACGCCGCUCUUCGGGCUGCUCGUCUUCAAUGGUGGCCACCUGCCGACUGGAGGAAGUCGGCAUGGGGCCCUUGCGCUUGUGGUCGUUCUGGUAGGGGCGCCGGUUGGGGUUGCCAGCCGGCUGCUUGGGAGCCGGGGCAACCACUUUCCCCGAGGCGUCCACUCGGAGCUCGGUCUUCAUGGAGGAAUCGGCAGUAGCGUAUUUGUCGGCGAUGACGAGUAGCUCGUCGAGGGUAGCCGGCUCGUCGCAGAGGAGUCGGUGCUUGAGGAGGGUGCCCUCUCGGCACCCGGCAGUGAAGUACUCGAUGGCCUGGACCUCGUGCACUCCCUCGCAGGAGUUGCGGAGCUCGGCCCAUCGCGUGAGGUAGUCGCGGGUCGACUCGUUGGGCCCCUGGACGCAGAGGGAGAGCUGGCGAGGCUUGGGAGGCCGCUUGUAGGUGCUGGUGAAGUUGCGGACGAAAACUUCGGUGAAGUCCAGCCAACUGUUGAUGCUGUAGGGCUUGAGGCUAUUGAGCCAUGUGCGCGCCGUGCCCUGCAGCAUCAGGGGGACGUACUUCACGGCAACGCGCCGGUUGCCGUUGGUGAUGCUGACGGCUGUGGAGUAGUCGAUGAGCCAAUCUUCCGGCUUCACCGAGCCGUUGUACUUGGGCGUGUCUCUGGGGAGCGAGAACCCUUUGGGAAAGGGCUCGUCGCAGAUGCGGGGGCCGAAGCAUGGCGGGCCGACAUCGUCUUCUUCUUCUAACACCAAGGAUCGAGCUAGGCGAUCGAUCCUGUGGCGGGCGUCGUUCUCGCCGACUCCUUCUCGGCGGCCGAGUCGGUCGCCAAGAGUCGGAUGCGUGACAGGCGGUGGAGUGAGGCGUCUUUCUCUUCGAGGCGGGGGAGGAGGCAGGUUUCCUUGGUGUUCAACCGCCCGAGGGCGACCAUCCGCGUCGCGCUCGAUAGUGACGCGAGUCCGGCUGCGGCUGGCAGCCGGCUCCUUGUCUUUCUUCUGACGCACACCGCUCGCAGUCGGCGAGCGGGACGUCGCGGCGUGCUCCCGGCGCGGGGGAUGGCUAUCAGCUCGGGCGCCGGCUUCGUGUCGUUCUGCAUCCGCGUCGAUCAGCUGCUGGAUCCGUCUCGUCAUGUAGGGGAGCUCAUCGACUCCCAUCCCACUGAGCUCCUCUGCAGCCGCCUGAGCGGCUCGCAGAUUCUCGAGCGGGGUGGCGUAGACGGGGCGAUCUGCGCCCAGCAUGCUGGCAACGGCUGCGCCGCGCUUCUGGACGAAGCCGGCUCGGCUCGGGCCGCUAGGCGGCGGCGUCCCGAAGGCGGCGCGGUCAACUUCGCGCUGGUGGGCCUCGGUGAGACGUCUCAUCGAGGCUAUCUUCUUGCCCUCCGCGAUGAGGGCACGGCGGCGUGCCUCCAGGGUCUCGGCGUCGGCGUCGGCCGGGAUGGGGACGGAGAGGUCGUGCAUCGCCGCUCGCUGAGCGUCGCGGGCGUUCUCGCCCGAGUCGGAGACGUGGCUGAUGACCAUCACUUCGGUGACAGCGCUGUUGCCGCUGUCAGCUCGAGGGAGUGGGUCGUCGAAGACCACCACGUUGGAGGGGUAAGCGUCGAGCGACGCGGUGUUGGAGUCGAUGAGCAUCGGGUCGGUGGAGCCGACAGACUCCAUGUCCGCGGCAGGCUCGCUGGAGACGUGAAGUUGGUCGAGGAGGCUGACAAGGCGGCUCUCGGGGUAGUCGGUGCCUGCGUCGGACGCAGGCUCGUCGGAGAUGCGAGUCUCGCCGAGCAGAUCGGCGAGGCGGCUCGCUGCGCAGGCGUCCUCGACGCCUUGCAGCGCGUCGGGGCAAGCGCCAUCGGGCGCAGCAGGCUGGCUGCGCUCGCGGGGAAGGAAGAGGGUUCCCGUCCAGAACAGGUCUCCGGACGACGGUGCACCUGGCCCCACGGUGGGCGCCAAAUGUCGGGUGGUUGGUGCGACAUAUGCCAAGGGAUGGCUUAUCAUUGUGGGAGCCAAUAAAACGUCGUCGGUGCCUGGAAACAGGAUGAGGCGAAGACAUGCACGCCGGCGAAUCUUACCCAGGUUCGGGGCUCUCCGAGGAGAUAACACCCCUAGUCCUGCUCUGCGGGGUCUCCGCAUGAUCACUAGAUCGAUAAAGGGUAGCUACAAUCGCUCCUAGAGCUGUUGGGAUCAAGGGAGAAGAAGAACAAGGCUAGCUCUUGCUUCUCUCUAUCUAUGUUUGUGCGUGUGCUAUGCUUGAAGGCCAAACAUGCAGAAGUGCGAACCAGAAGCGAACCCUUUGCAUGGGUGCUCCGGGGGGUUUAUAUAGGCCUACCCCCCGGGGGUACAAUGGUAAUCCGACUGGGAGCGGGUCCCAGCCGUCAGUGUCUAUGCUUGCCGGCUUCUCCGCCGGCUGCUGGGUCCCGCCGGCUGCUGGGUCCCGCCGGCGGCCGGCUACUUGGUCGACAGGCCGGCCCCACCGCCUAGGGCUUUGUCGGCGGCUGCUUACUGUAGCCGCGCCUCUGAUGAUGAGGGCUUUGUCGAGGUGAGCGUGGCUACAGUGGGCCGCCUCGGAGGCUAUCACUGUAGCCUCACCUCGUCUUGUCUCCUUAAUGGGGCUCCUGCUUCGAGGAAGGGCAUAGCCGGCUUCUGGAGGCCGGCUAUGCUCCCGGCCGACUAGGAAAAGCCAGGCCGCCUUCACGCCUCUCUCUGGCUGAAGGGGCCCGCAGUCCUUGGGUCAUACAGGAAUGGGUCGUGGAUGACGUCGAGGCUAACGUGGCUACAGUGCCGGGCCGCACGGGAGACCUCCCUCCCGUACGGCCUCCUGUAGCCAUGCCCGCCUCGGGCUUCGGGGGUCGUGGGCUGCACUGUGGCCAUGCCCCGUCAGGUCGUCGUUAUGUAGGAGUGGUUGUCGUGGCCGGUUUCUAGGAGUCGGCGUCCUUCUUGGCCGGCUCCUUGGAGUCGGCGAGGCUGGGUCGCCUUCCGGGAGUCGGCUUUAGUGGUGAUCGGCCGGGGAAGGCGUCCCAAAUGCUUGGAGUGCUUGAAGGCCCAAAGGCCUGAUAAAUUUUCUGAAGAGCCAGGGGUAGUCGGUUAGGCUACCCGUGGCCACUUACUCCGACAGUCCUGGUGUUGAUCAUGUUUUGCCCUAGGGAGAGGUUUAGUCAACGGAUCUGCUACAUUCAGGUCCGUGUGUACUUUACAAAUUUCUAUGUCUCCAUUUUGAACACUUUCACGAAUGGAGUUGAAGCGACGCUUGAUAUGCCUGGUCUUCCUGUGAAACCUGGGCUCCUUCGCAAGGGCAAUAGCUCCAGUGUUGUCACAGAAGAGAGUCAUUGGACCCGACGCAUUGGGAAUCACCCCUAGGUCGGUAAUGAACUCCUUCAUCCAGACUGCUUCCUGUGCUGCCUCCGAGGCUGCCAUGUAUUCCGCUUCACAUGUAGAUCCCGCCAUGACGCUUUGCUUGCAACUACACCAGCUUACUGCUCCUCCAUUCAAAAUAUACACGUAUCCGGUCUGUGACUUCGAGUCAUCCAGAUCUGUGUCGAAGCUAGCGUCGACGUAACCCUUUACGACGAGCUCUUCGUCACCUCCAUAAACGAGAAACAUAUCCUUAGUCCUCUUCAGGUACUUCAGGAUAUUCUUGACCGUUGUCCAGUGUUCCUUGCCGGGAUUACUUUGGUACCUUCCUACCAAACUUACGGCAAGGUUUACAUCAGGUCUGGUACACAGCAUGGCAUACAUAAUAGACCCUAUGGCCGAGGCAUAGGGGAUGACACUCAUCUCUUCUAUAUCUUCUGCCGUGGUCGGGCAUUGAGCCGUGCUCAAUUGCACACCUUGCAAUACAGGCAAGAACCCCUUCUUGGACUGAUCCAUACUGAACUUCUUCAAUAUCUUGUCAAGGUAUGUACUCUGUGAAAGACCAAUGAGGCGCCUUGAUCUAUCUCUAUAGAUCUUGAUGCCUAAUAUAUAAGCAGCUUCUCCAAGGUCCUUCAUUGAAAAACACUUAUUCAAAUAGGCCUUUAUACUUUCCAAGAAUUCUAUAUCAUUUCCCAUCAAUAGUAUGUCAUCCACAUAUAAUAUGAGAAAUGCUACGGAGCUCCCACUCACUUUCUUGUAAACACAGGCUUCUCCAUAAGUCUGUGUAAACCCAAACGCUUUGAUCAUCUCAUCAAAGCGAAUGUUCCAACUCCGAGAUGCUUGCACCAGCCCAUAGAUUGAGCGCUGGAGCUUGCAUACUUUGUUAGCAUUCUUAGGAUCGACAAAACCUUCCGGCUGCAUCAUAUACAACUCUUCCUUAAGGAAGCCGUUAAGGAAUGCCGUUUUGACGUCCAUCUGCCAUAUCUCAUAAUCAUAGUAUGCGGCAAUUGCUAACAUGAUUCGGACGGACUUCAGCUUCGCUAUGGGUGAGAAAGUCUCAUCGUAGUCAACCCCUUGAACUUGUCGAUAACCCUUAGCGACAAGUCGAGCUUUGUAGAUGGUCGAAUUACCAUCUGCGUCCGUCUUCUUCUUAAAGAUCCAUUUGUUUUCUAUGGCUCGCCGCUCAUCGGGCAAGUCAGUCAAAGUCCAUACUUUGUUUUCAUACAUGGAUUCUAUCUCGGAUUUCAUGGCUUCUAGCCAUUUGUCGGAAUCCGGGCCCGCCAUCGCUUCUUCAUAGUUCGAAGGUUCACCGUUGUCUAACAACAUGAUUUCUAGGACAGGGUUGCCGUACCACUCUGGUGCGGAACGUGUCCUUAUGGACCUACGAAGUUCAGUGACUUGAUCUGUAGCUUCAUGAUCAUCAUCAUUAACUUCCUCUCCAGUCGGUGUAGGCACCAUAGGAACAUUUUCCCGCGCUGCGCUACUUUCCGGCUCGGAAGGGGUGACUAUCACCUCAUCAAGUUCCACUUUCCUCCUACUCAAUUCUUUCGAGAGAAACUCCUUCUCCAGAAAGGACCCGUUCCUGGCAACGAAGAUUUUGCCUUCGGAUCUGAGGUAGAAGGUAUACCCAAUAGUUUCCUUAGGGUAUCCUAUGAAGACGCAUUUUUCCGACUUGGGUUCGAGCUUUUUAGGUUGAAGUUUCUUGACAUAAGCAUCGCAUCCCCAAACUUUUAGAAACGACAGCUUAGGUUUCUUCCCAAACCAUAAUUCAUACGGUGUCGUCUCAACGGAUUUCGACGGAGCCCUAUUUAAAGUGAAUGCGGCAGUCUCUAAAGCAUAACCCCAAAAUGAGAGCGGUAAAUCGGUAAGAGACAUCAUAGAUCGCACCAUAUCCAAUAGAGUGCGAUUACGACGUUCGGACACACCAUUUCUCUGAGGUGUUCCAGGCGGCGUGAGUUGUGAAACUAUUCCACAUUUCCUUAAGUGUGCACCAAACUCGUGACUUAAAUAUUCUCCACCACGAUCUGAUCGUAGGAAUUUUAUUCUCCUGUCACGUUGAUUCUCAACCUCACUCUGAAAUUCUUUGAACUUUUCAAAGGUUUCAGACUUGUGUUUCAUUAGGUAGACAUAUCCAUAUCUACUUAAAUCAUCAGUGAGAGUGAGAACAUAACGAUAUCCUCCACAAGCCUCAACACUCAUUGGACCACACACAUCGGUAUGUAUGAUUUCCAAUAAGUUGGUUGCUCGCUACAUUGUUCCGGAGAACGGAGUCUUGGUCAUCUUACCCAUGAGGCAUGGUUCACACGUGUCAAAUGAUUCGUAAUCAAGAGACUCCAAAAGUCCAUCUGCAUGGAGCUUCUUCAUGCGCUUGACACCAAUGUGACCAAGGCGGCAGUGCCACAAGUAUGUGGGACUAUCGUUAUCAACUUUACAUCUUUUGGUAUUCACACUAUGAACAUGUGUAACAUCACGUUCGAGAUUCAUCAAAAAUAAACCAUUGACCAGCGGGGCAUGACCAUUAAACAUAUCUCUCAAAUAAAUAGAACAACCAUUAUUCUCGGAUUUAAAUGAGUAGCCAUCUCGAAUUAAACGAGAUCCAGAUACAAUGUUCAUGCUCAAAGCUGGCACUAAAUAACAAUUAUUGAGGUUUAAAACUAAUCCCGUGGGUAGAUGCAGAGGCAGCGUGCCGACGGCGAUCACAUCGACCUUGGAACCAUUCCCGACGUGCAUCGUCACCUCGUCCUUUGCCAGUCUCCGUUUAUUUCGUAGUUCCUGUUUUGAGUUACAAAUAUGAGCAACCGCACCGGUAUCAAAUACCCAGGAGCUACUACGAGUACUGGUAAGGUACACAUCAAUUACUUGUAUAUCACAUAUACCUUGGGUGUUGCCGGCCUUCUUCUUGUCCGCUAAAUAUUUGGGGCAGUUCCGCUUCCAGUGACCACUUCCCUUGCAAUAAAAGCACUCAGUCCCGGGCUUGGGUCCAUUCUUUGACUUCUUCCCAGUAACUGGUUUACCGGGCGCGGCAACUCCCUUGCCGUCCUUCUUGAAGUUCUUCUUACCCUUGCCCUUCUUGAACUUGGUGGUUUUAUUCACCAUCAACACUUGAUGUUCUUUUCUGAUCUCCCCUUCCGCUGAUUUCAGCAUUGAAUAUACCUCGGAAAUGGUCUUUUCCAUCCCCUGCAUAUUGUAGUUCAUCACAAAGCUCUUGUAGCUUGGUGGAAGCGACUGGAGGAUUCUGUCAAUGACUGCGUCAUCCGGGAGAUUAACUCCCAGCUGAGACAAGCGGUUGUGCAACCCAGACAUUCUGAGUAUGUGCUCACUAACAGAACUGUUCUCCUCCAUUUUACAGCUGAAGAAUUUGUCGGAGACAUCAUAUCUCUCGACCCGGACAUGAGCUUGAAAAACAAGUUUCAGCUCCUCGAACAUCUCAUAUGCUCCAUGUUUCUCAAAACGCUUUUGGAGACCCGGUUCUAAGCUGUAAAGCAUGCCGCACUGAACAAGGGAGUAAUCAUCAGCACGUGAUUGCCAAGCGUUCAUAACGUCUUGGUUCUGUGGGAUUGGUGCAUCACCUAGCGGUGCUUCUAAGACAUAAUCUUUCUUGGCUACUAUGAGGAUGACCCUCAAGUUCCGGACCCAGUCCGUAUAGUUGCUGCCAUCAUCUUUCAGCUUGGUUUUCUCUAGGAACGCGUUGAAAUUGAGGACAACGUUGGCCAUUUGAUCUACAAGACAUAGUGUAAAGAUUUUAGACUAAGUUCAUGAUAAUUGAGUUCAUCUAAUCAAAUUAUUUAAUGAACUCCCACUCAGAUAGACAUCCCUCUAGUCAUCUAAGUGAAACAUGAUCCGAGUUCAACUAGGCCGUGUCCGAUCAUCACGUGAGACGGGCUAGUCAAGAUCGGUGAACAUCUCCAUGUUGAUCGUAUCUUCUAUACGACUCAUGCUCGACCUUUCGGUCCUCCGUGUUCCGAGGCCAUGUCUGUACAUGCUAGGCUCGUCAAGUCAACCUAAGUGUAUUGCGUGUGUUCCGAGGCCAUGUCUGUACAUGCUAGGCUCGUCAACACCCGUUGUAUUCGAACGUAAGAAUCUAUCACACCCGAUCAUCACGUGGUGCUUCGAAACGACGAACCUUCGCAACGGUGCACAGUUAGGGUGAACACUUUCUUGAAAUUAUUAUAAGGGAUCAUCCUACUUGCUACCGUCGUUCUAAGCAAAUAAGAUGCAAAAACAUGAUAAACAUCACAUGCAAUCAAAUAGUGACAUGAUAUGGCCAAUAUCAUUAUGCUCCUUUGAUCUCCAUCUUCGGGGCACCAUGAUCAUCUUCGUCACCGGCAUGACACCAUGAUCUCCAUCAUCAUGAUCUCCAUCAUUGUGUCUUCAUGAAGUCGUCACGCCAACGAUUACUUCUACUUCUAUGGCUAACGCGUUUAGCAAUAAAGUAAAGUAAUUUACAUGGCGUUAUUCAAUGACACGCAGGUCAUACAAAAUAAUAAAGACAACUCCUAUGGCUCCCGCCGAUUGUCAUACUCAUCGACAUGCAAGUCGUGAUUCCUAUUACAAGAAUAUGAUCAAUCUCAUACAUCACAUAUAUCAUUCAUCGCAUCUUCUGGCCAUAUCACAUCACAUAGCUCUUGCUGCAAAAACAAGUUAGACAUCCUCUAAUUGUUGUUGCAAGUUUUUUACGUGGUUUGUAGGUUUCUAGCAAGAACGUUUCUUACCUACGUAUGACCACAACGUGAUUUGCCAAUUUCUAUUUACCCUUCAUAAGGACCCUUUUCAUCGAAUCCGUUCCGACUAAAGUAGGAGAGACAGACACCCGCUAGCCACCUUAUGCAACUUGUGCAUGUCAGUCGGUGGAACCUGUCUCACGUAAGUGUACGUGUAAGGUCGGUCCGGGCCGCUUCAUCCUACAAUGCCGCCGAAACAAGAAAAGACUAGUCGCGGCAAGAAGAAUUGGCAAACUCAACGCCCACAACUGCUUUGUGUUCUACUCGUGCAUAGUAACUACGCAUAAGCCUGGCUCAUGAUGCCACUGUUGGGAUUCGUAGCAUAAUUUUAAAAUUUUCCUACGCUCACCAAGAUGCAUCUAUGGAGUCUACUAGCAACGAGGGGAAGGAGUGGAUCUACACACCCUUGUAGAUCGCCAGCAGAAGCGUUCCAAUGAACGUGGAUGACGGAGUCGUACUCGCCGUGAUCCAAAUCACCGAUGACCGAGUGCCGAAUGUACGGCACCUCCGCGUUCAACACACGUACGGUGCAGCGAUGUCUCCUCCUUCUUGAUCCAGCAAGGGGGAAGGAGAGGUUGAUGGAGAUCCAACAGCACGACGGCGUGGUGGUGGAUGUAGCGGGUCUCCGGCAGGGCUUCGCCGAGCUUCUGCGAGAGAGAGAGAGAGGUGUUGCAGGGGAGGAGGGAGGCGCCAAAGGCUGUUGUGUGCUGCCCUCCCUCCCCCCCCCCUUUAUAUAGGCCCCUGGGGGGGUACGCCAGCCCCAAGAGAUGGGAUCUCAAGGGGGGUGGUGGCCAAGUGGGGGGGAAGGGGUGCCUUGCCCCCCAAGGCAAGGGGGAAGCUCCCCCCCCUAGGGUUUCCAACCCUAGGCGCAUGGGGGGAGGCCCAAGGGGGGCGCCCCAGCGCACUAGGGGCUGGUUCCCUUCCACUUUCAGCCCACGGGGCCCUCCGGGACAGGUGGCCCCACCCGGUGGACCCCCGGGACCCUUCCGGUGGUCCCGGUACAAUACCGGUAACCCCCGAAACUUUCCCGGUGGCCGAAACUUGACUUCCUAUAUAUAAUUCUUCACCUCCGGACCAUUCCGGAACCUCUCGUGACGUCCGGGAUCUCAUCCGGGACUCCGAACAACUUUCGGGUUUCCGCAUACAUAUAUCUCUACAACCCUAGCGUCACCGGACCUUAAGUGUGUAGACCCUACGGGUUCGGGAGACAUGCAGACAUGACCGAGACACCUCUCCGGUCAAUAACCAACAGCGGGAUCUGGAUACCCAUGUUGGCUCCCACAUGCUCCACGAUGAUCUCAUCGGAUGAACCAUGGUGUCGAGGAUUCAAUCAAUCCGUAUGCAAUUCCCUUUGUCAAUCGGUAUGUUACUUGCCCGAGAUUCGAUCGUCGGUAUCCCAAUACCUUGUUCAAUCUCGUUACCGGCAAGUCUCUUUACUCGUACCGCAAUGCAUGAUCCCGUGACUAACGCCUUAGUCACAUUGAGCUCAUUAUGAUGAUGCAUUACCGAGUGGGCCCAGAGAUACCUCUCCGUCACACGGAGUGACAAAUCCCAGUCUCGAUUCGUGCCAACCCAACAGACACUUUCGAAGAUACCCGUAAUGCACCUUUAUAGUCACCCAGUUACGUUGUGACGUUUGGCACACCCAAAGCACUCCUACGGUAUCCGGGAGUUGCACGAUCUCAUGGUCUAAGGAAAAGAUACUUGACAUUGGAAAAGCUCUAGCAAACGAAACUACACGAUCUUUUAUGCUAUGCUUAAGUUGGGUCUUGUCCAUCAUAUCAUUCUCCUAAUGAUGUGAUCCCCUUAUCAAUGACAUCCAAUGUCCAUAGUCAGGAAACCAUGACUAUCUGUUGAUCAACGAGCUAGUCAACUAGAGGCUUACUAGGGACAGGUUGUGGUCUAUGUAUUCACACAUGUAUUACGAUUUCCGGACAAUACAAUUAUAGCAUGAAUAAUAGACAAUUAUCAUGAACAAAGAAAUAUAAUAAUAACCUUUUAUUAUUGCCUCUAGGGCAUAUUUCCAACAAUAAGGAUUCCCCCUUCCUCUUCUCACGCUCUUUCUCCGUCUCCGCCUCUCCGAUCUCAAGCUCGAGCGCCCAAGUUCUCAUCUCCUUUCCACUCAAGCAACCAUGUCCGGAUCCGGUGGUCAGGGCAAGUGGAUGGUCUCCUCCGUCAAGGAGGAGGACAUUACUGAGCUCCGGGCAGCCGGAUAUUUGGCGAAGGAGAUCGCCCACCGCCUGCCGGCCGAGGUACAAAUUGUCCCCAUGCCGAAGCCCACUGAGAGGGUAGUAUUCAUCCCCCAUUUCUUCCGCGGGCUAGGGUUUCCACUCCACCCUUUUGUCUGCAGGCUAAUGUAUUAUUACGGAAUAGAUUUCCAUGAUCUGUCCCCGAAUUCCUUCCUCAACAUCUCGGCGUUUAUCAUCGUGUGCGAGGCCUUCCUCUGCAUCCAUCCCCACUUCAGGCUGUGGCUCAAAGUCUUCAAGGUGAAGCCAAAGGUGGUGGAUGGCCAGCACGCGGAGUGUGGAGGAGCCAUGGUGAGCAAGCUAUCCAACGUCUCCUGGCCCAAAGGCACUUUUGUGGAGACAGUAAAGGAAUGGCAGAAGCAGUGGUUCUACAUCACAGAACCUCGCGGCACCACCUGGGCCGCGGCUGCCAGAUUCUGCUCCGGUGCUCCCAUGCGACUCACCUCCUGGGUCGAGAAGAGUCCGGACUGGAGUUCACCUGACGAGCUGAUAGCGUUGCAGACGCGCGUUCAAAGCAUGGUGACCAAGAACUUCAAGCUCGUUGACGUCAUCUAGGUGAUGCUGGUCCGCCGGAUUCUUCCGUGCCAGCGCCGGAGCCGCCCUUUGUGGGAGUUCAAUUCGAAGAAGCACUAGACCUUGAAAAGGCUCUUCGAGACUUCUCACGAAGGGGCCUGGAAGUUGCUCUUUAAGGGCAACGAGAAGCCACCGGCCACGGACUCAGACCGUGGUCACGAUUGUAAACACCCCGCCAGCGAGGUAUGUUUUCUCUGACGUAUCCCCGACUUAAAUGUUUCGAGGAUGAUUCUAAGUUUUUAUUAUUUCUCUUUCAGGACUGGAUGGAGAGGGCGAGGCGGAUCCGGUGUCCGGCCCCGCUGCCUGAAGAACCUGUCAUCUCGCGCCUGGCGAAUAUGCUGGUGCCGGUGCCAUAUAAGGCGCCGGAGAAGAAGGCCAAGAAGAAGGCCAAGGGGGCCAAGAGUGGCCCCCGUCGCAAGGGCAGUCCGGACGUGACGUCCGAAGACGACGAAGCUCAUUCCUCUGUACCUGAGGACAAUGACGAGGAAGAGGAGGAGGAGGAGGAGAACAACCCUCCCCCCGAGGAGAAGAAGAAGAAGAGGGCGGCUUCGGCGCAUCUGGAGGCGGAGACGCCCAAGAAGGGGAAAGGCGUCCCAGCGGUCAACACCUCAUGGGAUGUCGACAGUAGUCCGGAACAACGCCCCCGUACUAAGCCCCAGGCCGCAUCGUAAGUGACGUGGCUUGCUCGCGCGCACAUCCGGCCCUUUUUCUCCAUUUAUCUUUGACAUAGUUUAACUGUACUAUUGCAGUCCGGCCCGUGACCUUAUCCAGCAAUCCUCAUCUGAAGGCUCGUUGGCUCCGUCGGAGAUGGCGAGCAUGUCGCCACCGCCCGCUUACUCCCCUGGGGCUAGGGAUGACGCCGAAGUGCUGUCCCGAAAGACCGCUCUGAACUAGGGAGGAGCCCAGGACGUUGUCCGGGAGGCGCCACAAGGCGGGACCUCCACUGCCGGACACAUGAGGGAGCCAAUCCCCAUGGAGACUGGCGAAGAAGGCCGUAUCCAGUUCGGCUCUCAGCCGAAUACGAUUCUAGAGACCCAUAUGGCUCCGGAGUCGGGCGAGCAGCCCCCUUUGAAGGAGAGGGGUGCGCCGCCUCCACCGGUGGCUCCUGUCCAUCCAGGAGCGUCGGAUGACCUAACGGGGGCGCUACGAAGCGCCUCCGUCGUGGACGAGCAUCGUGUCCUUAUGGGUGCGGUGAUCGAGAAGGUUCAGUCCACCAAGAGCGGACUGAAUGAAGCCUGUAGUAGCCUGUUAACAGGUUUCGAGGUAAGAAAGAGAGAAAAACCCGAAUAGUCCGUAGCCCCUAAGACGUUGUCCGGUGUUCAGCGAGAAGAACCGGACAGGGGAUCAAUCCUUAAUUAUAAGAGGCUGACUGAAUAUAUAUCGAUAAGCAGGCGUCCCUAUUGGUCGCGACCUCGCAUGCUACCGAGGUCUCCGAACUGAGGCGGAGGCUGGAGCGGACCGAGAACGAGCUCGGCGAGGUUAAGGUUCGGCUCCAGGAUCAGCAAGGUGAGUAACGACUUGUUGUAUGUUCGGGAAAGGAUAAGCGCUGUAUAUUGACAAUGGUAUUGUGAUACAUGAAGAAGCCGCGACCGAGGUCGAGGCCCUGAGGAAGGCCCUAGGCGAGGCCGAGGAGCAGGCUGUCCAGCAGCAAGAUGCCCGUAAGAAGCUAGAGGCCCGGGUCAAAGAAGUCCAGCAGGAGCUCCAGGAUGCGGUUAACAAAUGUGAGACCUUGGAGAAUGAUGCAUCGGCUCAAGGGGCCGAGCUCACCAAGGCUCGUCAGAGCACGGAGACCGCUCGGAAUGAGGCCCAGGCCGCCCUCCAGGAGAUCCAGGAGGCCAAGAAGAUCACAGCGGGUAAGGCUUUUAAUAUGCAAAGCAAGUACGCGGAGAAGCAGUACCUUUUACUAACCCGGGUUCGGAGUUCCCCAGGGGCUUUUGCUGAUCUACCACACAGUGUAUCGGACGCCGUGGAGUUCUAUCGAGCCGAAGGAGGGGGUUCCACAGAGAAGCUCUUCUGGUCGUAAUAUGCGGUGCCAGAGCCUCCCAUGUCCUUCACCGAUCAGCUGAAACAGCUGGUGGAGCUGCACAAGGUGGCCGAAUUAGCCAUGAAGAAUUUGACAAUCCGGCUAUGGCCAGCCGAAGCUAUGCCUGGCAGCUACUUCAGACUCGUGAGGCGGAUGGUAAACGCAUGUCCUCGGCUGGACGUCAUCAAGCGCUCCGCCUGUAUUGAAGGUGCCCGUAUGGCCUUCGCUUGCUGCAAGAUGUGGUGGGCGAAGAUGAACGCUGUUGAAGUUGCCAGCGGGCUGCCGGAGGGCAAGGAGCACCGCACACCCGAGCAAUAUUUCGCGGAUGUCGUAGAGGGGUCUCGACUUGUGGCGGCGCAAUGUUCGUAGGACAUUGUAUUUAAAUAAAUGUAUUCGUGUUGCCCUUUGCCUUGUAUUAUAGGAACAAAGCCGGUUUUUGUAAAAUAAUUUUAUUAUGCUUUGAAUUGUUUCCUCCUGUGUAGCCGUGUUAUUUGUAAUCUGAGGGUUGGCUAGCCGUCGGCUUCUGCCCUCGCGUAGGUAGUACGGAGGUGUUCGGAAUGGAUUCUAAACAAUCUUGAUCCAAUUAUAUGGUCCCUUGGAGGAUUUGUUUAGCGCAACGAACAAGGCAAUCGGACUGUACGGCUUAAACGCCCUCACUUAGCCAUAGGAGUUUUAUAAUUAAGCAAGUGCGCAGCCCCUGGUCCAAGCUAGGGUGCUGUCGGCGUCUAAUCGGGAAGUGUCGAUCCUUCGCAUGAUGCGGAAAAAAUCUCCAAUGAUUUUGUAACCCUCGAAUAGCUGACCGGCUCUCGCCGUAUCAUGACAGACAAUUUUCGGCUUUCUCUACUGAGGUGCUCAUAUGGUCAAGGCCAGGGCACAAUCGCAGUAGUUCUCCCUUUACUAACCUAGCCGAUAGAGCGGAACGUAGGGUAGCAAGCAUAGGAGCCCGGCAACCCAACUAUUGACCAAAGACAUGAUUCGGAGCCAAUGCAUAUAAUGCUAAAUUCGGGGUGCCGAACUUAUAUAUAAGAAGUGUUCGGACUUUGCUGCCGUAUUGUGGGGCGACAAGUAGCCCCUGGCGAAUAUGAAACGUAAAAGAGUGUCGAUGCAGCAAAUAAGCAAAUCGAAAUAAAAUGAAGUAAGAAGCGAAAACCAUAGAAACUGGGCCACGAACCAUUUUUAUUAUAACUGGAUGGAUACGUCAAGGUGUAUCUUGUAUAGAUGGUGCGAUAAGUAUCCGGGCCUACACACCUGUGCUGCUUGCCUCCGUUGUAUGCCAAUCCUUCUAAAGGACUCGCGAUCAGGCCCGUGGAAAAAGGAACCUGAAACAAGAAAAAAAAAGUAAAAGUGCGUGUGUUCGGGAUCUGUCUGGCCGAACUGUAGACCCCGGGUUAUCUUGUGCCUCCGUCGAUGUCCAUGGAAUUUUGAGUGCGUAAUUGUGUACGCGUGGUACGAAUGCCACUACCUCAUUGGGACUGGGACGGAGGCCGAAUUGCUAGUCGAGCACUUGACGAGCCGCACCGUCCUGUUGCAGUGAAGUCCGGAACCUCUUAAUGAUGUCCGAGGGCUCGACAGCCGUACUAUGGUGCUUCUUGAGAAGGCCGCUCUGUACUUCUGCUGCUAGGGCGGCGGUGUGCUCCUCUGUUCGGAGGGAGCGUUCCGUAUUGCCAUUGACUGUUCUGACGCCGAGUGGACCGGGCAUCUUGAGCUUGAGAUAAGCAUAGUGUGGCACUGCACUGAAUCUAGCAAACACGGUUCGUCCGAGCAGUGCGUGAUAGCCGCUGCAGAAGGGGGCGAUAUCGAAGAUUAACUCUUCGCUUCGGAAGUUUUCCGGAGAACUAAAGAGUACCUCUAGCGUGAUUGAGCCCGUACAGCGGGCCUCUACGCCUGGUAUGACUCCUUUAAAGGUAGUCUUUGUUGGUUUGAUUCGCGAGGGGUUAAUGCCCAUCUUCCGCACUGUGUCCUGAUAAAGCAGGUUGAGGCUGCUACCGCCAUCCAUCAGGACUCGUGUUAGGUGAAACCCGUCAAUAAUUGGGUCGAGGACUAGUGCGGCCGAACCGCCAUGGCGGAUACUAGUUGGGUGAUCCCGACGAUCGAAGGUGAUCGGGGAUGAUGACCACGGAUUGAAUUUUGGGCGACUGGCUCUACCGCGUAGACGUCCCUAAGUGCUCGCUUACGCUCCCUUUUGGGGAUGUGCGUAGCGUAUAUCAUGUUCACCGUUUUGACUUGAGGGGGAAAUUUCUUCUGCCCCCCAGUGUUCGGCUGCCAGGGCUCUUCGUCCUCGUCCUCACUUUGUGAUCCCUUUUCUUUUUUCGGCAUUUAACUUGUCGGCCUGCUUGAAGACCCAACAAUCCCUGUUGGUAUGAUUAGCUUGCUUAUCCGGGGUGCCAUGAAUUUGGCACGGACGGUCGAGUAUGCGGUCCAGGCUGGAAGGUCCUUCGCUGUUUCUUUUGUAGGGCUUCUUCCGUUGGCCGAACUUGGAGCUACUGAAUCCGGCGUUGACUGCGGUGUCAUCGGUGUUGUCGCCAUUGCUUCGGCAUUUGUGUCUAUUGCGCCGGAGCUUUCCAGUGCUGUUCUUGGCCUCAGUGGGGCUUGCCUCGCUGGCUGUGUUUUUACUACGAGCCAGCCAGCUGUCCUCACCCGCACAAAAGCAGGUCAUGAGUGUCGUGAGGGCUGCCAUAGACUUCGGCUUUUCUUGGCCGAGGUGGCGUGCUAGCCAUUCGUCACGGAUGCUGUGUCUGAAGGCUGCUAGGGCCUCGGCAUCCGGACAGUCAACGAUCUGGUUCUUUUUGGUUAGGAACCUAGUCCAGAAUUUUCUGGCUGAUUCUCCAGGUUGUUGAACUAUAUCGCUUAAGUCAUCAGCGUCUGGUGGCCGGACAUAAGUUCCUUGGAAGUUAUCAAGGAAAGCCUCUUCCAAGUCUUCCCAGCUGCUGAUGGAAUUCUCAGGCAGGCUAUUUAACCAGUGCCGAGCUGGCCCUUUGAGCUUUAAUGGGAGGUAUUUGAUGGCGUGGAGGUCAUCUCCUCGAGCCAUAUGGAUAUGGAGAAUGAAAUCCUCGAUCCAUACUGCGGGAUCGAUUGUGCCAUCGUAUGAUUCAAUGUUGACAGGCUUGAACCCCUCGGGGAAUUCGUGAUCCAGUACUUCAUCUGUGAAGCAGAGAGGGUGUGCGGUGCCGCUAUAUCGGGCUGCGUCGUGGCGUAGCUCUGAUGGAGUCCGUCUGCGGUAUUCAGCCCGGGCGUGGUUAGGUUUAUCACGUCCGAAUAGGUAGCCCUCGUCGUGCCUCGAGGCACGUCCUCGCGAUCCGUAGAUCGAUCUUGUAUGUCCUGCUCUACUGUCCAGGGUCUGCCGGAGGUCGUACGUGUGACCCCGAACUCUUCCGUUUCUGUUUUUACGGGGCGGUGGGGCAGGCUGCUGUUCGGCCUGAGUUGCCGCUUUAUCCCGGCCGCGGGGUGGCCGGUCGGCUGCCCUGUCUCGACCACGUGGUGGUCAUUCUGCACUAUGCGAGGGAGAUGUGUGCUCCGGUGCUUCCUCAUCGAAUUGAGGUAGUAGUCUGCGUUUCAGGUAGCUCUUGGCUGGGCGCCUGAGGCCGUAUUCUUCGGCUGUCAGGACAUUAGUCCAUCUAUCGACGAGCAGAUCUUGUUCAGCUUGGAGCUGAUGUUGUUUCUUUUUCAGACUCCUUGCAAUGGCUAUGAGCUGAAGCUUAAAGCGCUCCUGCUCCAGAGGAUCCUCCGGCACGAUGAAGUCUUCGUUGCCGAGGCUUGUCUCCUCCCCGGAGGGUGGACGGUAACUAUCGUGCUCCGAGUCAUCUUCUAUGGCCUGUUCAUCAGGGUUAUCUUGCCUGUUUGCCGUGUUCCUCCUGAUCGGAUGCAGCUCCGACAGGGUCUUCAUUGUUUUCGGCAUCGCCUGGAGUACUAUUUUCUCCGGUGCCGGUGUUGCCGUCCCUUGAGCGACGAGGCUUAGGGCGGCGUUUGGGGCGUCGGCGCUUCGACUGUAUCUUAGAGAUUUUAUUCGCAUCUGGCUCUUCUUUGUCGUCGCCAGAUCCUUUGGGUGUAUCAACCAUGUACACGUCAUACGAAGAGGUAGCCGUCCAGCGUCCGGUGAAUGGCGGGUCUUGGCCUUGCUCCUUAUCGGCAUCAUCGUCCAUACCGUCGAUGUCUUCGGAGCCAUAGUCAAGCACGUCGGUUAAGUCAUCGACGGUGGCUAUGAAGUGGGUGGCGGGUGGGGAGCAAAAUUCUUCGUCAUCCGUCUCUAGCUCGAACCGGACGUAAUUCGGCUAUGAGUCCUUCUCCAAGGAAAAAUUCUUUAAAGAUUUUAGCACGUCACCCAAAGGCGAGUGCUGGAAAACGUCAGCGGCGCUGAACUCGGAGAUCGAUAACCGAUCUAGCUCGGUGUCCGCGGGCAUACACAGUCCGGAACUUAUAGCCGGAGACAAGUCCGAAGUUCCGUUGAAGCGAAUAUUGCAGGGCGUUGAGUCCGUGUGCGGCUCUAACGCCGCGGAUUCUGCGGCCUCGGAUGGCACGAUCUGCUUUGGCCCUAAGGCCGUUGCAGCAGCCGGAACCAUCUCUUGGGUGUGAUCCGAUGACAGAUUUAAGUCACGUUCAUCGGGGUGAGGGGGAGCGAUCGCCGCGGGCUCAAAUCCCUUGAAGAUCAAGUCUCCACGGAUAUCCGCGAUGUAGUUCAAGCUUCCGAAUCUGACCUGAUGGCCAGGGCGUAGCUGUCGAUCUGCUCUAGAUGGCCAAGCGAGUUGGCCCGCAGUACGAAGCCGCCGAAUGCGAAGGUCUAUCCAGGGAGGAAGGUUUCUCCCUGGACAACGUCAUUACUGACGAUCAAAGGGGCCAUCGAGCCCUUUGCCGACGGCACAGUGGAACUCUCAAUGAAAGCACCAAUGUCGGUGUCAAAACCGGCGGAUCUCGGGUAGGGGGUCCCGAACUGUGCGUCUAGGACCGAUGAUAACAGGAGACGGGGGACACGAUGUUUACCCAGGUUCGGGCCCUCUCUAUGGAGGUAAUACCCUACUUCCUGCUUGAUUGAUCUUGAUGAAUAUGAGUGUUACAAGAGUUGAUCUACCACGAGAUCGUAAUGGCUAAACCCUAGAAGUCUAGCCUAUGUGAAUAUGGUAAUGAAUAUAUGCCUUCCGGACUAACCCCUCCGGUUUAUAUAGAUACCGGGGGGAUCUAGGGUUUACAUGGAGUCGGUUAAAUAAGAAGGAAUCUUCAUAGUUGGUCGCCAAGCUUGCCCUCGACGCCAAGGAAAUUCCAAUCCGGACACGGGUAUAGUCUUCGGCCUUCGUAUCUUCACAGCCCAUCAGUCCGGCCCAAUGAACAACAGGCCGGACGCCCGAGGACGCCUUAGUCCAGGACUCCCUCACUCGCCGUUUGUGUUGCGCCAUGAGCAGGACUUUGAUUGAGAGGGCGACGUGCAUGCAUUAGCAUGGUUUGCCAGCGUGAGCGUGAGUGUCUGCACGCGUACAUGCUACUUGCCUCUAUGGACGGUGUGCGCUAAUGUGUGCAUCACGUAUAAUAUAAAAAAUGGUUUGUGCAUUUAACGCAAAGUAUUUCAUUUUCAUUUGGCUGACGAGUGUGCGUUGCAGCGAUGAGUCUGUGGUUUGAUUCCUCACAUACGCACAAUUUUGGUUUUCAUUUCUUUCUCCACUGAUAGGUAGGCCCGCAUAGAUAGAUAGAUAAAGACCACGAGCUGAUGAGGCGCAUGCGGACUGUUUGACUGGUCGACCAGAUAAAUACGGAGCUAUACGCUGAGCCAGUGACCGUAUAAUCACCAUAUCUCCUAUACAAUGAUCAAAGUGAGCUAUCAAGACAAGUUCGAUGACCGCCAAUGCAUUUUACUCGGUAAUAAAUGACCAGGAUUGAAGGGGAAUCCAAAUUUCCUUCGUCUUCUGUCCUUGAGCUCUUGACAAACCAAUGCACUAUACGGUUGUCCGGCCACUCCACCCCAGAGCUGUCAUGAAGCGUCGUUCAUGCCACCGCGCCACACACUAACCGGUAAGGAAGCGAUGGCAUCCCGCCGCGCCGAGUUCCUCGCCGCCCACGACUGCACACAAAAUGGUAGGGAAGUGAUGGCAUCCCGCCGUGCCGAGUUCAUCGCCGCUCGCGACCUCACACCUACGUGGGCGGAAAUUGAAGCUGCCAAGGCCGAAUGGGCGGUAGAGCAAGAGGCGGCCAAAGCCGCACAGAGGGAGCGGAAAAGUCAGAAAGCACUCAAGAAAAGAGAGGCCCGCCACCGCAAGAAAGAAGAGGACGCACGCGCUGCUGCGGAGAGGUCGGCGGAGAUCCAAGCACGGUGGGGUGUCGCCGAAAAAGCCGGGAAGGAGAACGACGGCGUCUGGCCAGCAUGUGAGAAGUAGUAGUACUAGUAGUUAGUGUGUGUGUCUGUGUCACCCAUACAAUUGUUUAAUUAAUUACGAGCAUGUACCAGUACUAGUUACUGCUGUAGUUUUUAGAGCAAAUUACCAGUACAUUAGCCUAGACUCAAUGGAAAAAUUCCUAUCCUAUGCAUCAAAUGGCAUCUGUUUCUCUAUAGGAAUUGAGAUGCAUGUCAUCUCACUUCCUAUGAUUUUCAUAUUCCUAUAAAAUUCCUAUCCUAUGAACCAAAAGAGGCCUCUGCUGGAGUAACUAAUGUAGCUAGCAGUACUGCUGGUACAGUAGUUUUCGUCAAGCAGCGGAAUUCAACGAAGUCAUGAUGGUUCCUUCGUCCGAGCAACUACACUGUGGGAAAUCUUGGGCAUGUGAUUUGACGGCUCAUUAGUCAUUAUUACUGUGGCGCGACGACCGGGGUGACUCUCCCUUGGAGUUCUGCGUGCAUGGCAAGUGGACCAGGAUGGUCGACGUCCCACAUGUUGGCGCACGGAAGUAUUCUUUCCGAUAUCGAGGAGCAAGGAAGCGCGCGCCAGCAAGGGAGGGGGGUUGGGUCAGCCAGGGCGGUCAGAUGCGGGCGUGGUGGUGGUAUUGGUUUUGAACCGUUUCAGGUGUAGUACUGGUAGUUUGUAAAACUAUUCAAUUAUUGCACUCAGUUUCCUAAGAAAUUGUGGUAAAAAAUGUUACUCCACAGCCCGCUUCCCUUCUCCUUCCUCUUCCACCGCCCGGGCACGUCCGCGGGAAGCGAUCGGUCAACCCUUAUAUAGGAGUGCUAGCACAAAAAGAUGCAUGCAUGACCACUAAAAUUUCCAGAUUAAAGCGCCGCUCCGGCGGGAGUACGGCGUAUGCCGUUACCUUCGGCCGGGCCAUGGCUACCAGGCGACAGCGAGCAGAGAAGAGGCGGCGGGAGGGGAAUGAAUACAGCUACUGUUUGGGUUCGCCGUCCGGCUUAAAUAAAUGCGCACCAUCACGUGUACCCGCAGGUGCACAAAUUGUAACAUACGUGUCUGCAUAAGUGGGUGUCACGUAACUGGUGUGUGUGUGAGAUUCUGAGAGACAGAGUGCGUGUGUGCGACUCUACUCUUCGGACAUGUACUCAACCUUUUGCAUCGGGAUAUAAGUAUAAUGGUAUUACACUUUAGCUAGUGAUUUACGUGGCCAUGUUAACGUGGUUAUGUAAAAAAAUGUCACUUCCUGCUCGUGAUUUGCAUUAUAUAAUUACUAGCAAGAUGCUCGUGCAUUGCACGGAACAUCAAUAUGCAUUUUUUUACAAAACACCUGUUGUGAUUGACCCAUGCAGGAGUAAUCCCAUGUGUAAAAACUAAUGAUAUCUCGAGAAUUUUAUCGGAAAACUGGUAUCUCGAGAAUUUCAUCGAAAAAAUGAAAGAUGAGAGAUAAGGUGAGGAGGAGUGGAGCAUGGUGGUGACUGGUGGUCGGACUGGGCGGAGGCAUGGGGAUGGACGACGCCGACAGGCAACAACGGCCACCAUGCUAGAUUGUUCCAGAGACUUCCUUUUUUAAUUGCUCAGCAAUGAGGUUGUGGGAGAUAAGGAUGAAUGAGGCAAGGCCUUGUCUGUAAAUGUGGAGAGAGGUGAGGGUAUCUUUUGUAAAAUUGUCAUAGUUUUCUUUCUAUCCGUCAGAUAGAGAUCGGACGGUCUAUAUUACAAGAUGGCAGGCACACCAUCAUCACCAACUCAGUUUUUUAUAAGAGUAGAGAUGAUAAGUUUGCUAACUACUAAAGUAAAGUGGAAUUUGUCCAUGUUAUACAAGUAAAUUAAGGUGAUUGUUUAUCAUACGGGUAAGGUUGGACGAAGGGUGGUAGGAACAAAUGCUCCGCCUAGAGCAUGUGUGUGUGAGAUGGAGUCUUAGUGUGUGUGGGUGUGGGUGGGUGGGUGGGUGGGUGCGUGCAUGUGUGUGUGACGUGGGGUCCUCGGUGGCGGAUGUAAUUUAAGUGUGUGUGGCUUCAUCAUAGAGAGGUGAUCUAUAUGGCAGAGGCCACCAACGAGGGGGUGCGAGAGACAAAAGGCCCGUAGAGAGGGAAGAGAAGGCGUGUGCGCGUGAGAGGAGUCGACAUCAAGAGAACGUGCUUGUUCGUGAGACACCGAGGAAGACUACUAUAUAUCGAUGGUGCAUGUAGGCGGGAAUUAAAUGAAGGGAUGGUCUUAUUGGUUUCGGCGAUAUAGGGGAAGAGUGAGAGAGGGGGUAGCUAUAAGGAGAUUGUUAAGUGUGAGUGUGUGUUUUACCCAUCCAGGCGGAAGUUAUGUGCACACAAGAAGAGAACGAUUCGAUGUGGCGUUAGGGCUGAGGGUAAUUAACUAAGUAUGGAGACAUAGGAGACCUUGAACGUGCAUGUGUGAGAGGUAUACAUGUAUACGUGGGAUGUGUGUGUGUGCGCGCGCGCAUGAUCAAGAUAAAAGAAAGAAGACAUAAGUCAUAAGAUCAACAACAUGGGAGAGACGGAUCGGUAUGACAAUAUGCAUGCAUGUGAGAGUGCAAGGAAGAAGGCCCGAUAAUUGAGCAUGUGUUUUUGUAUUUAAGAGAUAGUGGCGUGGGUUGGAGCAUGCAUCUGUGGCGAGCAGAGGGAGCGAGACACAACUAUUGUGCAAAAGAGAUCAACCUAUAGAUGCAUGUAUGGAGAGACAUAUAUAGUGUGGGUGAUAGAAAGCAAGAGUGUGUGCGAGAAAGAAAUGUUGACGGAGAAACUACAGAUAGAUACAGAGAUAGAGAUGGUAGCUAGAGGGACAUCGGCUAGUUUGAGUGUUGGAGAUGACCGCCGGGUGGUUCAGAGGGUGAAGUUAUGUGUGUGUGAGAGAAAGAUAAAAAGAGGGAACAUGACUGCAUGUAGAGAGAAACAUAUAUAGUGUGCGUGAUAGGAAGCAAGAGUGAGGGCAAGAAAGAAGGUUGAUGGAGAAACAGAUAAAUAGAAAGAUAAAGAUGCUAGCUAGUGUGCGUUAGAGAUAGGAGUCAAGUGGAUCAGAAGGCUGAGUUAUGUGUGUGGGUGUGAGAGAGAGAGUGUGUGCAUGUGAGUCACAUACAAACAAAUAUCAGAGAGAAAUGAGAUCCCGAGAGACGGAGUUUUGUGUCUGCGAGAGAAAGAUAUUUCACAACGAGAGUGAUAGCUAGAGAGACAUAUGAGGGAACGCAAGAUAUCUCUAGGGAGAGAGUGUGUGUGUGAGCGACAUACAAGAGAAUGGUGGAGAGAUAUGAGACCCUGGGAGACAGAGUUUGUGUUUGUGUGUGAGAAAGAGAUAUUUAAGAGGAAGAGUCGUAGCUUCUCAUACCUAAGGAGCGAAAUACAUCUCUGUGUGAGAGGGCGUGUGCGAGUGGCACACAGGGGAACACUACUAGGAAAAAGGCUACUAGCAGCGCGGGUAAUAUGGCUACUAGCAGCGUGGGUACCCGCGCUACUAGUAUCGCGCUACAGCUAAUAGUUAGGAGUAGCGUGACACCCGCGCUACUGCUAUUACAGAACCGCGCUACUACUAACGAAGUAGCACUAGUAGAAAAACGACUUUUAGUACCGGUUCGUAAGGACCUUUAGUACCAGUUCUGGAACCGGUACUAAAGAGUGGGGACUAAAGGUCCCCCCCCCCCUUUAGUCCCGGUUUAACACGAACCGGGACCAAAGGCCCACCACGUGGCACGAGGCGCGCCGUGGUCUGGGGGGCCUUUAGUCCCGGUUGGUAAGGAUUUUUUUAAUUUUUAUUUUUGAAAUAAAGCAAAAACAGCCAGCCUACUGGGCCGGCACGGCCUGCAUACGACUAGAAACCCAAUCUCUAGUUGGGCCAGGAUGCAGGCCCGUACGGCCCAGUAGGCCCCACAGGGCAGAAGACUUGCAAUAGACCCACAAAGGCCUGCUUAGAGAGGAGCUCGACACGGUAGCCGCGGCGAGGCUUAUAAACCGGUGCGAGCUCCUCUCAACUAGCGAGGUGGGAGUAAACAUUGUGCACUGCGGGUGGCAUCGCACCACCUUUAGUACCGGUUGGGUUGGUGGCUCCAACCGGUACUAAAGACCCCCCCCCCCCUCCUUUAGUACCGGUUGGAGCCACCAACCAGUACUAAAGGCCACCACCUCUUUAGUACCGGUUCAUGGCACGAACCGGUACUAAAGAUUUCCCACGAACCGGUACUAAUGAGUGCCGCCCGCCUGGCCGUUGGAACCGGCAUUAAUGGUCACAUUAGUGCCGGUUCAAUACCAAACCGGGACUAAUGAGUUUCACAUUAGACCCUUUUUCUACUAGUGUAGUAGUAGCGUGCUUAUAAUACCAGCGCUACUAGUAUCCUGAAUACUAGUAGCGCGCAGUUUUUUCCCAACGCUACUAGUAACAAAUCAAGAAUAAAAAAAUAAAAAUUAGACGCAAUAUUCAUGAAUGGAGAUCAGAGACACGUCCAGUGCAAAAUAAAUUAAGGUCACAGAACCAUCUUAACACUUGCAGUGUUCAUGGAUGCAGCAUUGAACAUCUCAACUCGAAGAGAUCACGAGGACGCACACAACCAUCAUCAAAAGGUUGGUACCUUCCCUAUUGUUUCACCACCAACCUAACCAGACCACUUCUCUAGAUGUAUCUACAAAGCGUCGAGGUCCUCCACCUUGAGGAACUCCGGGCGGUGGCGUCGUCCUCCACCUCUGUGACCUUCGUAUGGUGGCGUCGAGGUCCUCCACCCCGGGGACCUCCGGCAUCGCAAUCACCUGGACAAUCAUCAGUAUGACACGGUCGCGAGGCUUCACGGUGAAGUCUGCCCCCGAGUAGUUGAAGAGCACGAUGCCCAUCAGGCCGCAGUAGUCUGCGUCGAUCACCCCUGCACCCAGUCGAGAAAGUGAAAACUUGUUAGUUCGCAUCCUCGUGUAGAUCCAGUAGGGUAUUUUCUUCAAUUAUAUGUCUCUUUUAGUCUAUUAUGAAUCUUCAAAAUGGAAAAACACCUACUAAAUGCAUACCCUAGUUGUACGUGUUCAUGCUAUCUUCUUGUUUUGGUGCAUUCAAGAAAUACUAGUGUAUUUGAGCUAUAUAUUCUUGAAAUAUUUGACAGUUAACAUUCUGUUCAAAAUUUAUUAUUGCAUGGAUAGGGAAAUCGCCAACAAAGGACUUCAGAAAAUUGAUUCCCACUGCUCUUCAAAACAGGGAAUAGGCAAAGUCUUUUUUGAAUUUUGAUAUUCCAUGCCAACUUCAAGUAUAUAUGCUACCAUGUAAUCUUUGAACGUGGAUCAAAAUGAGAUUUCAGGCUUUGUGGGCCUUACCAUGAUCAGUACUAAAUUCUCUAGGCUGCUCAACCUUUCCCUGUAGGGAGCAUUUCUUUCACCAGGUAUCGCAUUGUUAAGUUUGGGAAGAAACCUGCAUCCCUUCAGAUAGUCAUCCAUAUCCUGAAGAAAAAACAGUAUACAUUUUCAGUGACUCACAAUAUAUCAUCGAAUACUGCUCAAGUCUACUUCUAAGAAUAAUUGUUUAAGAUCAGCCAAUGUUUUCUUACGAUCUUCCACUCUGUGAAGUAGAAGUAAAAACUGAAAGCUAAACACACAUUAAGAUUACCUACAUAAAAUUCUUCAGAUAGCGAAUGAGCGAUAGAAAAAAAAUAUAUACUUCAGAUAGCAAGGAGCAGGCCAACAGGCAACAACAUAAGUUUUUUAGCAGCGGCGACAGGUAACUACCGAGACAUUGCAGGUGAAGAUAUGAAUUUUGGGUACCCUUCGUCCCCCACGAGCAGACUUCGUUGACAGUGGUGCAGGGUACAGUGUUGCGCAGGCGACGCGGAGAGAGGCCUGCCUGGCCGGGGCCUAGCCGAGCUUGGCGCUGAGGACGUUGCCCACGGACACCUCCUGCACCAGCGCCGGGUCGACGUUGACUCUCCGGAGAGCACCAUUUUAAAUCGGGCGGCAGAGCAUCACUGACUGGGUGCUCGGAUCCAACUACCAUCUACUUUGACCAUCCGAACCACAUGUGACAACAAGACUCAUCCGAUCUCUUGUCCUCUACCCAAUGUCAUGAGAUAUUGAGAUCCAAUGUUAUUAGUCCAGGUCUGCUACCAUCUACUUAUACUAAUCAAAAGGCAAACCAAUCCACUUACGCCCAGUCUAUCAGGACUAAACUUGUACUCCUAACAGUGGGGCUGUAAAAUUUCCACACGCGUUCAUCUGGGCCUUAUCCUACGCCAUCUCCAAAGAUUUAAAAAUGCAAAAGUUUUCAAUUGACACGACACUUGCCAUUAUAUAUUGUAAAAAAAGUUUAUGUCAUCCGUGCAAAAAACUAAUGCUGAAGUUCUUUCUACUGCCUUUUUCUGAAUUAUUAGUUGCUGAUGCCAAUAAAAACAAGUGCAGUUCAUCUAGCAGCAUACUACCAAAUAUACGCAGCUCAGAAGUUGAAGAUACAAUAAAUAGAUACGGCUAAAAGCAUGAGACCUGCUACUUUGGAAGAUAGUAACUUACAGUAUCCUGGAGAAGGCCUCCCUGUUCUCGUUGAGCUUCCACUGAUCCUCUGCGUCGGAGGCGUAGUAGUCGUACACCAUCUUCAGGAGCUUCUCCCUGGCAAGUUUCCAGUACUCGGACACGUUCGUGAUCAUCUCCAUUCCCCUGCUCAAAUUAUUCAUCAUCAAUUCCCAGUUAAUCUAUUUGCCAAGCAGCAAAAUAGAUCAUCUGCUUUUUCUCUGAAGAGUGAAGACGCUUGAACCUGAACUGUACAUCCUCCGGAUAGCUUGACAGGGAAUAUGAGAAAUCAAGAAGGAUGGCAAGAUAUGGAACAAAUCUGGAGGCUGAUCUAUCCAUGGAGGAGUUGAUUAACUGAAGAAUCGAUCCUGGAUUCCUGAUUCGGUAUCAUAUAUAUCACUCCAUCAGUAGUUCGAGAUGUUGCUUUCGAAUCAGCGGUACUGAAAAAACGAAAUAGAAAGAUUGAGCCGAGGCGAUUUGACGAGUCUUGUUGUCUCAUGACAUUGAGCCGAGGCGGUUUGAGUGGUUGCUUAACUAGUAGCAAGGAUUGGAGUAAGAAAGCAGAGAAAUUUCGUUACCCUGGAUGGCGACGGAGCCGAGCUUGGUGGCGGGGAGGGACGAGAGGCAGCCAAGCAAGGCGUCGAUGGGCGUGCUGGCGACGCCGACGGUGCACACGUCCAUGGGAUCCAGGCCGCCGUCGGGGGCGCAAGUGCUCGGGGACGGCGCCAUGGCGUGGUGGUGGACUGGCUUGGCUGUUGGAUCUUACCCCUCUGUGUGCUAGGGCUCACCGGCGGCGGGUGGAUUGGGUUUGGCCGGAGAGAGCGAGAGGGAGAGAGAGAGAGGGGGUGUAGCGACCCGACCUCAAACGGUAAAGUCUUUGUGCUUCUGUGUCAUCCCUGGAUCGGUAAUGCUGACACACAGUGCUCGAAGGAUUUAUAACAGAGUAGCAAUCACAAACUUAUUACAUCGAAUGUCUCCAAAAAGAACUUAUUACAAUAAAUAUGGCAUAAGGCCAUCUAAUACGAUAACAGCGGAAGACUUGGAAGAUAAAGUGAGUCCAUCAACUCCAACAGCAUAGCUGAGCUGCACGGCAACGACCUAACGAACCUUACUCCUCGUCUGAAAAGUCUGCAACAUAAUACGUUGCAGCCCGAGAACGGGUCAGCACAUGGAAUAUGCUGGCAAUAUAACACAGUAGAGCAAGAACAGAAUAAUGCUACCACUACAUGCAUAUUUGGCUGGUGGAAAGGCUCUAUGGUUAUAGUUUUGCGAAAAGCCAAUUUUUUCCUACAACAAUGGAAUAAGUUUUAUUUAACUAUCAUGGUAGUUGAAACAUCAUUGAGAAGGUUCCUCCAACUCAAUCCCAAUUAAAGUAAUUAUCAACCCAACAUAUUAAAUUAGAGUGAUGAGAUACUUAGGAUAAUCCAAGUACUAGAUACUCAAGAUGUCCAUAACCGGGGACACGGCUAACCAUGAUUAGAUUGUACACUCUGCAGAGGUUUGCGCACUUUUCCCCACAAGAUUCGAUCUCCUCCGUUGGAUUUCUCGCACUACAUGGUGUUUGAGAAACGGAUGACCGAGACACAGUCUUUCAGAAGCAUUAACUCUAACCCCGGGUAGACAGUACCAACCUACAUCCCUCUACAUCUGCUAGCCUACCACUGGAAGAGGUCAGGCAACUUACUCAACUAUGCUAGAGCCCACAAUAGCUUGUGGCUGCACACGGAAGUUUCUAGCAUGAAUAAUCUUAUGAUCCCUUUGAGCCUGGGUGGCGAGCCGUAGGAUGAUCACACGGGUCCUCCGGGAUAUCCUAGGACAACACUGGAUUCUCCAGGUGCCCGUAACCAAUCCACCCAGAUGUGUAUUAAAGUACCCACCUUAAGUUGAACCAUUAAGUAAACAAUCUCACAUCUGUCAUGGAUUCACUCACCCAAACCACGUCUACGAGCAUAGCAUAGCAAUAUAAGCAAUACGUUGAAGUAACUCCCAAGGGUUUGAUAAUAACAGGGCAAUAGGUUCUACCUCAUCAACUACUUCCCAAUACCCACAAGUUAAUCACAUCCUAAUCAUGCAGUGUUUGAGGAUUGGAGCUAAUGCAUAAAAACUGGGUAUGAAAAGAGUAUGAUCAAUGUGUUACUUGCCUUGCUGACGAUACGCAAAACCUAGAGACUCGUAGUAGCACGCUUCGCACUCCGGGAAUUCUAUCGCAAAAAAACAAUAGCAUGCAUAAGCAAUCAAUCAUGGAUGCACGGGUAAAACUCAAAUAAGAAGAACUAACCAGAAAAUCCAACUUAAGAACUCCGGUUUGCAAAAAGAAUCAAAUCAAACGGAGCAACAAAACUCAAACUGCGAAAGAAACAAGAUUCGAUUACUAAUCUGGACUAAAGUCAAAUUUUACAGUACCAAAAUCUUGUUCAAGUUGGUUAAACAGAAAUAGGGUUUCGAGACGAAGAUCUAGGCGCUUGAAUCGCCUGAUUCCGAUAAACGAGCGAAAAGAUAAACUAAAACGAAAAUCGGAUCAGAAAUCGCGAUCGAAAAUAAUCGCGAAAAAACUGAGAAAAAGAAAAACUGACGAACAGGCUAACGAACGAACGUUCGUUGUCUGUAACUAAUGAGCGAAAACGGUUCGUUAAAACGAACGUACGGACGAACGUCCGCUAAAUAAUCUAAACCGAGAAAACCAACGAACCGAUAAAAAAAGCAACUAGGGUUUUUAAAAAAACCGAUGGUUUUACCUAAACCGAAAGAAAAACAGCGGCUCCGGCGGCUUCCGCGGCGGCGCGGCGAGGCGGGGGCAGCGCGGGGUGAGGCGCGGCAGGCGGCGGCGGCUGCUGCUGCUGCUUGCGGUGGCGGUGGUGGCGAUUUGGGGGCGGGGGCGGCGGCUUUUAAAGGGGAGAGGGAGGGUGGCUUGCGGGAGGGGGCGGGAGGAGUCCCGGGCGGCGACGGCGACGGCUGCCGAGUCCUGGCCGGACUCGGGCACGGCGGAGGCGGUGGCGCGGCACGGGCCGGCGGCCUGGCUCGGCUGGGUCUUGGCCCAGUCGGGCGCGGAAGAAGUUUUUUUAAAAAAAAUGGAUUCCGCCGAAAAUAAAUCCUAGAAAAAUAAAUAAAAAUCUAAAAAUGCCAAAACAAAUUUUCACCGUCUAAAUAAAAUAUUUAGAACAAGAUGAACGUUUUCUUGGCCCUAAAAUGCAAUUUUGAAAACAUGCAAUUUUUCUAAUGCAAAUAAAAUAGCACUAAAAGCCGAAUAAAAUCAAAUAUUUGAUUUUAAUAUUUUUCCUCCAAUAUUUCAUUUAUUUUGGAGAAGUCAUAUUAUCUCCUCUCAUAUAUUUUAAUAUGAAAUAUUUUCGGAGAGAAAAAUAAUUAAAACAAAUAAUCCUCGUUUCAGUAUUUGAUAAAAUUCAAAUAUGGAAACAGUGAAAUCCCCAACUCUCUCCCAGGGUCCUUGAGUUGCGUAGAAUUUCGAGGAUCGCGAAACGAAAUGCAACAAAAAUAUGAUAUGCAUGAAUGAUCUAUGUAUAACAUUCCAAAUUGAAAAUUUGGGAUGUUACAAACCUACCCCCCUUAAGAUGAAUCUCGCCCUCGAGAUUCGGGUUGGCUAGGAAAUAGGUGUGGGUGGUCUUUACAAAGAUCAUCCUCUCGUUCCCAGGUGGCUUCAUCCUCGGUAUGGUGGCUCCACUGAAUUUUGCAAAACUUGAUAACCUUGUUGCGGGUGACUCGGCUGGCAAAUUCAAGAAUCCUGACUAGCUUCUCCUCAUAGGUCAGAUCACUGUCCAACUGAAUUGCUUCUAGAGGCACUGUAUCUCUCAGUGGAAUAUCGGCCAUCUCCGCAUGACACUUCUUCAACUGUGAAACAUGAAACACAUCAUGAACUCCCGACAGUCCUUCAGGUAACUCCAACUUGUAGGCAACCUCUCCCAUACGUUCCAAAACACGAUACGAUCCUACAAAUCUCGGGGCUAACUUUCCCUUAACUCCAAAACGUUUCACUCCUCGCAGAGGUGACACUCAUAGAUAUGCUCUGUCUCCAAUUUCAUAGGUUACUUCCUUGCGUUUCGAAUCUGCAUAACUCUUCUGCCUGGACUGGGCUUCCUUCAGUCUAUCUCGAAUCAAUUUAACCUUCUCUUCAGACUCCUUAAUCAAAUCUGGUCCAAACAACUGUCGGUCUCCAACUUCAUCCCACAUCAACGGUGUUCUGCACCUUCGCCCAUACAGGGCUUCGAACGGUGCCAUCUUCAAACUGGCUUGAUAGCUAUUGUUGUAUGAGAACUCCGCGUAGGGUAAAUUGUCAUCCCAAGUAGAUCCAUAAUCUAGUGCACAAGCCCUCAACAUAUCCUCCAGAAUCUGGUUGACUCUCUCGGUCUGUCCAUCUAUCUGCGGAUGAAAAGCUGUACUGAACUCCAGCCUGGUUCCCAAAGUCUGGUGCAACUGAUGCCAAAACUUUGAGGUAAACUGUGUUCCUCUAUCUGAGACGAUGGUCCUUGGAACUCCAUGCAGACAUACGAUCCUGGUCAUGUAUAUCUUGGCCAACUUCGCACUUAUAUAGGUGGUUUUCACUGGAAUAAAGUGAGCCACUUUGGUCAAGCGAUCAACUACUACCCAUAUAGAAUCAUAUCCUGAUUUGGUCCUGGGCAAUCCGGUGAUGAAAUCCAUGCCAAGCUUAUCCCACUUCCAUUCGGGUAUCGGCAUAGGCUGUAGCAAUCCUGCUGGCUUUUGAUGUUCUGCCUUCACUCUCUGACAUACAUCACAUACGGCUACAUACUCGGCAAUAUCCUUCUUCAUACCAGUCCAUCAAAAAUGUUCCUUCAAAUCCAAAUACAUCUUGGUGUUUCCGGGGUGUAUCGAGUAUGGUGAGUCAUGGGCCUCCUGAAAUAUUAACUUCCUGAUCUCUGUGUUAUUGGGCACAUAAACACGGUCCUCAAACCAUAAGGUGUCGUGCUCAUCCUCACGAAAACCUUUGGCCUUUCCUUUGCUCAUUCUCUCUUUUAUCUCGGCAAUUUCUUUGUCAUCCUUCUGAGCUUCUCGAAUCUUUGCUAACAAUGUAGACUGAACUUCCAUUGUUGCAACAAAACCUCUAGGAAUAAUCUCCAAUCGAAGUUCCCUGAGAUCCCCUGCUAACUCCUUUGGCAAUCCUGUGCUUACGAGGGUGUUAGCAUAACUCUUCCGGCUCAAAGCGUCUGCUACGACAUUGGCCUUGCCUGGAUGAUAGUGAAGCUUCAUGUCAUAAUCCUUUAUAAGCUCCAACCAUCUCCUCUGCCUAAGGUUCAGCUCCUUCUGUGUGAAAAUGUACUUCAAACUCUUAUGAUCCGUGUACACAUCACAACGGUUUCCAAUAAGGUAAUGUCUCCAAGUCUUGAGCGCAUGCACUACAGCUGCUAACUCCAAAUCAUGUGUGGCAUAAGUCAAUUCGUGCGGUUUUAGUUGUCGUGAGGCAUACGAAACAACUCUUCCGUCCUGCAUAAGCACACUUCCAAGUCCUAAGCGAGAGGCGUCGCAAUACACUUGGAAAUCCUUGCGUAUAUCCGGCAGAAUCAGCACUGGGGCUGUAGUCAGACGUUUCUUUAACUCCUGAAAACUCGCCUCACAUUCUUCCGUCCAUAUAAAUUUGGUAUCCUUCUUCAAUAACUCUGUCAUUGGCUUCGCAAUCUUGGAAAAAUUCUCAAUGAAUCUCGGAUAGUAUCCUGCGAGUCCAAGAAAACUGCGGAUCUCGCUAACUGAAGCGGGUGCCAACCAUUCAGUGACUGACUGAACCUUGGUGGGGUCUACUGGUAUACCUUCUCCUGAUAUAACAUGUCCAAGGAAUCCAACUUCCUUCAACCAAAACUCACAUUUGCUGAACUUGGCGUACAACUGAUGUUCCCUGAGUUUCUCGAGAACUAAUCGUAAAUGCUCAUUGUGCUCCUCUUCAUUCUUCGAGUAUACCAUUAUAUCAUCAAUGAACACCACAACAAACUUAUCCAAAUAUUCCAUGAACACCUUGUUCAUCAUGCUCAUGAAAUAGGCAGGGGCGUUAGUCAGUCCAAAUGACAUGACCGUAUACUCAUACAACCCGUACCUUGUGGUAAAUGCGGUCUUUGGUAUAUCCUUCUCUCGAAUUUUCAGCUGGUGAUAUCCUGAUUGUAGAUCGAUCUUUGAAAACACUUUAGCUCCUUGCAGCUGGUCAAACAAAUCAUUGAUCAUCGGCAAUGGGUAUUUGUUCUUGAUCGUCACCUCAUUCAAUGCCCGAUAAUCAACAACCAUCCUCAAUGAUCCAUCCUUCUUCUCAACCAAAAGCACUGGGGCUCCCCACGGUGAUGAACUUCGUCGAAUGUAACCUUUCUCCAAUAACUCCUUGAUCUGCUCUUAAUCUCUUCCAGAUCAUUUGUGGGCAUCCAGUAGGGUCUCUUUGAUAUAGGCCCGGUGCCUGGCAACAGUUCUAUCAAAAACUCGAUGUCCUGAUCUGGCGGCAUGCCUCGUAAUUCUUCUGGAAAUACAUCUGGGUAAUCCUUUACGACAGGCACUUCCUCCUGAACAACUCCUGAGAGGGAAUUUACUUGGGUUCUCCUUGUCAUAUGCCUGGAUACAUACUUGAUCCUCUUUCCCUCCGGGGUGGUGAGAUAAAUCGACUUACUAGCACAGUCAAUGCUUCCUCCAUACUUUGACAUCCAGUCCAUGCCUAAUAUCACAUUCAAUCCUUGUGACUCCAAAAUUAUUAGGUCGGACGGGAAAACAUGGCUACCAAUGGUUAAGGGUAUCCGGUCGCACCAUCGGCUAGCCAUAUACUCUGCUCCAGGUGAACUUACUAACAGAGGGGUCCUAAGGGCUUGGGUUGGUAGUUUAAACUUAUCCACAAAUCCCCUUGAUAUGUAUGAAUGCGAUGCACCAGUAUCAAAAAGAACAAGGGCGGUAAAAGACUUAAUCAAAAACUUACCGAUAACCGCGUCUGGCUGCUCUUCAACCUCCUCCAUGUUAACGUGGUUCACUUGUCCUUUGUUGAAUGGUUUGGGCUUCUUCCCAGCGCUCCCAUUACCGUUUCCAUUCUUCGCUUCAGGGCACUCCGUGGCAUAGUUUCCAGUCUUCCUGCACUUGAAGCAAGUAAUGUGACUUAGGUCUCUCUUGGUGGGUGUGCAUGGAUUGGAGCGGUUCUGAUUGUUGCUUGUUCCGUUCCCAGUCCCAUUCUUGGAACCAUUGUGGUUAUGCGAACUUCCUCCAUUGUGAUUAUGACCUCCAUGGUUAUGAACAAGUCCUCCUGAGUUCGGGGUUAGACGAGGCUUCUGCUGAGCUCCUGAGUUGUAUCUUCCUUGCCCAUACUUCCUCUUACGGCUCUCAAUCUGUUGCUGCUUCCCUUCAAUCAUAAGAGCCUUAUCUACCAACUCCUGGUAGUUGUUGAAUGUUGCCACCAUCAACUGCAUGCUCAUCUCAUUGUUCAGACCUUCCAAUAAACUUCUCCUGCUUCGCGGCAUCUGUGGCCACAUCAUCAGGGGCAUAGUGAGAUAACUUGCUAAACUCAUCCACGUACUGAGCCACAGUACGGUUCCCCUGGCGUAAGUUGCGAAAUUCACGCUUCUUCAUAUUCAUAGCUCCAGUUGAGACAUGGGCUGUGCGGAAAGCUUGCUGAAACUGAUCCCAAGUGACGUUGGCUAUGGGGAAAGUGGUCGUAUAAUUCUCCCACCAUGAGGCUGCUGGUCCAUCCAAUUGAUGUGCGGCAAAGUGCACCUUCUCAGCAUCUGUGCAACCUGCGGUGGUCAGCUCCCUUCCAAUACGGCAUAGCCAAUCAUCAGCAACUAUAGGCUCGGUGCUACUGGAAAACACUGGCGGCUGCAACCUUAAAAAGCGAGCUAAGUUGUCAACUGGAGGCGGGUUGUUGUUGUUGUUGCCUUGGUUCUGGACUAACAAUUGCAUCAAGGCAUUCUGCUGCUGGAUCAACUGAGUGAGCUCCAGCGGGAAGGCAAAUCUGGUGUCACGUCUCGGAGUCAUCUGAUGGGUUUAGAGGGGAGAGAUUGGAAUAGAAAAGGGGUCUAGUGAGAAGGCACUACCCAUAUGCACAUGAGACAAACACAAUCAUAUCACUCAAUCAAUCAAGCAAGGGCAUACAAACGGUCUAGAACUAUCGUUAAGAGUGCUCAACUACUACUAUAUACAUGGGGGAAUACUACUAAUCAUUUGGUGGUCAUCUAGAAAUUUUGAUCGGUGGAAGACUCCAUGAUGUCUGCUCCAGCUUCGUCUUCAAAGUCAUCUUCACUGGAGUCGGAGUCGGUGUCGUCGAUGAUGAUGUAGUUCUCCGGGCAAGUGGAAUCGUCGUCCUCUCCUCCUGACGCGGGGUCUCCCAUGAAUACUCCGAUCUUCUUUAUCAGGUCGUCAUUCUUCUCCAAUAGUGUUGCAAUUUCCUCCUCAUAUCCAUCGCGUGUAGACUUAAGUUCUUCUUCCAGCUCGAUGAUCCUUGUCUUCGCCUUCUUCAAAUCUAUCAUGCCUGCGCACAUCUGAUUCUCCUGGAGUCGAAUGUGCUGGUUUAACUCCUGGAUGAAAGCUGCAAUGGAUCUGUCCUUCCUGGUGCUGAUCAUCUCCCAUUGCUCAUCUCGGCGUCCACAUAUUUGGUAGAUAGUGUCCUUGAGAUCCUUGUUGUAGACUUCUCCAAUGCGUCCCAUGGCAAUGUGGGCUGCCAUGCUCUUGCCUAGACUCCAGGUUGGUGCUUCAAAGGAAAACUCUAUGGGCUCAGUGACUGGUGUGAACGUCCUUCCUGGAACUUGAACUCGAAUCAUCCAGCGCUCCUCUUCUGGUAAAGUGGCGUUGUAGGUCCCGGUGAAGCUUGGUAUUCUGAUGUUCAGAUACCUAGUGACUUCCUUCAAGUGUCGUCCAAAGGGUGUGUCUUCAUCCGGUUGUGCAGAUUUGUUCCUCAAAUCCGCCAUCCUAAAGAGUAGAAAAUGGAGAGGAGUCAGAAAUGAGUAGAGAAGAGUGACCUAUGGCUUAUCUUAGUGGUCGUGUCCUACACUCAGCAUGUGCUCUGAUACCAUCUUGUAGCGACCCGACCUCAAACGGUCAAGUCUCUGUGCUUCUGUGUCAUCCCUGGAUCGGUAAUGCUGACACACACAGUGCUCAAAGGAUUUAUAACAGAGUAGCAAUCACACACUUAUUACAUCGAAUGUCUCCAAAGAGAACUUAUUACAAUAAAUAUGGCAUAAGGCCAUCUAAUACGAUAACAGCGGAAGACUUGGAAGAUAAAGUGAGUCCAUCAACUCCAACAGCAUAGCUGAGCUGCAUGGCAACGACCUAAUGAACCUUACUCCUCGUCUGAAAAGUCUGCAACAUAAUACGUUGCAGCCCGAGAACGGGUCAGCACAUGGAAUAUGCUGGCAAUAUAACACAGUAGAGCAAGAACAGAAUAAUGCUACCACUACAUGCAUAUUUGGCUGGUGGAAAGGCUCUAUGGUUAUAGUUUUGCGAAAAGCCAAUUUGUUCCUACAACAAUGGAAUAAGUUUUAUUUAACUAUCAUGGUAGUUGAAACAUCAUUGAGAAGGUUCCUCCAACUCAAUCCCAAUUAAAUUAAUUAUCAACCCAACAUAUUAAAUUAGAGUGAUGAGAUACUUAGGAUAAUCCAAGUACUAGAUACUCAAGAUGUCCAUAACCGGGGACACGGCUAACCAUGAUUAGAUUGUACACUCUGCAGAGGUUUGCGCACUUUUCCCAACAAGAAUCGAUCUCCUCCGUUGGAUUUCUCGCACUACAUGGUGUUUGAGAAAUGGAUGACCGAGACACAGUCUUUCAGAAGCAUUAACUCUAACCCCGGGUAGACAGUACCAACCUACAUCCCUCUACAUCUGCUAGCCUACCAAUGGAAGAGGUCAUGCAACUUACUCAACUAUGCUAGAGCCCACAAUAGCUUGUGGCUGCACACGGAAGUUUCUAGCAUGAAUAAUCUUAUGAUCCCUUUGAGCCUGGGUGGCGAGCCGUAGGAUGAUCACACGGGUCCUCCGGGAUAUCCUAGGACAACACUGGAUUCUCCAGGUGCCCGUAACCAAUCCACCCAGAUGUGUAUUAAAGUACCCACCUUGAGUUGAACCAUUAAGUAAACAAUCUCACAUCUGUCAUGGAUUCACUCACCCAAACCACGUCUACGAGCAUAGCAUAGCAAUAUAAGCAAUACGUUGAAGUAACUCCCAAGGGUUUGAUAAUAACAGGGCAAUAGGUUCUACCUCAUCAACUACUUCCCAAUACCCACAAGUUAAUCACAUCCUAAUCAUGCAGUGUUUGAGGAUUGGAGCUAAUGCAUAAAAACUGGGUAUGAAAAGAGUAUGAUCAAUGUGUUACUUGCCUUGCUGACGAUCCGCAAAACCUAGAGACUCGUAGUAGCACGCUUCGCACUCCGGGAAUUCUAUCGCAAACAAACAAUAGCAUACAUAAGCAAUCAAUCAUGGACGCACGGGUAAAACUCAAAUAAGAAGAACUAACCAGAAAGUUCAACUUAAGAACUCCGGUUUGCAAAAAGAAUCAAAUCAAACGGAGCAACGAAAUCUGCGAAAGAAACAAGAUUCGAUUAUUAAUCUGGACUAAAGUCAAAUUUUACAGUACCAAAAUCUUGUUCAAGUUGGUUAAACAGAAAGAGGGUUUCGAGACGAAGAUCUAGGCGCUUGAUUCGCCUGAUUCCGAUAAAUGAGCGAAAAGAUAAACUAAAACGAAAAUCGGAUCAGAAAUCGCGAUCGAAAAUAAUCGCGAAAAACCCGAGAAAAAGAAAAAUUGACAAAUAGGCUAACGAACGAACGUUCGUUGUCUGUAACUAACGAGCGAAAACCGUUAAAUAAUCUAAACCGAGAAAACCAACGAACCGAUAAAAAACGCAACUAGGGUUUUUAAAAACCGACGGUUUUUACCUAAACCGAAAAAAAACGGCGACUCAGGAUCGGAUCGGCUCCGGCGGCGGCGCGGCGAGGCGGGGGCAGCGCGGGGUGGUGCGGCGCGGCGGCGGCUGCUGCUGCUGCUUGCGGCGGCGGUGGUGGCGAUUUGGGGGCGGGGGCGGCGGCUUAUAAAGGGGAGAGGGAGGGUGGCUUGCGGGAGGGGGCGGGAGGAGUCCCGGGCGGCGACGGCGGUGGCUGCCGAGUCCUGGCCGGACUCGGGCACGGCGAAGGCGGUGGUGCGGUGCGGGCCGGCGGCCUGGCCCGGCUGGGCCUUGGCCCAGUCGGGCGCGGAAGAAGUUUAAAAAAACGAAUUUCGCCGAAAAUAAAUCCUAGAAAAAUAAAUAAAAAUCUAAAAAUGCCAAAACAAAUUUUCACUGUCUAAAUAAAAUAUUUAGAACAAGAUGAACAUUUUCUUGGCCCUAAAAUGCAAUUUUGAAAACAUGCACUUUUUCUAAUGCAAAUAAAAUAGCAAUAAAAUCCGAAUAAAAUCAAAUAUUUGAUUUUAAUAUUUUUCCUCCAAUAUUUCAUUUAUUUUGGAGAAGUCAUAUUAUCUCCUCUCAUAUAUUUUAAUAUAAAAUAUUUUCGGAGAGAAAAAUAAUUAAAAUAAAUAAUCCUCGUUUCAGUAUUUGAUAAAAUUCAAAUAUGGAAACAGUGAAAUCCCCAACUCUCUCCGAGGGUCCUUGAGUUGCGUAGAAUUUCGAGGAUCGCAAAAUAAAAUGCAACAAAAAUAUGAUAUGCAUGAAUGAUCUAUGUAUAACAUUCCAAAUUGGAAAUUUGGGAUGUUACAGAGGGACGAUAGCGAUCAGAGAAGAACGACCACCGCAGGGGUGGACGGCAGAUGAGAGGAGAGGAGGGUGGAAGGGAGGCCGGCGGUGGAAGGGAUCUCGAUCUGAUCUGAAUCGAGGGUGGGCGAUGUGGGAGUGGAUCAGGGGUGGGAGGUGUGGGAUCUGAGUGACACACUUAACGGUAGCGUGAGUAUCUCAAAAGCGCUGCAACUAUCGACUUAGUAGUAGCGCACGUUUUGCAACCAGCAUUAUUAAUAUGGUCUGUCCACGGAUCACGGUUAAGAAUAUUUACUAGUAGCAUGUUUUUAGACCACGCGCUACUAGUAAUAUUUAGUACUAGCGCGGGUAAAUGUAGCUCGCUACUAGUAAGUAGCAGUAGCAUGGGUCAAUAUAGCGCGCUACUAGUAAGCGUCUGCCUAUAAGUUUUUCCCUAGUAGUGGAAUAGUAUAGAGAAAUGAGAUCCCGGGAGACGAAGUUUGUGUUUGUGUGAGAGAAAGAGAUUUCACAUGGAGAAUCAUAGUUAGAGACACAUAGCAGGGAGCGAGAUAUACUUAGAGAGAGAUAGAGUGAUGAAGGUCGAGGGAGAUAGUACCGUCAGUGUGUUACGUAGAUAAAAGAUCAUUGUCAACAUACAGGUAGCACGAGAGAUACCCGAGAGACGAUGAACGCGUAUAGGUCUAGAGAGAUACUCCUAUAUAAGAAUGAGUGAUAGCUAUAUGAGACGAAUAUCUGGAUUAAAGGGGAUUCAAAUAUUUAAACUGGAGAUCACGACAUCGAUAAUAUCAUAACGCAAAUUAGUGUAUCAAACAUGCAUAUUCAUUUGAAUUUGGGGACACGUGUAAUGUUAUAUAGUUUAUCAAUAUUAGUGAUCCAUAGAUUCUUUAAUUAGAGACAAUGCAUGGUUUAUAUGCAAUUAAUGUCUAAACGGGAUUAGACUAUAUGUUGCGUGUGUGAAACACAUUAUAUAUGUUUGAGAAGUAAAAAAACCCGCAUGAAACACACAUUAAUAGGAGACGGUUAACGAGGAAUGCAUACGUUGGAUUUCAACAUAAAGUGGUUUCAAAUAUUUGAAAAUCCAAAUUAAGAUGGAUACAGCCUUAUGAAUCUGAGAUCAUGCCAUUUGUAAACCAUAUUUAUGUAUAAAGGGUGUUGUGCUUUUGAAAGUAUAUAUAAAACUGAUGUAUAUAGAAUUUUAUUCCAAUCGAAAAUGGAUCCUGCCCGAACAAAAAUAGAAUACAAACUAGAUUCGGAUUGAGUUGGCACGGUAAACGUGCACUCUUGCUUUGCAAAAAUUUGAACGAAGCGGGGAAAGUCGCAGUAACUGCCCGAAACCAAAAUCUGUGAGAUGGAAAUUACUGCCUAUCCCUGACACGCAAAGCCUAUCGGCUCGAUUUCUAUAGGUUUCGAUAGGGGUAGGUUUGUAAUUUCACUCAAACGUGACAUAACCACCUAUCACCCGGAUUCAUACACGGUGGGCGCCAAAACACAGUGUCUCCUCGGCCGAAAUUGAAUCCCUCCCUGAUUCAUACACGGUGGGCGCCAAAAACAAACUCUCGUCGGCAAAUAUUCAGUGUAUGCGAGAUUACCGUCCUAUCCCCAACCGACUAAUAUUGUUGUGAUGUAGGAAAUUUUAAACGGGGGCUAAGUUUGUAAAUUUCCAACAGGGAGCCUAUUUUUUGUGUAGUUGUGCCAGAUUAUAUUAAUCUACUCACCAUAUUACAACAUACAUGGGCUAUCUCAUCAGAAUCCAGUGAUAGCACACAAGGGUUUACAGGGAGCCUCUAUUAUAUUACAAUAUCCUCUGCAUUACAAAGAUAAUCUCACUACUAUUUGUGUUUUCAUGCUUUACAGAUAUUGUACGCAAUCACAACGAAUAUAAGAAUACGCACAUCAGAAGAAUAUUGCGGAACAGUUCAAUGGGUAACAAACUUGGCAUCAAGGGAUUGAGGUCCAUUGUGGAUGCAAUGAAACCCACAUGCUCCCGACCUAUAGAUUCAUAUUCAGAAUAUGAUCCUAAUGACUAUUCUGAGCUCAAGGAGUCAAAGGCAGAUGGCCUAUCCAAUUCUCCCAAUAAGGUGCCUGUUCUAAUUUGGCAAGGUUUUAUUGGUUGCACAUAUCUUGCAUAAGGUGUCUUGCAUUUCUUUUGCUUCGUUGCACCGCCAUCUGCUUAGUUUACUCAUGAUAUAUGUGAAGAUGCCAUGCCCAUCCAUUAUCAACACCUAUUCCAUUUGUCGUCAUACCGUGUUUUUCCAUUCAAAUGUUGUUCUUGUGUUUCAGACAUCCAAAAGGAAGAGGGUGGUUGCAGAACCUGAAGGAGUAUAAGCAAAGUCCUUGAAAAAGGUGGUGCUACCGAAGAAAUCACAUAGCACCCGACAUAUAUUGGUGAUAGAACCAGCGCCGCAAAACCUAGGAUAUCGCAACUAUGCUGGUCGCUGCUUUGCUCUUAUGAGUACCUAUUGUCCUAUCGCUGUCCUUACAUUCAUACCUGGUGGAUUAUGUGACAUCAUUGUGCAUUAUAGCUUGCUUAUUCACUGUUUGCUCCAAAUUAUCAGAUCUAUAUUAAUGCUUAAAUUAAUGUACAAUAAACCCAAUGCCUAUGAAGAAAUUUAGUUCUGCAUUGUUCUUGUAAGUAUCUGUUGUCCUUCAUCACUGUACUUAUAUUUGUCAGCUAGUUCUUCAUGUACACUUUGCAGCUUAUUUUCCCUUGUCCUCCAUUUUUCUACACAUCAAAUCUACAUUUACUCUUGACAAAAUAUUGAAUAAAACCAAUGUUACUGAAGAAGUUUAGCUCCGCAUUGCUCGUCAGUGCCUUCUGCCUAUAUGCUGUAUUUACAUUUGUACUCUGCAUCUUAAGUUAAAUAAUCGCCAUUUGUUCCUAUAUUUUCACAUCUAUAUUACUCUUAACAAAAUGUAGAAUAAAGGCAAUACUCUUGAAGAAGAGUGUGCGGUAAACUUCUUGAAUUCCCCCCCCCCAUCAAUAUGGGCAAGGCCUUUAUAGAGCAUGUCUUCACUACUAAUGUAAGUUUGUCCUCCUCGAGCCUUCAAACUUUGUUGUGUAUAUUUGGAUAGCUAUGAGUGCAAAUGUUGUUUAUUUUUGUCGUCUGCAUCAAAUUGUUGUUCAAAGUUUAUAAAGUAGAAAUACAUAAACAUAAGUUUGUCCUUCUCAAUUUCAGUAUUUAGUUGUACAAUCUAGUUCCUUAUUCAUACCAUGUAAAUUAAACUAAACAUAGCAAGUUAUCUUCUUUAGCACUAUGUGUAUGCUUGUGUUCUUGAUCUGUAAUCCAGUGGUGUGGUGAGACUACCAACAACAGCACAAUGUCAUAUCCUGCUAUGUCUCAACUAUGAAUAAUGCCUUAUUAUAUUAAUGUUAUUUAAAUCGUGUCUCUUUAUUUACCAAUCUGAAAUGGUAUAAAUUGACAGUACACUCACCAUUCAUGCUUAUACGUUGUUUAGAACUACAUCUAUGCUUGUGUUCUUGAUCUGUAAUCCAGUGGUCUGGUGAAGCUGGCCGCUCCUGCACAAUGCCAUUUCCUGCCGUCUUAACUAUGAACAAUGCCUAUUAUGUUAAUGUUAUUUUAAAUAGUGUCUCUUUAUUUCUGACAAAGAAAUUAGAUGAAUUGACAGCACUAAUGCUUAUACGUGCAAAACUUGUUAUCUACCUACUUGUUUCUCUUUCAGGGUGACAACAUUGCUGCUAGGAAGAACUGCCACAAUGAUAGUGAGACGAACCCAUUGCUUGUCCCUCUAACACAUAUUCCAGAGGAGAAGGCAACACAUAUUGAGGGUAGGGAUACAACCACGAAGUCACAUCUUGAUGUAGUGUCAAACUUACUCGAUGACACAAGCUCAAUGAAGUCGCCGCCUGAAUCUGUUCGACUUCUUCAGUCUGAAAUUCAAGCAGAAAUACAUGCUUCCACUCAAAUACGACUGAAAUUCCAAUCUCUAUGCAAGAUUAACCAUAAGUACAUGACGUUUAUUGAUGCUAUCCAGCUUAAGUUGGUGGUAUGAGCGGCAAAGAAGCGCAGUCUCAUUAGGUUGCUAAGCUGCUUGCGCUACAGCUCCCGGGCCGGGCUAACCUUUCUUGAACUGUGUUGAAGUGCUGUCGGUUCUGUCUAUUAUUUUGUCCGCCUAUUAACUUCCACUGGUGGCGACCUGCCCAGUUUAUGUAAUUUGAUGUUUGGUUGCCCUUUAUUAUCACUGGCGGUGAACUUUUUUUUUGACAGAAAGACUGUAAGGGGACCCCCUACAGUAUAAUUGGUGCAACAAACCCAAAUUGCAAGUACCAUGCCUUGAACCUGGGUGGAUGGGAAGGCAUCAGCCCCUUCCAACCACUAGGCUAUGCCUUAACCUGCACUAGGCUAUACCCAAAUUUCUUUGUUGUAUAGUCUAGGUUUAUUCUUGGUCGGUAUGCUGUAAUUUAGGUCGGAAGGUUCAGUGGAUCUCAGUGUUGUCGGUCUUCAGGCCGGCCCGUUAGUCAUAUGGGCCAAAACGUGGGCCUAUUAUCAUCUUGGGCCAUUAGUAGGUCUAAACCUAUAGUAGUUUCCUGCCUUUAACAGGUCGAGUAAAGUUCUGGCCAGCUGGGCCAGAGAAUAUGGGCUUUUAACAGGCUAAAAUCUAGAUUGGGCUAGUGUUGAGCCAAAAAAUUCACGGGCCAAUACAGGCCGAAACUGCCUAAGGCCAAUGUUGGGGCCAAAUAGGACGAGCAAUUAACAGGCCAAAAUAUAUCUCGGGUCUGUUUGGCCAAAUAAAAUUAUGGGCUUUAAGCACGCCGGUAUCCGCGUGGGCCAUAGGCCCAAAAGUGUCACGGGCCAUUAUCAGAUGGGCUGUAAGCAGGCCGGAUUCAACGCGGGCUGUAAUUAGGCCCAACUGUUACACGGGCCAUUAACAGGCCGAUAGGCCAGUUGGGCUGAAAUUUAUCCACGAAGACUACGGGCCGUUAAGAGGCCUAAAGUUACUUUGGACAAGAAAUAGCCCAGUUUAUGCAUGGGUCGUUAAAUGGCCUAAAGUUAAACCGGGCCGACAACGUCCCAGAUACACCACGGGCCGCUAACAGGCCGAAACUAUUAUCGGGCCAAACUGGUAAACGAGCAUUUAACAGGCUGAAAUACAAACAUGUCUUAGAAUGGGCCCAAAAGAACAGUGGCCUGUUAACGGGCCUGAUCCAAUAUUGGCCGUAAUUUGGCCCAAAACGCGGCAGGCUGUGAAUGGGCCUGAUGUAGUAUGGGCCUCAAUUUGACCCAAAACAUGGCAGGUUGUUAACGGGCCAGCCCACUAGUGUCUGAAAAAACAUGGUGGGCCUUUAGCUGGGACGGCCUUUUCACCGGAAUGGGCCUCUGUUGGGCCGUGCCACGUGUCGACGUAUCAUAGUCGCCUCCUGUCCAAUGAGUGGAUGACAUCUGUCCCAACGGUGAGCCAACACGUGUUUCCUCCGGCCAAUAAGAAUUUUACACGUGGAAAAUCCCCAUUGGUCUGGGCUGUUAACGGGUGAAAGGACAUGCGGUGCCCCCAUGUGUGGUUUUGGUAAUUGAUGACAAUCUGUAUGGACUAAUGGUUGCAUUGAGUUAUAUUUGAAGGAUUUGUCCAUAGGCAUGUCUUGAAGUCCAUGUGUUGGUUUCAAGGAGUUUAUGUGUUGACAGAGGUGCUUUUAAGGAAUUAUCCAAAGAUUGGUCAUGUGAGAGUUGAGCUUAUUGCAAGCAUGUCUUGGAGAAGAAGAUUGUGUGAUCAUUCAUGUCUACCUUCAAGACAUCAUCCAAAUGAAGAGAGUUCGAAAGAUUCAAGGUUGAUCAAGAUUAAGUCAAGAGUGAAUCAAGUUGAUCAACACACAAAGCAUACAAGAUGUACCAAGGGAUCAAGUGAUCCCAUGGUAUGGUAAGCAUUGUCCAUUAUGCUUUGUAUGCUAUACCAUGGUAUUCGUGAGAGUUUUUUGUGGGGUUAGGUUGCGGUGUGUGAUACGUCUCCAACGUAUCUAUAAUUUUUUAUUGUUCCAUGCUAUUAUAUUAUCUGUUUUGGAUGUUUAAUGGGCUUUAUUAUGCUCUUUUAUAUUAUUUUUGGGACAAACCUAUUAACCGAAGGCCCAGUGCAAAUUGCUGGUUUUUUUGCCUAUUUCAAUGUUUCGCAGAAAAGGAAUAACAAACGGAAUCCAAACGGAAUGAAACCUUCACGAGGAUCGUUUUUGGAACAAACGCAAUCCAGGAGACUUGGAGUGGACGUCAAGGAAUCAACGAGGCGGCCACGAAGCAGGAGGGCGCGCCCCCCACCCUCGUGGGCCCCUCGUGGCUCCACCGACCUACUUCUUUCGCCUAUAUAUACUCUCAUACCCUGAAAACAUCCAGGAGAGCUACGAAACACUUUUUCCACCGUCGCAACCUUCUGUACCCGUGAGAUCCCAUCUUGGGGCCUUUUCCGGCGCUCCGCCGAAGGGGGAAUCGAUCACGGAGGGCUUCUACAUCAACACCAUAGCCUCUCCGAUGAUGUGUGAGUAGUUUACCACAGACCUUCGGGGCCAUAGUUAUUAGCUAGAUGGCUUCUUCUCUCUCUUUGGAUCUCAAUACAAAGUUCUCCUCGAUCUUCUUGGAGACCUAUUCGAUGUAAUACUUUUUGCGGUGUGUUUGCCGAGAUCCGAUGAAUUGUGAGUUUAAGAUCAAGAUUAUCUAUGAACAAUAUUUGAUUCUUCUCUGAAUUCUUAUAUGCAUGAUUUGAUAUCUUUGCAAGUCUCUUCGAAUUAUCAGUUUGGUUUGGCCUACUAGAUUGAUCUUUCUUGCAAUGGGAGAAGUGCUUAGCUUUGGGUUCAAUCUUGCGGUGUCCUUUCCCAGUGACAGCAGGGGCAGCAAGGCACGUAUUGUAUUGUUGCCAUCGAGGAUAAAAGGAUGGGGUUUAUAUCAUAUUGCUUGAGUUUAUCCCUCUACAUCAUGUCAUCUUGCCUAAUGCGUUACUCUGUUCUUAUGAACUUAAUACUCUAGAUGCAUGUUGGAUAGCGGUCGAUGUGUGGAGUAACAGUAGUAGAUGCAGAAUCGUUUCGGUCUACUUGACACGGACGUGAUGCCUAUGUUCAUGAUCAUGCCUAGAUAUUCUCAUAACUAUGUGCUUUUCUAUCAAUUGCUCGGCAGUAAUUUGUUCACCCACCGUAAUAUAUGCUAUCAUGAGAGAAGCCACUAGUGAAACCUAUGGCCCCCGGGUCUAUUUUACAUCAUAUUAGUUUCCCGUCAACUAGCCAAUUUCUGUCACCGUUUAUUUUGCAACCUUUAUUUUCCAAUCUAUACAACAAAAAUACCAAAAAUAUUAUCUUAUUAUCUUUAUCAGAUCUCACUUUUGCAAGUGGCCGUGAAGGUAUUGACAACCCCUUUAUCGCGUUGGUUGCAAGGUUCUUGAUUAUUUGUGCAGGUACUAGGCGAUUUGCGUGUAGUCUCCUACUGGAUUGAUACCUUGGUUCUCAAAAACUGAGGGAAAUACUUACGCUACUUUGCUGCAUCACCCUUUCCUCUUCAAGGGAAACCAACGCAUGCUCAAGAGGUAGCAAGAAGGAUUUCUGCCACCAUUGCCGGGGAGGUCUACGCACAAGUCAAGACAUACCAAGUACCCAUCACAAACUCUUCUCCCUCGCAUUACAUUAUUUGCCAUUUGCCUCUCGUUUUCCUCUCCCCCACUUCACCUUUGUCGUUUUAUUCGCCCUUUUUCAUUCGUCUCUUUUCGCUUGCUUCUUGUGUGCCCGUUCUUAGUGAGGUUUGUCGCCAUCAUGUCUGAAAUUGGGGAGGUUAUCGUCGAAAAAGAUAAUAGUAACAAUGGGGGAAACCUUGAUACUUUUGAUAAUCCAGAUGAAGAAUCCGCUAUUCUACACACUAAAAAGUUUUGGAUUGGUAGUGGUAAUAUUAUUGGAAAAGGAGUUACUCAAGAUUUCUUUACUUGUGCCGGUGCUUUGCCCACUAUGGGAGGGUCUAUUCUUCAUAGAACUAGUAGUCUCGCGGAUGCUAUAUCUUUUCUCAUAGUUGAACUUGAAAGACAAUUUAUGCAUAUGCAUCCUUGCAUACAAAGGAUUUUCCUAGAAUUUUUCAAUAUUGAGCAUUCUUCUGUUAAGCGUGUAGCUACUAUAUUUUUAGCACAUGAGUUCAGAUUUAUAAUGAAAGAGGCCAAUGAAAUUUUUGCGCAUUAUAGGGUGGACGCUUGCCGUCCUCCCAUAUAAGCUAUCCUUUUUAAUCAAGAAGACAUAAUGCGUUUACGAUCUUUAGAUCAUGUUGCUUAUAAUGAAAACCUUAGAAAAAAGGUUCCUACCGAUGUUCUAGUUGAUAGAAUCUCUAAACUUAAUGAUGAUUUUGCUAUUCAGAAUAAUGGGUUAGGAUUUCCUCUUGAACAUAGGCUCAUGACUUUUUGCCAAAAGAAUGCUUAUAAUGAUGAAUUGGUUGUGCAAUAUGAGGGGCCGAAGGAGGAACCAAUACCUCCCAAGCUUGAUCUUGGGGACUUUUGUCCCAUUAAAUUUAGCCCUUUUGAUUAUUUUUGCCUGCCGCAAAGAAAGCUUGCUGCUGAACGUAGGGAGUAUGAGAUGAGUUUUCGCGAUUUGCCCUAUCAUUAUGGCAAUACCUGGAUCUAUUCUUGUUUUUAUGCCUAGCUAGGGGCGUUAAACGAUAGCGCUUGUUGGGAGGCAACCCAAUUUUAUUUUUGUUCCUUACUUUUUGUUCCUGUUUAGUAAUAAAUAUUUCAUCUAGCCUCUGGUUAGAUGUGGUUUUAUGUUUUAAUUAGUGUUUGUGCCAAGUAGAACCUUUAGGAUAACCUAUGGUGAUAGUUAAUUUGAUCUUGCUAAAAAGCAGAAACUUUUGCGCGCACGAAAUUAGUUUUCAUAAAUCACAGGAACGUGCUUUUCAGUUGAUUCUUUUUGCAGAAUAUUAAUAAACAAAUUGCUUAGGACUUCCUAAUUCCUCAGAAUUUUUGGAGUUACAGAAGUAUUUGAAACUAUUAGAUUUCUACAGACUGUUCUGUUUUUGACAGAUUCUGUUUUUAGUGUGUUGUUUGCUUAUUUUGAUGAAUCUAUGGCUAGUAUCGGGGGGUACGAACCAUAGAGAAGUUGGAAUACAGUAGGUUUAACACCAAUAUAAAUAAAGAAUGAGUUCAUUGCAGUACCUUAAGGUGGUGGUUUGUUUUCUUAUACUAACAGAGCUCAUGAGAUUUUCUGUUUGAGUUUUGUGUUUUCAAGUUUUCAAGUUUUUGGGUAAAGAUUUGAUGGAUUUUGGAAUAAGGAGUGGCAAGAGCCUAAGCUUGGGGAUGCCCAAGGCACCCCAAGGUAAAAUUCAAGGUCAACCAAAAGCCUAAGCUUGGGGAUGCCCCGGAAGGCAUCCCCUCUUUCGUCUUCGUCUAUCGGUAACUUUACUCGAGGCUAUAUUUUUAUUCACCACAUGAUAUGUGUUUUGCUUGGAGCGUCUUGUAUGAUUUAAGUCUUUGCUUUUUACUUUACCACAAUCAUCCUUGCUGUACACACCUUUUGGGAGAGACACACAUGAAUCGGAAUUUAUGAGAAUACUCUAUGUGCUUCACUUAUAUAUUUUGAGCUAGAUAAUUUUGCUCUAGUGCUUCACUUAUACCCUUUUUAGAGCACGGUGGUGAUUUUAAUUUGUAGGAAUUAUUGAUCUCUCAUGCUUCACUUAUAUUAUUUUGAGAGUCCUUUAGAACAGCAUGGUAGUUUGCUUUGGCUAUAAAAUUAGUCCUAAUAUGAUAGGCAUCCAAGAUGGGUAUAAUAAAAACUUUCAUAUAGAGUGCAUUAAAUACUAUGAUAAAUUUGAUACUUCAUAAUUGUUUUCAGAUAUAAAGGUUGUAAUGUUAGAGUCAUGCUAGUUGGGUAAUUGUGGAAUUGAGAAAUACUUGUGUUGAGGUUGGCAAGUCCUGUAGCAUGCACGUAUGGUAAACGUUGUGUGACAAAUUUGAAGCAUGGGGUGUUCUUUGAUUGCUUUCCUUAUGAGUGGAGGUCGGGAUCGCGCGAUGGUUAACACCUACCAACCCUUCCCCUAGGAGCAUGCGCGUAGUGCUUAGUUUUGUUGACUUGUAGAUUUUUGCAAUAAGUAUGUGAGUUCUUUAUGACUAAUGUUGAGUCCAUGGAUUAUACGCACUCUCGCCCUUCCAUCAUUGCUAGCCUCUUCGGUACCGUGCAUUGCCCUUUCUCACCUCGAGAGUUGGUGCAAACUUCGCCGAUGCAUCCAAACCCCGUGAUAUGAUACGCUCUAUCACACAUAAGCCUCCUUAUAUCUUCCUCAAAACAGCCACCAUACCUACCUAUUAUGGCAUUUCCAUAGCCAUUCCGAGAUAUAUUGCCAUGCAACUUACCACUGUUCCGUUUAUUAUGACACGCUCCAUCAUUGUCAUAUUGCUUUGCAUGAUCAUGUAGUUGACAUCGUAUUUGUGGCAAAGCCACCUUCAUAAUUCUUUCAUACAUGUCGCUCUUGAUUCAUUGCAUAUCCCGGUACACCGCCGGAGGCAUUCACAUAGUCAUAUUUUGUUCUAAGGAUCGAGUUGUAAUUCUUGAGUUGUAAGUAAAUAGAAGUGUGAUGAUUUUCAUUAUUAGAGCAUUGUCCCAUGUGAGGAAAGGAUGAUGGAGACUAUGAUUCCCCCACAAGUCGGGAUGAGACUCCCGAUGAGAAAAAAAUAAAUAAAUAAAGAGGCCAAAGAAGCCCAAAUAAAAAAAGGCCAAAGAAGCCCAAACAAAAAAACAAAAAAAUGAGAGAAAAAGAGAGAAGGGACAAUGUUACUAUCCUUUUUCCACACUUGUGCUUCAAAAUAGCACCAUGAUCUUCAUGAUAGAGAGUUUCUUAUUUUGUCACUUUCAUAUACUAGUGGGAAUUUUUCAUUAUAGAACUUGGCUUGUAUAUUCCAAUGAUGGGCUUUCUCAAAAUGCCCUAGGUCUUCGUGAGCAAGCAAGUUGGAUGCACACCCACUUAGUUUCUUUUGAUGGGCUUUCAUAUAUUUAUAGCUCUAGUGCAUCUGUUGCAUGGCAAUCCCUACUCCUCGCAUUGAUAUCAAUUGAUGGGCAUCUCCAUAGCCCGUUGAUUAGCCGCGUCAAUGUGAGACUUUAUCCUUCUUUUUGUCUGCUCACAUAACCCCCAUCAUCAUAUGCUAUUCCACCCAUAGUGCUAUGUCCAUGGCUUGCGCUCAUAUAUUCCGUAAAAGUUGAAAGAGUUUGAAAAGGCUAAGUAUGAAACAAUUGCUUGGCUGAAACCAGGGUUGUGCAUGAUGGGAGCAUUUUGUGUGACGAAAAUGAAGCAUGGCCAAACUAUAUGAUUUUGUAGGGAUGAGCUUUCUUUGGCUAUGUUAUUUUGGUAAGACAUAAUUGCUUGGUUAGCAUGCUUGAAGUAUUACUAUUUUUAUGUUGAUAAUAAAAAUUUGUCUAGGAUCUUUUGGAUCUAAGCAUUCAUGCCACAAUAAAUAGAAUUACAUUGAAAAUUAUGUUAGGUAGCAUUCCACAUCAAAAAAUUUGUUUUAUCAUUUACCUACUCGAGGACGAGCAGGAAUUAAGCUUGGGGAUGCUUGAUACGUCUCCACCGUAUCUAUAAUUUUUGAUUGUUCCAUGCUAUUAUAUUAUCUGUUUUGGAUGUUUAAUGGGCUUUAUUAUGCUCUUUUAUAUUAUUUUUGGGACUAACCUAUUAACCGAAGGCCCAGUGCAAAUUGUUGUUUUUUGCCUAUUUCAGUGUUUCGCAGAAAAGGAAUAUCAAACGGAAUCCAAACGGAAUGAAACCUUCGCGAGGAUCGUUUUUGGAACAAACGCAAUCCAGGAGACUUGGAGUGGACGUCAAGGAAGCAACGAGGCGGCCACGAGGAAGGAGGGCGCGCCCCCCACCCUCAUGGGCCCCUCGUGGCUCCACCGACCUACUUCUUUCGCCUAUAUAUACUCUCAUACCCUGAAAACAUCCAGGAGAGCCACGAAGCACUUUUUCCACCGCCGCAACCUUCUGUACUUGUGAGAUCCCAUCUUGGGGCCUUUUCCGGCGCUCCGCCGGAGGGGGAAUCGAUCAUGGAGGGCUUCUACAUCAACACCAUAGCCUCUCCGAUGAUGUGUGAGUAGUUUACCACAGACCUUCGGGUCCAUAGUUAUUAGCUAGAUGGCUUCUUCUCUCUCUUUGGAUCUCAAUACAAAGUUCUCCUCGAUCUUCUUGGAGAUCUAUUCGAUGUAAUACUUUUUGCGGUGUGUUUGCCGAGAUCCGAUGAAUUGUGGGUUUAUGAUCAAGAUUAUCUAUGAACAAUAUUUGGUUCUUCUCUGAAUUCUUAUAUGCAUGAUUUGAUAUCUUUGCAAGUCUCUUUGAAUUAUCAGUUUGGUUUGGCCUACUAGAUUGAUCUUUCUUGCAAUGGGAGAAGUGCUUAGCUUUGGGUUCAAUCUUGUGGUGUCCUUUCCCAGUGACAGCAGGGGCAGCAAGGCACGUAUUGUAUUGUUGCCAUCGAGGAUAAAAAGAUGGGGUUUAUAUCAUAUUGCUUGAGUUUAUCCCUCUACAUCAUGUCAUCUUGCCUAAUGCGUUACUCUGUUCUUAUGAACUUAAUACUCUAGAUGCAUGUUGGAUAGCGGUUGAUGUGUGGAGUAAUAGUAGUAGAUGCAGAAUUGUUUCGGUCUACUUGACACGGACGUGAUUCCUAUGUUCAUAAUCAUGCCUAGAUAUUCUCAUAACUAUGCGCUUUUCUAUCAAUUGCUCGGCAGUAAUUUGUUCACCCACCGUAAUAUAUGCUAUCAUGAGAGAAGCCACUAGUGAAACCUAUGGCCCCCAGGUCUAUUUUAAAUCAUAUUAGUUUCCCGUCAACUAGCCAAUUUCUGUCGCCGUUUAUUUUGCAAUCUUUAUUUUCCAAUCUAUACAACAAAAAUACCAAAAAAUUAUCUUAUUAUCUUUAUCAGAUCUCACUUUUGCAAGUGGCCGUGAAGGGAUUGACAACCCCUUUAUCGCGUUGGUUGCAAGGUUCUUGAUUGUUUGUGCAGGUACUAGGCAAUUUGCGUGUAGUCUCCUACUGGAUUGAUACCUUGGUUCUCAAAAACUGAGGGAAAUACGUACGCUACUUUGUUGCAUCACCCUUUCCUCUUCAAGGGAAAACCAACGCAUGCUCAAGAGCUAGCAGUGUGCAAGUUCAAGUGGAGCAUCACGAAGAAAUCAAAUGCUUGAAGCUUGCCGUCCAUUGUGGUGACAAUGGAUUUGUGAAGAUGUGCGGAAGAGUGGCUCACCCAUAGUGGAGUAUGGGGGAGCAAUCAACUAGUCUUCAUCGAGCCAACGCAAUCAAGAAAGGUGGUCCAACUUGAGGGAGUCAAGAUCGUCAUCAUCUAGCUCAAGUGGACCAUGUGCAAGGCAAAGGUUUGCCCUUGAUAGGUUUUCUAUUUUACCGAUCUCAUGGUGGUAGUUGGGAGACCGGGUUAUAGGAUCGAUUGCCGUACUAUCAAGGGGGGCUCUCAAUGAGUAGCUUUAUCGUAUCAUUCGUAGAGAGCUCAAACCAUUGCAUCCUUGCAUCAUCUUUCUUGGUUCUUGUUUGAUUCUCUUUGUGAGUCUUAGAGCUUAUGGUCAUCUUGAUGACAAGCUCGAGUUCAUCGAAAACGGAGUUCACCUGCAUCUUCUAUGAUGUUUUCGAUGUUGGAGGUUAUGCCGGUUCUUCUCUGUUGGAGGUUUCACUCCUCUAUAUGUUAGGCAUACCUCCCUUGCCCCUUCUUACUCGCUGUUUUGAUGCUACUCGUUGUCUUCUAUCCAACAAGCUUGAGUUUUCUCAAUUCGGAGAUCAUUUGCAGAAGUUAUGGCAGUUCUGGUUUUAUUGGAUCCUUUUGUUGGCUUUAGCUGCGAUAUGAAGGCAGCCAAGUGCUAAAGCCUCUGUGGCGUGCGGUAGUACUGCUCAAGGGAGCGGUAGUACCGCAGGGGCCAGCGGUAGUACCGCUCCUGGUGAGCAGUAGUACCACGGCCUCUAGCCCAGAACAUUGUCACGCACGGAAGUAGGCGCGGAAGUAAUUUUUUACUUCCGUCCCUACGCGGUAGUACCGCUCCCUGCGAGCGGUAGUACCAUGCCGGCUUUCUACUCAAAGCUAGCUCCAGCGGAUGUAGGCGCGGCAGUAAUUUUUUACAUCCGUGGACGCACGGUAGUACCGCUAUCCCCAGCGGUAGUACCGCUACCUCACCGUGUAUACUGCUGUGUGCUGCACCUGUGUGGCCGUUGAAUACUACCCCUGCGGUAGUACCACAAGGGCAGGCAGUAGUACCCCUCCGGCAGUAGUACCACUCUGUUGCCCCGUUGUAGUAGUGUUUCAUUUGGCUACAGCCGCCCUAGCGGUAGUACCGCUCCUUGGAGCGGUAGUACCGCUCGGUGCGGGCUGUGAGGAUAACGGUUGGAUUUUUCCCCACCUAUAAAAGGGGGUCUUCUUCCCCAAUGAACCUUAUCCUUUGAGCUCGUGUUCUUGCCCCAUUGCUGACCUUCUUCGAGCUUGCUAACUCUCAAUCCCUCCAUGGAUUCUUGCUAGUUUUUGAGGGAAAAGAGAGAGGAGAUCUAGAUCCACAUUUCCACCAAUCACUUUCUCCUCUAUGUGAGGGGAACCCCUUGGAUCUAGAUCUUGGAGUUCUUGGUGUUCUCCUUCUUGUUCUUCCUCUCAUUUUCCUCCCCAGAAUUAGUUGCUUCGGUGGGACUUGAGAGAGAAGGACUUGGGCACUCCGUGUGCCCUUGCCAUUGCAUUUGGUGCAUCGGUUUGAGUUCUCCACGUGAUACGUGGAAGUUACAAGUUGAGAAGCUUAUUACUCUUGGGUGCUUGGUACCCUUGAGCUUGUUCCUCUUGGGUGCUUGGGCGCCCUAGACAGUUGGUGGUGUUCGGAGCUCAAUCAUUGUGGUGUAAAGCUCCGGGUGUCAGUGUCAAAACUGGUGGAUCUCGGGUAGGGGGUCCCAAACUGUGCGUCUAAGGUUGAGGGUAACAGGAGACGGGGGACACAAUGUUUACCCAGGUUCGGGCCCUCUCUACAGAGGUAAUACCCUACUUCUUGCUUGAUUGAUCUUGAUGAAUAUGAGUAUUACAAGAGUUGAUCUACCACGAGAUCGUAAUGGCUAAAACCCUAGAAGUCUAGCCUGUAUGACUAUGAUUAUGAUUAUUCAUCCUCUACGGACUAAGCCCUCCGGUUUAUAUAGACACCGGAGGGUUCUAGGGUUACAUCAGGUCGGUUACAGAGAAAGGAAUCUUCAUAUUUGGUCGCCAAGCUUGCCUUCCACGCCAAGGAGAGUCCCAUCCGGACACGGGAGAGAGUCUUCGGUCUUCGUAUCUUCACGGCCGAUCAAUCCGGCCCAUGUAUAACAGGUCGGAUGCCUGAGGACCCCUUAAUCCAGGACUCCCUCGGUAGCCCCCGAACCAGGCUUCAAUGACGAUGUGUCCAGCGCGCAGAUUGUCUUCGGCAUUGCAAGGCGGGUUCUUCCUCCGAUGACUUUCAAAGAGAUAUAUUCGGCACUCCAUUUAACGUUGUGCCCCUCGGCUUCUGUGCGUCAACAACUUCAGCUUCCACGUGUCGAGCGAAUGCGGGAGGUCAGGGUAUUUUCACAUAUAACACCCCGGCCAUGUAAGAACAGCGUCUAUUUAACGGGAUUGGAUCUCAGAUCCAUUCUAUAUCAUGCAAAAAAUCCUCAGAGCUUGCUAGGAAAAACCAUUCCAACAUGGCCAGCGCUCCUAGCUCUUCCUCCCGUCCCCACGGCCCAGAAAAAGGCAAUUGGGAGAGAUGUUUCAUAUCUCACGGUCAGUUGGUGAAGCUGCAAACACAGGGAUUCCUUCCCCCUGCGGAUCUAGUCCCCGUUCGAGUAGGAUUGAAUUCCUUCAACGGCGGGGCUCAGGCUGAGAAUUUCCACAACCCAUCCAGGGGGGAGCGAGUGUGCUUCAUCCCCUACUUGCUAAGAGGCGUCGGAUUUCCAAUCCAUCCGUUCCUCCGAGGGCUUCUAGAGUAUUAUGGCUUCCAACUGCACAACUUCACUCCUGCCUCCAUCCUGCACAUCACGGGCUACGUCACUCUUUGCGAGCUAUUCUUGGGUUGCGAGGCCCAUUUUGAUUUGUGGAGGAAGCUAUUCUGCCUCGUCCCUCGCAACCAAGAUGGAUCAAUAUUUGAAGUGGGCGGAGCCGAAGUAUGGCGCAUCGCCGGGACCGGAUACCUGUCCGGCACGCGGAAGAAGGCAUCCGAAGAAUGGCCUUCCGAAUGGUUCUAUAUCGAGGACGUCGCCCUUCCAGACCCAGUUCGAAUGGGUCUUCUCGAAUUUACAAGGGUUCCGUUGAAGAAAUGCCACAGCUGGCGCCCUCGGAGCCUCGAGGAGGAAGAUAGUGCGGAAGUCCGUCAACUGAUUAGCAAGAUAAAGACGCUUGCCCAGCCCGGAUUAUCAAUAGUCGACGUAAUGGCGACUUCCAUAGUGCGAGGGGUUCAGCCACUCCAAUACAGAGGGCUUCCUAUGUGGCACUACAAUGGGGAAGAUGACGCCUCCCGUUGCGGUCGAAAAGGUCCGGACACCCCCGCCGCUUUGGCCAAGAUAUUGGUCGAACUAUUCAAAGGGGAGGAAGAGGAAUUCCUUCGCAUCAAGCGUCGGGAUGGAUUUUCCAUGUACAACCCUACUAGUUGGGUGAGUUACAAUCCCAUUAUUCCAUUCAAUCUACUCCCUGAGUCACUUUUAACGAACAUUACUCCGUCCAUUCGUAACAGGAAUGGCGAAAAAUCACCAAGGGGCUACACCGCCCCGCCCCACAGCCAGAGAACCAUAACCGGGACCUUGACCCUGGAUUUGAAGAGGAUCCGGACAUAUAUGUGGAGCUCGAGGAUGGGGUGUUCUACCAGGCGAGCUAUGACGGCAUGGAAGUGGCCAUCACUGCCGACUAUCCCGGUCUUCUCCCUGCCUCGCACGUAAAUAAUCAGGAGAUAUCUCCUAUGAAAGAGCCUCCUCAUUCUGCCUCAUGAUGGGGAACGUAGCGAUAAUUCUAAAAUUUCCUACAUGUCACCAAGAUCAAUCUAGGAGAUGCUAGCAACGAGAGAGAGGGAGUGCAUCUUCAUACCCUUGAAGAUCGCUAAGCGGAAGCGUUACAAGAACGCGGUUGAUGGAGUCGUACUCGCGGCGAUUCAAAUCGCGGAAGAUCCGAUCUAGCGUCGAACGGACGACGCCUCCGCGUUCAACACACGUACAGCCCGGGGACAUCUCCUCCUUCUUGAUCCAGUAAGGGGAGAGGAGAAGUUGAGGGAGAACUCCAGCAGCACGACGGCAUGGUGGCAAUGGAGCUCGUGGUUCUCCGGCAGGGCUUCGCCAAGCACUAUGGAGGAGGAGAUGUAUGAGGAGGAAGGGGGCUGCGCCAAGGGAAGGGUAUGGCUUCCCUCCCACCCCCUCACUAUAUAUAGGGGGAGGGGAGAGGGUCCGGCCCCUCUAGAUGGAUCUAGAGGAGGAGGCGGCGGCCAGGGGAAACCCUAGAUGGGUUUGGGUGCCCCCACCCCCUAGGAAACUUGCCCCCCAAGCCGGGAGGGGCGGCUAUCCUAGGGGUGGCGCCCCCACCUCUCCUGGUUACGUGAGAGGGGUUGGGAGGGGCGCACAAUCCCUUAGUGGGCUGGUUUGACACUUCCCCUUGGCCCAUAAGGCCCCCCAACACUUGCCGGGGCCUCCGAAACCCCUUUCGGACAUGCUGGCCAUAGCCUGGUACCCCCGGAACAAUUCCGGACUCCAAUACCCUUCGUCCAAUAUACCGAUCUUCACCUCCGGACCAUUCCGGAGCUCCUCGUCAUGUCCGGGAUCUCAUCCGGGACUCCGAACAACCUUCGGUAACCACAUACUAUUUCCCAUAACAACUCUGGCGUCACCGAACCUUAAGUGUGUAGUCCCUACGGGUUCGGCAACCAUGCAGACAUGACCGAGACGUUCUCCGGCCAAUAACCAACAGUGGGAUCUGGAUACCCUUGUUGGCUCCCACAUGUUCCACGAUGAUCUCAUCGGAUGAACCACGAUGUCGGGGAUUCAAUCGAUCCCGUAUACAAUUCCCUUUGUCUAUCGGUAUGUUACUUGCCCGAGAUUCGAUCGUCCGUAUCCCUAUACCUUGUUCAAUCUCGUUACCGGCAAGUCUCUUUACUCAUUCCGUAACGCAUGAUCCCGUGGCUAACUCAUUAGUCACAUUGAGCUCAUUAUGAUGAUGCAUUACCGAGUGGGCCCAGAGAUACCUCUCCGUCAUACGGAGUGACAAAUCCCAGUCUCGAUUCGUGCCAACCCAACAGACUGUAGGAGAUAUGCCCUAGAGGCAAUAAUAAAUGAUAUUAUUUAACUCCGAGUUCAUAAUUAUGUUUAUGUUCCAUGCUAUAACUGCUAUGGUUCUCGAGUCUGCAAUAACCACGAGGCUCGGAGGAAGACUCAUAUGCACGUGUGGAAUAAUAAACGGUAAAAUGUAUUCCUAGUAUGGCCUCUAAGACUAGCUCAAGUGUUGAUGGUUAUGUUUUCCUGAUCAUGGGCAUGUCUAUGUCAGCAACCUUGAGGGCAUAAUGUUAAGAGAACAUUUGUGUUGAAUCGACCCGGCAUGAUGUUAUGCUAUGAGAUUCAUUCGUCACAAGUUUAUUGGUACAUAACACAGAGAUGGUUAAAGUUUGCAUGAUUCCUUAGACCAUGAGAGUAUCGAGUUUCUUCAUGCUUGCUUCAUGAACUUUGGGGUUUGUUAAACGUCAUCCGUAAAUGGGUGGCUAUUACGGCGGCUUACGGGUUCAUGGAAAAGUGUGUCAAGUAACUUGAUAGCUCAAGAUUGGGAUUUGCUCCUCCGACGAUGGAGAGAUAUCUCUGGGCCCUCUCGGUGUUACGGUAUCCAUCAUCGUCUGGCCAGACACUUUGUGAUUUGAUCACGGGGAUGCCGGAACACGAUAACGAGAAAAGAGAACAAUACCGGUAACGAGGUAACUAGCAUAGUGGACAAGUUGUUGAUCCACGGGAAUGCCAACAUGUCUCACCUCGGGUAUUUGCAACAUAUUGCGAAGCAACAGGAAUAGCACACGGCAACUGGAGGUUCACUCGAAUAUUUAUUCGUGUGGGUAUAGGGGUCAAUAUGGGUGUCCACGGCUCCGAUGUUGAUCAUUGAUCGGAAGGGGUUCCGGGUCAUGUCUAUACUUCACCGAACCUAUAGGGUCACAUGCUUAAGGGUCAUCUAUCUACUGAAUACUAGACAGGGAGUCUGAGAGAAAAUCACCGAAAAAGUUUCGGACACCGAAAAGUUUCGGACAGCGGAAUCGUACCGCAGAGAGAGGUCAUCGGAUAAGUUUCGAUGAUACCGAAAAGUUGUUUCGGGAUACACCAUUAAGUCAAAUUGGUUUCGGCACAUGCCUGAUAAUUCUUGGAGGAUGCCAGAAUCAUUCUGGAAGCUUUUUGGAAUUUUCUGAGAUAAAAACCGGAAAUGUUCCGGAGCUGCCGGAGCCACUUCAGAUGCGUUUCGCAGAUGAAAAUCACUAAAACCGGAAUUGUUUCGGAACGCGUUGAAAAUCAUUUUAGUGGGUAUUGGAAAUGUUCUUAGCCCACAUAAAUAUUUUCAGUUCGAUCAGACGCUGAAAAAUGUCGUCGUGAAUAGUGAAAAUCAGCUUUAUGGUUACUUUAUGGAAAGCCACCUUUUGGGGCUUUGCUCCAAAAGAUCUUGGGGAUGACAUGGAUGGAUAGGAGCCAUUUUUGGGGCCCCUCAUGGGGGUGUGGCCGGCCACAUGGGGUAUCCCCCCUUGGGGACCCUCUUGUUCCUUGGUUUCACUCCUAGGUCCUUGUGGAAGGACUUCAUUCAUGUGCAUUUUGGGUUUUUUGUGAAACUACCCUACCCCCUUGGGAUUUCCUAUAAAUAGAGGUGGAGGGGCAGCCCUCCACACUCAUCCCUUGCUCUCAUACACAUGCCAUGCAUUAUCUGGCUUCUUCUCUCCCUCCCACGAAAAGAGUUUCGUAGAGCCGUAAGGCUGUCUGGGUUCCGGCAGGAACUAGUUCUGGACGGCGAAGCCCUGCCGGAUAGAUGACACCGUAUGUGUGCAACUCUUUAGAGAGAUCGUAGUUUCGGUCUUAGUUCGUGAGUGCCUCCCGAAGGGCUGUCCGUGUGACCGUCCGAGUUUCGAAGGUCCUCCCGAAGGGCUGUCCGAGUGACCGUUCGAGUUUCGAAGGUCCUCCCGAAGGGCUGUCCGCGACACCGUCCGGGGGCUGUUCGACCGCCUCCUGGAGGGCUGUCUGAGGAGCAGAUGAGGGUAUACAUCCUCGCGGUUGGGAGGUUGUAAAUCCUAGCUGUGGGGAUCUGCACCGCCGAUCGUCAUCGACUCUACUUCCCGCUGCGCUACGAGUCGGUAACGAAAAAGAUCAAACCAUGUAUGCAGUCUCCAUAGUGGUCCUGGGCUGGUCCGUAGGUCGGAAUUUUUUUUGUUUUCUGCUGCGUUCCCCUACACAGACACUUUCGGAGAUACCUGUAGUGCACCUUUAUAGCCACCCAGUUACGUUGUGACGUUUGGUACACCCAAAGCAUUCCUACGGUAUCCCGGAGUUGCACAAUCUCAUGGUCUAAGGAAACGAUACUUGACAUUAGAAAAGCUCUUAGCAAACGAACUACACGAUCUUGUGCUAUGCUUAGGAUUGGGUCUUGUCCAUCACGUCAUUCUCCUAAUGAUGUGAUCCCAUUAUCAAUGACAUCCAAUGUCCAUGGUCAGGAAACCAUAACCAUCUAUUGAUCAACGAGCUAGUCAACUAGAGGCUUACUAGGGACAUGUUGUGGUCUAUGUAUUCACACAUGUAUUACGGUUUCCAGUUAAUACAAUUAUAGCAUGAACAAUAGACAAUUAUCAUGAACAAGGAAAUACAAUAAUAACCAUUUUAUUAUUGCCUCUAGGGCAUAUUUCCAGCAGUCUCCCACUUGCACUAGAGUCAAUAAUCUAGUUCACAUCACCAUGUGAUUAACACUCAAAGUUCACAUCGCCAUGUGACUAAUACCCAAGAGUUUACUAGAGUCAAUAAUCUAGUUCACAUCACCAUGUGAUUAACACUCAAUGAGUUCUAGGGUUUGAUCAUGUUAUGCUUACGAGAGAGGUUUUAGUCAACGGGUCUGCAACAUUCAGAUUCGUGUGUGAUUUACAAAUCUCUAUGUCAUCUUGUAGAUGCAGCUACCACGCGCUACUUGGAGCUAUUCCAAAUAACUGCUCUACUAUACGAAUCCGGUUUACUACUCAGAGUCAUCCGGAUUAGUGUCAAAGUUUGCAUCGACAUAACCCUUUACGAUGAACUCCUUUUCCACCUCCAUAAUCGAGAAAAUUCCUUAGUCCACUAGAUACUAAGGAUAAGUUCGACCGCUGUCAUGUGAUCCCUUCCUGGAUCACUAUUGUACCCCUUGACUAACUCAUGGCAAGGCACACUUCAGGUGCGGUACACAACAUAGCAUACUGUAGAGCCUACGUCUAAAGCAUAGGGGAUGACCUUCGUCCCUUCUCUCUCUCCUGUCGUGGUCAGGUCUUGAGUCUUACUCAACACUCACACCUUGUAACACAGCCAAGAACUCCUUCUUUGCUGAUCUAUUUUGAACUCCUUCAAAAUCUUGUCACGGUAUGUAUUCAUUUGAAAGUACUAUUAAGCGUUUUUGAUCUAUCCUUAUAGAUCUUGAUGCUCAAUGUUCAAGUAGCUUAAUCCAGGUUUUCCAUUGAAAAACACUUUUCAAAUAACCCUGUAUGCUUUCCAAAAAUUCUACAUCAUUUCUCAUCAACAAUAUGUUAACAACAUAUACUCAUCAAAAAUUCUAUAGUGCUCCCACUCACUUCUUUGGAAAUACAAGUUUCUCAUAAACUUUGUAUAAACCCAAAAUCUUUGAUCAUCUCAUCAAAGCGUACAUUCCAACUCCGAGAUGCUUACUCCAGUCCUAAGAAGGAUUGCUGGAGCUUUGCAUACUUGUUAGCAUCUUUCAGGAUUGACAAAACCUUCUGGUUGUAUCACAUACAACCUUUCCUCAAGAAAAUCGUCGAGGAAACAAUGUUUUGACAUCCUAUCUGCAAGAUUUCAUAAAUAAUGCAGUAACUGCUAAUAUAAUUCCAACAGAAUCUUAGCAUCGCUACGAGUGAGAAAGUCUCAUCGUAGUCAACUCCUUGAACUUGUCGGAAAACAUCUUAACGACAAGUCGAGCUUUCUUAAUGGUGACACUUACCAUCAUUGUCCGUCUUCCUUUUAAAAUCCAUCUGCACCCAACAGCCUUACGACCAUCAAGUAGUUCUUCCAAAGUCUAUACUUUGCUUUUAUACACGGAUCCUCUCUCGAAUUUUAUGGCCUUGAGCCAUUCGUCGGAAUCCGGGCCCACCAUCGCUUCUCCAUAGCUCGUAGGUUCAUUGUUGUCUAGCAACAUGACUUCCAAGACAGGAUUAGUACCACUCUGAAGUAGUACGCAUCCUUGUCGACCUACGAGGUUUGGUAGUGACUUGAUCCGAAGUUUCAUGAUCACUAUCAUAAGCUUCCACUUCAAUUGGUGUAGGUGCCACAGGAACAACUUCCUGUGCCCUGCUACACACUAGUUGAAGUGAUGGUUCAAUAACCUCAUCAAGUCUCCACCAUCCUCCCACUCAAUUCUUUCGAGAGAAACUUUUCCUCGAGAAAGGACCUGUUUCUAGAAACAAUCACUUUGCUUCCGGAUCUGAAAUAGGAGGUAUACCCAACUGUUUUGGGUAUUCUAUGAAGAUGCAUUUAUCCGCUUUGGGUUCGAGCUUAUCAGCCUGAAACUUUUUCACAUAAGCGUCGCAGCCCCAAACUUUUAAGAAACGACAGCUUAGGUUUCUCUAAACCAUAGUUCAUACGGUGUCGUCUCAACGGAUUGCGUGGUGCCCUAUUUAAAGUGAAUGCGGUUCUCUCUAAUGCCUAGCCCAUAAACGAUAGCGGUAAUUCGAUAAGAGAUAUCAUGGUAUGCACCAUAUCCAAUAGGGUGCAGUUAUGAUGUUCGGACACACCAUCACACUAUGGUGUUCCAGGCGGUAUUAGUUGUGAAACAAUUUCCGCAAUGUCUUAAUUGUGUGCCAAACUCGUAACUCAGAUAUUCAUUUCUAUGAUCAUAUCAUAGACAUUUUAUCCUCUUGUCACGACGAUCUUCAACUUCACUCUGAAAUUACUUGAACCUUUCAAUAAUUCAGACUUGUGUUUCAUCAAGUAAAUAUACUCAGCAUCUACUCAAAUCAUCUGUGAAGUAAGAACAUAACGAUAUCCGCUGCGUGCCUCAGCACUCAUUGGACUGCACACAUCAAAAUGUAUUACUUCCAACAAGUUGCUUUCUUGUUCCAUCUUACUGAAAAUGAGGCCUUUCAGUCAUCUUGACCAUGUGUUAUGAUUUGCAUGUCUCAAGUGAUUCAAAAUCAAGUGAGUCCAAAUGAUCCAUCUGUAUGGAGUUUCUUCAUGCAUAUCUACCAAUAGACAUGGUUCGCAUGUCUCAAUCUUUUCAAAAACGAGUGAGUCCAAAGAUCCAUCAACAUGGAGCUUCUUCAUGCGUUUUAUACCAAUAUGACUCAAAUGGCAGUGCCACAAGUAUGUGGUACUAUCAUUACUAUUUUAUAUCUUUUGGCAUGAACAUGUGUAUCACUACGAUCGAGAUUCAAUAAACCAUUCAUUUUAGGUGCAAGACCAUUGAAGGUAUUAUUCAAAUAAACAGAGUAACCAUUAUUCUCCUUAAAAGAAUAACCGUAUUGCGAUAAACAUAAUCUAAUCAUGUCUAUGCUCAACGCAAACACCAAAUAACAAUUAUUUAGGUUUAACACCAAUCUCGAUGGUAGAGGGAGCAUGCGAUGCUUGAUCACAUCAACCUUGGAAACACUUCCAACACAUAUCGUCAUCUCACCUUUAGCUAGUCUCCGUUUAUUCCGUAGCCUUUUAUUUUGAGUUACCAACACUUAGCAACCGAACCGGUAUCUAAUACCCUGGUGCUACUAGGAGUACUAGUAAAGUACACAUUAAUAUAAUGUAUAUCCAAUAUACUUCUGUCGACCUUGCCUGCCUUCUCAUCUACCAUGUAUCUAGGGUAGUUCUGCUUCAGUGACCGUUCCCCUCAUUACAGAAGCACUUAGUCUCGGGUUUGGGUUCAACCUUGGGUUUCUUUACUAGAGCAGCAACUAAUUUGCCGUUUCAUGAAGUAUCCCUUCUUUCCCUUGCCCUUCUUGAAACUAGUGGUUUUACUAACCAUCAACAAUUGAUGCUCCUACUUGAUUUCUACUUUCGCGGUGUCAAACAUCGCGAGUUGCUCAAGGAUCAUCAUGUCUAUCCCUGAUAUGUUAUAGUUCAUCACGAAGCUCUAAUAGCUUGGUGGCAGUGACUAUGGAGAACCAUCACUAUCUCAUCUGGAAGAUUAACUCCCACUCGAUUCAAGCGAUUGUAGUACUCAGACAAUCUGAGCACAUGCUCAACGAUUGAGCUUUUCUCCCUUAGUUUGCAGGCUUAAGAAACUUGUCAGAGGUCUCAUACCUCUUGACGUGGGCACUAGUCUGAAAUCCCAAUUUCAAUCUUUGGAACAUCUCAUAUGUUCUGCGACGUUUCAAAAUGUCUUUGGUGCCAUAAUUUUAAACCGUUAGCAUUACGCACUGAACUAUCACGUAGUCAUCAAAACGUGUAUGUCAGAUGUUUCGCAACAUCUACAGACGACGCUCGAGGUUCAGCACACCGAGCGGUGCAUUAAGGACAUGAGCCUUCUGUGCAGCAAUGAGGACAAUCCUCAGUAUACGGACCCAGUCCGCAUAAUUGCUACUGUCAACUUUCAACUAAAUUUUCUCUAGGAACAUAUCUUAAACAGUAGAACUAAAGCGUAAGCUAUGACAUAAUUUGCAAAGACCUUUUGACUAUGUUCAUGACAAUUAAGUUCAUCUGAUUAUUUAAUGAACUCCCACUUAGAUAGACAUCCCUCUAGUCAUCUAAGUGAUACAUGAUCCGAAUCGACUAGACCGUGUCCGAUCAUCACGUGAGACGGACUAGUCAUCAACGGUGAACAUCUCCAUGUUGAUCGUAUCUACUAUACGACUCAUGUUCGACCUUUCGGUCUCUUGUGUUCCGAGGCCAUGUCUGUACAUGCUAGGUUCGUCAAGUCAACCUAAGUGUUUCGCAUGUGCAAAUCUGGCUUACACCCGUUGUAUGCGAACGUUAGAAUCUAUCACACCCGAUCAUCACGUGGUGCUUCGAAACAACGAACCUUCACAAUGGUGCACAGUUAGGGGGAACACAUCUCUUGAAAUUUUAGUGAGGGAUCAUCUUAUUUAUGUUACCGUCGUUCUAAGCAAAUAAGAUGUGAACAUGACAAACAUCACAUGCAAAUCAUAAAGUGACAUGAUAUGGCCAGUAUCAUCUUGCGCCUUUUGAUCUCCAUCUUCGAGGCGCGGCAUGAUCACCUUCGUCACCGGCAUGAUCUCCAUCAUCGUGUCUUCAUGAAGUUGUCUCGCCAACUAUUACUUCUACUACUAUGGCUAACGGUUAGCAAUAAAGUAAAAUAAUUACAUGGCGUUUUUCAUUGACAUGCAGGUCAUACAAUAAAUUAAGACAACUCCUAUGGCUCCUGCCGGUUGUCAUACUCAUCGACAUGCAAGUCGUGAUUCCUAUUACAAGAACAUGAUCAGUCUCAUACAUCACAUAUAUAUAAUUCAUCACAUCCUUUUGGCCAUAUCACAUCACAUAGCAUACCCUGCAAAAACAAGUUAGACGUCCUCUAAUUGUUGUUGCAUGUUUUACGUGGCUGCUAUGGGUUUCUAGCAAGAACAUUUCUUACCUACUCAAAAGCCACAACGGUGAUAUGCCAAUUGCUAUUUACCCUUCAUAAGGAUCCUCUUCAUCGAAUCCGAUCCGACUAAAGUGGGAGAGACAGACACCCGCUAGCCACCUUAUGCAUCAAGUGCAUGUCAGUCGGUGGAACCUGUCUCACGUAAGUGUACGUGUAAGGUCGGUCCGGGCCGCUUCAUCCCACAAUGCCACCGAAUCAAGAUAAGACUAGUAACGGUAAGCAAAUUGAACAAAUCAUCGCCCACAACUACUUUGUGUUCUACUCGUGCAUAGAAUCUAUGCAUAGACCUAGCUCAUGAUGCCACUGAUGGGGAACGUAGCGAUAAUUCAAAAUUUUCCUACGUGUCACCAAGAUCAAUCUAGGAGAUGCUAGCAAUGAGAGAGAGGGAGUGCAUCUUCAUACCCUUGAAGAUUGCUAAGCGGAAGCGUUACAAGAACGCGGUUGAUGGAGUCGUACUCGCGGCGAUUCAAAUCGCGGAAGAUCCGAUCUAGCGCCGAACGGACGGCGCCUCCGCGUUCAACACACGUACAGCCCGGGGACGUCUCCUCCUUCUUGAUCCAGCAAGGGGAGAGGAGAAGUUGAGGGAGAACUCCAGCAGCACAACGGCAUGGUGGCAAUGGAGCUCGUGGUUCUCCGGCAGGGCUUCGCCAAGCACUACGGAGGACGAGGAAAUGUAUGAGGAGGAAGGGGGUUGCGCCAAGGGAAGGGUAUGGCUGCCCUCCCACCCCCUCACUAUAUAUAGGGGGAAGGGGAGAGGGGCCGGCCCCUCUAGAUGGAUCUAGAGGAGGAGGCGGCGGCCAGGGGAAACCCUAGAUGGGUUUGGGUGCCCCCACCCCCUAGGAAACUUGCCCCCCAAGCCGGGAGGGGCGGCUGCCCUAGGGGUGAUGCCCCACCUCUCCUGGUUACGUGAGAGGGGUUGGGAGGGGCGCACAGCCCCUUAGUGGGCUGGUUUGCCCCUUCCCCUUGGCCCAUAAGGCCCCCCAACGCUUGUCGGGGCCUCCGAAACCCCUUUCGGACAUGCUGGCCAUAGCCUGGUACCCCCAGAACAAUUCCGGACUCCAAUACCCUUCAUCCAAUAUACCGAUCUUCACCUCCGGACCAUUCCGGAGCUCCUCAUCAUGUCCGGGAUCUCAUCCGAGACUCCGAACAACCUUCGGUAACCACAUACUAUUUCCCAUAACAACUCUAGCGUCACCGAACCUUAAGUGUGUAGACCCUACGGGUUCGGGAACCAUGCAGACAUGACCGAGACGUUCUCCGGCCAAUAACCAACAGCGGGAUUUGGAUACCCAUGUUGGCUCCCACAUGUUCCACGAUGAUCUCAUCGGAUGAACCACGAUGUCGGGGAUUCAAUCAAUCCCGUAUACAAUUCCCUUUGUCUAUCGGUAUGUUACUUGCCCGAGAUUCGAUCGUCAGUAUCCCUAUACCUUGUUCAAUCUCGUUACCGGUAAGUCUCUUUACUCGUUCUGUAACGCAUGAUCCCGUGGCUAACUCAUUAGUCACAUUGAGCUCAUUAUGAUGAUGCAUUACCGAGUGGGCCCAGAGAUACCUCUCAAUCAUACGGAGUGACAAAUCCCAGUCUCGAUUCGUGCCAACCCAACAGACACUUUCGGAGAUACCUGUAGUGCACCUUUAUAGCCACCUAGUUACGUUGUGACGUUUGGUACACCCAAAGCAUUCCUACGGUAUCCGGGAGUUGCACAAUCUCAUGGUCUAAGGAAACAAUACUUGACAUUAGAAAAGCUCUUAGCAAAUGAACUACACGAUCUUGUGCUAUGCUUAGGAUUGGGUCUUGUCCAUCACAUCAUUCUCCUAAUGAUGUGAUCCCAUUAUCAAUGACAUCCAAUGUCCAUGGUCAGGAAACCAUAACCAUCUAUUGAUCAACGAGCUAGUCAACUAGAGGCUUACUAGGGACAUGUUGUGGUCUAUGUAUUCACACAUGUAUUAUGGUUUCCAGUUAAUACAAUUAUAGCAUGAACAAUAGACAAUUAUCAUGAACAAGGAAAUACAAUAAUAACCAUUUUAUUAUUGCCUCUAGGGCAUAUUUCCAACACCUCACCCACCGCACUGUCUUGUGCUCCAAAGGGGAGGCGCUCGAUGCGUCAUUCUACACCAGAGGCAACUCCAAAGAGAGCGGUGCCCAAGCCGGGCAGGCCUUCGAAGAGGAAGGCAAGCGAAGACACGACCGAGCCUUCAUCGAAGAGGUAUGGCUUUGUAAAUAUGCCCCUUGGCAAUCACAUCCAACUGUGACAUUAUCCGUUGUGUCUUAACAGGAAAAGCGUUCACCGGACUAUGUCCAGGGAUCUUACCGGCCGCGCCUCCACAAGUCAGGUUCCCGACCCUGCUUUAAAGGCAAGGGCUGAUACGGGAGUGACGCCGGAUUGUCCCUCGGCAGAUGAGUCGGAUGAUGUAUCCGUCACAAACUCGGAGGUGGAGAGCGCCAUGAAUCAUCGGCGCCGGAGAGCCGUUCUACGCGACCCCGGCUUUACGAGCGAGGCAUUCAAUGCCUUCAGCUCGACUGAUGCAUAUAUCCAAGCUGCUCGAGACGGGCUUGCCAGAGCCACAGACCAACAUUUGAAAGGUAUGCGGGUAAAUUUAUAUUAUACAAAACUGAUAAUUAUAUACUAGUAGCCCCCGAGACUUGAAGCAGUUGAUACAACUGAUUUAAGGAUCAUUGUAUAACUAGGUGCUUAUGGAGAAGAACAGCCUGUUGUCUCAGGAACUAGAAAAGUGUCGGACCCAGCUAACUGCUGCUACCACCGAACUGGAGAAAUCCAAGAAGGCAUCACCUGGUAAUGUUCCCCUCCAUCGAGAAAACAUAAUUAUAUACCGGAAAUGCUAACACUGUUGCUCAUCUUAUGGCAGGAUCGUUAGAUCAACUGAAGGAGCAACUGAAAGCCGCCCAAGCGGAAGAACAAGAGGCCAAAAGACUACUGGCCGCGGGCGAACGUGUGCUGACACGAGUCAGAGAUGAGAAAAACAAGCUGUAGGAUGCCCACACCCAGCUGGGCGAAGAACUGAAAGAUGUACGGGCCCAGCUGGCUAAUUCUGUAAAGGAAAAUAAGAGGCUGCGCGGUGGCAUAUUUGGUAUGUGGUCACACUUACCUCCGUGUAGUUCGGAGAUGAAAGGGACUGACAGAAUUAUAUCUGUAGGUAUGCUGACCGGCCGUCCCGAAGAGGAGAUGUCCAGAAUCUCGGGCGAUCUGCUACAAGAGCUGUCGCAAAUGCACGAGCAAGCUCGGCAGGUGAUGCGAAGUAUUGCCAAGGCUUUAUGGCCAUCCGUCUCCCCUCCAGGAAGGAUGGAGGAGCUUAUACAGCUAUUCAAGGGAGCGCGGCGGCGCUUCCGAUUAUGGAAGAUAUCGGCCUGCCGGGAAGGUGCACGAGAAGCCUGGGCCAUGGUGAAAACACGGUAUACCAAGCUUGAUCCAAAUCAUAUGGCCCAGGUCGGACCUCUAGGGUCAGAUGGGAAAGAAAUUCCCAUGAAUUUGGUAUAUGACCAAGUAGAAGUAGCUGCCAGAUAUUCCCAAUAGGAUUGUAAGUUAGACAGCCUGUUAGACGGUAUAGAGGAGGAAAUUUGUGAGUCUAAGUGACUAUGUACUUUCCCUGACGUAUUUGUCCCUAGCCGGAUUGUAAAACGAUUGUCAUGGCAGACCUUUUCGCUUUGACCUCUGGACCCAAAGGUGCAGAGUGUUUCCGAAUACCUGAGCGGCAAAAUAUACCGGAGUAUGCGUGGAAACCAGGCGUAGGGGUCAUAGUUGCUUGAACAGACAAGUUGUCUCUGGCUAGCUAUGUUAUAUUACAUUGUGAUUGUAAGAAACAUCUUCCAGAGAGAAUAGUUCUGUUAAGGGUUCCUUUCCCUGGGUGUGCAUGCGGUAAUGUGCAUGUCCGGACUGUGAUUGAAAAAAUCGCAGUAUAUUCAAUAUCUGGGGGUUCAUAUUUUAAUGAAUGUAAAAACAUCUUUAGUUUGCCGACCGAAUAUUCCCUUAAGAAUGCUAGCUUUCGGCUUCACCCAGUCUGAGGUACACAUCUGGAUGACCCGGCAGUAACAAUCGCAGAGGUGCUCCCUUUAUGCCCUAGCCGAACUAACGGGAACGUAGGGCAUAAGCACAGGAGCCAGGCAACCCAGCUUGGCCAAAACUUAAGUCAUAUCGAUGCAUAUAAUGGCGAAGAAAAGGUACAUAUGGGGAAAACGCGCAUAUGUGAUGAGCUUGAUGCUCAAAAAUAACAAUAAUAAGCUUCUAUCAAAGAAGCCCCCAGGUAUAAUUGACGUACAUAUUUGAGGAUGUGUAUGUCACUAGUGCACGGUUUAGCCGCACGAAAAGCUUUAAGGCUAAAAACGGAAAAAGCAAAAAGAGAGGAAAAAGUAAUGGAAACAAUAGGGAUAAGGAGACGAACAAAGAGUUCGGCGCUAGGCAUAGAAUCUUCGGAGUCUGGCCGCGUUCCAGGGGUUCGGCUCUAGGCGAUUGUCUGACGCAUCACGCAGGCGGUACGCUCCUCCGGUGAGAACUUCGUCGAUGAUGAAGGGACCCUCCCACUUGGGCUUGAGUUUGUCUUUUUUUUCUUCUCUGGCAGGCGUAGAGCAAGUUCGCCAACGUUAUAAGUCUUGGCCCGCACUUCUCUGCUUUGAUACCUGCGAGCCUGCUGUUGAUGAAAUGCGGAACGGGCUUUUGCAACGUCGCACUCCCCCUCCAUGGCAUCUAAGCUAUCCUGCCGAUCAAGCUCGGCUUCUCUCUCUUCGUACAUGCGCACUCGGGGUGAGUCAUGAAUAAUGUGGCAGGGUAACACAGCCUCUGCGCCGUACACCAUGAAGAAAGGUGUAUAUCCGGUGGUGCGGUUGGGCGUGGUCCGCAGCCCCCAGAGUAUGGAGUCGAGCUCCUCAACCCAGUGCUUGUCUGAUUCUUUCAAAGACCGCACCAGUCUAGGCUUGAUGCCGCUCAUAAUAAGACCAUUGGCUUGUUCGACUUGACCGUUUGUUUGCGGGUGAUAGAUGGAGGCGUAAUCGAGCUUAAUGCCUAGAUUGGUGCACUAGUUUUUCACCUCAUCGGCUGUGAAAUUGGAGUCGUUAUCGGUGAUGAUGUUGUGUGGGACACCAUAACGGUGUACAACGCCGGAUAUAAAGUCUAUCACUGGUCCGACUUCGGCCGUUUUAACUGGUUUGGCCUCUAUCCACUUAGUGAAUUUAUCCACCCUGGCCAGCAGAUAUUUUUUCUUAUGGCUUCCUCCUUUAAGGGGUCCAACCAUAUCAAGCCCCCAGACCGCAAAAGGCCAAGUGAUGGGGAUUGUUUGCAGAGCGGUGGGUGGCAUAUGGCUCUGGUUGGCGAAGAGCUGGCAUCCGACGCAACGUUGGACAAGGUCCUGUGCGUCUGCUCGGGCCGUCGACCAAUAGAAACCUAUACGGAAAGCCUUGCUUACAAGGGCCCGAGCCACGGCGUGGUGACCACCGAGACCGGCAUGAAUUUCAGCCAAGAGUUGCCGCCCCUCUUCCUCGGAGAUACAUCUUUGGAGUACUCCGGUAGCGCUUUUCUUGUAGAGUUCUCCCUCGUGAACCUUGUAGGCUUUAGAGCGCCGAACAAUGCGGCGAGCCUCGUUCUGAUCCUCGGGGAGUUCUCGCCUAUUAAGGUAAGCCAAGAAGGGUUCGGUCCAUGGGGCAAUGACUGCCAUUAUGAGAUGGGCCGACGGUGUUAUUUCGGUGGCUGAGCCCCCGAUGAUAUCGGUGUGUUCGACAUCUAAGGUUAUAGUCGGGUCCGGACUGUUGUUGCCGCUCUCCCCUUGCCACACCAUGGACAGCUUGAAAAGCCUUUCCAGAAAGAUGUUAGGUGGGAUGGGGUCGCGCUUGGCGCCGAUGCGAGCAAGGACGUCCGCCGCUUGAUUACUUUCUCGAGCCACAUGAGGAAACUCAAGCCCCUCGAAGCGGGCCGAGAUUUUAAGAACGGCGUUGCGGUAAGCCGCCAUUUUUGGAUCUUUGGCAUCGGAAUCUCCAUUUAUUUGAGAUAUUGUGAGGUUUGAGUCCCCACGCACUUCCAGGCGUUGUAUGCCCAUGGAGGCAGCCAUCCGAAGCCCAUGCAACAAGGCCUCAUAUUCGGCUGCAUUGUUGGAGUCUGUGUAUAAUAUUUGGAGUACGUACUGAACUGCGUCUCCAGUGGGGGACGUUAAGACAAUGCCCGCCCCUAACCCCGCCAACAUUUUGGAACCAUCGAAGUACAUAACCCAGUUGGAAUAUGUGUCGUACUCUUUAGGGAGUUCGGCCUCUGUCCAUUCGGCGAUGAAAUCAGCCAGUACUUGGGAUUUGAUGGCCCGGCGUGGUUUGUAUGUUAUGUCGAAUGGAAGGAGCUCAAUGGCCCACUUAGCAAUCCGGCCUGUCGCAUCGCGGUUGUUUAUUAUGUCAUUGAGUGGUACUUCGGAGGCCACCGUGAUUGAGCACUCUUGAAAGUAGUGUCGUAGCUUCCGGGAUGCCAUGAAGACCGCGUAUGCUAUUUUUUGGUAGUGAGGGUACUGGGAUUUGCAUGGUGUGAGGACAGUGGAUACGUAGUAUACCGGUUUUUGGAGUGGGAACUUGUGUCUGUCCUGCUCUUGCUCGAUGACGAGCACGGCGCUCACCACCUGGUGUGUUGCCGAUAUGUAUAAUAACAUGGGUUCGCCGAUGUUCGGCGCGGCCAGGAUUGGGUUGCUCGCUAAAAAGGCCUUUAUUUUCUCCAGUUCGGCCGUUGCCGCGUCCGUCCACUCGAAGUGGUCGGUGCGUCGGAGAAGGCGAUAGAGUGGCAACGCUUUUUCUCCCAAUCUGGAGAUAAAGCGGCUUAAAGCUGCCACGCAUCCUACAAGUUUUUGGACCUGUUUAAGGUCUGUUGGCGUAACCAAUUGUGACAAAGCUCGGAUUUUCCUCAAUUCCUCUAUUGGAAACGAUGAAGCCCAGCAGUUUUUCGGCGGGGACGCCGAAAACACACUUUUCCGGGUUGAGCUUGAUGUCAUAUGUACGGAGGUUGUCGAAUGUAAGACGUAAAUCAUCUAUCAGUGACUCGACGUGCCUGGUUUUGAUGACAACGUCAUCCACGUAUGCUUCAACUGUCUUGCCGAUAUGUUUCUCCAGGCAUGUUUGAAUCAUGCGUUGGUAGGUGGCGCCAGCGUUUUUGAGCCCGAAAGGCAUAGUGUUGAAGCAGAAAGGCCCAUAUGGGGUAAUGAAUGUCGUUGCGGCUUGAUCGGACUCCUUCAUCUUGAUUUGAUGGUAUCCGGAGUACGCGUCGAGGAAACACAGUGAGUCGUGUCCUGCGGUUGCGUCAAUAAUCUGAUCGAUGCGAGGGAGGGGGAAGGGAUCCUUAGGGUAAGCCUUGUUGAGGUCUUUGAAAUCGACGCAUAGGCGCCAGGAUUUAUCUUUUUUUGGUACCAUCACCAGGUUUGCUAGUCAGUCCGGGUGUUUUAUUUCUCUGAUGAAUCUGGCUUCGAGUAACUUGGCUAGCUCCUCUCCCAUAGCUUGUCGUUUGGGUUCGGAAAAACGCCGCAGUGUUUGUUUGACCGGUUUAUAUCCCUUUAAGAUAUUGAGGCUGUGUUCGGCCAACCUGCGUGGGAUUCCUGGCAUAUUAGAAGGGUGCCAGGCGAAUACGUCCCAGUUCUCACGCAGGAACUCUCGUAGCGCGGCAUCGACCGCUGGGUCGAGUUGUGCCCCGAUGGAUGCUGUCUUCUUGGGGUCCGUCGGGUGGACUUGAAAUUUGACUAUUUCAUCUGCUGGUUUAAAGGAGGUGGAUUUGGGUCGCUUGUCCAGGAUUACGUCAUCCCUAUCCACAGUGGAGCAUAGCACGGUCAGCUCUUCGGCCGCGAGGGCUUCAGACAAUGCCUCGAGGGCUAGGGAUGCGGUUUUAUUUUCGGCACGCAGUGCUAUGUCUGGAUCACUGGCAAGAGUGAUGGUGCCGUUGGGCCCGGGCAUCUUGAGCUUCAUCUACCCGUAAUGAGGUAUAGCUUGGAAGCGUGUGAAUGCGUCUCGCCCCAGUAGGGCGUGAUAUCCGCUGUUGAAAGGGGCCACUUGGAAGGUUAUCUCUUCGGACCGAUAAUUCUCCGGCGUGCCGAAUACCACGCCGAGCGUGAUUUUUCCUGCGCAACGCGCCUCUCGACUGGGAAUGAUUCCCCGGAAGGUCGUGCUACUUUGCUCAAUGCGGCUCCUAUCAAUUUCCAUUUUCAUGAGUGUGUCCUCGUAGAUGAGGUUUAGUCCGCUGCCGCCGUCCAUGAGCACUUUGGUGAGCCGGAAGCUGUCCACGAUUGGACUGAGGACCAAGGCGGCUGGUGCCCGGACUGUCUUGAAUUUUGGUUCGUCAUCGGCAUUGAAAGUUAUGGCUGUGUAGUUCCAGGGGUUUAUUGCUGCGACUUGGCAGACUUCCGCAAGGUCGCGAAGUGCCCUUUUGCGCUGAUUUUUUGAAGCAAAGGUCUCGAAGACCGUCAAUACUCUGAGGUCGUCGUCUUCUGGGGGGUGUUGUUCUGGGGUAUUUUUGGUGAGGAGAUCUUCGCCGCUCUUGGCCACUUGCCGGAGUAUCCAACAUGCUCUAAGGCUGUGGGUUCGUGUGGCAUCCGGUGUUGUAUGUAUUUUGCAUGGCCUAUCGAGCCAUCCUUCCAGAACAGUUCCGUGCCCCAUAAUGGGCUUUGAUUUCUUUACUAUUGGGUCAGGCGCUCCACGAGGGUGCGUCCUUUUUGCCCGGACGAGGGGCUGAGUUGAAACCGGUGGUUCCCAACGAGCUGCCUGAGUUUUCCAGGCGCUUUCCAUUGCGCAGUACUUCUGUACUAUGGUUGCCAAGUCAGCAAAGUGUAAUACGCGACGGCGGUUGAUGGCGUUGAGGAUUCCUUCGUCCGUGCAAUUGUUGCAGAAUACUGAGAUUGCGUCUUCAUCGCGGCAAUCUUUAAUCUUGUCUUUGACAAGGAGGAAUCUGGCCCAGAAGUGAUGGACCGUUUCCUGAGACUGUUGUCGUAUGUACAUAAGAUCGCGUAUAGCUGGGUGGGUGGGUGGUUUUAAAUCUGAACCCUGACCCGGUUUGGGAUCCGGAGUUUGUAAAUCUUCCGAACUUAAUGGUUCAGACUCCGGGAUAUCAACUGAUGUUUUAGGCCCGUCGUCCGAUUCUAGGUUCGGAGGGCAGGGCACGUCGUUCCGCGAACAGGUAUCCGGCUCCUCGAGCUCGGAAAUCUGAACAUAGUUCGUCCUCAAUAUAGAGGAAGAGUUAUUGUCUUGCUCCUCCACUAUCGCUAUCUGAUGGGUGAUAGGCGGAGAUUUAAUUUCUCUCUGGUCAGGUUUAAGCCCAAUCCGACCGUAGUCUGUAGCGACCCCCAAGGCGGUGAUGCGAUCUAGGAGUUCGUUUAAAGACGACAACUCCGUCGGAUCCAUCCGUUUGGAGUAUUCGGAGUCAACGCAGAGACGAUUUUCGAUGACUCGAGAGGUCAUCGUCGGCUUAAAGGCCGAACAGGCGGUCAUGGUGAAGCCGCCAAGUCGGAGGGUUUGGCCCGGAGCCAGGGCUCCUCCGGAGGUGAUAUUAUCCUUGACAACAAGGCGAGCCAUCAACCCUGUCUUCGACGUCACAGCGGAACUCUCAAUGAAAGCACCAAUGUCGGUGUCAAAACUGGCGGAUCUCGGGUAGGGGGUACCGAACUGUGCGUCUAAGGUUGAUGGUAACAGGAGACGGGGAACACAAUGUUUAACCAGGUUCGGGCCCUCUCUACGGAGGUAAUACCCUACUUCCUGCUUGAUUGAUCUUGAUGAAUAUGAGUAUUACAAGAGUUGAUCUACCACAAGAUCGUAAUGGCUAAAACCCUAGAAGUCUAGCAUGUAUGACUAUGAUUAUGAUUAUUCAUCCUCUACGGACUAAGCCCUCCGGUUUAUAUAGACACCGGAGGGUUCUAGGGUUACAUCAGGUCGGUUACAGAGAAAGGAAUCUUCAUAUUUGGUCACCAAGCUUGCCUUCCACGCCAAGGAGAGUCCCAUCCGGACACAGGAGAGAGUCUUCGGUCUUCGUAUCUUCACGGCCCAUCAGUCCGGCCCACGUAUAACAGGUCGGACGCCCGAGGACCCCUUAAUCCAGGACUCCCUCACCGGGCAAGCGUCGGGGUCUCCAAUUAGGUUGUGGAGAUCACCCCGAGCAAUUUGACGGGUACCGAUGACCGCCCCCAAGGGUUCCCAAAGGGUACGGGUUCGGUGACCGCCCCCAAGGGUUGCCAUUUGUACGAGUUCGGUGAUCGCCCUCAAGGGUCCCUUAGUGGAAUCACGGCAUCUUGCAUUGUGCGAGGGCGUGAGGAGAUUACGGUGGCCCUAGUGGCUUCUUGGGGAGCAUUGUGCCUCCACACCGCUCCAAACGGAGAUUAGCAUCCGCAAGGUGUGAACUUCGGGAUACAUCAUCGUCUCCGCGUGCCUCGGUUAUCUCUUACCCGAGCACUUUUACUUAUGCACUUUACUUUGUGAUAGCCAUAUUGUUUCUUGUCAUACAUCUUGCUAUCACCUAGUAGUUUAUCUUGCUUAGCGUAAGUUGUUGGUGUACAUAGGUGAGCCUAGUUGUUGUAGGUUUGUGCUUGACAAAUUAACCGCUAGGUUUAUUCUGCAUUUGUUCAAGCCUAAACCAUAAUUAUUUUAAAGCGCCUAUUCACCCCCCCUCUAGGCGACAUUCUCGAUCUUUCAACGGGUUAUCGGAUCCAAAACCGGUCCCGAUAGCUGGCGACCCGUUACGGUCAAUGCCACGUGUCAGUCACCCUUGACGAAAGCACUUCUAUGACGCGCGAUUUAUCGUCAUGGAAGUGGACACUUCCGUGAUGAUAAUUUUGGUAAUGUCAGGAACACUUCUACGAUAGCACAUGUAUGACUAUUUUGAUUCUGUCAUAAAAUCGUCAUGGAUGUACAUGCAUGACAGAAAACGUGACCUGCUGUGACAAACACGUAUCAUCACGGAAGUGUAUUUUUUUGUAGUGAGUAAUGCCUUAAGCAAGAUGCCAUGAUUUAGAGGGAUAGAUCCAAUCAAUAUGAACAAACCCCAUCUUUUUAUCCUUAAUGACAAUAAUACAAAUAUGUGUCAUGUCCCUUUAUGGGAUUGAGCACUGCAAGAUUGAACCCAUUACAAAUCACCUCUCCCAUUGCAAGAAAAAAUCAAUCUAGUUGGCCAAACCAAAUCAAUAGAUCGGUGAGAAAUACAAAGCUAUAUAAAUCAUGCAUAAAAGAGUUCAGAGAAGACUCAAAUAAUAUUUAUAGAUAAUCUGAUCAUAAAACCAUAAUUCAUCGGAUCUCAGCAAACGCACCGCAAAAGAAGAUUACAUCAAAUAGAUCUUCAAGAACAACAAGGAGAACAUUGUAUUGAAGAUCAAAGAGAGAGAAGAGGCCAUCUAGCUACUAGCUAUGGACCCGUAGGUCUGUGGUAAACUACUCACACAUCAUCGGAAGGGCAGCAAGAUUGAUGUAGAAGCCCUCCAUGAUCGAAUCCCCCUCCGGCAGAGUUCCGGAAAGGUCCCCAGAUGGGAUCUCACGAGGACAGAAGUUUGCGGCGGCGGAAAAGUAUUUUUGGUGUGCCCCUGGUCUUCGGGGAAUAUUUGGGUGUUUAUAGAAGAAAGAUUAGGGUUAGAGGAGCCACGAGGGGGCCACAAGCUUGGAGGGCGCCCCCCUAAGCUUGUCGCCAGCUCGUGGCCCUUCUGGCCUCCCCCCAAAGCUUUCAGGGUGUCUUGUGGUCAAAGAAAAAUCAUCAAAAGUUUAAUUCCAUUUAGACUCCGUUUGGUAUUGAUUUUCUAUAAAGACAAAAACAAGGAAAAGACAACAAUUGGCAUUGGGCACUAGGUUAAUAGGUUAGUCCCAACAUAAUAAUGCAUAUAAAACAUCCAAGAUUGAUAAUAUAAUAGCAUGAAAUAAUAAAAAAUUAUAGAUACGCUGGAGACGUAUCAGGUACCAUUGCCACUUCUGGCACUGCUCAGUGUAAACCUGUGGUGACCCAACCCCGUGCGGAACUUGAUUGCAAAUCGAACGGUGGCUUUCAUGACAGGCUCAACCUUAGGUCACUCCGAGGCUGCCAAUGUUUUCCUGACACCUGAAGCCCCCUGUAGAACGGGGUAUCCGACUAAGGAGGCCCAACCCCUUAUACCGAAGAACGACGGCAAGGACUGGGAUUGCAAUAAAGCCUGCGCCAACUGGUGGUAUCUUUUGGAACUAGCACGACGUUUGGUUACCAACGCAUGUAUCGUUCCCGCGGGCCUCCCUCCGGGCUAUGGUUUCGCCGAAGUUCUAUAUGAGAAAUCCCCUUGAAGGCCACCCUGGUCCCAUUGUAGGCCCCUUGCGAAUCCCUCAGCAGAACUUCACCAAAGAGACUGGUCCAACUGGUGGUAUCUUUUGGAACUAGCACGACGUUUGGUUACCAACGCAUGUAUCGUUCCCGCGGGCCUCCCUCCGGGCUAUGGUUUCGCCGAAGUUCUAUAUGAGAAAUCCCCUUGAAGGCCACCCUGGUCCCAUUGUAGGCCCCUUGCGAAUCCCUCAGCAGAACUUCACCAAAGAGACUGGUGUGUUUUUUUAAUGAUAUUCUUGUCGAGUUUCAUGUGCUAACUUAAGAGUGUUUAGUUCUUUAGUCAAGCGCUCAAUUUCCAUCGUUGCAUUGGCAACCGUCUCAUCUUUACUAUCAUGAUCACUAUAAAGUUCAUUAUAGCUAACAUCACUAGUUUUCUCAUUGAGCAAGUCAUCGUCACCUAGCAAGUCAUCCUCAUCACUGAUACGUCUCCAACGUAUCUAUAAAUUUUGAUUGUUUGAUGCUAUUAUAUUAUCAAUCUUGUAUGCUUUAUAUACCAUUCUAUAUCAUUUUUGAGGACUAACCUAUUAACUCAGUGCCAAGUGCCAGUUGUUGUUUUCUGCUUGUUUUUGGUUUUACAGAAAAUACAUACCAAACGAAGUCCAGAUGACAAACAAGGAGACGUCAAGGCAGCACGGCCCCCCUUGUGGGCCCCUCGUGGCUCCGCCUGACCUAAUUCUAGCGCUAUAAAUUCCCAAAUAUUUCGAAACCCCCAGGAGAGGCCCCGAAACAAUCCUUCCGCCGCCACAAGCCUCUAUUCUUCCGUGAUAUCUUCUGGAAGCCUUUUCCGAUACUCUGUCGAGGAGGGAAUGCAUCAGGGAAGACAUCAGUAAAGCAACUUUGUCAAUCUCAAAGCUCCGCAACUUUGAUCUAUCUUCGGUAGGUGCUGUGCGUGGUGAUGUGAUUGAGUGCAUGUCCAUAAGAAAAAAAAACUCCUUAAUUAAUGAAAAAUCUUUUGCCCCCUUGAACAAGUAUUGUUUUCGAUACGGGCUUGGGAGUACAACGGUAGAUACGAUGCAUUUAUUACAUCGAUGAUCCAUCGUCCCGUGUGCGGCCGCCCACACCAGUUUCCUCGUCCCACGAAAGCCCCUUCCAUGCGGGCCCUCGGAAGAGCGCACGCCCACUGGCCCCACAGGCAGCGGCACGGCUAAAAACGGGGGACGCUUCCCUUUCAUCUCGCGACUAUAAAAAAGAACGGGCGGCCCUGCCUAAAGCCCCCGCCCCCUGUCCUCUCCCCUCUCCUCGCCUUCUCCGCCCUCCGCUCCAUUCGUUUCGAUCUAUUUCGGCUUCCUCUCCAAGCUUCGGCCAUGGCGGCGACGAUCCAGUCCGUGAAGGCCCGCCAGAUCUUCGACAGCCGCGGUAACCCCACCGUCGAGGUACGCGCGGAUGCGCCCAUCCCCCGUCCGCCUCCCCGAUCUGUACGUUGUGGUCCGGUUCGAUUCGAUCUGGUAGGGCGGCGGGCGUACGCAGCAACGGCUUGUUUUCGAUCUGGUGAUUCGUCCGUCGGCUGUGGGUUGGGGCUUCUGGGGCGCGGGCAGUAGGUUUCUGAUGCGCUAGAUUCGAGGGGUUUUGGGUUGGUGGGCCGGUAGGUAGGAUGCGGAUUACUGUUGCCCCUCGGCCAGACUUUAUGGGGUUUGGAUGUGCUAGAUAGAUUCGAUGUGAGGUGGUUUGUUUAGUCGGACGCUGCCUGCUCGUCAUGCAUUUUGGGGUUUCGCAGGAUGUAUCCACAGAUCGGCUGGCCGCCAUGCCCAGCGUUUAUGUAGUCAUUAUGGUUUCGUGCCCUGGUUGUUGCUCAGCGCUUAUCGUUUGAUCUGCGCAUAAUGCCGUGGUGUGAAGUAAUGUGACGAAAAUGUAAAUGAGUGUAGGCUCAUCUCAUUCUGGUCCAAGUGGUUUUGGGCGUGCAGGUAGGAUUUAUAAUGUCGUUUGCUCGUUGCCCCUUGGCCAGUUUUUGUUUCUUCAUAUGUUAGAUAGAUUUGACGCAAAGUGGCUUGUUCAGUCAGGUAGAUACUGGGUAGAACUAUUUUUUAUUUUGCCUGCCAGGCGUCCAUUGUAGGUUUUCACAGUGUGUAUCAACAGAUGGUUGUUCGCCGUGCUUGGUGUUUACAUAGCUAAAUGUAGCCAUAUGGCCUGUGUCCUAGUUGCAUGCGACAUUGUCUGGAUUUUAUUGUUUAAGCUAUGCAUAAUGCCAAAGUGUAAAAUAUUUUGGCAAGUUAUUUUGCUAAUCUCAUGGUUUUGUGCAUCAGGUUGAUGUGUGCUGCUCAGAUGGAACCUUUGCCAGGGCCGCUGUUCCCAGCGGUGCAUCAACUGGUGAGUUAUUUUGUUAUUAUCAUCACUCUCUCCUUUUCAACCUUAAGUUUUUGCUUUGGUUUCCUGAGUUCCUGACUAGUGAAGGCACAAACUCUUAUUUGGAUCAUUAUUUAUGGAUUGUGAUUGUAUUGUUUUUGUUGAACUAAUCUUGUCUGAAUCAUCCCUCUUCUGCAGGUGUUUAUGAAGCUUUGGAACUGAGGGACGGUGGAUCUGACUACUUGGGAAAGGGUGUAUCCAAGGUUUACAUCCAUUUGAGCGAAUUUUAUCUUCACAUUCUUUAAAUCUAUGUCAUAGUUCUUAGUCAUGUAAUGUGGCUGCUGUAUAUGUUUUUUUUUGCCUCAACUCUGCUUUUGUUACACUAGCAAUAUUGUUGCCAGCUUUUGAAAUUUUCCUACUUGUUUACCGAAUUAUUAUGCCAAAUGGACCAAACAGUGCUAUCUUUCCGGUUAUCCUGUUUGUGAGGACAAGUUAUUUUGCCAUGUUGGUUUGGUUUCAUCCAUACAAUGUUUCCUUGUGCUGUAUAACUUGAUGUUUCUAGUUUGUGCCAGGUUGUAGAUUUUUUUUCUUAAUUUUAAUGUGAACUACAAUAUUUUUUCUUAAUGUUAAUGUGGUAGGUUGUAGCUUUUUUUUUUGAUAUCUCAUUGCCGUUGAUUGUAUGUACUCCCUCCGUCUGAAAAAGUUUGUCCCAAGCUUGUCCCUCAAAUGGAUGUAUCUAGCACUAACUUGGUGCUAGAUACAUUCAUUUGAGGGACAAGCUUUUUCGGACGAGGGAGUAGUAGCUUAGGAUUAUGUAUUUAUGAAGUGAAUAAUCGUGGGCAAUAUCUCUUGUGCACAUUUUCUUAUUUACUAAAAAACCAACUUGCUCAAGUACUGUCAUGAAAUGAACAACUCAGGAUCAUUUAGUGCUUGAUGUUUCACUAUAGCUAUCCUGGUUUUUUCUAUUGUAGCGAAUAGUCCAUUUGCAUGCAUAAUUUAGUCUUUUCUUUGUAUUUACAUGUAUUUUUUUAUUUUUUUCGCAGGCUGUUGACAAUGUGAACUCGAUUAUCGCGCCAGCUUUGAUUGGCAAGGUUAGCAUUGUCUCUGCCCCCUUUUCUAUUGUGAUAUGAGAGUUGAAUGCAUAAUUCAUUCAGUGCUCUCUUUCCUUCCACAGGACCCUACCGCUCAAACUGAGCUCGACAACUUUAUGGUUCAGCAGCUUGAUGGAACCAAGAAUGAGUGGGGUUGGUGCAAGCAAAAGGUAUAACAUAACCCAUGAUGAGUUUUACCUUUAGAGAGGGAGUACUAAUUUCCAUUUGCAGAUUCCCUUCUAACAGCUUGAUUUCUUUUGUAAACUCAGCUUGGUGCUAAUGCAAUCCUGGCUGUGUCACUAGCUGUUUGCAAAGCUGGAGCCAGCGUCAAGAAGAUUCCGCUGUACCAGGUGUGCAUCAUUGCUAAUCUCCUCUUUUAAUAUUCUACAUUUGUUUGCUAUUGCCUAAAGUCUUCGAACAUGAAUAUUCUUCACUGCAGCACAUUGCCAACCUUGCUGGCAACAAGCAAUUGGUUUUGCCUGUUCCUGCAUUCAAUGUCAUCAAUGGUGGAUCCCAUGCUGGAAACAAGCUUGCUAUGCAGGCAAUGCUCUGACCUAAGAUUUUCACAUCUUUCAUCAUGUUGUUUUCGCACAUUUCUUAUUUAUGCCUAUACUUGCAUAUCUGCAGGAGUUCAUGAUCCUUCCUACUGGAGCUGCCUCAUUCAAGGAGGCAAUGAAGAUGGGCGUUGAAGUGUACCACAACUUGAAGGUAAUUCUUUCAUCUUCUUUUUCUCUUUGCUAUCUUGUAAAAAGCAAAUUUACUAAAACUAACAUUUUCUGUGACAGUCUGUUAUCAAGAAGAAGUAUGGGCAAGAUGCCACCAAUGUUGGAGAUGAAGGUGGUUUUGCUCCUAACAUUCAGGUAUUUCCCUGUCCUUAGAGGUUUACGAUCAGAUUUCCUUGCUUUGUUAUGCCUUGUUAUUUCGACAACAGUUGCUGAUUGUCAUGUUUGGACGUAUAGAACUACUGUGUUGUUAUAAAUUGAGGUCAAUGUUUGUGGGGUGUGAUCUGAGUUCUUUUUAUUUUCGGGUGUUGUAGGAGAACAAGGAGGGCCUUGAGCUCUUGAAGACUGCAAUUGAAAAGGCUGGAUACACCGGCAAGGUUUGUCUGCUUGAAUUAAUCUGUUGUCACGCACUUCUCAGUGAGCUUUUAAGUUAGUGACUGAAGGAGAUUUGUUGGUUUGGGAAAUUCUAGGUUGUCAUUGGAAUGGAUGUUGCUGCUUCAGAGUUCUACAAUGACAAGGACAAAACCUAUGACCUCAACUUCAAGGAAGAGGUAAUUAGCCCCAUGGUUUAUUUUGUGGCAACAAUUUGUUUUCUUUUCAUGAGCAUUUUUAACAUUUGCCCUCCCUUGCUGUAGAACAACGAUGGUUCCCAGAAGAUAUCUGGAGAUAGCCUGAAGAAUGUAUACAAGUCAUUCGUGAGUGAGUACCCCAUUGUGUCGAUUGAGGACCCAUUUGACCAGGAUGACUGGGUGCACUAUGCUAAGAUGACUGAGGAAUGUGGAGUGGAAGUUCAGAUUGUUGGUGAUGACCUUCUAGUCACCAACCCAACCGUGAGUUAUUUGUUUUCUGUUGUGUAGGUGGGCAUUUUCAUUCUGUUGGAUCACUGUAAUUAAUUUGCUGUAUCACUAUGUUGUGCAGAGAGUUGCUAAGGCAAUCAAGGAGAAGUCAUGCAAUGCUCUUCUGCUGAAGGUAUUAUUCUGUUCAAACAUAAGCUGUUAUUGAUUCUUAUCCUUUGGUCGUCAUAGUACAAGUACUCCUUCCGUCCAUAAUAAGUACCUGAUCGGAUGGAGUAUGUAUUACAUAUUCUGAUUGUUUCAUCCUUUUCAUGUGUAGGUUAACCAAAUUGGAUCCGUCACUGAGAGUAUUGAGGCCGUGAAGAUGUCAAAACAUGCUGGUUGGGGUGUGAUGACCAGUCACAGGAGGUACAUACUAGAUACUGCCUUAUUACCCAUCCGUUUUCCCCCUUGUUUCUAUUGUUAUUACCAUUUGUAUGCUUAUGUACAUUCACUGUGUGCAGUGGUGAGACUGAGGACACAUUCAUUGCUGAUUUGGCUGUCGGUUUGUCCACGGUAUAAUUUUAUAAUCUUCAUUUUAUUGUUUGUCUGAAUAAUUUUAAUGAGACUACUGUUUCUUCUCCUCUGGAUCGAUUAGGAGUAUCUGAACAAUGUUUCUUCAUGUGCAACAGGGCCAGAUCAAGACUGGGGCUCCCUGCCGCUCAGAGCGGCUUGCCAAGUACAACCAGGCAAGUGGCUUUCCUGUAAUUCUUGUACUGCUGAAGCAUUCUCCUGAUAUUCUGUUGACCAACAUGACCUCUCGCAAUAACAAAAACCAAAUUAUUCUUCCUCUUUAAUCUUCUGUUCGAUGCAUUGUGCUCAUUUAAGAAUGAUUUCUUGUCUUUUGUUUGGUGUUAAGACUGAUCUUACAUGUUUGGUUUCUGAUAUUCUUUUGUUCAGUGUAAUGUGUUUAUUUGAGCAGUCAUGUCUUGUUUUUUUCUUGAUCUGUUUCCCAAAUUUAUACUAAGGUGUUAUUUCUUUUCCAAUUGGAACAGCUUCUGAGGAUCGAGGAGGAGCUGGGCGCUGCCGCUGUGUAUGCCGGCCUCAAGUUCCGUGCACCGGUGGAGCCAUACUAGAUGGGAUCUGCAUCCGAGACAUGAUCACCACUCUGCACUUGUUUUUGUGAAAGUGGGCGUGUGUUAACUUGUGGAAUGAACUAUGGUUGAAGCUCUUAGGACUUGUCGAGCAAUAAUGUACCGCAUGUUGCUGUGAACGGGACGGAUAUGUACCUACGUACUCCAAACUUGCUCCAAUUUUGGUCUUUGUGGUGAGCGAGCAAGUACGCCUGAUUACCUUUUGGAUCUGUAGUAAACUGUUUGGCUGUUGGCAUCAUCAUAUUUGGCGUCAGUUUAAUCUUGCAGAAAGCAUGCUUUUCGUUCGCCAUUCCUAAUUUACCACUGUUUUCGGUCUCUCUGUUUUUCUUAUUAUUAUAACUAGCACAAAUGCCCGUGCGUUGCAACGGGUUAAGUAGUUUAUAUUCAAGUUUAUUUAUGAUAAUAUAUGCAUAAAUACAUUCAUUUUUCAUGCAAUUUUUAGUCAAUUGUUUUCAAGAUCCAAAAUUUUCUAAAUAAGACAUGCUAAACUCAUAGAAUAUUUCUUUACCUACAUCAACAUACUUUCCCCCAUGAAAGAAAAUAAAGUUAGGAACUUCUCCUUAAAAGAAAUUAGGAACUCAAUAAAGUUUAGCCAAUGCUGCUCACAAAAUUCCGAGAGAAAAGUAUUGCACAAAGAUCCUUAAUCCUUUGGGUAAUAUAACAUAGAAAAGCGAGAGUUCAUGGUUGACACACCAGGGACUUCGAAUCCGACUCCUCAGUGACACGUCCAAUGCUAAUUACAACGCGUUAUACAAUUAAUUCACAGUGAUCAAUACAAAAAAUAAGUUAUAUUGGAUCCUUUCAUUAUUAGAAAAAAAGAGCCCAGCAUGUUUUCACAAAGACCAACAAACAUGCUCGUAAGUAGUAAUCUCAAGGAUACUUUUAUAAUAUUACAUUGAGAAAACUUCACAAAAUGAACAUUGUUAGCUGGUUAAUUUGAUUCUUAGCGACACUUAUCUUGGUUCAUUUUUUGUUUUGAGAGGUUUCUUGGUAAGUUUUAAUAUUAGAAUAAGCAGAAAGCUCACAUAAACCCAUAUAAGCCUAGGAUCCAUGAGCAAUGCAAAUAGAAUUGCAAGAUAGCAACAAUAUUAUUUCACAAAAAAAAAGA
rnacentral:lncRNA from 1 species